rnacentral:lncRNA from 1 species
GUACCAUUACCAAUGACCAUUCUCUCUGUAUUUUGUGCAUUGCAGAUAUGAUCUCUUGUACAUAUGUUCCUUUUGACAACCUGCUGAACAAUGUCUACAUAGGUCCUAACUUUCUUCAUACUUCAUAGUUGCUUAAUUGGGACUGAAAGCUUUGUUUGAUCCUUGACGGGCCUUUUGCUAUAUAUUAAUAAUUGCCUAAUGGUGGAAUUCUUUAGAGGAAAGGUGCCUAUGGUCCAGUGGUCUAACCCUUGCUACACUUCCAGUUACAUUUGGUGUUGAGGUUCCAUAUUCAAAGGGAAUUGGGAUUUGGUAUCAUUUAUGCAAAUUAAUGAUGUUCAAUUGUAACCUUAUAUUGAUUGUUCUGUCCCAGUGGACAAAUGAACAUCUGCUCAUGUUUAAAAGUGAAGAAAACAUGUUUGUGAAGUUCAAGUCAUCAUUUGCCAGACCAUUUCUGUGUUCAGCAUUCAUGUUUGUUCAGUGACGUUUUUCUUUGCUUGAUUUGUAGGGGUUGUCAUGAAUCUAAAAUAAUUGAAGAGGAAGAGGAUGAAGAAUGUCUUAAGGAGGAAGAAGAUGGCUUGUCUGGUAUGGGAAAUGCGCAGCUGCGGACACAACCCUCUUGUAAUCUCUCUCUCUCUCUCUCUCUCUCUGGUUUGAUUGAAAGAAGGAUAGUCUUUGCUGCUCAUAUCUCUGCUGUACCCCUGCUUUGGCUUGGAGAAUCUGUAAUGUUUGCUGCAAUUUCAGAAUGCUAAAUAAUGAGGGAUUGUAAAUGUUCUCUUUGUUGACAUGAUUCCUUAUCACUAACAAUUACAAUACUCCAAGUACUUACUUUGGUGUUGACUAAGUAGAGAUUUUUGGCAUCCCUUCCUGGCCCUUGUCUAGGUGGGAACCUCUUGCACUGGGGACACCCUUUAUUGUAUUGUCGUCUGGCUCCAGAGAGAUUCUGUUUUGCUCUGAUUUAUGCAAUUAUCUUGCCAACAGGAUAUCUCCAGCAAAUAUAAGUUAACUGCUUUAUUAAGUUCUAUUUGUAUGGUUUUUUGCAGGUAUACAAGGGAAGAUGAGGGAUUACUAGCUUGCUGGAUUGAAUUGGCUCAUAAGAUUGUAUGAGAAUGGCAUUAACAGAAUACUUGCAGAUGAAAUGGUAGGUCACGGGCUGCAGCAUUUAGACGUGUGCAGUAUGGAAGCUGGAAAGGCUAGAAGAUGCAGAGCUCAGAGAAAUUUGCUAAUAGAAAUUCCAAUGAUAUCUUAGAGAUAUUCAUCUUGUAAGAUCUUGAAAUUGACAUGUGCUGAGAUAACCAAUUAUCGAGGCUCCUAGAAAGUCUUAUAUGCCUACAAUACUCAUACCGAGUUGAUGAUGGCAUUUCUGGUCUCUCCAACUUGAAAAGCUUGAGAGAUUCGUCCUGGGCUAGCCAAUAACUCUCUUCCCCCAGUUGACUAGGAACUUGAAAAGAUUGUGGAAGAUUCUAUCCCCGGUGGAUUGGUAGGUUAAAGAGACUGGAGUCUUUAAAGUUGUCCUCUUCGAUAAUGACCACCUUAUCGCAAGAUAUUCCGCAACUUUCUCAUCUCUAGAGAGUUGAACUCUGUCGGGAAUGUCUGUAGUGCCUCCCGAGGCUUCCCUCGAGUUUACCGUCCAUAUGUAUUAGACAUUUCCUAUCAGUGGGUACAUUAAUAGACCUAUCAACCUUGAAGAAACUGUAAGAACUAAUUGAGUAUUGUGCAGUUACAGAGAUUCAAAGCCUUGAAAGUCUGGAGAAUCUUAAAACUUUGGAGCUGAACGAGCUCCACUGCCUGGACAAAUUGGCCGACUGAGUGGCUAGAAGAAACUAAUGGCUUUUCAUUUACAUCAUCGUAAUAAUCUGGUUGACUGGAAUUACCGGACAAUUUGUCCGUCUACUCCAGCAACUUUAUCCUGAAGUUUCUAAUGUUUCAAAGUGGAAGCAAUUAAAAUGAAUAGGCAUCCAACCCCAGGAGAUUUGAAAACUCAACACAUUAUAUAGGAGCUCGAUCAAAUUUGGUAAAUUUCUGCAAAAGAGAAAAGAAUGGACACUUGAUCUGUUGAGUACUUUUUUUUUUUUUGGAUAAGAGGUGCUUCCCAUUCUGUUGUACAUAUGUGUAACAAAGAGGUUUAUGUAAAUUUUCUUUUUUAAGUUCACUUUGCAUGUUGACUAGUGAUAGUUCUGCAAGUACCCUUGUUCAGAUUUUCUUUGUUUUAAUUUGGUUUGGUUUGGUUUAAAUGUUUUAAUGGCUUUGAAUUGCUAAUUGACUUACCUCAUGAGGUCAAGUCAAAUUAUAUGAACUCUAAGUGCAUUAUUUUGUCAAUUUACUAUGUGAUGAUUUAUUUGAGGUACCUUAUAAAUUGACACUUCAUCUUAUUGAAUUUGAAACUAGUCAAUGCCCAUACUUCAUGUAGGAGAACUUUAAAGUAGCUGUUACAAUGUGCAUGAAAGCAUCUCGGCACUUGUGGCAUCACCUCUAUGGUAAUAACAAACACAAAAUUGCGACAUGAAGAAGAAUAAUAAUCUACAUAGGUAAACACAUGUCCAAUUUGGUUUUUGGGUAAAGCAGAUUUCUUAACCGGAUUCACACAAGAUGAAGAGAAGUGGUAAUGAUUCUUAAAUAAAUUAAAGAAAUGUUCUAGUUCCAACUUGGUCCGGCAUUAUUUAAUGUUUACGUAAAUAUGAAAUAAUGACCCAAUCAUCAAAUUUCAAAUGAAUAGAAGUGUGGCAAAACUUUUUCCAAGUCUAAAUAUAUAACAUGGAAUAAUCUCGCGCCGUCUGCAAGUUCUUGUCUUUUUGCCUCUUUUUUUAUAUCUUUUGUAAUAGAUAAUCCACAAGCAUUAACCGAGAUAAUGAAGAGCCACAACUUCGAAAACACUAUUUGAAAUAGAGAACUUUCAUACUUGAGAUCAGGAGUCAAUCUAUCUAUAUAAUCAUUAUAGUCAUUAGAGAGGCUUCACAAAACUUUUUGCCAAUCACUAAAGAGGCUUCCGAGUUUGAUUGGGAAUUUAGAAUGCUGGUUGAGUUGGAUUCCAAAUGGGAUUUAACAAGUCACAUCAAAUUCGUGAGCUUAUUUACCUGACUUGUAGUGGCCCAAAGUUCUAAUACAGCACUCAUGAAUAAUUUUUCCCAUCUACAUUGACACAAGACUAUGCUUACACAUUGGUUUUGUGUACUCUAUUUUAAUAGUAUUUUGUAUAAUAAUCAGCACAAAGCAUGGAUUUAUGGGGGUUAAAUGCGAAUGUUGCUUCACCUCGGAAUAAAUGUGAUUUUUAUAAUUUGAUUGGUAGCUGGGGGAGUGUCUUGGAUGAAGAUCAAGCCCGAUAAUUCCAUAGAGCUUCAUGUUUUGGUGUCAAUUCGGGCCUGGGCCCUCUUAGCUUUAUGUUUUAAUUGUUCUCUUGCACGAUGUGCUUUGAAUUGUCAGAAUUGGCAAUUUAUGCUUUGAAAUGAUAAAGGAAUUUCAUUUUUUCUGGUUUCCGCUAAUGUUUACUUCGGCAAUAAAAAAUAGAAGGUAAAAACUUACAGCUCUCAUUCCAAAGGCCGCUCAGAUCAUUCUUACAUGUCUAAACCAAGAUGAUAUAAAUUAUUUACCUCUAAAAGUUGAAAUUCAGCAAAGGUUGCCAAUUGAAAUGACAUAAACUUCAGACAAGAUCAUCAUUUGUUUCCAAGAUGGCUUGACUUAACUGUUAAUUUGCAUAAUUUCCUACCAAGGAAUAGUUGAAGUACUUGGUUGCGUGGAUGUGCCAAUGAGCUAGUAGUAGAAAGUAAGGUCACCGAUUGAAAAGUUUUCUCCCUAUACAAUCUUUAUUUCACCUUAUAAAACCGGUUAAUUGCAAUACCAUGCAAGUCUUACAGUUCCAUAGUUCACACACAUCUGCCGAUUAUGUGCACUUCAACACUAGUUCAAUCCCAAAAAAAGGAAAAAAAAAAAAAAAAGAAAGGAAAAAAGUUGCGUGAUUCAGCCGUGGACAGCUUAGCUCAGCAUGCGCACAUCUUUAUUAGGUUUUAUCGAGUCUGACAGGUAAACUUGUGAGCGCAUUCAUUCAAUAGGCAUCACAAAGUUGUAUUUACAAGGAUGAUACAUGCAACUUCCUGCUUGUUACAUUACAAGUGAAUUUCGGUAGAGAUCCUAUGCAUAUUGUGAUGGACAUGGAAAAAGAUUGAUGGAAUGCAUUACGUGAAUAAAAUUCACCCAGAGCUGCCUAAUGAUCUUCAUGAAAGUAGGCGCUUACUUAGGAGCAUUUUAUUUUAAGUUACUCUUGGCAUCGGAGUCUUAAUACAGCCUCAAUGCAGAAGGACUCCUGGAAAGCAUAUGGUUUCCUUUGUCUUUGCUUCCAUAUUCCUUCAAUCGUGGAUCCAUGAUGAUUUUGCACGAUCCCCAUGUCUCCACCAUUAAUUCUUCACCAUAGUAGACUAAAUGGUCUGUGAGGAUGUUACCAGUUACCAAUCUGCAGGAACACAUUCUGAUAAGUCAUCCGUAAAUAUUUCUAGUAAUAAAGAACUGGCAUUCUCUAGAACAAGCUGGUCUGUCACGAGUUAUUGCACCUAGCAUGAUAAAUCCACAAAAUAAUUGCUUGUAACAGGUAGCUACGACUAAAACUACCUCCUUGCCUGCUGCGCGUUGGACCUUCUCCAAAGCCAUCGCAAACUUUCUCGACCUGAUAAACCAAACAACCAAAUCCUAUAUUAUACAACCAUGCCUACAAAAAAAGGAUUCCAAUUACAUGUGAACACUGACAUAGAAAAUAUUAAAAUUAUCACCAGACAAGCAGGUGGAAUCAAAUUAUUUCGCAUUAUCUCACAUCAAUAUGUUUAUCCAUGGCUAUCAUAGAGAUAGUCACCAAUGAUUACAGGCAUUAGUGAUGUGCAUAAUUUAAUGAGUAAUACCUUAUAAUUGCACAGAGCUUAAGACUAGGUCAUCAGCCAUAGAGAGAGAGAGAGAGAGAGAGAGAGAGAGAGAGAGAGAGAGAGUAAAUGAUACACAUUAUUACGUGUCUUAAAUUUUGGAAUUGGUAGAUUGCUUUAUGGGAAUGAGAAGAGUUACUAAAAUAUUGUUAAAAAGGUCAUGAGUACCGCGAACUACCCUACUUUGUUAAGAAGAUAAAACAAACAAAACAGAUAAAAUUUAAACGCUGAAAAAAGUAAGAGUACAAACAUUGUUGGAAAAGAUAAAGACUUCUCCAGUUAGAUAGGUUGAAAUAAACGCAAAGCAAACGUAAAAUGCAGUCAGCAACAAUUCCCCAUAAUUUACGUGAUAUUCCAUCAAGAUCAAAGUCAUAACACCCUAGGGAAGUGAUGGUAUAUCUUCCGUGGGAACCAAGAAUAACACGGAGGCAAAUGAAGCACAAUCUCAUGUCUAUUAUUUAUAUGUAUCGUAUUUGGCAUGCUGUAGUAAGCAAAAAACAUUGCAUUGCCAAUACAGGUUUGUGCAAAUGUCAAAACCUGGACAAUCUGUGCUUCUUGGUUUACUGGGAAAUUAAGCAUCGUUAGUUAUCUAAGUAAAUCAAGCGAGUGAUGGUUUGGAAAAUACAGCUCCAGCACACGUAAUUAGACGGCCAAAUUACUUGAACAUUAAUAAUUUCACAAGAGGAAAAAGUACUACGCAUCAAUGACCAUAUAUUGCAUUUCACAUACGAAGGUGAACGAUGGAACAGCCCUUUCUCUCCAUAAUGGUUGGAGGUCUAGCGUUACUCUGUCUAGAUCCCAUCCAUAAUUUUCCCAAAACCAAAUCCCACAGCCACAACAAAACCCAUCCAAGCCUCACCACCACAAAAAGUUGUUAAUAAUUUGGAAUAGUGGGAUUGGGGGUUAAUUUACAACCAAUGCGCAUUUAAAUGCUUCCACAAGAAGCACUUUGGAUGUUGGCAGGGUGAGUCAUAUCCUGCAAAAAACAUGAACAAAACAAUCCAGGUUCAUGCUGAAAUUGACCCUUGAACCUCAAAACUUACAGUCAUAAAUAGCAAAGGAGAAACUAAAUGUUAAAAAGGGCCAUGACGCAUGCAAAGGGCCACGACCCAUGGGCAUGAUGUCACGAUUGGCUCAGAACAAUUUUCAGCAAGAAACCACCAAACAAAAAUCACAUUUUAAAUCAUCCAAGUGUUUGGACAAGAUGUAACUUAUGAUCCUAUUUUAGGCACAUGAAUGUCUGUAUAAUCUGAGUCCAAUCCAAAGUUUGACCCUAAAAAAUCACAACUUGACAUGGAGAAGAGAUUUAGUGGGACAUGGCUUUGGGGUGGGCACCAUUUCUGGUACCAGUUCCACAACAGGUGCCUAGAAAACUCUAGACACUGUCCAAUAAAGCAGAGAUAAAAAGCAUAACUUAGACAUUUUAGAAUUGGCUCCAGCCUACAACAUAUAUGGCCUGUAUUCGGACUGAAAAGGAGAUGCUUUUUUUGGUUAGAAAGAGACAGAUAGAAACAACACACAUAACACAGAUUUAGGAUGAAUAUAUUUUAGUUUAAAAUGCAUUAACACUUCAAGAUCACAUGACAUAGAUUUUGAGCUUCAAGUGCUUGCAAACGUUAAAUAGCCAGACCAUAAGCAUAUCAAUAUACCCAUAAAGUUUCCAGCAAGUAAACUUUGUAAUGAUUAGUUGGAAGUCUUUAUCCACUAUAUAUGGGUUUUCAGCCUACUUGAAGAUUCAUGGCUUAACAUGUAAGAAAAUUCACACAACUAAAAACAUAGACCCUAGGUGGUUCAGGUAAAGGGAUGUUUGCAACCCAUUCUGCUUGUGUUUGUCUAUGGGUGGAUUUACCAAAAAAGACAAUAGAGAGAGAGAGAGAGAGAGAGAGAGAGAGAGAGAGAGAGAGAGAGAGAGAGAGAGAGAGAGAGAGAGAGAGAGAAGAUGCUGACCAAUUGUAAAUAUAAAUAUGAAGCCAUAGAAAGUUCAAGGUAUCCAGAGUCUAAACUCUUCAAGGCAGAGUUGGCAGGGAAUUCCAAGUAAUUCUUAACAGACCAAAACUGAAUAAAUGGAAGAACACAAUAGAGAAGAACUGAUAUCUGAACCAUAGCAAUUUUUUAAUUGUGUUACCACAAGAUCAAAUCUGCAAAAGGAUGCCACAGUCCCUCCCAUAGAAUGCCCUAUCACCAUGAUGUUGAUGUCUCCAUAUAAAUCCUUGGCUCUUUUAACAGCAUCCAAAGUGCCAGGUCAAAUUGUUGCAUCGUGAUAAGCAUAAUAAAUCCAUGAUGAAUCUAAGUAAAGAAAAUAGAAUAAGAAUGUAAUUCAUUCCAGAUCAGAAGUAUCCACAACCUGCAAGAAGAGGCUUAUCAUCUCUAGAACUCACCAUGGCACCACGCAUGCCAAGUAGUUUAUGUCGAGCCGUUUCCAAUAGAGAUCUUCAACCCAAUUCUAUAUGCUGUAGACAUAAAUAGAAGUAAUCGCUUACUGAAAAGCUCAAACAACUUUUCCAAGAACAGAAUUAGUGAAGUAUGUGAUUUCCUCAUGACAAAAUCUAAAAUUACAAGCACAUAACAUCUGUGUCACGAUGGAAAUGAUUCACUGUUUUCCCUUCUUAUGGACAGCAUACCCAUGUAUUUUGUGUACGCAUUCACUGGAGGCUACUCUUCUUAGCUUAAAUUUUCAUGAAAUCCUUCACAUGUCAAAUGUAAGAGGAAUAAUUGCUAAAGUUAACAAGCAUACCUAUGUUCUCGAGUACCUUAGAAAGCUGUAACCGCGGCAUUAGGGUCCUAGGCACCAUAACAUAAGCCUAUAUGUAAUAUAUAUUGAUUAGAAAUAAAGACAAGAAAUUAUAUGAAAUUCAAACAUAGAGGCAUCACAAGCAUCGCAAAUUGGUCGCCACUGCAACAUGAAUUAAGCACUUGUAAGCAGUGCUGGACGUCAACUAUCAGUUCAAUAACUUCGAACCCCUAAUUUCAUAUACAAAGGCAUUAAUAACCAGUCAGAAGCUAAUAAGAGAAGGCAACAUAUGCCCACAAAAUCUCAUCUCAAGAAAUGGCCAUUUAGUACAGAGGACCCAUUCUUUACGCAACCUUAGCAACCAUGUCAUAUUAAAACGUAGUCAAAUUACCUUUUCUUUCCAUCACAACUAGGACAAAUCCAACUAAAAAGUUAUGUCAAAUCUGACAUGUAAACUUGCCAAAUAUAAAGCUCUGCAUCUAAUUACAAUGUUAUUGUAUUGAAAUGGUGAAACCUGAAGGGUAAUAACAACAAGCUCUAGGUAAAUGUGAAAAUCUUUAUAAUGAACACUUACAGCAGAUGCAUACUCCACCACCAUCGUUGCAAGAGUGUGAUUGUAAAUAGCUGUAUGAGCCUUGGACCUCACUCUAAGUUCUGCAUUUACCAAUUGAGAAAAAUUCAGAUUGAAAAUGCAAUCACAAGCUCAUUCAAUUACAAGCAAAGAAGCAAGGCUAUUAUGUAUCUAGCAAACUAUUUCGACAAUCAAGUGGGAGGAACACUUCAAGGAAACAUCAACUCAAAACAACAUUUCAGUAAAUUUCUACCCUUCCUCCUUCUUGAACUUAAAUAACUAUAUAUCAAUGUGAUGAAAGGUGAAUAAGUGAACAACAUAAGGCUCCUCUUUCCCAUAAAGCUACUCUGUUGUAAGCUACAAGCUACAGUCCAUUACUCGACAGGAGAAAAGCUGAAUAGCCAAUAGUCGAUCAUUGUGCGAUACUCAACAAAUUUUAUCCCCAAAGUAGAAACAACAAGAUGAAAUCUAUAUCGAACAAAUAUAAGGAAAUUCUUGAUCCAGACUUGGUAAUCUGAGAGCUUUACAAAUCCAACCAAAUACAACACGAUGCUCAGUCAGUCACAUGCUUUGAAAACAUCCAAACCUACACCAGAGGGAUCAUUCGACUAUAGUUUGACCCAUUCAAUCAGGCACUACAGCUCCACAACACAGUCAACGAUUGGCCCCAACCCUGAAAUGCCUAAUCAGCCAAAUCCACUACACAAAUCUCACUUCCCCAGGCUCAAAACUGACGUACUCGAUACUAGAGCCUGUCUAUAUGAACCUUAUCGCAAUCUAGACUCCCAAUCCGAAUCAAGUCAGAGGAUCACAACCAUAACUGAUUACAUGAACAUGAGUUGCAAUGAAGCAUUAUUAGAACCACCAUCACCCUUAGCUCAACCAUGAUCAGUUCCGCUCCACAUUAUUCUGCAAGAGGGACGGAUCGAACAACGUCGUCAAAGGAAGGAUAAAAAAAAAAAAAAAAACGAUUUCGCGCAACAAAAGAAAUUCCAAUCUCCGCAACCUUUCCAUAUACGCAAAACGAUCACGCGCGAUCAGAUGGCGCGAUCACCUGGCGAGAUGGAGAGGUCGAUUGCGGUCUCUGUCCAUGUUGCUCGAAUUCAAACCUCGAAUCCUGGUCUUCGCAGCGUUCGUGGACUCUGUAGCGAUUUUCGCAACAAAUGGCGAUCGAAAGCUGCGGCAACUUGGGGGGAAAGGAGGGCGGGGAUGAGGAGUUUACCGAUUUUCCUGAUUUGCUCUCGGGCGCUUGUUCUGUUGGUGGGUAUAUUCGGUGUCAUGUCUGGUGAUUUUGACAUUUCUGUGAGGGCAAUGAAGGAAGUUUCGCUAAAAUGAGACGUGCUCCUGGACAAACUUGCGUUCUCUCUGUCUCUUGUUUUGGCGCUUCCUUUGGACCUUUGAUGUCUUUCAAAUGCGCACUUUGACUCAGCUUGGUUCAAUUAGUGGGUUCGAACUAAAAUUAUGAAAAAUGCACCAAAAUUGGAGUCAAUAUUACUUAUUUUUUGUUGAUAUUCAUGGAGGUAUAUAAAGAUGCGGAGUACUCUAAUAUGAUCAUAAACUUAUUGAGAUAAAUUUUUGCAAUUCCAAGGUCAAAUCUGUCUCCUAACUCGAAUUAUUCGAGAGUUUUUUUUUUGUCAAUACUAUUCAUACUUGGAAAGAAUGCGAUUUGACAUGUGUGAAUCAAGUGGAGAUUAAUUAUGGAUUGUGGAACCACAAUUCGAGAACGUGGCUUAUUAUGACAUAUCGAUUCUUAAAUAUUUUUUGAAACUUUAUAGAAGUGGAUUCAAUAGUUUUUUUUUUUUUUUAGAUAAAUGUACAUACAAUAGUUUUAGCUGAGUCGUUUUAUCUAAAAUUUACAAAAUAUUUAUAGCGUGAAUACGAUUGGACUAAUCACCAUAUUAUAAAAUGAUGCCAUCACCAUCUCAUAAUUGCUUGAUUAAUAAAUGAGUCAUACAAUUAUAGGGAUUGGAAAAUUUACUUUAUGAGUAAAAGAUUAUUAAAUAAAAGAAAAAGGUCCCUAAUCUUUGAGAACAAAAGUCAUUGGACUUUUUUCACGGGCUAUAUUCAAAGUAAAAAGAGUUGUGACCUCGCGCAACAAAAGUCACGUAACGUCAUUUUAAAAAUAUCAAAGAGUGUGAAUGAUUUUUAUUUUUAAAUCACAUUUAGCUCACUCAAACAAAAUAAUAUAAGAACCCCACCCCAAUGCAUGGGAAGUUAAAGAAUAAGUUUGGUGGCUCUCACGGAUUUAUAUUCAUAGUCAAAUGUUUAUAAAAUCACAAAAAAAAUCAGUACACCAAAAAAAGAAGAAGUGGAAGUUAAAGAAUAAGUGAAAUCCAAGAGAAAUUACUAGGAAGAGUAAAUUAAUCAAUUUUAUAGAAACCAAUCUUCAAAUCUCUUCCUUUAUUGGUAACAUGUACGCAUCAAUCCCUCAUUCUCCUUAAGUCAAAUUUUAUAAGCACAAAACAAAAUUAUAGAUCACUCCUUUUUUUAUUAGGCUCAUAUGCCGCUCAUUCACUUUGAAAGUAUAAAAAAACCCAAAUUGAACGUGAAAAAGCCGUAAUCGCAAUCCAACCCCAAGCAUGGCAACCCAAUGAUGAAGGGAUCAUGCCAUCUUCCAUUAAUUCACGAGUUCAAAUCAUGUCGCAAAUGAACUUUUAAAGGCAUUCACAACAUUCUAUGGAAAGAUUUUUAAGCUUUUGGCAUAUUAGUUAUGAUGAUAGACUCGCACACCUGACGAUGGGCCGAGUGAUUAUGGCUAAAAUGAGAUAUUCUAUGAUGCACAUAACACUUUAUGUGAUGAUGAGAAUGGAUAAUCGUAUUGAUCAUCUCUUCCCACAUUUUUUAACUUAUCAAGAAAAAAACAAUUGCAAUCCAUCGAGACUCGGGCAGGGAGGCCAAGUCGGACCUCCCCCAAUCCUUGGGCCGGUGGGUCCAUCCUACUUGUAAGCCCACAUUAGCUUCAAUUUCCACGGCGGGAAACGAAAAUACAUUUCCCUCCACCGGCUGGCGGGAAGUUUUCACAUCACCCGCAUAAAAUGAAAAUGGAAAAAAAAAAAACCGCAAUAAAAAAACUACUACAAAAUUAAUAAUAAUAAAAGUGAAAAACUAUUUAAAACAAAAUUAUGAAAAAACGACUCUGAUCGAACGACCCACUCCUCUCUCCUCAUCCUCCUCCACUUGCUCAAAUCUUCUUUGUUUAAUUUUUGUCUGUUUAGAUGUUACAGUGGCUUUGAAUUGCUAAUUAACUUACCAAGUGAGGUCAAGUCAAGUUAUGUAAAUUCCAAGUCCAUUAUCUUGUCAAUUUACAAUGCGGUGAUUUAUUUGAAAUACCUUAUAAAUUAUUGUUCCAUCUUACUGAAUUUGAAAUCGGUCAAUGCCCAUGCUUUCUAUAGGAGGACGUUAACUUCAUCAUACUGUAUACAUUAAAGUAGCCGUUACAAUGUGUACGAAAGUAUCACACUAACAGCAAUGUGAAGAAGACAAAUAAUCUACAUUGGUAAAUGCAUGUCCAAUUUCUUCUUUUUUUUUUUUGUUUUUUGUUUUUUGUUUUUUUUGUUUUUUUUUUUCAGGUAAAGCACGGCUCUUUAUUGGAUUCACAAGAGUUGAAGAGAAGGCGUAGCGAUUCUUAAUUAAAUUUUUUAAAAAAAUUAUAGUUGCAAAUGGACUUGAUUUGACAUUAUCUAAUGCUGAGGUAAAUAUGAUAUAAUGAUCCAAACCGUUUAGUUUCAAAUGAAUAGAAGUGUGGCAAAAAAAAUUCCAAUUCUAAAAGUAUAACAUGGAAUAGUCUCGCAUUGUUUGCAAGUUCUUAUAUCUUUCGCCUCUUUCUUUUCUUUUGUAGUAGAUAAUCCAUAAGCAUUAAUUGAGAGACUAAGGAGCCACUCCUUCAAAAACAUUAUCUAAAAUAAAGAACUUUCAUACUUAAUAUUGGGAGGAGUCAAUAUCUUGUCCCAUCUACGUUGACAUAAUAUUGUACCCACACAUUGAUUUUGUGUACUUUAUCUUAAUAGUAUUCUGUAUAAUAAUUAGCAAAGAGCAUGGAUUUUGUCUAACUAUAUCACUUUGUGACAAGCAAUUUGUUGACACUAACAAGGGAUUAAAUGCGAAGGAUGGCUUAUCAUGAAAUAAACAUGAUCUUUUCUUUAUUUGAUUGAUCGCUAGGGGGAGAGCUUUGACAUAGAUCAAGCAACAUAAUUUUACUAGGCUUGAUGUUUUGAAGUCAAUUCGGGCCUUGGCCCAAUCAACUCUUUAAACUGGAUAGACCGAAGUUCACCUUAAUUAGGAUGGGGGCAACGAACUUGGUUGGAAGUUCCAUGUCUGCUUUUGUUGACUUUGACUUUGAAUGAAUCCGCCCAUUUUUCUAGGGGCAAAAGUCGAUUCUCAUCCACACAAUUUUUGCACCACGCCAACCCGCGUCAAGAAAUGUAAAUAAUUAUCGACUUUGAUGGCCUGGAGUGAUGCUUCGAGGAAGCAUCCUUACCGACUGAUUUUGCAGCAAAACUGGCCCACGACUCUUUGCAUGUUCAAUCGAUCGUUUGGCUUCUAAGUUCAAAUUCAUUUUUAGUACCUCAAGAUUCUGCGAGAAAGGAACAGAGGUCUUGAUAGUUAGGCCCACAUAUGCACAAAAAGUCUCUUUCUUUUCCUUCCAAUAGAGUAUGCCUUAUGGUAGUGGUACCCACCUGUUUUCUCUUCUUUUUGGAGCUUUUGAGCUAUAAUCGAGGAAACUCAAUUUAAAUUCGAAUGGAAGGAGUAUGAUUUUUAAAAAAUCCACAAUGAGACUUUUGGACUUUCAUUUUACUAAAAUAAAAGUUUAAUGAAGUGAUAAUCAAAGCUAAAGCUAUCGAACAAAUUUGGUUUUCCUUUGAUUUCAAAUCGAUGAAUUUAAUACUUCUUAAGAGCCUUUUUUUGCCUCAUUGAAUACUAAUAACUUUAAUUUGUCAGAUUCGGAUGUACAUCUAAAAAGACUUAAAGAGCUUGUGAAUUCUGGAACGUAGCAGAUUUAGACCUCCGGAUCUUGAGAGAUUUUACUUUUCCUCCUUGGCUGCCCCACCAUUUCCUCCGUGUUGUCCUCAUCAAAUGACACUAGGUUCGUUUAGUCCACAUCAAUACCCAUCGAAAUCUCAAGGUCCUUCCUCUUAAAAAAUAAAAAAUAAAAUCUGGAGGUCUUGCUGUUGUUGGAGCAUUCACAUCAAUCAUGCACUCCCCGGCAACUUCGAGGAGGUCAGCUCGUCAAUCACCGGGAAUGACCAUGGCCAUGGGCAUGGGGUUAGGGUUUUGGAGGCGUGCGAGCAGAGAGCAAUGAUGACGAGGGGAAGAUCAAGGAUUUGGAGCAAAGGAAGAAACGUGCGAAAGGUCGAGUAAGGAUGUGGAAGGAGUUUGUCGUGGAGUUUACAUGAAAUAUACCUAGAAAAGAAACUAAAUAAAAGGAAAAGAUAAAAAAAUUCUAACCCUGGGCAUGUUGAAUAUUUUGGCCUCUUCAUCCACAUAAAGAGAAAUCCAUCAUAUGCUUUGUUCUCCCAAAAAGAAGUACGACCAAAAGUGAAAUGCUAAGGAGAAGGUGGACGAAUGGUGAAGUCUCAAGUGCUUAACUGAAAAGGCUAGAGGCAAAGCAAGAAUUUAUAUUUCCAUUCCACCUUUUUUUUUCUUAAGUUAAAAUUAUAGCUCGUUUCUUUUGCAAGAAAGACCGCGUAAGUGGAUCAUCUCUUUUCUUGAAUCCUAAAAGUUGCUAAGUCCAGUUUUUUGAUCAAAAGCUUAAACUUGUGACUCUAAAAAUUGCAGAGUUCAUAUUUUUAAUUUCGUCGCUGUCCAAGCAAAAUGCCACAACAUCUGUCGUGGACCAAACUUGAUGAAACGUAUUUUUUGGUUACCACACAAGUUUCGGAUUUUGAUGAUAUCAAAACAAUUUGGAUAAUCCUUAUCCAAAAAAAAAUAAAUAAUUUGGAUAAUUGGUAUUACGGUAUAUAUAAAGGUUAGGAUUUUUUAUGGAACCGCCCACUUGCCAUCAUCAACUUUGCUGCCCACCCAUUGCCAUCACAAGCCCUCAACUUCGUGCACCGGGGAGUUAACGCCUCACUCACUCGAAUCUUUUUUCUACGCCUUCGUGUCUUUUUCUUUCCGCGUAAAGUUCAUAACCUAUGUCCAUGGAAUUCGCGACCGGCAGAGGUCGCUAGCCUCGCACGGCCAAAUCUAAGGUUGCAUGGGCGCGGUGUCGGGACUCCACUUAGUUAAUUCACUUGAUUUUUUUAGUAACGGAGAGAGGCCCUCAGCCCUGUUUAUCAUUAAAAUCAACACCUAAAAAGAAAAAGGAUAAAAAAACUCCUCGACAUGGGGGGCAUUUGGGUAUUCUUGCAGUAGCAAAAAGACAGAAUGAGAUUGAUAGGGGAGAGAGAGAGGAGCCGAGGGAAAAGGACAAGGGAUUGUGAUUAUGGUGGACGGAACGCAGAAAUGUCGGUGGUCACAUGACUCACAUGGGGUGACUGAUGAUAUCGUGGGUAGUGGAGCAGAAGUCAGUUAAUAAUAAAAAGAUGUUAAAUCAAUCAGGGCUCACGCGUACCAUUGGAUGAGAUGGACCCAUUACGGAAAAUUCACAUGAGCCAUCUGUGCAUGAGCUGCGUAAGCACGCGCUGCUGCGCGGGCGGACAAGACCCGCUCCAAUAAUAGGGAGGAAGUGAAGAUUGAAGAGAGCUGUAAAUCCAGUCCAUAUGCCGCGUUUGGCAAGGGCAAACUCCGAAAUGAUGGAAUUCCAGCCCACGCGUCCUGAUUGAAAUUGCCAUAUUUUCCCAAACUUCUGUCGUAUUUUUCAGGUUCGGAGAGCACGAAAAAAGGAAGAGGCGUUUUCCCCAAAAUAGCCCCGAUUCUUUUUCCCUUUUCUCCUGACUGAGACACACCCCUAUCCCGAAAAUGACCCCACAAUUAUGUAAAAGCAAAGCCAAGAGUGGGUCCCGUACCCCAUCCCUCGUGUAAAUUUGUUGGCAAGUGCCUGGGCAUUUAUCGCCAUACAGUGUUCUCGGAUAAUUUAAUGGAAGAAGGAAGACGCGUUGGACACCGUGCGGUCCCGUUUCAGGGUGAAAGCAAACUCUACAAAGACAGCAUCAUUAGAAUACAAUUUGGCCCGGAACUCUCUACAGAGUUAGCCAAUCCGUCCUCUAUGUUUAAUGACCUGCGGUGAUCACCAUUUAUAAUUCUGGCUUCUUAAAGUGAUUUAGAUUUCGUCAGGUGUUGUGAUUUUGCUGCUAUACAGUUCAAAUUUUUUUCUCCAAGAAAGGAUUAAGAGAGAUCAAUGGAGGAGAGGCAAUGCUUGGUUUAUUCAUCAUUGGAUUGAUCAUUAUCCUAACUGUAAAAAUCUUAUGAUAUUAUACGUGCUAACUCUUUACAAGUGACUUUGGUUGGCUAAAGAAUGGUGGAUAGAAAUUGAUUCUGGCAAAUGCAACUAAUUUUAGUUUCUGUCAAGUCAAUAUCGUGAAACUUCAGUUGCAAAGCGGCUAUUUUUCUAUUGUGAAAUAUAGAAUUUUCAGUUACCACGACAUUUAUCUAUAAACUUAAAAAUACUUCCAAACAGACAUUAUUUGUUCAUAAACAUUUCAAUUUUUAAAUAAUCUAAUCAAUCGUGUCAUCGAUCAAUAAAAAAAGUUUUUACUGUCUUAAUUUAACUAAACUGAAAGUACAAAAGUGUGGUGUGUGUGUGUAUAUAGUUCGGCCUUGCAUUGAAAUACAAUCGUUAGAUUAAAAAUUGCAUGAGAUUGGCCAAUGUGAUGUUGAUACGGACGCCGAUGAUCCAAGCCUAAGCCUCACUAUGCUUCGUUUUAACGUGGCAUUAACGUUCGCUGCUACUCUUAGAAAGAGAGGGAAAAAUAAGAAGACUGAAACAUCACGGGAUUAGAAGGGCAAAGUCAAAGUCUACGAAGACUUGGAAUACCAAUGGUCCAUGAUAAACCAGCAAUGCUCCAAGAAGGAAUCACACCGAAUGAUUCAUUUAUCUCAUACUUUGUGCCUCACAGCAAACUUCCAUGAACGUCGAGAUUUAAUCAAAAAGUAAAAAAAAAAGUCUUUAGAUCACUCUAUUAUAUCCAACAUUGAUUUAUUGUUCUCUCAUUCACCGGCAAAAAAAGGGGAAAUUGAUCUCCAAUUCUCAUAUUCACCAAUAAUUUAAUCUUGCAAUUUCCUCUGGUCAAAUACCAUCAUUUGAAAAUUGAAAAUUAUAUAAAAACAAACUCUUAGGGCAUGUUUAUUUCAAUGAUGAUUUUUUUGUCACGGGAAAAUGUUUUUAGGAAAUUCAAUUUUAGAGAAGGUAAAUCAGAAAAAAAAAUCGUUUAUGUUGAAAACUAGUUGAAAAAAUUAAUUUUAUCGUAAUAGGUAAUAAGUGAAUCCACUAAAUGUGACUUGUAUUGUUAAGAGUAAUAUGUAAUGACUAAUAAACCGGAAUCGAUAUUGUCUUCAUUUAUUCUGCAAUCCAUCAGCAUAACAAUGAUUGCAAAGAAAUUAGGAUAGAAAUAAAGAAAAACGAUUCCUUUUUAUCAAGUCAUUUUCUCUAAGCUUUUUAUUUUUAGCUAGAUCGAAUAGUUUUACAUAAUUCAAACAUUGAAAGUAUGGAAAAAAAUUUCAAAAAUGAUUUUUCAUCAAACAAGCUGACCUUGACUUAAAUAAUGAAGGAAGAACGUGAGAGAGAACUCCAUCUUUUGUUUUCUUUUUUUGGGAAAGUAUUGCCCUUCGGAAAAAAUUGUACAAAUGUUUGCAAGCUAACGUUGUUGAUGAAUCCAGACAUAAAAGAAAAAUAUGUUGAUAUAUGUCAAAAUUGAAUGAGGUGGACCAUAUAAUUGAUGCCAAUAAAGAGAUCCAAAGUGAACAAUGAUAUUAUUUCGUAUCCUUUCCUGUCCCGAAAAGGAGAAGAACACAGGUGAAAUGCUAAAAAGAAGGUGGACGAAUGUAAGGUCUCAAGCGCGUAGUGGAAAAGGACAAAAGAAAAGCAAGACUAUAAUCCAAUCCAUUCCACUUCUCUUAAAAUGAGUUGAAAAUCACUUAUCUAAAAGUAUCGAAGUGUUUGGUCAAUAUCGACCACCAAGUAGAUAAAAUCAUGAAAAUGAGGAGCACGCAAAUAAGUAAAAUACUGAUUAUUUGAAUUUAUGAGAUGGCUGGCAUCGAAAAGAUGAUUAUUGUCAAAAUCAUAUGCAAUUAACUUUCACACUAUAUUGGAAAUUGUUGCUUUCAUCCAGAUAUCCAAGACUUGAGACUGCAGUCAGAACAAAAGGAAAAAUGGGAAAACAAUAUCUCAAUGACGAUGUUUCACGAACAUAACUAGGAAAAGAAAUUCCUCGUGGCCGGAAAAGAAGAGGGCAAAAUAGGAAGAAGCAAAAAUUAAUAAUUUCUUGCCACCGAAAUGCAUCCCAUGUUUCUGUUUUUUUCCCGCACGGGCUCUUUCAACUAAAAUCUUGCCGACAAAACAAAGGCUGGCUAAUUUCAAAGCAUGGGCUGGUUAACUUUCCCAUGUUAGCGGGACCCACAUUUUCUUUUUUCCUUUGCUUUGGUUCUUUAUUUCUUUUCAUCAUCACUUUGCUUUUUUGACAAGAUUUUCGUUGGAUUCUUGCGGGCCGGUUUCAUCGUGAACGACGAUUGAGGUCCCCGUGAGUUAAUUACUUUGAUCGUGAAUGACGAUUUGGCGCAAGGAAGAAAUGUGCAGUCUUAAGCUCAUCAUUGAUCAAGGAAACCGCCACGUUGGAUCUUCAACAUCCGUCAUGGACCAAAUUUUGACGGAACGUAUUUUUUUCAUUAUCAUACAAGUUUUGAAUUUUGAUGAUAUAAAAAAAAAUUUGGAUAAUUGGCAUUGCGAUGAAUAUAAAGGUUAGGAAUUUUUAGGGAACCGCCGCUUACUGUCGUCAAAUUUGCUGCUGACCCAUGGCCAUCACAAGCUCUCAACUUCGCAUGUCAAUUUAUGAUGGAUGAACGGGUGCUGUCAGCACUCGGUGAUCACAUCGGGUGCUGUCAACUUUUGUUGACUUGACUUUGAAUUAAUUAUUUGGGGGCAAAAAUCGAUUCUCAAUCCGAAAUAUCUACACCACAUGACCCAGUGAUUUUCCGCGUUAAGAAACUUAAAUAAUUUGUCAACUUUCGCCGGCUGCAGUGAUUCUUACAGAAAGUAUCCUUACUGUCCAAUUUUGCAGCAAAACUGGCCCAGAACUCCCUGCAUAUUCAGCCAAACCUUUGACUUCCGAGUUCAGCGACCUCCCAGAAAGUAAUUAAAAAAAAUCUUCCCUUCUAAUAUUUUUGUGGUAAAGGAACAAAGAUCUCGAUGAUUAAGGCCCGUCUCUGUACGAAAAGUCUUUCUUUUCCUUUGAAAAAAAAAAGGAGUUUAGGCAAUGGAUCCCACCUAUAUUCUCUUCUUCCCUGAGCUUUUGAGCUAACGGAGGAAACUUAAUUUUGAUUUGGAUGAAAGGAGUCUGAUUUUAAAAGAAUUUGCAACAAGACUUUUAGAGUUUCAUUUUUACUAAAACAAAAUUUUAGUAGAAUAUAAUCAAAGCUAAAGUUAUGGGAAAACAAAUUGGAUACUUCCGAGAGUCCUUUUAACUCAUUGAGUUAUUGUGAUUAAUGACUUUAAUCUUAAUUUUUUUGUCACACUCAGAUUUAUGCCUAAAAAGAUUUAAGAACUUAUGAAUUCCACCCCUCCAAAUCUAGCAAGAUUUUGUUUUCUAUCCUAACACGUGAAAUGUUUAGUUAUCACAAAAUUGAUUUAGAAAAUAAGAAAAUACUUGCAAACAAACACAAUAAAUACUAUGGCCAAUCAUGUCACCAAUCAACAAAAAAGUUGAUAUUGUAUGAUUUAACUAAAUGGAAAUGGAAUGUGCUGCAUAUAUAUAGUCUUGUGUUGCAUCGAAAUACAAUUACUAUAUUAAUUGCCUGAAAUUGGUCGAUGUGAUCUUGAGAGAAAAGAAUCAGAACAGCGUGCGAGGCGAUGCAAGAAGACUGAAACCAAUGAUCGACCCAAGUCAAAGUCUACAAAGACUUGGACUACCGACAAUCCAUGAUGGACUAGCUUGCUCAAGAAGGAAUCACACCAAUGGUUGACCCAAGUCUACGAAGACUUGGACUACCAAAGGCACACGCUAAAGCAUUGGCGGGACUUCCUUUCCACAUUAGGAUGUCCCCAUCUUCUUUUUCCUUUGCUUUUUUUGCUUUAUUUAUUUUCAUUACCACUUUGCUUUUUAACAAAAAUUUCCCCGAGAUUCUUUGAGGUGGUUUCGCCAUGAAUGACUACUGAGGUUCCCGGUGGGUUACUUACUAUGAGAAUUUUGUGAAAUAAUAUCCAUUCGACGUUUCACAUAAUAAAUGGCAUUUUAAUUACAACUGCUAUCAAUAUGUGGAUUUUUUUUUAAUAUUGUUAUUAAUAUGUGCACUUUUACUCAAUAAGCACGAGUUCUUUAUCGUUUGAAGUUUAACCAAUAAAUCUAGAUUAUCUAUGAGUAAUUUAAAUAAGUAUACUAGAAUCGAUACAUUAAGUGACAUGAUCAAAUCAUGAUUUACCAAGAGUGUUUUUGGACUCAUCAAGUCAUCAUGAGUAAUAACUUUAAUCUUAAAUGUUGUUUUUGGUCACCCUCGGAUUUAUGCCUGAAAAGAUUUAAGAACUUAUGAAUUUCGGAAUGGAACAUCUUUACACCUCCAGAUCUAGUGAGAUUUUGUUUUCUAUUGUGAAACACGGAAUGUUUAAUUACCACAAAUUUGAUUUAGAAAAUAAAAAAAAUACUUGCAAACAAACACCAUUUGCUGAAAAAUACUUUGAUUUUUAAAUAGUCUAGCCAACUAUAUCAUCAAUCAAUAGAAAAAUUGAUACCAUCUAAUUUAAUUAAAUGAAAAGUACGAAAGUGCCGUAUACAUGUGGUUUUUGUUGCAUCGAAAUAUAAUCAUUAGAUUAUGAAUUGCAUGAGAUUGGUCGAUGUGAUUUUGAUACGGACGCCAACAAUCUAAAACCUAAGCUCCCUAUGCCUCGUUUUAAGGCGGCACUAACAUUAGCUACCUUUCUCAAAAAGAGAGAAAAACAUAAGACAGAACAGCAUACGGUUGAUGCAAGAAGACUGGAACAUCACGGGAUUAGAGGGGCAUCAAAAGUCUAUGAAGACUUGGACUACCAACAGUCCAUGAUGAACCGGCUUUGCUCCAAGAAGGAAUCACACCCAUGAUUCAUUCACUUGGUAACUUUGUCCCUCAAAGUCAUACUUCCAUAAACAUAGGGAUUUGAUCAAAAAGAAGGAAAAAAAAAAUGUCAUCGGAUCACUCCGUAAAAUCCAACAAUGACUCAUCGUUCUCCCAUUCACCCGCAAAAUUUACAUGGCAACAAAUUGAUCUCCAAUUCUCAUAUUCAUCGAUAAUUUCAAUAAUGACUCUUACGAUAUCUUUAUCUCGCGUAUAAUUUUUUCGUCUUGGGAAAAUGCCUUUAGGAAAUUAAAUUUCAGAUAAAGGGAAUCAAAAGAAUUUGAUUGCUUUGAAAACAAGUUUUUUUUUAAAAAAAAAAAAAAACUGAUUUUAUCAUAAUUGGUAAUAAGUGAAUCCACUAAAUGCGGCUUGUAUCGUUAAAAGUAACACAGAAUGACUAAUAAAUUGGAAUUGAUUUCGUCUUUGUUUAUUCUAUAAUCCAUCAAAAUAACAACGAUUACAAAGAAAUUAGGAUAGAAAUUAUGAAAACAUACUUGUAAAAUAUAGAUAUGAUCGUGCUUUGGGAAUGCAGAGAAUUUGAGAAUUAAUAAAGUAUAUUCAUCUCAGUUCGAAGGGUAGCAAGAAAAUAAGGGUAACGAUUCCUUCUUGCCAAGUCGCUUUUCUAUAAGCUUAUUGUUUUUAGGAUUAAUACCACGAAAAAUCUCAAAUUAGUACACCCUUAAUAACACAAAAAAUCCAAAACUGACAUGUUUGUGACAAACUUAAUCUCUUUUAGUUUUUGUUAUAUUGAGUUAAUACUAUGAAAAAAUACAAACUAGUGCACAUGUAACAAAUAGAGAGUAAAACCCUAAAUUAAUAUAUCCAUCAAUUGCCAAAAUUUGAUGUAUGCUUUUGUUGACUUGACUUUGAAUGAAUUCUCCUUUAUCAACUUUGGCAGGCUAGAGCGAUGCUUUGUGGAGUCAUCCUUAUCAACCAAAUUUUGCAGCAAAACUAGCCCAUGACUCUCUCUACAUAUUUCACCCAGUCCUAUGGCUUCCAAGUUCAAUGACCUACCCAAAAGUCAUUCAAAAAGAUCUUUCCUUUUCAUUACCUUGAUAUUUCUAUGGUGAAGGAACAAAGGUCUUUGAUAGUUAAGACUCGCAUCUAACACGAAAAGUCUCUAUUUUCUUUAAAAAGAGUAGGAGUUAGGCAAUGGAAUCCCACCUGUUUUCUCUUCUUCUUGAAGCUUUUGAGCUAUAAUGGAGAAAGCUCAAUUUCAAUUCGAAUGGAAGGAGUAUGAUUAUAAAAAUACCCACAACAAAACUUUUGAACUUUCAUUUUACUAAAACAAAAGUUUAGUGGAGUAAUAAUCAAAGCUAAAGCUAUCGGAGAACAAAUUUGAUAUUCUGUUAGUCUUGAAUCAAUGAAUUUGAUAUUUCUCAAGAGUAUUUUUUGACUCAUCGAGUCAAUUGAUUAAUAACUUCAAUAAUAAAAUUUCUAUUUGUCAAAUUCGGAUGUGCAACUGAAAAGACUUUAGAGCUUAUGAAUUCCGGAACAAAACAGCUUCACAUCUAGCGUGAUUUCAUUUUUCCUCCUUGGCUGCCCCACCAUGUUCUUCCUUCAUGUCGUCCUUGUCAAAUACCAAUCGUUUAAUCGACGUCAGUACCCAUCGAAAAUUGAAGGUCUUGCUGGUGUUGGAGCAUUCACAUCAAUCAUGCACUCCCCGCCAACUUUUAGGGCGUCAAUUGGUCAAUCACGGGGAAUGACCAUGGCCAUGGGUUAGGGUUUUGGAGGCGUGAACAGAGAGCAAUGACAACGAGGGAAGAUUGAGGAUUUGGAGUAAAGGAAGAGACGUGCAAAGGUCAAGGAAGGAUGUGGAAGGAGUUGCCAUGGAGUUUAAACGAAGUUUACCUAGAAAAGAAACUAUAUAAAAAGAAAAGAUUAAAAAAAUUCUAAACCUGAGCAUGUUGAAUAUUUUGGUCUCUUCAUCCAAAUAAAGAGAGAUCCAUCAUGGGCUUUCUUCUCUCGAAAAGGAGUGAGACCAAAAGUGAAAUGCUAAAAUCAAGGGGGAAGAAUGGUAAAGUCUCAAGCGCGAAGCGAAAAGGAUAAAAGCAAAGCAAGAAUUUAUAUAUUCCCAUUCCACUUUUCUUUUGAAGUUAAAAUUGUAGCUCGUUUCUUUUGGAAGAAAGACCGCGUAAGUGGAUUAUCUCACUUCUUGGACCCUAAAAGUUGUUAAGUCCAGUUUUUUUUUCCAAAAGCUUAAACUUUGACUCUAAAAAUUGCAGAGUUCAGACUUUUAAGUUCGUCCUGUCACAACAAAACGCCACAGCAUCCGUUUUGGACCAAAUUUGAUGGAACAUAUUUGCGAUUACCACACAAUUUUUAGAUUUUGAUGGUAUAAAAAUAAUUUGGAUAAUUGGUAUUACAGUAAAUAUAAAGGUGAGGAUUUUUUAUGGAACCGCUCACUCGCCAUUGUCGACUUUGCUGCCCACCCAUUGCCGUCACAAGCCCUCAACUUCAUGCAUCAGUCUAUCGGCGAGUUAACGCCUCGCUCAGUCGAGUCUGUCUUCUAUGCCUUUGUCUUUUUUCUUUCCGUGUAGAGUUCAUAACCUAUGCCUAUGGAAUUCGCGAUCAGCAGAGGUCGCUAGCCUCGCAUGGCCGCAAAUCUGCGGUUGCAUGGGCCCGACCACCUAGUUAAUUCGCUCGAGUUUUUUAGUAACAGAGAGAGGCCCUCAGCCUUGUUUAUCAUUAAAAUCAACACCCGAAAAAAAAAAGGGGGGGAUGAGAAGUUCCUCGACAUGAGGGGCAUUUGGGUAUUUUUUGCAGUAGCAAAAAGACAAAGUGUGAUUGACAGGGGAGAGUGAGAGGAGCAAAGGGAAAAGGACAAGGGGUCGUGAUUAUGGUGCACGGAGCGCAGAAAUGUCAGUAGUCACAUGACUCACAUGGGGCGACUGAUGACAUCGUGGGUAGUGGAGCAGGAGUCAAUUAAUAAGAAAAAGAUGUUAAAUCAAUCAGGGCUCCCGCGUAUCAUGAAUGAGAUGGACCCAUACGGAAAAUUCACAUGAGCCAUCUGUGCAUGAGCUGCGCUCGCACGCGCCGGUGCGCGGGUGGAGAAGACCUGCUCGAAUAAUAGGAAGUGAAGACUGAAGAGAGCUGUAAAUCCAGUCCAUAUGCCGUGUUUGGCAGGGGCAAACCCCGAAAUGAUGGAUUUUAAGCCCACGCGUCCCGAUUGAAAUUGCCAUAUUUUCCCAAACUCUUGUUGUAUUUUUCUGGUUUGGAGAGCACGAAAAACGGACAGGGCAUUUUCCCCAAAAUAGCCCCGAUUCUUUUCCCUGACUAGGACAUACCCCUAUCCCGAAAGUGACGCCACAGUUACGUACAAGCAAAGCCAAGAGUGGGUCCCAUACCUCGUCAAUCCUGUAAAUUUGUGGGCAAGUGCCUAGGCGUUAUCGCCUUACAUUGUUGUCAGAUAAUUUAAUGGAAGAAGGAAGACGCGUUAGACACCUUGCGGUCCCAUUUCAGGAUCAAAGCAAACUCUACAAAGGCAACAUCAUGAGAAUACAAACUGCUCCGGAACCUCUGCAUAGUUAGCCAAUCCCGUCUUUUACGUUUAAUGACCUGCAGUGAUCUCCAUUUAUAAUUCUAGUCCCUUAAAGUGAUUUAGAUUUCAUCACGUACUGUGCUGAUUUUGCUGCUAUAUAGUUCAAAUUUUUUUCUCUGAGCGAGGAUCAAGAGAGAUUAAUGGAGGAGAGGUAAUGCUUGGUUUAUUCACCAUUGGAUUGAUCGUUAUCCAUACCAUAAAAAGCUUAUGAUAUAGUAUCAACUCCACUAAACUUUGCGCGUCAAUCCAUUGGCGUGUUAACACCUUGCCCGCUCAAGUUUGUCUUCUACGCCUUCGUCGCCUUUUCUUUUUGCAUAGAGCUCAUAAUCUAUGUCCAUGGGAUUUGCAACCGACAGAAGUCGCAAGACUCGCACAGCCACAGAUCUGAGGUUGCUUGGCCGCCGAUGUGGGCCUUGACUUAGUGAGUUUGCUCAAUUUUCUAAACAACGGAGAGAGGCCCUUGGCUCUAUUUAUCAUUAAUAUUAAUACCCAAAAAGGAAAAUAGAUAAAUAAAUUCCUCGCCAUGAGGGCAUUUGGAUAUUUUGGCAGAAGCAAAAAGACAAAUGCAAUUGAUAUCGAGUGUAGUGAAACAAAGAAAAAGGGGUAGUGAUUAUGUAUGGAUGGAGUGGGUGCUGUCAAUUGUCGGUGGUCACAUGAGGUGCUGCCAGCUUUCGUUAACUUGACUUUGAAUGAAUUAUUUGGGGCGCAAAAGUAGACUCUCAAUCCGAAAUUUCUGCACCAUAUGGUCCAGUGAUUUUCCACGUUAAAAAAAAUAAUUUGUCAACUUUGGCAGGUUGCAAUGAUGCUUCGAGGAAGUAUGCUUACUAACCAAUUUUCGUAGCAAAAUUAGCCCACGACUCUCUGCAUAUUCACCCAAAUCUUCCGAUUUUGAGUUCAGUGACCUCCGGAAAAGUCAUUCAAAAAAUCUUCCCUUUAAAUAUUUCUGUAGUGAAGGAAUAAAGGUUUUGAUAGUUAAAGCUUGUCUAUGUACGAAAAGUCUUUAUUUUCCUUUCAAAAGAAGAGGAGUUUGGGCAAUGGAUCCCACCUAUGUUCUCUUCUUCUAUGAGCUUUUGAGCUAACGGAAGAAACUCAAUUUCGAUUCGGAUGGAAGGAGUCUAAUUUUAAAAGAAUAUGCAACGAGAUUUUUGGAGUUUCAUUUUUACUAAAACAAAAGUUUAGUGGAGUAUAAUCAAAGCUAGAGUUAUUGCAAAACAAAUUUGAUACUUCUCAAGAGUAUUUUUUAACUCAUCAAGUCAUCGUGAUUAAUAACUUCAAUCUUUCUUCUUCUUCUUUUUCUUUUUUUGUCGCACUCGGAUUUAUGCCUAAAAGGACUUAAGAACUUAUGAAUUUUGGAAUGGAACAAUUUUACACCUCUAGAUCUAGGCAGAUUUUGUUUUCUAUUGUGAAACAUGGAAUAUUUAAUUACCACAAAAUCGAUAUAGAAAAUAGAAAAAUAAUUGCAAAUAAACACCAACCAAUCAUGUUACCAAUCGAUAAAAAAGUUGAUACUAUAUAAUUCAACUAAAUGGAAAUAGAAUGCGAUGCAUACAUAUAGUCUUGUGUCGCAUCGAAAUAUGAUCUUGAGAUUGGUCGAUAUGAUCUUGAUACAAACUCUAGCAAUCUAAAACCUAAGCUCUUUGUGCCUUGUCUUAACGCGGUAUAAGCAUUAGUUACCACUCUCGGAAAGAGAGAAAAGAGUAAGACAGAACAGCGUGCGGGGCGGUGCAAGAAGACUGAAACCAAUGAUUGACCCAAGUCAAAGUCUACGAAGACUUGGACUACCGACAGUCCAUGAUGGACCAGCUUGCUCAAGAAGGAAUCACACCAUUGAUUGACCCAAGUCUACAAAGACUUGGACUACCAAGGACACAUGCUAAAGCUAACGCAUUGGCGGGACAACUUCUUUUCCACGUUAGGAUGACCCCAUCUUCUUUUUCUUCUUUGCUGUAUUGCUUUAUUUAUUUUCAUUAUUCAAUUUUCUUCUUAACAAAAAUUUCCCUUGGACUCUUCGAGGCAAUUUCACCAUGAAUGACUAUUGAAUUAAUGUUAUGAAAACGUUCAUCAUGUCGAGGUGAUUUAGAUGAAGAUGUUUGUUUAAGGUAGGAUUAGGAACUGACCAAAAAAGAAAAGGUGGGAUUGGGUCUCGAGCCAUUAAUGGGAAGGUCAAAUUAAGUGAUUUGUUUUUCGCAAUCUAGUCAUAAAUUUUUUACCAAAAAAAAAAAAAGUCAUCAACUUUAUAUCUCAAAGUUAAAUUACCAGGCAUUUUUUUACGGUAUAUCAUAGGAAGAUUGGCCAUUCAUGAGUAUCUCUGAAUAUUUAUGGCAUAUACCUAUACUGUGACAAAUAUUAUUAAAUGGAAUUGAUUUUAUCUUUCAUUACANNNNNNNNNNNNNNNNNNNNNNNNNNNNNNNNNNNNNNNNNNNNNNNNNNNNNNNNNNNNNNNNNNNNNNNNNNNNNNNNNNNNNNNNNNNNNNNNNNNNUCCGCCGCCAACCGUGGAGGGCCGAAGUCCUCAAUCCCUGCCAAAAGUCGAUUCUAAUCCCAAAAUUUAUGCACCACAUUAAGAAUCGACUUUUGGGAUUAGAAUCGACUUUUGCCCCCCAAUAAAUGGCGGAUUCAUUCAAAGUCAAAGUCAAUAAAAGCAUACAUCAAAUUAUGACAAUUGACAGGUGUAUUAAUUUAAAGUUUUAUCCUCCGUUUGUCAUAUAUGUACUAAUUUGUGCUUUUUCAUAACAUUAAUUCAAUAGUCAUUCAUGGCGAAAUUGCCACAUUAAGAAAAGUGGAUAAUUGUUAACUUCGGUCGGAGUGAUACUUUGAGGAAUCAUCCUUAUUGACCAAAUUUUGCAGCAAACUAGCCCACAACUCUCUCUGCAUAUUUAGCCAAUCUUGUGGCCUCUAAGUUCAAUGACCGACCCAAAAGUCAUUUAAAAAAAUAUUUCCUUUUUAUUUCCUUGAUAAGUUUGUGGUGAAAGAACAAAGGUCUUUGAUAGUCAAGACCCGCAUUUUUCUUUUCCUUUAAAAAGAGCAGGAGUUAGGCAAUGGAUCCCACCCAUUUUCCCUUCUUCCCCCGGGCGCAUUGGGAAGGAAGCUCAAUUUCGAUUCAAACGAAAGGAGUCUUAUUUUAAAAAAAAAAAAAUCUACAAUGAGACUUUUUGACUUUUGUGUUACUAAAACAAAAUUUUAGAGGGUCUAACCGAAGGUACAGCUAUCAAAGAACAAAUUUGAUCUUCCACUGGUUUCAAUUCAAGGAAUUUGAUAUUUUUUGAGAGUCUUUUUUUUUUUUUAACUUAUCUAGUCAUCGUGAUUAAUAACUUCAAUCGUGAAAUUUCUUUUUGUCAGGUUUGGAUGUACAUCUAGAAAGACUUAAGAGCUUAUUAAUUUUAGAAUGGAAUCGUUUUAUGCCUCCGGGUUCAUAUGUACAUUUGAAAAGACUUAGGAGCUUAUUAAUUGUUUUGUGCCUUCGGAUCUUGCGAGAUUUUACUUUUCCUCCUUGGCUCCCCCAUGAUGUCCUUGUCAAGUAUCAAUAUGGUCAGACCAAUCAACAUUUAUGCCGAUUGAAAUCUGAAGGUCUUGCUAGUGUUGGUGCGUUCUCAUCACCCAUGCAAUUGCCAAGAACUUUGAGGAGGUCUUUUAGAAUGACCAGGGCAAUGAGGAUUUUAGGAUUUUGGACAGGUGUGAUAGAGCAGUAAUAGACAUGGUCUUUUGGGAAAAGAACGUGCUUACAGCUGCAGUGUAAAUCUUGUGGUAUCUAGGUUUUGUUUUGUUUUGCAGUUCUUUUGAUUUAUUUGCUUGGAAGUUUUCUAUUUUCUUCCCAUAUUCGAAUAUGACAAAUAAAAAAAUUUAUCUUUCAACCAAAAAAAUAAAAUACCGAUGGAUAAGGUGGGCCCUAUGGAGAAUUCACCGAUCUAUCGGUGCACAAGUUGGGUUUACAUGCAUCGGUGCACAGACAAUACCCACUCGAUGAAUAGAUAGGGAGAGAGAGAGAGAGAGAGCGCGCUAUAUAAUAUGUCCAGGCAAAGACGCGAGUGUGAAAAUCACCGGAAGCAACUCAAUUGCACCCCCCCAUCUCUUUAGAAAAUCCAGGGUUUUCUACUAGAGCCUUGGCUUCCGCCGGAGCUGCUGCUGAAGUUGCGCGCGUGGACAUCCCAAACCCGUCCACCGAAACACCACCGCAGUCUCGGCACGCGCGGCGAAUCGCUCCCUCCGUCGAGCCCCUGGCGAAGGACCCGUCGAUAUUUCACCUCGAUAGCUCCUUGCCGCGAUCGGAGCCAGAUCUGAGGUGAGUCUCCAAGGACCCCACUUUUUGGUGUUUAAAAAGAACCCUGGCAUUUUAUCAACUUUGAUUGGCUGCAAUGAAUCAUUCUUAGUACAGCGAUCUCAUGGCUUCGAAGUUUUUACCAUCUUCGGCUGCCGCUGCUUUGGCUGCCGCUGCUUUUGCUGCUAUCCUGUUUCGACUUUUUUCUCGAGGAGGAGAUCAAGCGAGAUCAACGGAGGAGAGUGCAAGUAGAAAUGAUGGAACAGCAGGAGGCGCUUCUUCUACUCACGCGUCAACAGAAGGUCAAGAAGUGGCUACUUCAUCGGGAUAUGAUGGAACAACAGAAGGUCAAGAUCAAGCGAGAUCAACGGAGGAGAGUGCAAGUGGAAAUGAUGGAACAGCAGGAGGCGCUUCUUCUGCUCACACGUCAACAGAAGGUCAAGAAGUGGCUACUUCAUCGGGAUAUGACUAUGAAGUAUUCCUGAGUUUCAGAGGACCAGAUACUCGAGCAGGUUUUACCGAUUUUCUUUACACAAGUCUUAAAGGUGCGGGUAUCCGCACAUUUAAGGACGAUGAAGAUCUUCGCAAAGGUGUAGAAUUUGCCCCAGAACUUCUCCGAGCAAUUAAGCAGUCAAAGAUCUUCAUACCUAUCUUUUCGAUAAAUUAUGCCUCCAGUAUUUGGUGUCUCAAGGAGCUAGUCCAGAUGGUCGAGUGCCAGAAAAAUGGAAGACAAACGAUCAUGCCUAUCUUUUAUGAUGUGGCCCCUUCAGAGGUUCGAUACCAAAUUGAUAAUUAUAAAAAGUCCUUUCUUUUACAUGAAAGAAAGGAGAGGUAUGACCAAAAGACUAUCGGAGAGUGGAAGGAUGCUCUUUGUGCAGUUGGGAAAAUAAACGGAUUGGACCUGCACAGCAAGACCAAUAGGUGACUUCUGUUAGCAUUCCAUCUCAAGUGCCUUGUAUCAAUAAAAAUUGAUGCAUUUGAUUUGGUUUCUUUUGUAGAUUUCUGUCACUCUGGUUGAAAUUGUUGAAUUUUAUGCUGCAGAAAUCACGCUAAAUGAUGGCACAGUCCCAAAUUUGUCAUUUUUUCAAUUAAUAAAUCAUAUUUUUAUUUUAGGCCAUCCAUUAACUCUUUACUACCAACGUUAGUUCAUGUACGAUAAAAUAGAUCCUCUAAAAACACAUGCCGGAUGGGUCUGCAGCUUUCAAUUUUGCUUUUGUCAGAUUCAACACAAUUUUCUAACUUGUUGCCUUUUGACCUUCAACAAACACUAGGCGAGAAGGUGAGUUUGCAAAAGAAGUCACUAACCAGGUUUUCAGAGAAUUGAAAAAGGGUUAUUUGGCUGUAUCAGAUUGCUUGGUUAGUGUUGACAACCGAGUAGAUGAAAUCAAGGAGAUAAUAGGUGUUCAAACAAAUGAAACACGGAUUAUAGGAAUUUAUGGGAUGGGUGGCAUCGGAAAGACGACGAUUGCCAAAAUCAUCUACAAUCAACUUUCAAGCAAUUUCAAGAAUUGCUGCUUUCUGGCCAACAUCCGUGAAGUGUCGAAACGCGGGGACAUUAAAUGCCUGCAGAAGCAACUCAUCUCUGACAUCCUCAAAGAACAGAUGGAUAUAAACAAUGUAGAUGAAGGGACUGGGAUAAUUAAAGACAGGUUGCCCAAUAAAAGAGUGAUCCUCCUUCUCGAUGACGUGGAAGAAGCGAGUCAUAUCGAUGCAUUUGUAGGUAAGCGUGAUUGGUUUGGCAGUGGGAGCAGAAUUAUUAUUACUACAAGAAACAAAAAUAUUCUUUGUUUUCCCAAAGUGGACUGCAGUUAUGAGCUUAAAUGCAUGGAUCGUGUUCAAUCUCUUAAACUUUUUAGUAAACACGCCUUCAGAAGAGAUUCUCCUUUGGACGAGGAUAUGAACCAAUCCAACAGGGCAAUAGACAUUGCUAAAGGUCUUCCGCUUGCUCUAGAGGUCAUAGGUUCACUUUUAUCUAGCACUGAAAAGGAAAAGUGGGAUGACAAAUUGAAGUUGAUGGAAAAUGUUCCUCCUCAGGACGUUCUGGGAAAGCUGAAAAUAAGUUAUAACGCAUUAGGUAAUCGAGAAAAGCAUAUAUUCCUUGAUAUAGCUUGUCUUUUCAUCGGAUAUAACAAAGACAUUGUCGUUUAUUUUUGGGAGAAAUCUAAAUUUCCGGAACAAGCCAUGGAAGUUCUGCAGAACAUGUCUUUGAUAAAGAUUGAAAAGGAUAAUGAAGUGUGGAUGCAUGACCAACUCAGAGACCUCGGAAGAGAAAUAGUUCGUCAAGAAAGUAUGAUGAAAAUAGAGGAGCAAAGUAGGGUGUGGGAUCUUGAGGAAGCAUUGGAUUUUUUGAGCAGAUGUGAGGUAAAAUCCCCCAUCACUUAUGGACAUUUCUUCUUUUUUUUUUUAAAAACCCAAUUUAUUUUUGUGUUCUUUAGCACCAUUCGAACUUGCUUCAUUAAUUUUUUUGUUCUUUCUUGAUUAAAGGAACGAUAGUACUCAACCCCUUAAAAUAGUGAAUUUGAAUAAAUGUGUUUCGUUUCAACUCUUUUGUAUUUAAAUUUUUCCAUUGGGCAGGGAAAAACAAAAGUUGAAGCUCUUCGUCUCCACUUUGACCAUGAGCCGCAGUACUGUUUUACCUAUAAGGACUUUGACAAAAUAUCUAAUCUAAGGUUUCUUCAAGUUGACGAUUCCAAGGAAUACUUUCAUGCAGAAGAGAGGCUUCUUUGGCAUGAAUCGCUAUCAAAUGUUCUUCCAAUUGAUAAUUUCCAGGAGAAUUCAUAUCUCCUUCCCCAAUUACGAUGGCUUUCUUGGCCUAAAAUUCCCCCAACAUUUAAGAUUACAAACUUCUCCAUGAUGAAUGUGGUUAUUCUCGAUCUAUCAGAGAGUAAAAUUACGCACAAUUGGAAGGGGUGGAGCCAUAUGAAGGUAUGUUAUAUGCUAGACAACACUUAUUAUUUCGUCUUAUUAGAUUAUAAGUAAUCUUUGCAUGAUUUUUCUUUUUUAUAGGUGAUGAGAAAUUUGGAAGUUAUGAAUUUGACUAGAUGUGUUUGCUUGGAGAGAACCCCCGACUUCUCUGCUCAUUCAAAAUUAGAACGUUUGAUCUUACAGGGCUGUGACAAAUUAGUUGAAAUUGACAAGUCGAUUUGUCAAUUGAAUAGCUUAGUCUUUUUAGAUGUAACAUCUUGUGUGAAGCUUCGAGGGUUGCCGAACGAGAUGGGUACAGGUCUUGCAAGUCUCAAAUACUUAUAUAUGAGCGAUUGCCAAUCGUUGGAGGGGCUUCCGAAUACAAUCGGAAAUUUGAAAUCAUUGAAGGAGUUGAAUAUAAGUAGAACGGAGAUUAAGGAACUCCCUGAUACGAUCUGGAAGUUGGAGAAGCUUGAAGUAAUAGAAGUCGAAAUGAUGCAUCGUUUUGAUAUGGAAAUCGGCAAUGGCAUAUAUGGAAAUCGAUCUCUGAGGAUCUUGAAAUUAUAUUGUAAGAGAAUACGCAUGGUAUCGAGGCUUCCCGAAAGUCUUACAAUUCUAGAGUUGUCUACAUUCUACACGGAUACGUUGCUAGAUCUCUCAAACCUGACUAAUUUAAAAGAAUUAUGGCUGGAGUUCGGGCCACGUGGAAGCGACUCCAAUUGGCCUGUGGAAGUGGAAGAGAAUCCGAUGCCAUUGCAAACUGGGAAUUUAAGCAAACUAGAGUCUCUAACUCUAAAGUCUCAGUAUGCGACCACCAUACGAAUCGAUAUGAGAAGUCUCCUUCCCCAACUCAAGUCCCUUCGACUUUGGCCAUGCCCUAAUUUGCGUUGCCUCCCAAGCCUUCCCUCCAGUUUAUCAAAAUUGGAUUUGGAGUCUAAAUACAUUACCACCUUACCCAUGGAUAUGAGUAGUCUCCUUCCUCAACUCCAGUCACUUCACCUCGCGUGCCCUGAGCUGCGUCGCCUCCCGAGCCUUCCCUCCAGUUUAUUAGAGUUAAGCGUCAAGUCGUGUUGUUCCCUGGAGGAUCUAUCGAAUUUGAAGACACUAUCAACUCUUUACAUCACUGACUGUGCUGUCUCAGAGAUUCGAGGCCUUGAUCGUUUGGAGAACCUACGAGAAUUGUGGCUUUAUGAUCUUCAACAGGUGAAGAUAUUACCUGAUCUAAGUAAUCUCAAUAAAUUAAGGAAUCUUUUAGUAAUCCGUUGUGGAAAUCUGGUUGAGAUUCAAGGCGAACUCCCACCAUCUUUGGAAGAAUUGAUGAUUUGGACAUUUGGAUCUUUACAAAAGUUGCCUAAUUUGUCAAGCUUGAAGCGACUGCGAGAAGUUAAAAUACGGGGUUUCGGGAAAUUAAAUGCGGAGGAUUUAUCGAAUUUGAAGACACUAUCAGGUCUUUACAUCUGUGACUGUGCUAUCCCGGAGAUUCGAGACCUUGAUCGUUUGGAGAACCUACGAGAACUGUCACUUUGGGAAAUUCGACAGGUGGAGAUAUUACCCGAUCUUAGUAAUCUCAAUAAACUACGGGCUCUUCAAGUAUUUAGUUGUGGUAAUCUGGAUGAGAUUCAAGGCGAACUCCCACCAUCUUUGGAAAAAUUGGUGAUUGAAAAAUGUGAAUCUUUACAAAAGUUGCCUGAUUUGUCAAGCUUGAAGGGACUGCGAGAAGUUGAAAUAAAGGGUUGCAGGAAAUUAAAUAUGGAGGCAAUUUCUUCGCUUUGCUCGAAGAAGGGGAUCAAAUUUGAGGGAGACUAGACGAUCGGAGGGAUAAGACGAAUGUGGAUCCAAAUAUGAAUAUGGAUCCGACAUAAGUGCACGUCGCUUUUGAAAUCUUGUUAAUCCCUGACCACAAAUCGUUCUCUUGUGCGCGAACUUCAAACGAAGUGAGGUAAUUCCUUUCUUCUGGCAACCGAUAUUUUCCUUUUCCGCAAUCGAUCUCUUUCAUGGAUGUGAAUAAAGAAGCCUCGCAUGCACUUUUUAAUGACCUUUUCGCGAGCUGACAUCUGUAAAUCUGAUGAAGGCAUUGAAAUUAUGUUACCUCCAUUUUGGUCUGAUUUCUCCUUGGUUUUAUGUUUCCUAGCUGGAGUUAUGCAUCUUGAUUGCAUCAUUUUUAUUUGAUACGUAACAAAUUAUUAGAGAUCCUUGUCGAUUUGCUGUUUCACAUAUGUUGAAGUUGAUGACCUCGCUUCGCAUUUGAGAUGACUUCGUUAUGCUGUAAACAAUUAGAUGGAAUGUGUGCUGGAAGGUCAUAUAAGUAUGAUUCUCAUCCUGUAAAUUUACAGUAUAACCAACUCGUUGUUGCGACUGUGAAGUAGACAAACCCUCUGCGCUGAUAUGCUUAUGUUUAGUUUAUUUUCUUGGAAAGGUAUGCUUCUUAGUGGGAUUUGCAAAUGCUAGGGAGAAGUUAUAAAAUAAAGAAAGAUGAAUUUCACUUGGGUAUUGGCAUCAAUAGUUGUUGCAGCACAAUUUCCAUCUGUGACAGGAGAGGAGAACUAUUUAGCUUCUCCAAGGUAUCAUGGAUCAUCUUGCAGUUAAGGCUAGAUUUCAGUAAUAUCAAUGCCUACUGCCUAGGACAUAUGAUAAGUCUCACUGGGGUCAGAAAUCAUGUAAAUGGACUUUUUUGUGAUCUCCAUUAUUGCCUAUAUUUUCUAGAAAUGGUUAUGCUUAGGUGAUCAUCUGUAAUAGAAGCCCUUCCAUUCACCUCAAGUUAUACUAGAGGAUUCUUUCAGGUUUCAAGAUUGACAAGAAGUGUUAAGGGAGACAUCUCAAACAACUGCCUUUUUGCCAAUUUCUAAUGUUGCUGAGGGGAAUUAAAGUUUGAAGAACUUACCGAAAUCUUUCUGUGUAGGAAGCCGUGGCUAAUUGGGCAAAUAUACAAAUGAAGAACGAAUAAAGGAAAAUGAAGAUGACAUUCAAAGUGAAGUUUUACGUCCACUUUUUAAUUACUUUCUUGUGGGUUGAGCCUGGAAAUCUGAAGAAGGUAUCAAAGUUAUGGUACCUUCGUACAACCAGAGAGUUCUUAAUUAUGUACAAAUGUAUGUUUUCUUUUCCUAGUUUGGUUUGGCCUUUUUAGCUAAAUUCUCUUUGGAUAGUUUCUCCUUGCUUUUAUGUUUCUCAGCUGGAGGUAUGCAUGUCGAUUGCAUCUUAUUAUUUCAUUUACGACACUUCAUUAGAUAUUCUCGUUGAGUUGCUUCUUCACAAACUUUGAAGUUGAUACCCUCUGCUUUGCAUUGGAGUUAACUUUGUUAUACUGUAGACAAUUAGAUGGAAUGUGUGUUGGAAGGUCAUAGCCCUAUGGUUCUCAUCCUAGAAUUUUACAGCAAAUCAACCCAUUGUUACAAUUUUGAAGGCGAUAGACUCUGUAUUGAUAUGCUUAUGUUCAAUUUGUGGUUCUUAGUGGGAUUUGCAACUGUUAUGGAGAAGUUAUAAAAUGAAGAAAAAGGAAUUUCACUUGGCUAGCGGCAUCAAUAGUUGGAGCAGCAAAGCUUCCAUUUGUGACGGGAGAGGAGAACUGUCUAGCUUCUCUAAGGUAUUAUAAAUCAUCUUAUAGUUGAGGCUAAAUUUCGAUACUAUCAAUGCAUAGGACAUGUGAUAAGUCUCACUUGGGGUCUUAAAUCUUGUAAAUCGACCCUUGUGUGAUCUCCAUAAUUGCCUCCAUUUUCUUGAAAUGGUUAUGCCUAGUUGGUUAUCUGUAAUAGAAGCCCUUCCAUUCACCUCAAAUUAUACUAGAUGACUCUUUUGGGAUUAAGAUUGACAAGAAGUGCUAAGGGAGACAUCUCAGACAACCAGCUUUUUGCUGGUUUCUAAGGUUUCUGAGGGACUUAAAAGUUUAAGAAACUUACAAAAAUCUUUUUGUGCAGGGAGUUGUGGCUAAUUGGGCGGCUGUAUAGAUGGAGACCGAAGAAAGGCAGAUGAUGGAUGAAAGUUGAUGUUGACCAUGUUCCCCCUCACAAUCUUGGGGUGGUAAACCCUGUAUUCAUUUUCUUUUGGGGGGUAAAAGGGCUAUUUAGGCCAACCUGAUUGUGUUUUUGCCCCCUUUAUUGUGUGCCCACAAAAAUGCUUAUUAUAUUUCAUCUGAACGUGUGUUCUCUUGAUUGUUAUGCAAUAGAACUUGUUUAUCAGUACCAAAUGUUCUUUUACGAGGUUACACUGGAAGGGCUUGUCUGGACCUGGAGAAACAUUGUGUGCUUAGUGUGGUCCUUGAGGUAGUCGUAGUUGCUCCCUACCAAAACCAGUUCAUGGACCUCUCAAUUUGAAAAUGAUGUUCAAUGUAGUCUUAGUCAUGAGUAUGAUAGGCACUUACAACUUAAGAAACAUGAAUUGCUGGUAUUCAUGGAAUGAGCUGUUUUGGAGAGAUGACUCUCGCCAAACUUAUCCACAAUCAGCUUUCACAUGGUUUUGACUUUUGAGCACUCUUGCUUUUUUUCUAACAUCCGUGAAACCUCAGAGCUAAAGGGUAUUCAAUUCUUGCAGAAUAACUCAUAGCCAAUGUCCUCAACAGGAAAUUGACAGAAAUAAGUAAUGUUGAUGAAGGGAUCAAGACAAUUAAAGAUGGCUUUUUAGUAAAGGAUGAGACCUUUUUGAUGAUGUUGACCAGAAUAAUUAAUUGAAUGCACUCAUGGGACAUCAAUGAUAUUCGGGCAUUACUGAAUUCUUCAAUGCUGAACAUCAAGUGCUGAAGGAUCUCGAAAUUCUCAGUGCUUUUUGUUUUGUCAUUGAACAUCAGUGCUUUUUGUUGAUCGAAGGCACUGCCAUCCUUAAUGUGAGUUGAUUCGGUUGAAAUACUUUGCAGAAAGGGACGUGCGAUCCCUCUUAUCUGGUCCAAAUGAUGCAAUGUCUGGCAUCGCUUAGAAGAUUCAACCAUUUCUUGAAAAAUUUAGAAAGCAUGCUCGGCAAAGGAGUUCAUUUUCCAAUAAGAAGUGCAUGUUGUACUUGAAAGGUCCUGCAUCCACAGCCAAGUCUAUUGUCAAGGAAGAUUUGACACUUAUAAACAAAUUUCUUAUUACUCUACGUCAUCUCACCAGAUAUUGAUUGUUGUCUUUCUUGGGAUCGUUAUCUGUUAUACAUAAAUUACAAUCACGCUUUGGCAAGUUGACUUGAAAUCUAUUGUGCUUGUACAUAUAGUUAUCACUAGCUGUUUUCGCAACCGCUUCCUAUCUUUAAGAUGGAUUGCUGUAAACUACUCAUGAAAAAGGGACCAUGGUUUCUUUUGAUCUAUUUCAUGAGUUUUAUUUGGUUUAGAUAUAUUACUUUGUGACGGUUUUGGUUGGCUAAUUGAGUUACCAGUAAAAGACAGGUCAAAUUGAUGCUAGUGUUACUCCAUUCGAGUGCAUUGUAGUGUUACGACAUUCAAGUGCAUUACUUUUCUCAAUUUACACUUUAGUCUUUUAUGUGAGAUCCCUGGAGCUUGCUGGUUUGUACUUUAAAUUUGAACCUUAUAACCCUGGCUUGUAAAUCUUUGUUAUUCCUUAAACAAUGAAGGAUCUAGUCAAACAUGUAGGUUUUAAUCUGUGACAAAAGCUCCUCCAUUUACUUUUUGGUUACCUAGGAAUGGAGUAAACGACAAGAGAGUCCUAUAUGACGGCCUGAGCUCUUCCCUCUCGGUAAUAAGUAAGAAAAACUUAUCGGGGUCUUUCUGUAAAGGAAAGCUACCCCUAGCUAACAAGGUAGAUUUGACGACCAUAUAUCUUUCCUAACGCUUGGAUGUUAAACUUUGGCUUCUAUUUUAAUGUACGAACUCCAACUAGUGUCAAGGACUUGACUGGUCUCUUGCACAAUGCGCUUUGAAUGGCCACAAUUGGCAAUUUAUGCUUUGAAAUGAUGAAAAAAUUUCAUUUUGCCAGUUUCCGCUAAUGUUAAUUCCAGCAUAUCAGAAACACAAGGUAAGAGCUUAUAGUUUGCAUUCCAAAGGCUGAUCAGAUCAUUCUUACAUAGCUAAGCCAAGAUGAUAUAAAUUGUUUACUUCCUAAAACUUGAAAUUCAGUUGAGGUUGCCAAUUAAAGUGACGCAAACUUCAGGCGAGAGCAUCAUUUGUUUCCAAGAUGGCUUGGUUUAACUGUUAAUCAGCAUAAUUUUCUGCCAGGGAACAGUUGAAGUACUUGGUUAUGCCAAGAAAUCUUUUAUGUGCCGAUGAGCCAGUAGUAGAAGGCAAGGUCACCGAUUGAAAAGUGUUCUCCCUAAAAAUCUCUAUCUCACCAUAUUAAAUCUGGUUGAUCGCCAAACCGUGCAAGUCUUACAAUUCCAAAAGUCACACAUUUGACUAUUUUGCGAAGUUCAACACGAGUUCAACCCCCAAAAAGGAAAAAUUAAAAAAGAAAGGUGGAAAAAAGUAGGGUGAUUUAGCUAUGGAUUGCUCAGCUCAGCAUCCACACAUACUCGUUAGGUUUUAUCGAGUCUGGCAAAUUAGAUUAACAGGUAAACUUGCGCACAGAGUUGUAUUUAUGAGGAUGAUACAUUCAGCUAUAUGCUAUUUACAUUCCAAGUGAAUUUCAGUACAGAUCUGUGCAUCUUGUGAUGGACAUGAAAACAGAUUGAUGGAAUGCAUUACAUGUACAAACUUCAUCUAGAGCUACCUAGUGAUCUUCAAGAAAUUAGGUGCUGACUUAGGAGCAAUUUACAUUAAUUGACUCUUGGCAUCGGAGUCUUAACGCAGCCUCAAUGCGGAAGCAGAAGCAAUCCUGGAAAGCAUGAGGUUUCCUUUGUCUUCGCUUCCAUAUUCCUUAAAUCGUGGAUCCAUGACGAUUUUGCACAAUCCCCAUGUCUCCGCCAUUAAUUCCACACCAUAGUAGACUAAAUGGUCCGCAAGGCUGUUACCAGUUACCAAUAUGUAGAAACACAAUUUGAUGAGUCGUCUGUAAAAAUUUCCGGUAAUAAAGGAUUGGCAUUCUCUGAAACAAGCUGGUCUGUCACAUGACUUAUUGCACCUAGCAUGAUAAGUCCACAAAAUAAUUGCUUGUGACAGGUAGCUAUGACUGAGACCACCUCCUUACCUGCUGCACAGUGGAUCUUCUCUAGAGCCAUCACAAACUUUCUCGACCUGAUAAACCAGACUACCAAAUCCAAUAUUAGACAGCCAUACCUACAAAAAAAGGAUUCCAAUUACAUGUGAACACUUACAUAGAAAAGAGCAAGAUUAGCUCACAUCAAUAUGUUUAUUUGUGGCUGUCGUUGAGCUAGUUGCCAAUAAUAUAGGCAUUAGUAUUUAGUAGACAUACAUAAUUUAAAUGAGUAAUACCUUAUGAUUGUGCAGAGCUUAAGGCUAGGUCAUCAGCCAUCAUAGAGAGUAAUACAUAUUAUCAUGCAUCUUCAAUUUUGGAAUUGGUAUGGGAAACUCAUGAUAGCUUUAUGGGAAUGAGAACCGUUCUUAUAUAUUGUCAAAAGGUCAUGAAUAUUACGAACUACCCUGCUUUGUUAAGAAGAUAAAACAGACAAAACUAUUAAAAUUUAUACGCUGAAUAAAGUGAGUACAAACAUUGUUGGAAAAAAUAAGACUUCUCUAGCUAGAUAGGUUGAAAUAAAUGCAAAGGAAACAUCAAAUGCAGUCAGCGACAAUUCCCCAAAAUUUAUCUGAUAUUCAAUGGGAACUGAGAAUAGUACAGAGGCAAAUGAGGCACAAUAUCCUGUCCAUUAGUUAUAUGUUAUUGUAAUUGGCACGUUGUAGCAAGACACAAACAUUGCACUACCAAUAUGAGAUCAUCCAAAUGUCAAGUAAAUCAAGUGAGUGCUGGUCUGGAAAAAACAGCUUCAGCGCACACAAUUAGACAGCCAAAUAACUUGAAUGUUAAUACUUUCGCGAGGGGAAAACUACUACACAUCAAUACCAUAUAUUGCAUUUCACAUACGGAGGCGAACAAUAGAACAACCCUUAUCACCAUGAGGGUUGGGAGUCUAGCGUUACUCUGUCUAGACCCCAUCCAUAAUUUUCCCAAAACCAAAACCCACAGCCACAACAAAACCAACCCCACCCUCACCCCACAAGAAAAAGGUGUUCAUGAUAUGGAAUAGUGGGAUUGGGGGUAAAUUUAUGGCCAAGGUGCAUUUAGGGGCUGUUUGUUUGUGUUCUUUCUUUCUGUUUAUGAACCUAAUUUCUAUUUUUUUUGUUCUGGAGAAUAAAAAAAGAAUAGAAACGCGUUUGUUUGCGUUUUUGUUCCAAAUCUACUUUUUUUGUUCCCAGGAACAAAUUUGGAACAAAAAUCAGAAAUAAGAAAAACUCGUUUCUUGUUUCUAGAACACUUCCGAAAAACAAUUUUUCUCUCUUAUUUUUUUCUUCUCUUUUUUUUUUUUAAUUCUUCUUUUUUCUGACCUCGCCGGAGCGUCACCGGCCUCCGGCGAGGCCGAGCGUCGCCGGCCCCUGGCGAGGCUCGGCCUCGCCAGAUCUAGGUGAGUUUGAGCUCACCCAGCCAAGGCGACGCCGACCUCGCGCCAACUGGCGAGGCUCGGCCUUGCCUUGGCUGGGCGAGCCUCGCCGUGGCUGGGCGAGGCCGCCGGCCCUCAUUGGCCGGUUGCUGGCCAUGACUGAGGUCGGCGACCGACUAAAAGGAAGAAAAAGGGAAAAAGGAAAAAUAAAAUGAAAGUAUUAAAAAAUUAAAAGAAACAAAAAAAUUAUACAAGUUUACGAAACGUGUUUCUGUUCCUUUUCUAUUUCAGGAACAAAUUUAUCAAACGCGUUAUUCUGUUUAAAAAUUAUUCUCUGGAACAGAAAUAGUUUUCCAUUUCUAUUUCCUGGAACAAUUUUUGAACGGAAACGUUAUCAAACUCACCCUUAAAUGCUCCCACAAGAAGCACUUGGAUGCUGGUGGGUUCAGUCACAUCCCGCUAAUGACAUAAACAAAACAUUCCAGAUUCAUAGUGAAAUGCCCCUUGAACCCCAAAACUUAUGGUCAUUAAUAGCAAAGGAGAAAUUAAAUCUUUAAAAAGGGCCACAAUGCAUGGAAAGGGCCAUGAUGUAAACAAAAAUUCCAGGUUCAUGGUGAAAUUGCCCCUUGAACCCCAAAACUUACUGUGAUUAAUAGCGAAGGAGAAAAUAAAUCUUAAAAAGGGCCAUGACAUAUGGAAAGGGCCACGACGUAUGGAACAUGAUGGCUCAGAACAAUGGUCAGCAAGAAAUUAGCAAACAAAAAUGACAUUUUAAAUCAUCCAAGUGUUCGAACAACAUGUUACAAUUGCUACUAAUACUUUGAGAUAAGGUUUAGUCUAAAGUUCAUGCAACCUAUGAUCCUAUCAUAGGCCACGUGAAUGUAUAAUUUGAAGACAAAGUUUGAUCCUCAAAAAUCACAACUUGUCAUGGAGAAGAGAAUUAAUGGGACAUGACUUUGGAGUUAAAACCAUUUCUGAUACCAGUUCCGCAACGGGUGCCUAGAAAACUCAGGACCACUCUAUCCAAUAAAGCUGAGACAAAAAGCAUAAUUUAGACAUUUUGGAAUUGGCUCUAACCUAUAACGUAUCUAGCCCCAUAGUCCAACUGAAAAGGAGCUGCUUCUUUUGAUUAGAGAGAGACAGAUAAAAGCAAAGCGCAAAACACAGAUUCAGGAUCAACAUAUUCUAUUUUAAAAUGCAUUCGAACUUCUAGAUUACAUGACAUAGAAUUUGAGCUUCAAGUGCUUGCAAAAGUUAUAGGCCGAACAUAUCAAUAAUCCCUUUAAGUUUCCAGCAAGUAAACUUUGUAAUGAUUAGUUGGAAGUCCUUAUCCACUAUAUUUAAGUAUUCCACUAACUUGAAGCUCCAUGGCUUCACAUGUAGAACUCAAUUCACACAACUAAAUAUAACGACCAUAGGUGGUUCAGGUAAAGGGUUAUUUGCAACCCAUUAUGCUUGUGUUUUGUCUAUCAGUUAAUUUGCCAAAAAAGAAGAAAAAGAGAAAAAAACAAGAUGCUGACCAAUUGUAAAUAUAAAUAUUAGGCCAUAGAAAGUUCAAGAUAUCCAAAGUCUAGACACUUCAAGGCAGAGUUGGCAGAAAUUGCCAGGUAACUCUUAACAGACCAAAACUGAAUAAAUGUAAGAACACAAUAGAGAAAAACCAAUAUCCGAACCAUAACAGUUUUUUAACUGUCUUACCACAAGAUCAAGUCUCCAAAAGGAUGCCAUAGCCCCUCCCAUAGAAUUCCCUGUCACCAUGACGUUGAUGUCUCCAUAUAGAUCCUUGGCUCUUUAAAAGCAUCCAUAUACCAGCUUGCAUUGUCGUAUUGUGAUAAGCAUAACAAAUUAAUGAUGGACCUAAGCAAAGACAAUAGAAUAGGAAUGUAAUUCAUUCCAAAUCAGAAGUAUCCACAACUUGCAAAAGGCUUAUCGUCUCUAAAACUCAGCAAGGCACUAGACAUGCUGGGGUAGUUUAUGUCGAGCUGUUUCUAGUAGAGAUCUUCAACCCAAUGCUAUAUGCUAUAGAAAUGAACAGAAGUAAUCACUAACUUAAAAGCUCAAACAACUUUUCCAAGAACAAAAUUAGUGAAUUAUGUGAUCUCCUCAUGAAUCCAUCUAAAAUUAUAAGCACAUAACUUUCGUGUCUCAGUGGAAAUGAUUCAUUGUUUUCCCUUCUUAUGGAUAACAGACCUGUGUGUUAUGUGUAUGUGUUCAUCGUAGGCUACUCUUCAUAGCUUAAAUUUUCAGCAAAUGCUUCGCAUGUCAAAUGUGAGAGGAAGAAUUGCUAAAGUUAACAUGCACACCUUUGUUCUUGAGUACCUUUGAAAGCUAUAACCGUAGCAUUAAGGUCCGGACCUCUCCAAUAUAUGCCUAUAGGUAAUAUAUAUUGAUUAGAAAUAGAGACAAACAAUUAGAUGCAAUUCGAACACAGAGGCAUCAGAAGCGUUGCCAAUUGGUAGGCCACGACAACACGAAUUAUAUACCUUUAAGAAGGCCGGACAUCAACAUGACUUUGAACCUCUACUUUCAGAUAAAAAGGGCAUUAAUAAUCACUUAGAAGCUAAAAAAAGAAGGCAGUAUAUGCCCACAAAAUCUCAUCACAAGAACUGGCCAUCUAGUACUGUACUGGGGUCCUAUUCUUUAAGUUUACGCAACCUUAGCAACAAUGUCAUAUUAAAAUGUAGUCAAAUUACCUUGGUCUUUCCAUAUCAACUAGGACAUGUCCAACUAAAAAGUUAUGUCGAAUCUGACAUGUAGACCUACAAAACAAAAAGCUUUGCAUCUAGUUACAAUGUUAUUGUAUUGAAAUGGUGAAACCUAAAGGGCAAUAACAACAACAAGCUCUAGGUAAAUGAGAAAGUCUUUAUAAAGUACACUUAGAGCAGAGGCAUACUCCACCAUGAUCGUCGCAAGAGUGUGAUUGUAAAUAGCUUUAUGAGCCUUGGAGCUCACUCUGAGUGCUGCAUUUACCAAUUAAAAAAAUUUCAGAUUGCAAAUGUAGUCACAAGCUCAUUCAAUUGCAAGCAACAAAGCAAGUCUUCUAUGUCUCAAUCAAGCCAUUUCGACAAUCAAGUGAGAGGAACGCUUCAAGGAAACAUCAACUCAAAAUAAUAUUACGGUAUAUUCCUGCCGUCCUUGUUCAUGAACUUAAAGAACUAUAUAUUCAAUGUGAUGCGAUGAAAGGGGAAUAAGUAAACAACACAAGGCUCCUCUUUCCCAUAAAGCUACUCCACUGAAACCUACAAGCUAUAGUCCAUUAUUUGACUAGAGAGAAGCCGAAUAGCUGAUAGUCAAUCACUGUGAGACGCUCAGCAAAUUUUAUACCCAAAGUAGAAACAGAAAGGUGAAAUAUUACUAUCAAACAAACAUAAGGAAAUUCAAUCAAACUGACCAUAUUCCCGUGGUAGCAUUGAUCUAAACUCGGUAAUCUAAGGGCUUAACAAAACUAACCAAAACACAACACAACACCGUCAGUCAUAUGCUUUGAAAACAUCCAAAUCUACACCUGAGGGACCAUUCAGCUAUAGUUUGCCCCAUUGAACCAGACACUACAGCCACACAACAUAGCCUACGACUUCCCCCAACCCUGAAAUGCCUAAUCAGCCGAAUUCAGAAUACAAAUCUGACUUGCCAAGUUCAAAACCAAUGUACUCAACACUAGAGCUUGUGUCUAUUCGCACCUCAUCACGAUCAAAACUCCCAAUCCGAAUUGAGCCGGAGGAUCACAGCAGAAACCAAUACAUGAACACAAAUUGCAAUUGACGUCUCGCCCCACUUGCUGCAUUCAAGCACUUUAGAACCGUCACUCCCAACCACGACCCGUUCCGCUUCAUAUUCUAUGGGAGAAACGGAUCAAAUAGCGUCAUCGAGGAAACUAUGGCUCAAUUGAACCCAGACAACACUUUUUAGCUUUUCACAGAAGGAAUUAGGUAUACUGCGAUCAAGCAGCGAGAUAGAGAGAUCGACCGCGGAUCUUUGUCGUAUUGCACCAAUUCCGAUCUCGCAGGUUCGUGGAUUUCAUGGCGAUCGAAAGCUACUACGACUUGGGGAAAAGGAAGGAGAGGAAGAUGAACUUACGAAGUUCCCUGUUUUGCCCUCAUCAUCUCCCUCCGUGGGAAGUCAUAUUCGGUGAUUUCGUUGUUUGCGUGAGGACACUGAAGUAAGUUCCGCUAAUAUUUCAAAUAUGGGGUUCUCUCUUUUGGAGCUUCCCUCUUAUGUUUCCACAUUAGCACUUUGACUUGAGCCUAGUUUUUUUUAGGUUGUCUCUCGAGCUUAGUUCUUCAAUUAGUUGGGUCCGAACUAGGGAUUCUGAAAUUCGAACAAAAAAUAAAAAAUAAAAAACAAAUCAGAAUUCUCAAAAACGCACUAAAAUUAAGAUCAAUAUCAUUUAUCUGUUUAAUUUAUAUUUUUUGAGGUAUAUGAAAAAUGCACCCUCCAAUGAGCUUUUUGAGUCAUAUUUUCGAAUUCAAACUUCAAAAGAAUGUAACCGAACUUGAGUGACUUAUGAAUUGAACUUAAUUGCAAAUUAGAAUUUGCUGUUAGGUAUGAAUUCUUGAAUGUUCUCUGAGUACUUAUGUUGAACUGGAUGCGAUAUUUAUUUAUUUUUCCUUUUUAGUUAGAUGCACUUAUAGUCUAUGUAGCACCGACACGCGACACGCUACACGCGACACGACACGACACGACACGCUACACGUCAUUUCUAAAAAAGUAGAGAAUUUCGACACGUUCCGACACGUUAAAUAUUAAAUAAAUAUUUUUAUAUAUAAAUGCAUAAAUAAGUAAAUAAUAAUAAUAAAAAAAGUCUAGAAUUAGUCUAUACUAAAAACAUUAAUCAUACAUUUGUUAAUAUCAUUCAUUUUUUUAAUUUGAGGAAUUCAACUAUAUUUCAUUGUAAUAAACCAUAAAACUUGAAGGAAAAAACAAGUAAUCCACGUUCCACUAUUAAAUUUAAAAUUUAACAAUAAGCAAAUAAACAAUCAACAUUCCAUCAAGUAAUAUAACAAAAAGUCAUUCAUCCACAUUAUCCACUUCUUCUGCAAAAAAAACAGACUCCAUCUCCGGCUCAUCAAGUGAAAGAUUUGCAACUUCAAGCACUCCUACAUCUUCAAACGAGUCAAAUGCAUCUCCACCAAUAUCCCACAUCUUAGUCUCUCCUUCCGCAUAGUGUGGGCUUUUUCUUGAUAGAAGACGGAGAUUGCUAUGAAUAAAAACCAAAUCUUCUGCACGUUUUGGGGUCAUCUUAUUUCUUCUUGCCGAGUGCACAAAUGAGUAAGUACCCCAAUUUCUCUCAGCACAUGAUGAAGAAGAAGGUUGUGCAAGAAGCUUUAAGGCUAUACUUUGAAGCAUCGGUGCACAUGCACCAUGAUUGACCCACCAAGCUUUAGGAUCCAUUGAAUAUCGAUUUUGAAUGGAAUCCAAUUCUCUAAAAUCUCCAUUUUUACUUGCAAAAUCUACGUAUUCCAAAUUCACCUUGUUGCGCUCAUCCAAGUUAGGAAAGUAUUUCUUGAAGCAUUUCAGUCUUUCUUGGUUGAUCUCCUUAUUCUUGUACGGAGAAAUUCGAGUAGAAUCUUCAUCAAGCCAUUGAUCACUAUAGUACCUGUUAUUUAAUAAAAUGAAAUAAAAUUAGAAAACAAUAAUAAAUGAGAGGAGUAUUAUAUUAUCAUGUUAAAGAAAGAAUAACUACUAAAAUAAUAAUCUCAUACAAUUUUAGAACUUACCUAGGAUUUAAGGCAUGUGCCAAGCAAUGAAGUGGAGUAUUGUUCUUUGUCCAACGAUCUACAAGAAUUGUGUGAAUCACCUCAUAAAAUGUGGACUUCUCAUCUAGCCUCUUCACUUCAUGUGCAUAUAUAACUUUCUUCACUUUUUCGAUCAUCGAACCCCACAUAUCAUAAACUAAGUGAAGACAAGGCUUAUCGGUGUCACAAACUCUAAGCAUAUCAUAAAUAGGAGCUGUGAAGGAAAGUAUAUAAUCAAUCAAAUCCCACCAAAAAUCAUCCAACACCUUCUCCUUGACAAGCUUAGCUUUCUCUUGAUUAACAUCUCAAUAGAUAUUCCAUUUGUCACAAAUCACCAUGUUUUGAAGACCACUUUUUAUCAACUUGAAUCUCUUGAGCAUCACAAUCAUCGAAGCAAAACGUGUAUCCGCUACAGAAAGCAACUUCAAGCUAACAAACUCAUUGUAUAUUGCUAAUCUCAUAGAAUGGUUUAUGAUGAAAUGUUUGAUUUGCAUAACUUCCUUAACAAUAUCUGAAAUCCAACUACAUUCAUCAUAAACUAUUUGAUUGCUCUCCAUAUUUUUUGCAGCACAAAUAUUCUUCAAAGCUAGAUUAAGGGUGUGCACCACACAAGGUGUCCACAUAAUGGAUGGAAAUUCUUGUUCAAUGAGUUGUCCCGCACCCUUACAAUUUGAAGCAUUAUCCGUAAUUACUUGGACCACAUUCUCAUGCCCAAUUUCAUUGAUAACUCCUUUCAACAAGUUAAAAAUGAAAUGCAUAUCUUUUGUUUCUCCCGAGCAAUCAACCGAUUUUAUAAACAUUGGUUCUCCAUCCGAUACCGCCAUGAAAUUAAUAAGCGGUCUUCUAUGUGAGUCGAUCCAUCCAUCACUCACAAUACUUACACCCUUCUCCUUCCACAUGAUUUUGAUAGGUGUACACAACCUAUCAAUAUUUACCUUCUCCCUUUGCAACAAAGUGGUCCUCAACAAAUUAUAUUUCGGCGGUACAUAACCCGCAAUAUUAUGAUUAGCAGCAUAAGUGAAAGCGGAUUGAAAAUAAGGAUUCCUUGCUAGGUUAAACGGCAAGUCCGCCGAAUAAAACAUCCUAGCAAUCUCACAAUCUAGACGAUCCCGUUGAGUCAUAUUAAAUGCAUUUUCAAGUGAUUUUCCACUCCCACUUUCGCCUUUCCUUUUUUUGGAGUUCAAUGAUAAAUCCAUUCCGUCACCACCACCACCACCACUAAGUGAAUAACUAGCAGGAGGCAAAGGUACAUUUCUAGGUGCAAUACUCAUUAAUUUAGUAUUGACCUCUUCAUCUAAUCUUUCCAUCUCCAAAAGAUCUUUUUUUUCUACUUUUGUGCACUUUCCAAUUCCUUUUCCACUUAUCAUCAUCAAAUGGCACCUCACUCUUGUAUAUGAACUCUUAAAAUCUUUUUCACAAAAGUUGCAUCUCCAAGACAAAUUUCCCCCCGCAUCAGUAUGAUUAACUAACUUAGUAACAUACCUCCAUAAUGGUUGUUUUACAACUUCAUUGCUAGAGGUAGCUUGUGUGCUUGAAGUACUACUAGCCAUAUUUGAACUUGAAGACAUUCUGCAAAAAAGAAGAAAAAAUAAACAUGUUAUUAUCAAUUGCUAUAUAUCUCGAGUCGGAAACAAGUGAACCAACAUCAAUGCUAGUCAAACACCCAAGAAGAAAGAAAUCAGAACAGAGCACAAUCCAUAUCAUCUUAAAAACCACUAAACCUGUAGUUUCUCACUGUCUACCUCAUGUAGCCCCCUUUUCUAAACCAACAUUCAGAACCUAGAUCAUAGAUUGCACUAAUUGUAUGAAUGGUAAUGCUUUAAUAUCAAUUACAAAUCAGUAAAUAGCCCAAAAAAUAACAGAUUACAAAUUAGUAAAUCACCCAAAAAAUAAAAGAACUCUGUAAAGGGGAGAAACACAUUUGAAUGCUAUAGAAACAAAAGAACAAAAUUCGAAACUAUCCCCUCACAAGACUAUCCUUGUUUAUCAGUAAAAAUUUUGGCAUAUCGAAUAGCAAGCUCACUUAGAUAUGUCGAUUGUUUCUUCCUUUAUGAUAACAAACUCACAAGACUCCAUUACUCUCUUUGGUCUUUGCAUCUAUGUCAUGAACUCAACCAAUGAUUUCAUCAAGUCACGAUACAAUUGAAAACAAUGGCACUCAUAGUAUGCAACAACCCCCAUGAAAAGGUAAGAUGGACUGGGGAAAGCGAGACAUGCUUGGCUACAAAGGAUUCAAAUCGAAGCACACAAAAAAAAGAAAAAAAAAACAAUUCUUUAGAUCCAAUUUCUGAAAAAACUAGAAGGUUUUGCGUGUACGUGUUAGGAAUGGAAUCGCCAUGAUGGUAUGCGAGACCAGCAAAAGAAUUGAAACGUUUUCCCCUGCCUUCCCCUCAGUCAACGAGCAGUCCACCAAACAAAAACACGAGACCAGCAAAAGAAUUGAAACGUUUUCCCCCGCCUUCCCCUCAGUCAACGAGCAGUCCACCAAACAAAAACAACAACAACCCAGGGAGCGAGACCAGCAAAAGAACGACAUAAGAGCGCUGGAGACAGAGAGACGGAAAGAGGGUCCGAAAAAUCCCCCUUUCCCCGAACUAGGAAUUGCCAAAAAAAUCCCAAAUCGCAAGAUGCUAACCUGAGGCGCGGGGGCUACGGCGAGUCGACGACUGGUGGGGUGGGCCGCGCGGCCGGCAAAGCAACACCGGCGAAAGAAUGGCGAAAGAAGAGAACCAAAGUAGUCUGCUCACUGCUCAGGCUCGUUCGCUGCGACUGGAGAAGACAGAGAAGACUGAAUAGAAGAUUGAACUGAAGAACCCGUGCGUGCGAGUGAACAAACGUGAAGAACCCGUGCGUGCGACUGAACUGAAGUGAAGAACCCGUGCACUCCCAAUCGUGAACAAACCGAACGGACAGAGCACCAAAAUCUGAAAAAAAAAAAGAGAACGCGAAGUAUCAAUCAAUGAGCAGUCCACCAAACAAAAACAACAACAACCUAGGGAGCGAAAUCGGCAAAAGAACGGCACAAGAGCGCUGGAGAAAGAGGGUCCGAAAAAUCCCCCUUUCCCCGAACUAGGGUUUGCCAAAAAAAUCCCAAAUUGCAAGAUGCUAACCUGAGGCGCAGGGGCUACGGCGAGUCGACGAUUGGUGGGGUAGGCCGCGCGGUCGGCAAAGCAACACCGGCGAAAGAACGGCAAAAGAAGAGAAUCGGUCACUGCUCAGGCUGGUUCGCUGCGACUGGAGGAGAAGAUAAAGAGAAGGCCUAAGAGAAGAUUGAAGUGGAGAACCGUGCGUGCGAGUGCGACUACAUUUUAACUUUUAUAUUUUUUGUUUUUUUAUAUUUUUUUUCAUAUAUUUAUAUUUAGAGCCCAAAAUUUUUCAAAAUUUAUAAAAAUAACCCCGUGCGUGUCGGAGUCACGUGUUGGAAUUUCCGACUCGCGUGUCGGAGCGUGUCGGAAAUAGUUGACCGCGUGUCGACUUUCCCGACACGCGUUGACUGCGUGUCGGAGCGUGUCGGACACGUGUCGGAGUGUCGGACACGACACGAAGGGUCCCGGAGAGUGUCUGUGCUUCAUAACUUAUAGUAUUUUGAGUCGAGUCAAUUUGUCUAAAAUUUACAAACUAUUUAUAAUGCGAAUGCACUUAGAACUUAUAACCUUGUGGAAACUAAUAGCUUUCUUGAAAAUUGUGGCAUUAUCUUGUUAGGAAUGCGAAUUCUUGAAGAGAGAGAGAGAGAAAAAAAAAAAAAAAAAAGGAGACAAGCGAAACGGUUGAAGUACUUGUGCCAAGAAGACAAGGUUGCCGGUGGAAUGAUCCAAGACAAGGUCAUGAUCUAUUUCCAAGAUGGCUUGAGCAUAGACCCUUGCCAAGAAACGGUUGAAGCACUUGUGCGAAGAAGUCUUUUGUGACAAUGUGCCUAUAGUAGAAGGUAGGGUCACAGACUGCGCAUAUCAACUAUAAAUAACUUAGCUCAGCGUCCACACAUUAUUGAGUUUUAUCAAGUCUGAUGAAAAAGCCAUGGGCCCAAGAUUAGAUUGACGGGCAAACUUGCGAUCACAUUCAUUCAAUAGAAAUCACAGAGUUGUAUUUACAGGGAUAACACAUUCAACUUUGUGCUGUUUACACUCAGAGUGAAUUUGAGUAGAGCUCUUAUGCAUCUGGUGAUGGAUAUGGACAACAGAUCGAUCAAAUGCAUUUCGUGACCGUCAUCACAGAGGUCCCUGAUGAUCUUUGAGAAACCAGGUGCUGACCCAAGAGCAUUUUAAAAGCUGCUCUUGGCAUCGGAGUCUGAAGGCAGCCUCAAUGUAGAAGCAGAAGGAUUCCUAAAAAGCAUAAGAUUUCCUUUGACAUCUUCACCUCCGUAUUCCUUCAAUCAUGCGUCCAUGACAAUUUUGCACAAUCCCCAUGUCUUAGCCAUUAAUCCCACGCCAUAGUAGACUAAAUGGUCCGCAAUGCCAUUACUAAUUAUCAAUCUGCAGAGGUGAACUCUUAUCACAGUUGUCCACAUAUGUUCCUGGUAACAAAGGACUGACAUUCUCUAGAAAAAGCUAGUCUGUCAUGAUUUAUUGCAUAUAUAGCAUAGCAAAUCCACAGACUAAUUGCUUGAACAAGUAGCCACGAAUGAAACUACCUCAUUACCUGCUACAUGAUGGAUCUUCUCCAGAGUUAUCACAAACUUUCUCAACUUGAUAAACCAGACUACCAAAUCCUAUAUUAUACAGCCAUACCUGCGAAGAGGGAACAUUCCAAUUACAUGUGAACACUGACAUAGAAAAGACUAUGAGUACUCACUAGAGAAGCAAGUGGAAUCAAAUCAUUUAUACAUUAUCUCACAUCAAUAUGUUUAUCAGUAGUUGUCAUUGAGCUAGUCGCCAAUAACUAUGACCAUUAGUAGACAUACAAUAAAUAAAAUGCAUAUAAUUGCACAGAGCUUAAACUAGGUUCUCAACCAUCAGGAAAGAGAGAGAGAAAGUAUAUAGCAAACAUUAUUACGCGUCUUAAGCUUCAGAAUCAGUAUGAAAAACCUCAUGAUGGCUCUUGCAGGAAUAAGAGUUACUCAAUUUUUUCUGAAAAAUUAUGAGCACUACAAACUAGCCAGCUUUGCUAAGAAGAUGAAAAACAAAAGAGUUAUUUUUUAUAUGCUGAAAAAAGAGAGUACGUACAUUGUCAGAAUAAGUGAGACUUGGUAAGACAGGUUGGAAGAUAAGCAAAGCAAACGUCCAAGUCAGUCAGCGACAAUUCGCCAUAAUUUAUAUGAUAUUUCAUCAAGAUCAAAGCCUAACCUCUUUAAGGAAGAGAUGGUAAGUCUUCUGUGGGAACCGAGAAUAGUAUGGAGGCAAAUGAGGCACAAUAUCAUGUCCAUUAGCAAUACGUAUUGUAUUUGGCACACGGUCACCGUAGUAAGAUGCAAACACUGCAUUGCCAAUACGAGGCUGUCCAAAUGUUAAAACGUGAACAUUCCGUGCUUCAUGAUUGACCUGGAAAUGAAGUGUCCCAAGUCAUAUAAGUAGAUUAGGCAAAUAUUGGUCUGGAAAAACAACUUCAGCACACAUAAUUAGACAGCCAAAUAACUUGAAUGCUAACACAUCAAUGGCCCUGUCAAGAUGGGCGAAAAAAAGUAAAAAACAAUGUGCAUCAAAAGCCAUAUGUCACAUUUCGCAUACAAUGGUGAACAAUAGAGCAGCCCUUUCUCUCCAUGAGGUUUGAAGGUCUAGCGUUACUCUGUCAUGUUCCCAUCCACAAUUUUCCCAACACCAAACCCCACACCCAUAAUAAAACCAACCCCACCCUCAGCUUCAAGAAAAGAUGUUAACAAUAUGAAAUAGUGGGAUUGGGGUUGUUAGGAAAAUCCUUAUGAUGUUAAAUAAAUCAAAGGCUACUAACGUGUUUAAUUGUUGAGUAACAGAUUAUGCAGAUGAUAUAAUAUGUAAAGGUUUUGUCCAGAAUCUAUUAUGAAGAUUUUCAGACUUCUAUGUCAAAGUCCGAAGACUGCCAGACUUUAGUGUCAAAGUCUGUUCUACAUAAGAAGUCUGCUUACUCCGACAAAUUCCAUACUAAACAUGAAUGAAGAACCAGAAGACAGAUUCUAUGCUGAAGCUGAACUUAUUCGGACUAUAUCAAGAUCUUAAAGCUAAAUCUAUUCAGAAACAGAAUAUGCUCAAACUCAGAUUGUAAAGUCUAUUGCUCUCAAACUUUACAUCUAGAACGAGACAGAACGUAACACAAGCCCCAAUCAUAUAACGACUAGUGAUCUGGUUUGAAUUCUAUAUCAAGAUUGAUUUGAUUGACUCAAUCUAAUUGGUUGACAAUUAGAUCUUGAAGACAAGAACUUUCUAUACGAAGAAGCUCUACUUAUGGAAACCAAGAUUCUGUUUGUAUGGGCAAUCGAAAUCAUUUUGGGAUUCUACUUUUAUCACUCAACGGCUACCAAAUCUUCUAGAUACAGAUCUGUCCAAUAGGUAGAUUGGAAGAUGAUCCUCAAGAUACUGUCCAACGGUUAGUUUGGAAGUGGAGGAGUAUUUAAGGAGAUGAAUGACCAAUGAGCAAGUAAGAGACGGAGCGUAGAAUUUAUAAUUCCAAAGUCUGAGCGACCUUCGAUCAUACACUUAUCUUUGGUAAGCUUAAAUGUUUGUGAUCACGAGAAAAAUACCAAAAGAGUGACUUAGCGAGAUAGUGUGAUCUACUACUAAGUGUUUGCACUCAAAGUUGUAAUCUCUUGUUGAUUGCUUAGUGGAAUCCAGCGAGGAAGCUGUUAGCGUGAGAGAGUGGACGUAAGCUUGAUCUAAGCCAAACCGCUAUAAACUCCGUGUUCUUAUUCUCUUCUUGAACUCCUUUAUUUUGUUCGUAGUUCUAUUUAACUACUAAAGUCUGAUCUCGCUCAAAGUCUGCUGUUAAUCAAACUCAGUUUCAAAAGUCUGUUGUUAUUCAGACUCAGGUUAAAAGUAAAGGUUUUCACCACUUUUUGCAUAAUAUGUUUUUACACCUAUUCACCCCCUCUAGGUGUUCAUACUAGCACUUUCAGGGGUGAAUUCACAAUCAAGGCGUGUUUACAUGUUGCCACAAGAGGCAAUUGGUUGUUGGUGGCGUGAGUCACAUCCUGCUAAUGGCAUAAAAAAAAAAAAAUCCAGGUCCAUGGUGAAAAUGCCCCUUGAACUCCAAAACUUACUAUCAUAAAUAACAAAGGAGAAACUAAAUCAAAAAAAGGGCCACAACGCAUGGGCAUGAUGUCAUAAUUGGCUAAGAACAGUUUUCAGCAAGAAACCAAAAAACAAAAGUAAAAUUUUAAAAUCAUUUGUGUUAAGACAAGAUGUUAUGCUUGCUACUAGUACUUUGAGAAAAAGUAUAGUCUAAAGUUUAUGCAACCUAUGAUCCUAUCAUAGGCCACAGGAAUGUUUGACUCUAAAAAAUGACCUUUUAUCAUGGAGAGAGAACAAUGGGACGUGACUUUGGGGGUACCAUUUCUUGUACCAAUUCCAUAACAGGUGCCUAGAAAAGUACAUUGGACCACUCUGUUAAACAAAGCUAAGACCAAAAGCACAAUUUUAAACAUCUUAGAACUAGCUCUAGCCUACAACAUAUCUGGCCCAGUAGUCCAACUGAAGAGGAGCUACUUCAUUUGAUUAGGGAGAGACAGACAUUAAUAGCACACAAAACACAAUCCCAUGAAGUUUCCAGCAAAUGAACUUUGUAAUGAAUAGUUGGAUGUCUUUACCCACUACAUUUAAGUAUUCAACCAACUCGAAGCUCCAAAGCUUAACAUUUACGACUCAAUUCACAUAACUAGAUACUUCGAUAAUUGGUGGUUCACAUAAAGACUGUGUGCACCCCAUUCUACUAGUGUUUUGUCUAUCGGUUGAUCUAAUGAAAACAUAAGAAAACAAUAUGUUAUGUAUGACCAAUUGUAAAUACAAAUAUGAGAGACAUAGAAAGUUCAAGAUCCACAUAAAGCGUCUAGACACUUCGAGGUAGAGUUGGCAGAGAAUUCUAGAUAAAUCUUAAUAGACCAAAAUUGAACAGUUGAAAGAACACGAUAGAAAAGAAACCAAUAAAAUUCACAAGUCCCAGGCAUAACAUGUUUUCAAUUUAUCUUACCACAAGAUCGAGUCCACAAAGGAUGCCAUAGCCCCUCCCAUAGAAUGCCCUGUCACCAUGACGUUGAUGUCUAUUGAUGGUUUUAUGUGAUGGGCUUAAGGCCCGACCGCCCAUGUUGGGCCUAAAAGCCCGGCCCACAGGAUUAGGGCCCAUGAAUGAAGGGGUAUGUUUCUAUUUUGGAGAGAACGCACCCUUUGGCAUAACGUACGUACGUUCCUCUCCCUCUCCCCCCCAAAAGAAAAGCUAAGGCAAAAAGGCGAUGCCGUCUUCCUUUCAAGGCCAAUCGACGUUAUUGGAUCGAACGAGAUCGGUUUUCUCUUCCUCUUAUCGGCAUUGGUGUUUAAUCUGUGGCUAACAAGGUACGCUCGAUUUCAUGAUGUGCUUUAGGAUCGGUGAUACAUGUUUUUCCCGGGCUUGUCUUCCGCAUUCGUUUAAUCGAUUUGUUGGAGAAAUCUUCUUGAAGUGUUUUGAAGCUGACAAAACGUUUCCAUUAGUCUAGUCUGAAGGUUUGCAGACUCAGCUACUUAAAGUCUGAAGACCUCUGGAUAGCCAGACUCAAGACUCAAAGUCUAUCCUCAUUGAUAGUCUCUAAUCCGUUGAAGAAAUGUUAUCUAGAACUGGAUGUUUCGUUAAUGAUUCAACCUUAUCAACUGGAGAAGAUCUCGUGGCUGGAAAAGACUUAACGGAAUCCUUUGAUUGAUCGAGAUUGAUUCGAUGAUUGAAGAUUUGAUAAUUGUCUAAAUAUUCUUGGAAGGUUUUACUUAUGGAAACCGAGAUCCUGAUUAUAUGGGUGAACAUGAUUGAUGGGCUAUCGACAUGUUCCUUUAAUAGCUCGAACAAUCUUCCUAAUUGAUUCCGUCCAACGAGUAGAUUGGAGGAAUUCCUUUGAUAAGUGCCAACGGGUAUGAUGGCAUAAAAGAGUAUAUAAGGAAGAUGUUCUAAGUUGUUCAUGGUGUGCGCGAUAGAAGAAUUUCAAAGUCUGAAGCUCCUUAUUGUUUAGACAAUUACUUUGAGCGAUAAACAUUGUAUUCAAAAGAGAGUCUAUAUUUGUGAGAAACCUUGAGGAGAUGUGGUAGAACAUCUACACUGUGGAAUCAAGGAAAAGCUGUGUUGUAAUUACUCUUUUGAUCAUAGUGAAAUCCAGCCAGUGGGCUGUCAGUGCGGAAGAGUGGAUGUAGGCUUGGAAUAAGCCGAACCACUAUAAACCCUGUGUUCAAUUCUCUCUUCCUUACUCUCUUUACUUUGAUCGUACUUCAUUUUCGUUAAUCAAUAGUGAACUUCCUUUCUAUCGUUUGCCAAGAAUUGCUUCCGUAUUUCGAUAAAUUGUUUAUGCACCUAUUCACCCCCCCUCUAGGUGCUUAUACUAGCUAUCUCACGAUUUAAUGUCGAAUCCGAUUUUUGGGAAUCUGACAAUCCUAAUAUUGGUAUCAGAGUCCUAGUUCAUGUUUUCCUGACCCCUUUGAUGUUUUUUGAUUGAUUUUUCGCGAAGGCCGACACGGAUCGGGGCGAAAAAUCUCGACAUUGGAGCACUGUUUAUCCACUUUUUCGAGUUUUUAUAAGUCAAAAUCGAUUUCUGAAGGCAUAAGGUGAAAUAGCUCGUCGAGAUGAGUCCGUCAAUGUGUCGUGCGCCGCCGGGCGACGCCGGACGCGCCCACACGCGCGGCUAGAAGCUGCUGUGUGUGGGCGCGACGCGCCCGAAGUGCUGACUCGGCCAGCGCGUGCGCCACACGCGCUGGUCGGUGAACCGGCACGCGUCGGUUGGCGAACCGACGCGUGAUGACGUCACCAUGAUGUCACCCAACGGUCAGUAACCGUUGGGAUGACGUCAUCGAUGACGUCAUCGCCGGCGACAGUUGGCCGGCCGGCGACCCGACUUGACUCGAGAUCUGACCGGUCACUCGCGCGUGCGAGGCACGUGCCGGGUCGGUUUGUCCGACCCGGCCCGACCCGCUGCCCGUUGACCGUUGACCGACGACUAUCGACCGUUGACCGUCGACCGUUGACCUGAAGAAAAAAAAAAUCUGUUUCUUUUUCAAUUAUGUCUAUGUGGGUUAUAAAUAAUCCAUUGUUAAUUCUACAUUUGUUGCAUAAAUCAUGAAAAAUUAUAUAUUUUCCCUUAUGUACAUUAUGGAUUAUAAGUGAUCCAUUUUUAGUUCUGCAUUUGUUGUAGGAACUAUGAUGCGUUAUGCACGGAUACUUGCAAUCCCGAAAACGGACAAGGGAAGUGCAAGACUUAAAAGGCUAAUGACAGAGUUAGUUAAUUAUCGAUGGCAUGACAGUAAUUUAGUAUCACAUGUGGUCAGAGUCAAUCAAAUGAUACAGAAAAUCAUCUGGAAUGGUUAUCUUUUGCCGGAUUUUGAGAAGGUGCCGGCUUUGAUGAAUACUGUUCCACCUGAAUGGCAAGCAGUAUUAGAUCGGCUAUGGGAGGUCAACGUGGUCCCAGGUUAUAGGAGGCUAGUGGUAGCUUUUGUUAGAGAGUAUUAUAUGAUUGAGUUGACCAAAACUUCGACCAUUAGAUUGAGCACCACAUGGCGCAGAGAGAAUGCGCCUUGGAGGCGACAUGAAAGCUCUCCAAAGGUUUUCCAUGAUUGGCAAAUAUGCCUUCAAAUUUCUCAGAUAUUUUGACUGAUAGAUUAGAAGGGACAUUCCUUAUUUAUUUCUUAGAUUAGUUUGAGAUGUUUUUAGGUGUGAAUAUCUUUUUCUAUGUUGAUAUUUCUUUAUAUAUAUUGCUUAGUGUAAUGGAUAGUUGUAUUAUUUGAAAGCAUUAUCAUUAUAUUGGAUGUCAAAUAUUAUUUGCUUUCUAUUGUUGUUGACUGAUGCGGGUAGUUCAUAGAAGUUUUUGUAACUUCAUAGAAUUUAUUUUGCAUAAGACAAUUAUAUUAAUAAUAAUUUUAAGUUAUGAUUUUUGGAGGAUGAUUGGAAACAUAAUGACAUUUUGAUUCUGAAACCUUACUUGAAAUUGUUCAUUGAUAUGAUGGGUCUGUGCAAAAUGGAUGCAUAAAUUAUAGGUAUUAAUUAUUCGUGCAUAUAUUUAUCUGAUGUGUUCAGAUCAAUGGUUUCAACAACUAAGAAGGUAAUUGUUGAUAUGAACGGCAACGAUUGUGAAAUAUUGAAUAUGAAUAUUCAAUAUGUGCUGGAAAAACAAGAAGCACUAGAAGCUCUUGACCAUAUUAUGGAAGAUCUUGAGAAUGCCAUGCGUCAUCUUGAGCUAGCAGAGGACCGCCUAACGGCAUUUGAGCCGAAAAUAGAUAUUUGCAAUGCUAAUUCUAGCUCAGAAAGGGCUUUGAGCUCUAAGCGCAAGCAUAUUAAUUCGUUCAAUAUGUGGGAAUGCAAAUGAUCAAGUCCUUAUUGCAAGAAAUCAAGAGUUAACCAACACAAGAGAGGAAAACGUCCUCAAGUGAAGAAAAUGUCAAGGGUGAGAUGUUACAAUUGUGACAAGAAAGGUCACUAUGCUCGUAACUAUUGUGAGCCGAAAAAGGUAAACACCUCUUGUACAUUUGAUAACUUUGCUUAUGUGUUAAGUUCUGUAUUAUUGGCUGAAUCCGAUCCUUUGUGGACUAUAGAUUUAGGAACGACAGACCAUGUAGCGAAGGAUAAAGAAUCCUUUGUGGAAUUCCGACUAUUCCAACUGGAACUAAGUGGAUCUAUGUGGGAAAUAACUCUAAAGCUGAAGUUAAAGGGAUUGGCACCUGCCAAUUGAACAUGCGUGGUGGACGCACCUUGUUCCUACAUGAUGUUCUAUAUGCUCCGGAGAUUCGUCGAAAUUUAGUGUCUGUUUUGGUGUUGGUUAAGCUUGGUUUUAGUGUGAACUUCCAUAAUAAUGGUGUAGAUUUGUAUUUAGAUACAAACUACUAUUGUUAUGGUCACUUUUUGGAUGGUUUUAUUGUACUAAAUGUUGACUGUGGUGAUGUCAAUAUUUGUUAUCCCAUUGUUUCACGUCUUCUACUUCAUAUGAUAAUGAUGUGAAUAUGUGGCAUGCUAGACUUGGUCAUAUUGGCCAACAACGUAUGAAUAGACUAGCCAAAGAGGGCUUGUUGAGCAACAUUGAAAAAGUCGAUUUGUCCAGAUGUGAGCAUUGCCUAGUAGGGAAAACGACAAGGAAACCAUUUGGAAAAGAUAAAAGAGCUGAAUUUCCUCUGCAUUUAAUCCAUUCUGACGUUUGUGGUUCAAUGAAUGUGAUAGGAAGGGAUGGGGUUGUUUAUUUCAUCACUUUUAUAGAUGAUUAUACUCGAUUCGGAAAUGUCUAUUUGAUUUAUCAUAAAUCUGAAACAUUAAGUUGUUUUAAAAGGUUUAUGAACUUGGAAGGAAAUCAAUUAGACAAGAAAAUAAAAGUAUUAAGAUCCGAUCGAGGUCGAGAAUAUUUAUCUGAUGAGUUUAGAAAAUUAUGUGAUGAAAAGGGAAUAGAAAGACAGUUGUCUAUUCCAUAUACUCCUCAACAAAAUGGUGUUGUAGAGAGAAGAAACAGAACCCUAAUGAAAAUGGUUAGGUUCAUGAUGGCGCAUGCUAACUUACCUAUCACUCUUUGGAGUGAUGCGUUGUUAACUGUUGCCUAUAUAUUUAACCGGGUGCCUUCUAAAUCAAUUACUUCAACUCCAUAUGAGUUAAGGACAGGUAGAAAAUCGAACUUAAGUUUUCUUAAGCCAUAGGGUUAUGUUGCCUAUAUUCAUGAGUCCUCUCACAAGUUUGGGAAAUUGAGUCCUAGAGGAAAGAAGAUUAUUUUCAUAAGAUGCUCUGAACACUCGAAAGGGUAUGUGUUCAUAGGUGAGCAGAAAAGUGAGAGUAUAACUGAAUUUGAAUCACGGGAUGUCACAUUCUUAGAGGAUGAAUUUCCUAAGAAGGGUGAAAUAGGGGAAGAUUACUUCCUAUUUAUAAUCUUGGAUCAAAAUAAUGAUAUUAGUGGAGUUUGUCCAAGUGGGAGUAAUAUGAGAAGUGAUGAAUUGAAUUCAACUCAUUCUCAAUUGCAACCACAUGAUGAGACGACGUCAUCAUUAUCUAAUCCUAGUGGGAGCAUAAUGAGGAAUGAUGUAUUAAGUGUACAAUCUCCCAUAAGGCGAACAAGUCGCCAAAGUAUUCCCCGUCGACGUUUUGAUAUUGAAGGAGAAACUUUAAUGAUUGCUCCGCAAGAUAAGGAUAAGCCAAGAAAUAUUAAUGAGGCUCUGAAUUGCCCUAGUAAGGAAAAAUGGAUUCAUACAAUGGAAGAGGAAAUGGAGUCAAUGAAAUCAAACCAAGUCUGGGAACUGGUUGAUCUUCCAAAAGGACACAAAGCUAUUGGGAACAAGUGGGUUCUCAAAAUAAAGCGAAAAGCUGAUGGCUCGAUAGAAAGAGAUAAGACUCGCCUUGUGGCAAAGGGAUAUAAUCAACAGGAAGGAAUUGAUUAUGAAUAAACAUUUUCUCCUGUAGUGAGAUUUACCUCGAUUCGCAUUGUUCUAGCAAUAGUGGCUAGUAUGGAUCUUGAGUUACAUCAAAUGGAUGUAAAGACUGUUUUCCUCAAUGGAGAAUUAUAGGAAGAAAUAUAUAUGAAACAACCUACUGGUUUCAUUAAAGAAAGCCAAGAAGGAAAGGUAUGUUGACUUUUGAUAUCGAUAUACGGCCUUAAGCAGUCAUCGAGAUAAUGAUAUAUACGUUUUCAUAAUGCCAUAAUGGCAUAUGACUUUACAAUGAUAGAUGAUGAUCAUUGUGUAUAUAUCAAAAGAUCCAAUGAUCAAUUUGUGAUCAUAUCAAUAUAUGUUGAUAAUAUACUAAUUGCCGGAAGCAAUAUGGAGUUUGUUAAUACUGUCAAUAGUUGGUUAUCUUCCAACUUUGAGAUGAAGAAUAUGGGUGAGGCUGCAUAUGUUCUUGGAGUUAAGAUUUCAAGAGAUCGUUCGAAGAGAUCGUUAUCUCUUUCGCAAAAAACAGAUAUAAAUAAGGUUCUUGAAUGAUUUAGUAUGCAAGAUUGACACUCCUAUUGCAAAAGGUGAAUGAUUGAGCCAUAAACUGUGUCCAAAGACUCCACAAGAGAAUGAACAAAUGAAACAUGUUCCUUAUGCUAGUGCUGUUGGAAGCUUGAUAUACGCUAUGAUCUGUACAAGACUUAACAUAUGUUUUGCAGUUGGAAUGCUGAGUAGAUACCAAUCCAAUCACGGUCAAGCACGUUGGAAAGCCAUUAAGAGAAUACUGAGGUAUCUAAAAGGGACUGCUGAUUAUACGCUGAGUUAUUAAGGAAAAUAUCUGCAACUCAAAGGCUAUUCUGAUGCUGAUUGGGGAGGAGAUUUAGAUGAAAGAAAAUCUACCUCUGGGUUUGUUUUCUUACCGAAUAAUAAUUGCGCCAUAUGUUGGAGUAGUAAGAAAUAAACAUGUAUAGCCUUGUCUACGAUGGAAGUUGAGUUCGUGGCAUUAUCAGCAGCAGUAGUAAGAAGAUGUUUGGUUUAAGAGAUUUUUGGAUCAUUUAGGUGUUAUUGAGAAAGCUGCAAAUCCAUUGUUGGUUAACUGUGAUAGCCAAGCGGCAAAAGUGUACACCAAAGAUCCAAAAUAUCAUGACAAGACCAAACAUAUAGAUAUCAAGUAUAAUAUUGUCAAAAAUAUGAUUGCACGAAAAGAUGUGAACUUACAGUACAUAUUACGCAUAGAAUGGUAGCAGAUCCUAUAACAUAACCAAUAUCUAGAGAUGUGUUUUGUGGCCAUAUGAAAUCUCUAGGAUUGCGUAGAGGCUGAUGUACUGAAUAUUGCAAUUUCCAUAAGUGUUCACAUUUGAUGAAUUUGUGUUUUUUCAUCAUUAAUACCUAUGAUUCUUUGUUUAAUCUUUAUGCAUCUUAAUGCUCAGUGCAUUACUUUAAGUUGAGAAAGUAUGUCGGACAGAUAUAAGAUUGGCCCACUCACACGGGUAAUCGCCUCUAUUUACUGUGUGAUAAAUAGAGAUGAGACUGUUUUUAAGCUUAUUAUCUAGGUGAUAAUCGAGAGCUCAAGCUUAAAAUAUGUAUGUCGCCUUAACUGAGUGUUAAGAUGAGGACAUAAUAUUUACUGUGUCCAAAAGUAAAAUAACCCACAUAUUUUACUUUAUCUGUCUAUGAUGCCAGAUGUGAGUUCUGAUGAAUUUUGUAAAUGAGUAGAUACAUGAAUUUAAGUUAGACAUUGGGUAUGUCUGAACUAUCAUCUGUACGGUAUUUAAGGUGUAGACAUAUGCUCUAUGGGAAAUGAGUUAAUACCAUAAUACGUAUUUCAUACUACGUAUGCAUGAGACGACCAAUAAGAGUGGCAAAAGUUUGAUCUCAACUUUUAUGUCUUGUGAGACUCUUAAGGAAAAGAGUUCCUCAAUUUUUUAGUCCCCUCAUGACUUUUACUUAUUCUCAAGAUUUCUAUUUAGUGUUUGUUGUCUUAAGAUGUUGCCAAUGGUCAUGAGUUGAUUCGAUCUAAUGGGACAUUUCUAGAAAAGCAAACUGAAUUGAAAUUGAGAGUUUGAAGGAAAGAGAAAGAUCGAAUUUGGAGAAUCACAUUAUAGUUUUGUAUUCACUAGUUAACCAAUUAUGACUGUUUUUGGGAUAAUAUAUAUAUAUAUACCAUAAAGGGGUUAGGAUCGGAGUACUAUAUGAGAGAACAAGAAUGUAUAGAGAUUAACAGAACUAUAUGAAAGCAGGGAAGAAUGUAUAAGAACAAGAAGGUAAAUGACUUAAAUAAAAUCGCGAGAAUUAAAGAUAAUGUAAAGACUGAAAGCAAUAUAUAUAAUAUAAAGUAAGAGUAUGCAUAAACAAAAACCAACCAUGAAGGUGGUAUGAACUUGUAUAUAAAGCUGAAAAGCUGAAAUUACAUGUAUUGAAAGAUGCAGAAACUAAAGCAUCAAGUCAUCCACUAGGGCGGUAAUCCGCACUCCAGGGAGUAUUGAUGUUUGUAUUACAAGAAAUGGUUAACCAACUAUCAUGUAAGUUGGUAACCCUGUAUAAAACGAUGUAUAUGAAAACUAACUUACUUUGAAACCAGGGGAUACAAGGUAAGAGAGGUUGGAGAUGGAAGAGAGGAUGGUUUACAAGUGAGAGGGAGAGUGAAGAAGAGAGAAAUCUGGAAAAUUUCGAGGUCCCCUCUUCUAUGUCGAGUGGGUGUAUUUAUAGAGGGUGCUACAGUGAAAGUGCUACAGUGCUGAACAGUGUAAAGUGAACAGUGUAAAGUGAAUAGUGAACAGUGAACAGUGAACAGUGUACGAACAGUGUAUGUCUACUAUGCUCCGGUGUGUAGCCUUUGCGCCGUUUGUAAUAGUAUUUGCAUGUGAUGUCUUUUAAUCUCUAUCCAGAUUGAUCCCGUAGCAGUCGUCUUCAUUAGUGUUUCCACUGUGAUAUGAUUGGGAGGAUCCGUCUUGACUGUUUUGAGAUUUGGAAGAUCCACAUUGUGAUUCUUCUGCUUCUGAGAGCAUCGUCCUGAGGAUGUUGCAGUAUUCCUCUCUGUUUUGGACUGCUGCAAGUGCUGCACUUGCCAUGGAUUUUUCCUGUAAAAACGAUGUAUUUGAUGGGGAUGCGAUUAUUUGGGUUUUCUGGCUAUUUAGCCAUGUUUUAACCGCAGCUUCGGAUCCUUGAUCAAGAAAUCUGAAUCGAUCUCACCAUUUUGUUUGUAUUUUCGGACAAGUACUGGUACACCCGGUUUAUUGGAUGUAUUGUAUUCAAAUUCCCAUGCUGUUACCCAAGAGAUUCUGAAUAUGAUGAAGAAAUGCAUAAGGCAUGGGAACCUUAUAUCAUGAGGUAUUGGUAUGAAGCGUUCACUGAAAAUCUUGUAUCCCUGUUUGACUGUGGGAUGUAAUAUUAUGUCCAAAUGACCAAAGAGAUCCCACCAGGAGUCAAACCAGUUUGGUAGGCUUUGUCUUAGGAAGUUGUCUUUGAAGAAUAAUAACCAGGAGUGUUGGAAAUUUGUAUUCUGUCUGAAAAAGACGUUCCACCAAGCUUGUUGGUAGUCCCAGUAUGUAUAUGAGGAGGAGUAUGGCAGGCUUUGGGUAAGUCUGGUUUGGAAUUUUCUGAGUGUAUGGGGUGAGGCUCCCCAGUGUGAGGGGUGUAUGACUUUACUGAUGGAUAUAGUGGAAUAAAGGAUAUUUUCUGUAUUGUUUUUAUCAGUAAAGUGAGUGAACCUUGCCGAUUCUGUUUCCACUAAAAUUUGCUCAUAAUAAGCAAGGGUUUUGUUUGUAUUGUGAGGUUUGAAAAGCCAAUUUUUUGGAAAUAUGGUUUUUGCAAAUUUGAUUGGAUCUUUAUCAAAUAAUCCAUCUUCCACAGUAAAUAUUUUUUGAAAAGAUGUUUUGGGAAAAAUUUUUGAUCUUUGAGAAGGAGGGGUUGCCUGGGGCUUUAUAACCACCUCAUUCGAAAUUCUUUUGUAUUCCGCUUGUUUUUGUGUAGCAAGCGGGGAAGAAUUGUUACUUACCUCUAUGGCACUGGAUGGCUCUUUCUUUACGUUUUGUAAAAACUGGGCAAGUAACAAUAUUGUUUCUUUUGGUAGUAUGUUGGCUAACUGAUUAAAGGUCCAGACUAGAAUUAGAUUUCUUGGUCAUUACAUCCAUUUAGGUACUAUAACCCCUUUAUGGUAUCAGAGCCAGUAGGAAAGUAUAGAUAGUCUUUGUAAGAACAUACACUUAGAUAGAGAGCCAUUCGUUGGCAUCCUUCUUGUUUCUACAGAGUGGUCCAGGCCGUAAGUCCCUGAGUGGCUAUUAGACCGUUGGUUUAGCUUUGUAACGGUUCUGGAGAAGGAAUAGUUCCGGUCUAAGUAUGAGCUUACUUAGAAGAUCUACAUCUUCCUCUAGUUCUCUAUCACAAAUGGACUCAGAUCCAAGUCCUAUACAUAGAGAAGAAGUACGGAUAGAAGAUUUCAACAAAUCUAUAGAAAAUUGGGAAAUUCCUAAAAUACAACUUAAGGAAAUAUACAAGCAAUCAAAGUUGAAGUUUUUCAAAAAAUCAGACUAUGUCAUAUCUACCGAAGAAAGAGAUGUUCCUCUUUCUAAUUCCUAUGAAAAAAUACAUCUUUUGAAUAAAGAGUCCAUCCAAAAGCACAAACAAAAAUACAAUUACAUUCAUAUAGGACUAGUCCAAGUAGGAGUCAAACCUCUUACAAAAGAAGGCCUUAAUACUUCUAUUCUCUUAGUUUUAAGAGAUUCACGUCUUCUAAACUACGAUGAAUCCAUUCUUGGUACUGUAGAGACAAGUCUCUGCAAAGGACCCAUACAUUUUGACUGUUACCCCAAUUUUUCUGUAUCUCUCAAAGAUAAGAACAUUCUUAGAGCCCUAACACUCCAAAUCAAAACCCAUAAUUACAAAGUGGCAGAUGGUUCUAUUCCUUUAGCCCUUGUUUAUAGAAUUCAUUAUAAAGCCAUGUCCUCCGCCUUUGGAGAAAAUGCUUUCAAACAUAGUCCUCGAGGAGAAACGCUUCUCCUCCAAACUGACAUUUCUAGAGCUAAUACAACUAUUCCUAGAUCUAUUAAUUGGAACCAAGUUACUUUACCAGAACAAUGGGAAUUAGAAAACCAAAUUCCCCAACAAGUUGUUCAAAAUACAGAUCCGACUAAUGUCAUUCAACAUCCAGAAGGAAGAGUGACCAUUAUAUUUCCUAGAAGAUUUUUCGAUUCAAGAUCUAGUCCUUCUUUUCAUAAUUCUUAUACGAGGUCCAUAGAUCUUAAUCCUAAUCUUCCUCCUAUAAUCACCAUUCCCCCCAGUACGCACAGGAACACUCCUCCUCCUAGUAUACAUAGAGAAACUCCCACACAUGAUACAACACCUUUACCUCCUUCCACCAGUAGAAGUAAUCAAGAGACACCUCCUGAACCAGAAAUUAGCGGUUUAGAUAAUAGAUCAGGGAUUUCUAGGCCAGUUUAUCAACAAAACUAGCCUGAACCAGUCCUAGAAAAUACAGAUUCCCCUCGUCAUUCUCCUACUUAUUCUCAAAUGAUAGAUGCUGAGCUUAAUGUUUUAGAAAAACAUUUUGAACCAAACAAAACUUUUCUUAAUAAAGAAUUUAAUUCUGAAGACAACAAACAAAUCAGAGAAUGGUUCUUCAAAACCUUUGCUGACAAAGCAAUAUACAUCAAACAGAAAUAUUACGACUACAUAUACAAAUAUGAAGUCCAUAUAUUCUUCUUUGAUUGGUUAGAAGAACAAUUCAUUGAACCAAAAGAAAUACUUAUUUUAGAUUAUCAUUAUAAGUGGAAACUUGAUAAUGGUGAAACCAUAGAAUCCAAUCAUCCACCACUUAGAAGAAUAAAAAUACAACAUAGAGAAAGUGAGGUUACAGCUACUCCUUUUAGACUUCCAGAUCAAGGAGACUCUCUUUAUACUCAUAAAGUCAUCGAACAAAAUAAUUACACUAAUCAACAUUUAGCGACCAUAGGAAAACAGUUGAAUAGGAUAGAAUCCACUAUUCAGAAUCCAACUCAACUCGUCACACCGCAAGUCGACACUUUCAAAAAACCCAUUUUCAAAGCCUUUGAAUUCCCAAAAAACCUUAGCCCAGAGUUUGCCAAAGCCAUAGAACAAAAGAAAAAACUCCUAGGAAAAACAAAGCUAGAACCUACUCCGAUUAUAGACACCCCUAAAUUCCAGAAUCUUAUUAUUAGAGACACCCCUGACCAACCCACUAUCAGUACAUUGACCAAACAAUCUGGUGACUCUGAUAAUGAAUCAGUCGCUGAGAUUAAUAGACUCAAUUGGAGAUAACCUCAGAAACUUUAUUAUAGUAGGGCUACUCCACCUGACAUCGCCCAAGAAGAAUCAUCAUAGAAAAUACAGAAUAAAUACUCUCCUGAUGCCAUUUAUGAAUGGAAUAUAGAUGGUGUUGCCGAAAGCAAUAUCAUGAUUAUUCUAAAUAACAUGGUCAUGCUUGCCAAUGCUUACAAAACCCAGCAAGAUGUUUCUGAUCAUGCUGUUGCUAAUCUUUUAGUAGCCGGAUUUACUGGACAACUAAAAGGUUGGUGGGAUAAUUAUUUGACUGAUGAACAAAGAAUACAAAUUUUAACUGCCUAUAAAAUAGAUGAUUUUGGCCAACGCAUGGAUGAUGAUCAAGGACAUCUCAUCCAAGAUGCGGUGAAUACUCUUAUCUAUUCCAUUUCACAACACUUCGUAGGAGACCCUUCACAUAUUAGAGAUAGGAAUCAAGACCUCUUAUCCAAUAUGCGUUGCAAAUCCUUAGGAAGGUUUAGGGAAUACAAAGAACUCUUCCUUCAAAGGGUUCUCAUCAGACCUGAUUGCAAUCAACCCUUUUGGAAAGAAAAAUUCUUAGCAGGUUUACCCCAAAUUAUAGGUGAUCAAGUUAGGGAUAAAAUUAGAGAAGAAUACAACGGCCAAAUACCUUAUGAUCUUCUUCCUUAUGGUGAAAUAAUCUCUUAUGUUUACUGUCAAGGAUCACAAAUGUGUAAUAAUAUCAAAUUACAAAGACAGCUCAAGGAAGAACAAUCUCUCACCAAUAGAAGUUUAGGAGAUUUCUGUGCUCAAUACGACCCUUCUUAUAAUGAAAAAACAAAACCAAAAUGUAAGGGAACUUGUCCCUCUGAGAAAGAAACAAAGAAACAUCACAACAAAUCUCAACCUCGUAGGAAUAAACAAAAACACCAGAAUAACCAAAAUAGACCUCAUAAUGAUAGGAAAAAUUUUAAAGACAUCAAAUGUUAUUCUUGUGGUAAAAAAGGUCAUAUUUCAAAAUACUGUAGGAUUAAUAAAAAAUUAAAUGAACUCUCUCUUGAUGACAAUACUCUUAACCAGCUAAAUAACAUAUUCAUAGAAAAUUGUGAUACUUCUUCUGAUGAACUUCUUGAGGAAGAAGGUCUUCAGAUUAAUGAAAUAGAUUCCUCUUCUGAUUCUGAUUAUGAAGCGCCUCUCCUGAAAAACCCGUUCCUAAAAUAAACAUGCUAACAAAAGAAGAAGAAUUUCUCCUUAGCACUGCUGAUAAGAUUACUGACCCCGAAGCCAAGAAAGAAGACUUAGAUAGACUUCAUUCUUCCCUAAAUAUUACUUCCAAGCCCAAUACUUCUUACAAUUUAAAAGACAUCUUGAAUAGAAACAAAAAAUCUCAGUCUAGACCCGUUAAUAUAAAUGACCUCCAAAAUGAAAUAAAACUACAAAAAUUAGAAAUCCAAGCCUUGAAAGCAACACAGUUAGAUAUGAAAAAAGAAAUUUCUGAUAUAAAAUCUUUUGUCAUAAAAGGAAAAACAAAAUUAGAAGACCAAAAUGAAAUCACCAAUACAUCUGACAUUCCAGAUCCAACCUUCCUUAUGUUAUUAACAAAAAUAACAUCUAGAAAAUGGAUAAUAAAUAUUAUGAUAAAAAUCAACAAUGAGUUUAUUAUUGAAACAACAACACUCUUUGAUACAGGAGCUGAUCUCAAUUGUAUCAAAGAAGGACUUGUUCCAACAAUAUACUUUGAUAAAACUUCCGAAUCCCUAAAAUCAGCAUCAGGUGAUAAACUUAAUAUCCAAUGCAAAUUACCAGAAGCCUUAAUAAUAAAAGAUCAAAUGUCUUACAAAACAUCUUUUCUCUUAGUAAAAAAUAUGAGGCAACAGGUAAUUCUUGGAACACCUUUUAUUCAAUUAAUCCAACCUUUUACAGUUACUAAUGAAGGCAUUGAAACUCAUGCUUUAAACAGAAAAAUCACUUUUAAUUUCGUGACAAAACCUCAAAAAAGAAGCCUAAACAUUUUGCAAGAACAUUCUAUUUCUGAAAUAAAUUGUCUCAUAAAAGACAAAGAAAACCAGCUUGAAUUCCUAAAAGAAGAUUUAGAAUUCAAAAGAAUAGAAGAAAAUCUUAUAAAAUCCAACAUGGUAGAAAAAAUAGCCUCCCUACAAAAACACGUAGAGAAAACUAUAUGCUCUACUCUACCCAAUGCCUUUUGGGAAAGGAAGAAGCAUAUCGUUGAUUUACCUUAUGAACAAGAUUUUUCUGAAAUUAAAAUACCUACCAAAGCUCGCUCGACACAGAUGAAUCAAGAAGUUUUGAAAUUCUGUCAAGCGGAAAUACAAGACCUCUUGAAUAAAAAAUCAUAAGAAAAAGCCAAUCACCAUGGAGUUGUUCGGCUUUUUAUGUCAAUAAAAAUGCUGAACUAGAAAGAGGAGUUCCCAGGUUAGUUAUUAAUUAUAAACCUCUUAAUACAACCCUUAGAUGGAUAAGAUAUCCUAUACCCAAUAAAAAAGAUUUACUAAACAGACUUUGUAGAUCAAAAUUAUUUUCAAAAUUUGACAUGAAAUCAGGAUUUUGGCAAAUACAAAUAUGUGAAAAGGAUAAAUACAAAACAGCUUUUACUGUCCCUUUUGGUCAAUAUGAAUGGAAUGUUAUGCCAUUCGGUCUCAAAAAUGCCCCUUCAGAAUUCCAAAGAAUCAUGAAUGAUAUCUUCAAUCCUUAUUCCGAUUACAUCAUUGUUUAUAUAGAUGAUGUUCUAGUUUUUUCCUCUAAUAUAGAACAACAUUUCAAACAUCUUUCUACUUUCAUAAAAAUAAUUAUACAAAAUGGUCUAGUAGUCUCUCCUACUAAGGUUGCAAUAUUCCAUAUAUAUAUAUAUAUAUAUAUAUAUCAUUGUUUGAAAGAGAUCAAGAGAGAUAUAAAUGUGAUCGAUCGAUCUAGGGUACUGCAUACUAAAUCUACUCAGGAUGUGAUGCCCAUUAUGAGCUGCUAUAUAUUCCUAACAAAUGUAUGGCAACGAGCUCUCAAAGUAUGCUGGUCGCAUGGAUUAUUCACCGGUAUGAAUGUUGAAGAGAGGUAAAGAGAAUCAUGUUCGGCCCAGCAUGUGCGAGUGGGAGAUGAUGGUUUUAUGUGAUGGACUUAAGGCUCGUCCGCCCAUGUUGGGACUAAAAGCCCGGCCCACAGGAUUAGGGCUCAUGAAUGAAGGGGUAUGUUUCUAUUUUGGAGAGAACUUAUAUAAGGGAGGAAAGAGAGGGAGAACGCAGCCUUUGGCAUAACGAACGUACGUUCCUCUCCCUCUCUCCCCCCAAAAGAAAAGCUAAGGCAAAAAGGCAACGCCGUCUUCCCUUUAAGGCCAAUCGACAUUAUCGGAUCGAACGGGAUCGGUUUUCUCUUCCUCUUAUCGGCAUUGGUGUUUAAUCUGUGACUAACAAGGUACGCUCGAUUCCGUGGUGUGCUUUAGGAUCGGUGAUACAUGUUUUUCCUGGGCUUGUCUUCCGCAUUCGUUUUAAGGGUUCGAUUUAGUGUCGAAUCCGGUUUUUGGGAAUCCGACAAUCCCAACAUCUACUUAUAAAUCCUUUGCUCUUAUAAUAGCAUCUAAAAUACCAAGUCUAAUUGUCGUAUUGUGAUAAGCAAAAUAGAAUCCAUGAUGAACCUAAGCAACAAUCAAUAGAGUUAGACUACAACUCAAUCCAAAUCAGAAGUAUCCACAGGUUGCAAGAGGCUUGUCAUCUCUAAAACUCACCAUGGCACCAAGCAUGCUGGGGUAAUUUAUGUCAAGAUGUUUCCAAUAGAGAUCUUCAACCUAAUUUUGUAUGCUAUAGACAUAAAUAAAAGUAUUCACUAACUAAAAAGCUCAAAUAAUAAAGAAAGGUGACGGAAUUUUUCACAGAACAAAAUUAGUGAAGUAUGUGAGGAUCGAACAAAUCUAUCGACACAAGUUGUUCAUGGGAGAAAAUUGAGUUAUUUGAGCCUUAGAGGAUUAACAGGGCAUCUCCUCAUGACUCCAUCUGAAAUUACAAGAAAGUAACUUCCGUGUCUUGGUGGAAAUCAUUCACCCGUUUUCAAUUCGUGUGGACAGCAGUCCCAUAUGCCUUGUGUAUGCAUUCACUGAGGCUGCUCUUCUUAGCUUUUCGUCAAAUCCUUUGCAUGUCAAUUGUAAGAGGAGGAAUUGCAAAAGUUAACAUGCAUACCUAUGUUCUUGGGUACCUCUGAAAGCCAUAACCAUAACAUUAAGGUCCUUGGCCACCCCAACAUAUGCUUAUAUAUAUAUAUAUAUAUAUAGUUUAGAAAUGAGACAAACAAUUAGAUGCAAUUCAAACAUAGAGGCAUCACAAACAUCCAGUUUGAUAGGCCACUGUAAAACGAUUUAUAUACCUAUAAGCAGUGCUAAACGUGAACUAUCAGUUCAAUGACUUCGAACCCCUGCUUUCACAUCAAAAAGGCAUUAAUAACUAGUUUAGAAGGUCAUAAGAUGAGGCAGCAUAUGCCAACAAACUCUCAUCUUAAGAAUUACGCAUUUAGUACUAAAGAUCCAUUCUUCACGCAAACUUAGCAACAAUGCUAUAUUAAAAAGUAGUCAAAUUGCCUUGGUCUUUCCAUCACGUCUAGGACAUGUCCAACCAGAAAGUUCUGUCAAAUCGAACAUGUAAACCUGCAAUAAAAAGCUUUGCAUUAAAUUACAAUUUUAUUGCAUUGAAAUGGUGAAACCUGAUGAGUAACAACAACAAGCUCUAGGUAAUGCAAAAAUCUUUAUAUAGAGCACUUAUAGCAGAUGCAUACUCCACCAAUAUCAUGGCAAGAAUGUGAUUGUAAACAACUUUAUGACCCCUAGAUGUCACUUUAGGUUCUGCAUUUACCAGUAGAUAAAAUUUCAGGUUGAAAUGCGGUCACAAGGUCAUUCAAUCACAAGCAAGGAAUCAAGUUUCUUAUGCCUCUAGCUAGAGUUGGCAAAAUGGGUCAUAAACCCAUAUUAUGACCCAUUUAACUAAAAAUGGGUCAUAUAUAAGUUAAGUGAACGUUAAAUAUAGGUCAGAAAUUGGUAAAGUGAAAGUUCAAUAUGGAUUAGAAAUGGGUCUGAGAAAUUAAAACACAAAAAAAAAAAAAAAGGAUCUAAAUGGGUUAUUAGGAAAGGAAACCCACUUUAAAGUUUAAGCUUAUGGCCUUUUUUAGUUUUAUAUAAAAAAUUUAAUAAAAAUUCAAAAUUAUAAUUAUUUUUCAUAUUUCAAAUUUUUUUCUUUUUCUUUUUUCUUUCUUUUUCUUCCUUCCUUAGCUGGCAACUGGCAGGGCGACGGCCAACCCGCGAUAGGCGAGGCAAGGCUUGAGCUCUCCAACAGGUCAAUUAAAAAUAAAAAUAAUUAAAUUCGAUUAAAAAUUAUAAUUAUAUUUUUUAAAAAUUAAAAUAAUUAAAAAUUAUAUUUAAAAAAUUAAAAAUUCGAUUAAAAUUAUAUUUGAAGUUUUAAUCCAAUGAGCAUAUAGUAUAAGUGGGUUUUCCUAGAAUAUUAAUAGGUUUUAGCAAUGCAGGUCUAGUCGGGUAUGGGUCAGAUACGGGUAGCGUUGGGUAUGAGUCACAAGAUUUACAUUACAAAAAUAUAGGUCAAAACGGGUUAAAUGGGUCAAAUAUGGGUCGACCCAUUUUCGACCCGACCCAUACCCAACGCGACCUACCCAUUUGCCACCCCUACCUCUAGCAAGCCAUUUUGACAAAUCAAGCAAGGGGAACACUUUUAGGAAAACACCAACUCAAAACAAUAUUUAGUAUAUGUUUUUGCAGUCCUUCGUGAAUUGAAAGAACUAUAUACACAAUGCAAUGCAAUGAAAGGGGAAUGAGUGAACAAUGUAGGGCGCCACUUUCCCAUAAAGCUACUCCACGUAAACCUACAAGCAACAGUCCAACAGUCCAUUACUCAACAGAACCUACCAUAUACAACAAAACGCUCGUCAGUUAUAUACUCCGAAAACAUUCAAAUUGUACACCAAAGGGAUCAUUCAGUUAUGUUUUGCCCCAUUAAAUCAAGCACCAUAGCUCCACAACACGGUCUACAAUUUCCCCCAACCCUGAAAUGCCCAAUUCGCCAAAUUCACAAUACAAAUCUCACUGUCCAAGCUCAAAACUGACACACUCAGCUAUGGUUGUCUCUUCACACCUUCUCACAAUCUAAACUCCCAAUCUGAAUUGAUUCAAAGGAUCAGAGCAACAAUUGAUCACGUGAGCACGAAUUGCAAUUACCUCUCGCUCCACUCGUGGCAGUCAAGCAUGUUAGAACAACCAUUGCCCUCAACCACCCCCUAUUCCCGCUCCAUAUUCUUUGCGAUCUUUCUUGAUUUACCCUCGGGAUCUUCUUCUGUUGGCGGGCAUAUUUGGUGUCCCAUCUGUUGAUUCCGACGUUUGCGUGAGGGUACUAAAGGAAGUUUCGCUAAAAAUCGGGACGUCGAGAAAGACAACGUGGCGAUUUCUUCAAUUGUAUUUUAGCCCCAAGUAAAAUGAGACGCGCUUCUUGGUUUAAAUAUUCUGCUUUCGAACAAAUUUGGGGGUUCUCUCUCUCUCCUUUGGAGCUCCCCUUUGAUGUCUCCACGUGAGCACUUUCACUCUAAGCUUGGUUCCAUCUAGAAUUCCAAAAAGGGUUAAUACCCUAAAAACCUCAAACUAGUACACCUGUGACAAAUUUAGCCAAAACUAUUUUUUUUACCACAAAAAACCUCAAACUAGACCUCAAACUGGUACACUUGUGAUAAAUUUACCCUCUAUUAGUUUUUAUUAAAUUUUACCGUCAAAUUAUUAAGUUAAAUAACAUGUGACAAUUGACUGGUAUACCAAUUUGAAAUUUUACGCUCCAUUUGUCAUAAUUUACAAUUUUUAUAAUUUUUUUGUGGUAUUAAUCCAAUUUAGCGGAGGGUAUAUUUGUCACAAAUUUACCAGUUUUGGAUUUUUUGCGGUCGAAUAAAUUAGUUUGGGUACCAAUUUAGGGUUUUUUAUGGUUAAAAAAAUAUUUUGGGGUAAAUUUGUCACAUGUGUACCUGUUUGAGAUUUUUCAGGGUAUUAACCCUUCCAAAAAAUACACUAAAUUUAAUGUUAAUAUUCGUGGAAGUAUAUGAAAAUGCAUGUACUACUUCGGUCAGAUAAUUUCGAGUUCAAGAUCAAAUUGAUCUAAUAAUUUGAAUUAUUCAAAUUUGAAAAUAAUGUAAUUAAACUUCAAUGACUAGGGAGGGGAGUUUGACCGUGAAUUAUGGAACCCACUUCUCUUGAUUUUAAGGCAACUUGCUAUACGUAACAAUUCUUGAAUACUCUUGGCAUGCUUGUGUUAAAGAUGCAAUAAUUUAUACUAUUUAAGAUAAAUUCGUGUGUAAAAAUUUGAGCUGAGUCGUUUGUCUAAAAUAUAUGAACUUAUAAUGGGAAUACAAUUAGAAUUGAUUACUGCCUUAAAAAUCAUGGCCUUGUCAUCUCACAUGAUUGCUCGAUUGAAUGUAUGAGUCGUGGAAUCAUGGGGAUCAAAUAUUUUACAUGUAAAAUAAUAUGAAAUGAAAUAAAAUGUCCAUCAACCUUGAGAACAAAAGAAAAAUGACUUUUUGUUGGCUAUUUGCGAUGUAGAAAGAGGUUGUAACCUCAAUAAAAAGUCACAAAAAAUACAUUAUAAGAACACAAAGAGCGUGAAUGAUUUUAUUUAUUUAUUUUGCAUUUAGUUCACACUAGUAAUAUGAAUAAGAACAUUAAUAAUGGUAUGGGCCAUAUUUGGUGGCUCUCCCAUAUUUAUAUUGGUAGUGGAAUAGUUACAAAACUAGCGAGAAAUUAGUACACAAAACAAUAGGUAGAAGUUAAAGAAAAAAUCGAGAUUCAAGAAAAAUUAUUGUGAAGAUUAAAACAAUCAAAAUUGUAGGAGCAAUCUUCAAAUCCUUUCCUUUGUAUAAAGUAUAGAUAAAUCAAUUGAUCAUCUAACUUAGGUCAAACUUUAAGGAGCAUAAAACAAAUUUACACACCAUUUUUUUUUUUUUUUUUAUCAUGUACCUUACUCAUUCACUUUAAAAAGGAAAAUUUUGAAAAUGAAAAAAUCGCCACCCCCCAAGCAUGGUACCUCAAUAAUAAAGGGGCUCAACAGUCUUUCACGAAUUCACAAAUUGGAGCCGUAUGGUGAGCAAACUUUCGACCAAUUAAUAUUUUUAGCAUUUACUACUUCAUUUGAGAUGACUUUUAGACUUCUAACCUGUUGAUAGAAUUUAUAACGAUAAAGUCUUACAUUUACAUAUAAAUUGACUAAUUAUGGUUCAAAAUAAACGCAUCCUAACUGACAUAAAAUUAUUAUGAUAACACCAACUAUGGAUAGUGACUCAGGCGGCGAGGCCCAGUGGGACCAUCCCAAAUCCUGAAGCUUGCGCGAGUCGACGCUGGCUUCGAUUCCCGCGGCGGGAAACGAAAAUACAUUUCCCGCACACUGGCUGGCGGGAAAAUUUUUGCACCACUCGCAUAAAACAAAAAUGAAUUUAAAAAAAAAAAAGCCACAUAAAAAAAUUAUAAUAAAAGCGAAAGUUUAUUCACAACAAAAAUACGAAACAGCGCAAACCCUCUCUCUCUCUCUCUCUAGAACAAGCAGUGACGGCCUCGACCGAUCGAUCCGUCGAUAUCCGCCGAUUUCCGUGGCGACACCCUAAAAGCAGCAGGCGUCUUCCGACGAUUCCCCGUCCGACGGGUACGAGGAGGAGCAUGAGUAGCCGCAGCUCAGCGGAGCCGGUCAACGAGGAGGAGCUCGACGCCGUCGCCCGCGCCGCCAGUUGGACGACGCCGCCGCAGCAGCUGCCGACGCCGACUGGAAUGGCGAGGCAGAGGAGGAGGACGACGACGAGGUUCGAUGUUCGCCUGCGCCGUUCCAUACUGGAUGUGUCGGGAUUUCGGUGCGGUGAGAGGCCUCUCCGGUGUCUUGCGCCAGCACGAUCAACCUCCCAGCCAAUCCGCCACGGCCACCGGAUCUUCCGGAAGCUCAGGAGGUCGAGCCCCUCCACAAAAGCCCAACGCUCGAACCCUCUUAAAAUUCGAUCAGGUUCGAGAGAUCUGGAAGUUUGCCUUCAUGUUAGAUCGUGACAAUCGGGGAGAUCGUCAGUGAUGAGCUCCUGUAGAUGUCAUUUGGUAUUUUCACCAAGCGCUUGUGACUGACCAAAUUGAUUUACCGAUUUGAAGUUCUUUGCUAUCUGUGAAAGAAGAAUCAUGUGAAUUAUUGGUCCGUUCAAUCUCAUAGAACCGGAUGCUAAUAUAUGUCAAGUAGCAUAGUAACUCACCUUCGUAUGGCUCUUCCCCUUUCAGUCAAUGUGUAAUUCCACUCUAAGAAAGAUUCAGAAUAAUUAGAUUCACUCAGGGAAAAUUCACUAUAUCGAGCAUUUGGGGGAAAUAAUUAUUCUGAGGAACUCCAGUGCAAUUGUUGGAGGAGAAUUGACACCCCCGGAAAACAUUGGUUGGAAGAAAGUUCGACGAGAAAUCUUCCCCGAAAAACCCUCGCUUGCGUACGGACAUCUUUCUUCCUAGAGAAACGAGUUCAUGUUAACAAGAGAAAGCAAAGGUCCAUAUGUCUUCAAUGACUUUCAUCAACCCAAUGCAAUAUGAUGAAAUAAUAUAAAGGCUUUUGUGUUUAUCUUCGAAACAUUGUAUUGUAUAAUUGGGUUCAAUGGAAUGUUUUCAAUAAGCAAGCGAAGAUAGAGUCAACAUUAAAUAAGAUAAAAAGGAGGAUAUUUGAUAUAGGUUAAUCUAGUAUCUAGACUGGUAAUUAAAUUAGCAUAAUCGAAUCUAUUUAUUUGAAUUAUUGUAGUUAAAGUGGAGAAAGUGGGUGCGCUAGUGCUUGUCAUGUAACAAUUGCAUUCGUGCAUGGGUUUGCGAUACCAACUUGGUCCAGUGAGGUUCGAUCUAUCUCUUUGAAUCAAGACCUUAAAAUGGUGCGCAAUUGAAUUGGGAUAAGAAAUUGUACAAGAGACAGUUCAAAAUCUAAUUGGAAAAUAGUGCCAACCCAUCAUUAAGCACCAAGAGUCAUUAAUUCUUGAACUUCUACCUUUUUUUUUAAAGAAAUUUAUUUGAAUGAAUUUUACCAUUUUCCGACUACUUUGACUUUAUGCUAAUGUGGUGCUCUUAUAGCAUCACAGUAUUUCUCACGGGACUUUUAGGAGAAAAUUCCUGAGAUUAGUGCGAGUAUUUAUAACUUAAAACCUCACAGUACAAAUUAGCAUGUCUACUUUGAAUUCAACAACACGUCAGUUCACAAGAUUAGUGCAAGUAUUUAUACAUUUCAAUGUGUGCAUAUAUAUCUAUUGGAAAUGAGUUUCUACAUUACUGAAAGUGUAUGAUUUGCUUACUACAGAUGCUAAAAAGCUAAAAAGAACCCUCUGUAAUUACUUGGAUUUCCAUAGACAUGAGGGUCCAGGGACACAUCUUCUCGUCGUGCCAUUUCACCCCUCCAAAACGAAGAAAAGAAAGAGGACUGAGGAUGCUAUCUCACAUUUUGAAUCGUCUCUCCACAUUCCUUGGGCCGACACGUGGCGUGUUGGGUUUCGUUCGAGCGAUGUCUAGCCAUUCACGCGCGUUGCAGACUCUUCGUGGGCUUUUAGAUGACCCAACACGACAGGUCCGUCUCGAACGCAAGAGAACAACGGGAUGAGACGUCGAAAAAAUUGCCCCUUGCAACAAGGGCCGUUUUCUCAGACCAUCUUUGUCCAGGUCCAACCUCUCUGUCUUUAACCUUAGGAGUUUGGGCCUUGUCCUAAUGCUUUGUCUUUCAAACAAUGGUUUGAAUGAGAUGGCUAACGAUGUCGAUCUAGGGCUCUCAACCACCGUGGUUAGGACUAGCGAAGGAAAUUAAGGAAGCAAAUCUUGGAACUGUGGAUGGACCUCAUUCAAAGUAUUAGGUGUUCAAAAACAUGGAAGAAUCCAACCACAUUAUUUCACUAGUACAUCAAGUUCCUACUGCAUUGUAAAAUUGUUUCAAUUUUAUAAGUAAUGACAUUUAUAAAUCCAGUCAACUGUUAAUACAUUGUCAAUGAAAUAAUGAUUUUACCAUCUCGUUGCUAGAUUUAGCUUUGAGUAGUAAACAUGAAAACUAGUUUGUAUGUUACUAAUUCAUCGAUUGUUGUAAAUCGCUAACAUUGUGGUAAAUUACAUAAAUAUACAUGAUUGGCAGUACAAUGGAAUGCACAAUUUUAUCUUUAUAAUUUAAAAUUUACAAAUUGUGUUGCAAGUUUUCUAUAAAUGACACAUUGUUCCAUUUUGAGAAGCAUAACAUUAGAUAAUGUCCCGUUAAUUAAUCUCACUGGGGAUUUAUGAUCUAUGUUUCAUGUCCUAUUAGAUUUAGGGACAGUUUACAGAGAUAUUUACGUGGUGCAGGAUAAGGUCGUAGGAAAAGGCAAAUGCAUCCUUUCAUCCCCAAAAUGUGAACAAAUCAAAGCAAUUGUUUGAAUUUACAGGGUCUUGUACUCCAUUAGAAUCAAUCUAUAAACAUCGUCAUUCAAUUUAAAUCAUUUGCACUAACAUAUGACACGAUUAAUCCAUCCAUAAAUUAUAGAUCUGGAAAAUAUCUCUACGACCUUAAUUAAUUAGAAAUCAUGUACAGACACCAUCAUUCAGCUCAAGUCGUUUUCGCUAACAUUUGACCCAAUUAAUCCAACUAUAAUUAAUUAGAAAUAUUAAAAGAAUCAAUCGACAAAAAUUUAUUGCGAUAUUCUGAAUGAAUUUUUUCCCGGAGAAUAGUUUGGUUUGAUGUGAUUUUCAAAUUCCUUCAACUACUACCUCCAAUAAAUAUCAGUAAGGAAGGAGAGUUUGGUUUGAUGUGAUAGUAUCCAAAUGCUCGGCCAGAGUUGACAAUCACAUGAACGAAAUCAUGAGCAUGGUGGUUUUGGAAAAAACAACUCUCGCAAAAAUCAUUCGCAAUUAGCUUUUGCAGGAUUUUUCUAAUUGUUGUUCAAAUUUCAUCAAAACGCGUGUCCAGAUUGUUUUUGCGGAAAUCCAUGGUUGUUAAUUGGAUCAACAGGAAUUGAAGAGAAGCUCUACCAAUUCUUAAAUGAAUUCAGGAAUGUUUCCAGCUGCCAGUGGGCUUAGUCUAACAUUAUCUAAUGUCCAGCUCAAUUCGAAAUAAUGACUCACAUCGUUUAAUUUGAGACGAAUACAAGUUUGGCAAAAUGUCAUCCAAGUAUGAAGAUUUACCGUAUAAUAGUACUGCGUUGUCUUCGAGUUGUUUUCCUUUUGCCCUUUCUUUUUAUUUAUUAUAUGAGACAAUCUGCAAGCAUUAGCUGAGAGGGUGAAGAGCCACACCUCCAAAAAUAUCAUCUGAAACAGAGAACUUUCGUCCAUGAAAUCGGGAAGGAAUCAAUAUUCUUCAAUCAUCAAAGUCUAUGAGCUCUGAACCUUGAGGUGGUACUAUCUUUAAAGAGUUAACUUUCUGCAAUGUAGACAUCAAUUUAAGAAAUGCCUGAUGAUGUUGCCGUGGCCCUGUCCUAAUACUUUUGAUAGGUCAAAAGUGGUUCUCAACCACCGCGGUCGAGCUGGCUAAAGAAAUUAUCAAUGAAAGCAUCCAGGAAACCACCGGUGGACCUUAUUUUAUGCAUUGGAUGUUAUCUUACGUGCAUUGUCAACUUUGAAACGGUGCAAUGAUGCUGCAAUGAAUCGUUCGCAUUGACCGAUUCUCGCAAACUGGCACAUAGCUCUCUACAUAUUUAGCCAAUUCUGGCUGCCUCUAUUUGUAAUUCUGCCUUCUUAACUUAUUAAUCUCUAGUACCUUCAAAGCAUGAUGAAUAGGUGACUAAGCAUUAUAUCUGGUGUGCCUUGCUUCAUUAAACUCCGACCCAUUUCGUUUGAAUCUUUUCUCGGAUUUUGUUAAAAAAAAAUUAGCAUUGUCAACUUUGACAAGAUGGAGCAAUGUUGCAACGAAUUGUUCUUAACGACCAAUUCUAAAAAAGGGAUCAUCGAAUCACAUUAGGUGAUCAAAUCACAAUGAUAGAGUCAUGGUGCCUAAACUCAAAGUACUUCCGCAAAUACAUUUAUUCAAAUGCAAUUUGAAUGUCGAGUUAAACUUGAAAUAAUGACUAGAAUAUUGGCACUUCAUGUUUAUUUUAACACAUCGAAUGAAUAGAAGUAUGUAUAAGUUCUGUUCUAAACUCAAAAUAUCCGUUGUAGGUUAGGUCUCACAAUAUUUGCAAGUCCUUGGCAAAGACUUUGAGACUAGUCUAUUGGAAAGUGGAGGGCCACAUCUCCAAGAUCAACAUAAAAAAGAACCAAUUUUCGUGCUUAGAUAUGAGAGGAGUCAUCUUUUUUGCCCUAAUCAUAUUUUAUGAACUUGGAGUCUAGUGCCAUUACAUUUUUAAGAAUCAUUUAAUGAGGACAUCUUUAUCUGAGAUGCCUGACAAUGUCGACAUGUGCCUAUCAUUUUGAUAGAUUAAUUAUGUAGGAAGCCGAUGGUGUAUCCAUUCUUCCCUAGUUAGAGCGGAAAACAUUCCCAACCACCGCGAUUAGAUUGUCCAAAAAAAAAAUUAUAUCGAAAGCAUUCACGAAAAAAAUUAUAACAUUCAAGUCAGCAUUGUAUAAAAGUUAUGACAUUUCUAAUGUUUUUAUCCUGAAAAUUUACAAUUGAUUAACCCCGCACUGUUUGCAAGUUCUUUUCUUUUCACCUUUUUUAAUUUUUGUAAUGAACUAUCUGCCAACAUUUGUCGAUAAAGUGACCAGCCACACCUCCAAAAAUUUCAUCUGAAUGGAGCACUUUCAUAAUUGAGAUUUGCCAGGAGUCAGUGUUUUUUAAAUCAAAGUCUAUAAGUCCAGAACCUUAUGCUAAUACUUUUUUUUUUCGAAAGAGUUAGACUUUAUAAGAUGGGGACAUAUAUUUUGAUAGGGCAAGAGGGUUCUCAACCACCGCGAUUAUGCUGGCAAAAGAAAUUAUAGAUGAAGGCAUCCAGGAAGUUGCUGAUUAACCUUAUUUUUCGCAUUAGAUGCUAAUCGACGUGCAUUGUCAACUCUACCACGGUGCAGUGAUGUUGCAAGGAAUCAUUCAUAUUGACCAAUUCUCUCUGCAUAUUGAGCCAAUUCUGGCUUUUAAGUUUUAUGAAUUACAGAGAUCUUUAUUUGUAAUUGCAGCUUUUGAACUUAUUAAUCUCUGUUACCUUCCAAAGCAUACUGAACAGGUGACUAAGCGUUAUAUCCAGUGUACUCUGUUUCUUUAACAUUCGAUGCAUUUCAUUUGAACCUUUUCUCGGUUUUUGUUGUCGGUUUGUUGAAAUUGAGCUUUGUCUAUGGAAGAAGACCCCAUAAAUCACUCGGUGAAGCAGCACGGUUUGAUCAUAAUUACAUCAUUUCUGGUACAGAUCAUCAUUCGUUGGCACUCGCUGCAAAGGCUAAUUCAUCUAUGACUAAAUUAAAUUUUUUAGAAAAUUCAUUUCGAAUAGUUUUGUAGUCUGUAAUUUGAUCUUGUCAGAACAUAGUUUGGUUUAAAACAAUUUUUUAAAUGCUUUUCUUUUUACCUCCAACAAACAUUCGGCAAGAAGCUUUUACAAAAACAACCACCAAAAGGAUUCCACCGGGUUGAAAAAGGCUUAUCUAGUGAAAGAGACUACUUUGUCGGUCUUGACCAACAUGUCCACAAAAUCAUAAAAAUAGUAUGUGCUUGGAUAAGUGAAACACAGAUAGUUGGAAUCCAUGGAAUGGGUUGCAUUGGAAAAAUAAUUAAUGCGAAAUCAUCUGAAAUCACGUUUCACACGAUUGUAAGUAUUGUUGCUUUCUUUCAACAUUCGAAAAACUUUAAAGUAAAGGGAAUCAAGUGCAUAUAUAAUCCUUUGAGGUUCUUCGGUACAUUGGAAACAUAGAAAAAGUCAUAGUAGCCAUUAGAAAGGUUGUUCUUAGCUCAUAACAUUCACUUGGAGAUAAUUUAUGAACCUUGUAUAAAAUAGACAAAACUGCCUCUUGCGAAAUUGCUUGACAUUUCAUCUACUUACCCAUCAAACUUCUCUAAAGUGUCUGAGGAUUUUAAGGCAAUCCAUAUCGGAGUUGACACUUAAAUGAUCAUUUUUUUUAAAGUAGCAUUUAAGUGAUCCGUAAAAAGCUUUUGGCACUAAAGUAAGCGCCGUACACAACUUUUAACACUUCUAGUGUACUUACCCCAUAUAUAUUUCAUUCCAACGUUCUUAGAUUUAAAAGUUGACUCUUUUCUUUUGCAUAUUGAGGUAAAAAUUGAGGAGUCCACUUUGUUAAGUUGGCUCAGGUCACAUCAGAUCCACAUUGUCUCUAUUUACCUGCCGUUGUUCAUGCAUGCCGGCAUAUUAGGAUAUUUACUGCUUAUCUUAGACGAAACUAUGACGAAAGCUGCUUUUCGGUCAUUAGUACAAAUCGAGGUAUUUUUAGUAAUACGAUAAAAAAAAAAUGAAAAAUAUACGUCAAAUUGGCAAAGUAUAGGUUAUUCUAUGAAAUUUUUCCAAGCAAUACAUCCAUGUUAGAUUUUUAAGCUUGUUGUUGUCCAAGCAAGCCACCACGUCGGAUUUUCAAUACCCGUCUUAGACACAAUUUUGACAGAACAAAUUUUUUGGUCACCAUACAAAUUUUGAAUUUUGAUGCCAUAAAAACAGUUUAGAUAAUUGGUAUUACAGUGCAUAAAUAUGCUAUAAUUUUUUAGGGAACUGCCACUUGCUGUCGUUGAAUUGUCGCCCAUCCAUUGCCAUCACAAGCCCUUACCUUCGCGCGUCAAUCCAUUGGCAAACUAACUCCUCAGUCCUCACCCACGCGAGUUGUCUUUUACACCCUCGUCUCUUUUCAUUUCCGCGUAAAGCUCACGACCUAUGUCCAUGGAAACCGCGAACUGAGAUCGCUAGCCUCGCACGGCCACAGAUCUGUGGUUAAUGGCUAUGGUGUCGGGGCUCGAAUUAGUUAAUUCGCUCGAUUGUUUGAGCAACGGGAGGGCCUCUGCCCAUCUUAUCAUUAAAAUCAAUUACCAAAAAAGAAAAAAAAAAUUCCUCGCCACAAGGGCAUUUGGUUUUUUCGGCAACGGCAAAAGUCAAAAUGCAAUUCUUAGGGGAGAGAGGAGCAGAGGAAAAAGGACAGAGGCUGCGUUUGGUUCAACAUUUACAAUGGGCUUGGAAAUGCUAAAAACCUAAAGCUACUUGGGAAAAUGCAAUUGUGUUUGGUAAAAAAAAUUUGCAAAUGGACUUUGAGUUAAAUGUGCAUUUGGAAAAGAAAACUUUCAUAAUGGGCUUUGAUAGGUAUAUAUAUAUAUAUUUAAAAUUGAACUAAACCCUUCGCCAGACCUGCGAAGGGUUAUGGCCAUCGGCGAGUCAGAUCUAGCGCUGGCAGCCAUUGGCUAAGGUCGCCCGAGGUCGGGCGACUUUUGGCGAGGGUCGCGUGACCCAGCUGAGGGCUGUCGAAGGUCGCUCGGCCUUGGGCGACCUAGGCGACCACUGCCUAGGUCUCGCGGCCGUAGGCGGCCCUCGACUGGGUCUCACGAGGGUCGCCUACGAUGGCGAGACCCAGGCGGCGGUCGCCUAGGUCGCGCGACCCUUGUCGAGGGUCGCCCAAGAUUGGGCGACCUCCGGCAGCCCUUAACUAGGUCGCGCGACCCUCGCCGGAGGUCACUCGACCUCGGGGGACCUCAGUCGACGGUCGCCAGCGCUAGAUUUGGGUCACUAGCGGCCGUAGCCCUUCGCCAAACCGGCGAAGGGCUGCCUCCUUUUUCAAUCAAAAAUAACAAAUAAAUAGGGGCAAAAUGGGAAAUAUGAAAAAUUAGCGAGGGUAGUUUUGGAAUAGAAAAAUAAUUUUAGCAUUUCGCCGAAUGCUGAAAACCCAAAGCUACUCCUUACUAGCUUUUGGCUUUCAGCAUUUUGAAGGCAAGUUGAAAGCUGAAAGCCAGCAAAAAAAUUGAACCAAAUGGUCCAGCAUUUUCCCAAGAGACUUUCAGCUCUGAAAGCCCCUUGGGAAUGCUGAACCAAAUGCACCCAGAGCGGGUCGUGAUUAUGGAUGAGGUUUGAGCCGUUAGGCAAAGCCCCAAGGGACCAAGGCGCAAGUGUGCCUAGUGAAGUGAAUUUGGGGGCAAGUGUGUGGGCAUUUGUGUGUUCUCAGAAAAUUCAAUAGAAGAUAUAUUCAUAAUUUAGGGUCGGUUAAGUGUGAAACAACCCACAAAGAUAGGACAAUUAAAAUUCAAUAAUACAAAAGGAACGCGAAGGGUUUCUUUCAACAUUUCGUUUUAGUCACCGAAAGCGACCGAGUGGUACGGUUCUCUUUUCAAUUGCGUUAUGACGGUGGAGAGAUAAGAGAAGAAUUUCGUUUUCUUUUUGGUCAGAAAAAGACUGCUUCUAGUGCUCAUUACUCCGGCAACGGUCGCAAGUGUAGAAGGCCUCAGGAGAGGUUUGGACAACCAACCAAAGCUGAAGAGUCCAACUCAAGUUGAAGACUGAUAUCGCUUCGGGUGCUGAGAAAAUCUAGGGAUUUCUUCUAGAGCCUUCGCUUCCGCCGGAGCUGCUGCUAGAGUUACGCGCGCGGACCUCGUGAAUCCGUCCACCGAAACGCCACCGCAGUCUCGGCAUGCACGGCUGAUCGCUCCUUCCGUCGAGCCCCUGGCGAAGGACCGUCGAUAUUUCACCUUGAGAGCUCCUUGAGGCUGUCGGACCCAGAUCAGAGGUGAGUCUCCAAGGGCCCACCUUUCGGUGUUUAUAAAGAACCCUGACAUUUUGUCAACUUUGACGGGCCGCAAUUAGCACAAAGGUCUCUCCAUUUUGCUAGGUUUUGGCUUCCGAGUUUUUCCCAUCUCUGGCUGCCUCUGCUUUUGCUGCCAUCCUGUUUCGACUUUUUUCCUUGAAGAGGAGAUCAAGCGAGAUCAAUGGAGUGGAGUGCAAAGAGACGGCGCACGGGUGGAAAUGAUGGAACAGCAGGAGGUGCUUCUGGUACUCACGCUUCAACAGAAGAUCAAGAAGUGGCUACUUCAUCAGAAUAUAACUAUGAAGUAUUCUUAAACUUUAGGGGACCAGAUACUCAUGCAGGUUUCACUGAUUUCCUUUACACAAGCAUGAUGGCUGCGGGAAUCCGUGCAUUUAGGGACGACAAAGAACUCCGCAAAGGGGAAGAGUUUGCCCCAGAACUUCUCCAAGCAAUUGAGCAGUCAAAGAUCUUAAUACCUAUAUUUUCUCAAAGUUAUGCCUCAAGCAAAUGGUGUCUCAAGGAGCUAGUCCAGAUGGUCGAGUGCCGGAAAAAUGAAUGACAAAAGAUCAUGCCCAUUUUUUAUGAUGUGUCACCUUCCGAGGUUCGACACCAAAUUCGGGGUUAUGCAGAGGCAUUUCUUUCACAUGAAAAGAAGCAGCGAUACAAUGAAGAGACUAUCCACGAGUGGAAGGCUGCUCUCAGUGCAGUUGGGGCAAUAAAUGGGUGGGACUUGCAUAGCAAGACCAACAGGUGACUUCUCCUAGCAUUCCAUCUCAGUGCAUUGUAUCAACUUGAUGCAUUUCAAUUGGUUUCUUUUGUAGAUUUCUGUUAGUCUAGUUGAAAUUGAACUUUAUGUCACAGAAAUGAGGCCAGUCCCAAAUUUGUCAUAUUUCAUCUCACACAACAUAUUUUUCAGUUUAGGUCAUUCAUUAACUCUUAGUACCAAAGCUAGUUCAUUUACAAUAAAAUCGAUCCUCAAAGAACAAAUGUUGGAUAGUUCUAUAGUUUUCAAUUUGCUCUUGUCAAGACAUGGUAGGGUUCAACACAAUUUACAAACUCGUUGUCUUUUGACCUUCGACAAACACUAGGCAAGAAGGUAAGUUUGCUAAAGAAGUCACCGAGGAGGUUUUCAGAGAAUUAAAAAGGGCUUAUUUGGUGGUGUCAGAUCACUUGAUCAGUGUUGACAACCAUGUGGAUGCAAUCAUGGAGAUGCUAGGUGUUUAGACAGGUGAAACACGGAUUGUAGGAAUUCAUGGGAUGGGUGGCAUCGGAAAGACGACUAUUGCCAAAAUCAUCUACAAUAAACUUUCAAGCAAUUUCAAGGAUUGUUGCUUUCUGUCCAACAUUCGUGAAACGUCAGAACACAAGGGCAUUGAAUGCUUGCAAAAUCAACUCAUCUCUGGCAUCCUCAAAAUAAAAGGGACAUAUAUAAACAAUGUAGAUGAAGGGAUUGAGACAAUAAAAAAGAGGUUGUCUAAGAAAAGAGUCAUCCUCCUUCUUGAUGAUGUGGAAAAAGAGAAUCAUAUUGAUGCAUUUGUAGGUAAGCGUGAUUGGCUUAGCAGAGGGAGCAAAAUUAUUAUUACUACAAGAAACAAAGAUAUUCUCUAUGUUCCCAAAGUGGACUACACUUAUGAGCUUAAAUGCAUGGAUCGUGAUCGAUCUCUUCAACUUUUUAGCAAACAUGCUUUUAGAAGAGAUUCUCCUUUAGACAAGUACAUGGACCAAUCCAACUGGGCAAUACGCAUUGCUGGAGGUCUUCCGCUUGCUCUAGAGGUCAUAGGUUCACUUUUAUGUCGCACUAAAAAGGAAAAGUGGAAUGGCAAAUUGAAGGAGUUGGAAAAUGUUCCUCCUGAGGAUGUUCUGAGUAAGCUGAAAAUAAGUUAUAAUGCAUUAUGUGAGCGAGAACAGCAUAUAUUCCUCGAUAUAGCUUGUCUUUUCAUUGGAUAUGAGAAAGACAUUGUGAUUUUUUUCUGGGAUGAAUCUAUAUUUUUUCCGAAAGAAGCCAUGGAUGUUUUAGAGAACAUGUCUUUGAUAAAGAUUAAUGACAACAAUAAAGUGUGGAUGCACGACCAACUUAGAGAUCUUGGAAGAGAAAUAGUUCGUCGAGAAAGUAAUUUGAAAAUAGAGAAGCAAAGUAGAGUGUGGGAUCCUAAGCAAGGAUCAGAUUUUAUGAGGAGACUUAAGGUAAAAUCCUCCCAAUAUAAUUUCUGGUAUUUAUGGAUUUUUUUUUUUCCCAAAAGAAGUCAGUUAACUUUUGGGUUCUCUAACACCAUCACGACUUCAUCAACCUAUACGUUUGCUCUUUUAAGAUCAAAGGAGCGAAAGUACUGAACUCAACCGCUUAGUAUAGUCAACCUGAAUAAAUGCGUUUCCCUUCAAAUUUUUUGUUUUUGAAUUUUUUUUCUUUGGGCAGGGCAAUAAAGAAGUUGAAGCUCUUCGUGUCAACUUCAACGAUCAGCGGUCGUAUUGUUUUACCUAUGAGGCCUUUGAGAGCCUAUCAAAUCUAAGAUUCCUUGAUGUGAGGUGUCGGGAUAGAUAUUUUCGUGUAAAAGAGAGGCUUAUUUCGCACGAAUCGUCAUCAAAUCUUAUUCCCGAAAAUUCGGAUCUCCUUCCACAAUUACGAUGGCUCUCAUGGCGGAAUAUUCCCCCAACAUUUAACAUUAUGAAUUUCUCCAUGGAGAAUGUGGUUAUUCUUGAUCUAGCUUACAAUGAUAUUAUGAAGGAUUGGAGGGGGUGGACCCACAUGAAGGUACGUUAUAUGCUGGACAACAUUUCUUAUUCUAUCUCAUUAGAUUCAAGAGUAAUCUUUGCAUGAUUUUUGUUUCACAGGUAAUGAAGAAUUUGAAAGUUCUGGAUCUGUCCGAUUGCUGCAUGCUUGAGAGGCUGCUGGACAAGCUGGGUGAAGAUCUCGCAAGCCUUGAAUACCUAAAUUUAGGAGGGUGCAGUUCGUUGAAGGGGCUUCCAGAUACAAUCGGGAAUUUGAAAUCGCUGAUUAAAUUGGACAUAUCAAUGUCGAACAUUAAAGAAUUACCUGAUUCCAUCGGAAAGUUGCAAAAUUUGAAAGCAGUGUACAUGUUUGGAUAUGGCGUAGAAAAAAUACCUUAUGCCUUGUGGACGCUUGAGAAGGUCGAAGAAAUAGAACGCAUCAAAGAUUAUCCGAGCAAUCCUUGCCAUAUGAAAAUUGGCGAUUGCAUCUACAAGAAUCAGUCCCUGAGGAUCUUGAGAUUGUGGGGUCAGGAUAUACAUAUAUACGAACUGCCGAGACUUCCUGAAAGUCUCAUUAUAUUAGAACUGGGUAUUUUGGGCAUGGAUACGUACCCAGAUCUAUCAAACCUCACUAAUUUAAAGGAAUUGGAUCUGAGUUUAGGCUGUCCAGAUAGGAGUUUUUGUUGUGGGCCGGAAGAGCUAUUGCCACGGUGGAUUGGGAACUUAAGGAAAUUGGAGUUUCUGGGCCUGUGGUUAGAUUGGGGGGCCAACGCACCAACAUGCCUCAGCUUCCUUGAUCAUCCCGAGAUAAUUCCGCCCCCGCCCCCGAGGCUGCCCUCAAGUUUAUCCUCCUUACGUGGGAACUGUGAAAACGCAGGUAAGUACUAUGUUAGAUGGGAGUAUCGAAUUUGAAGAAACUGUCAUCUCUCUAGGUUGUGGACUCCGCAAUUUCAGAGAUGUCUGGCAUUGCUAAGGAGAUUCAGUGAUUUCUCAGAAAAAUUUAGAAGACAUGCUCUGCAGAGGAGUACAUUUUCCAAUGAGAAGUGCCUGCGGUUCCCGAAAGGUCCUGCGUUUAUAACCGGAUCUGUUGUCAAGGAAGCUUUGAAACAUAAACAAAUUGCUUAUUGCCCUAUGUCAUUUCUAGCAGACAUUCGUAAUUGUCUUUCUCUGUUUAUGCAAUCAUUUACUACCUUUAAAAUGGAUGUUUGUAAACUGUUCAUGAAAUGGGACCAUGGUUUCUUUUGAUCUAUUUCAUGAGUUCGAUUUGGUUUGACUAUCUGCCCUUUUGACAGUCUUGGUUGGAAAAUUAAGUUCCUGGUAAAAGAAGAGUCUUAACUGAUGCUAAUUUUACUACAUUUAAGUGCAUUAAUUUUGUCAAUUUACACAGCUAGUCUUUCAUGUAAGAUCCUCGGAACUUGCUGGGUUGCAUUUUAAAUUUGAAGCUAAUAUCCAUGCCCUGUAAUCAUUAACUUUGUUACAACUUAAACAAUGAAGGAUAUAUUAAAAUGUGUAGGCUUUAGUUGGUGAUGAAGCUCUUUCAUUCACCGUUUGACAUGUAGAACCACUGCCUGACAAAAGUCGUAUAGGAUAGCUUGAGCUUUCUCUCUUAGUAACAAGAGAAAUUUACGGGGUCUUUCUGUGUAGGUAAGCUGUGGCUAACUCAGUGUGUAGAAUUGACAACCAGCACAUCAAGUAAGAAAGAUAUAGAUGAGACGAUAAUAUAUCUUCUUCAACACUUGGGUGUUGUACUUUGGCUUCUACGGUAAUGUACAAACUCUUUACUUAUCAUAAGGUAUCAAGGACAUAGUCUCCUGCACAAUGUGCUUGCGAUGGUCAUAAUUAGCAAUAUAUCUUUUGAAAUGAUUAAGGAAAUUUAGUUUUCAUGUUUCCACUAAUGUUAAUUCAUGUAUAUCAAGGAAAAAAGAAGGUAAAUCCAUACGACUCUUGUUCUGGCUGAUUAGUGUUACAUGUCAAAGCCAAGAUGAUCUAAAUUGCUCAUACUCCUAAAAUUUAAGGUUUAGCAAUGGUUGCCAGUGGAAAUGAUGCAAGACAAGGUCAUCAUCUCUUUCCAAGAUAGCUUGAGCAUAACCCUCUCUAGGAUACAGCGGAAGUACUUGCGCCAAGAAGUCUCUUGUGACAAUGUGCCUAUACUAAAAGGUAAGGUCACAAAUUAGGAAGUGGUCUCCCAAUUUUGUGAAGUUCAACACGAGUUCAACCCCAGCCCAAAAGGGAAAAAAAAAAAAGGAAAAUAGCUGCAUGAUUCAACUAUAAAUAUCUCAGCUCAGCAUCCACGCAUCCUUAUUCGGUUUUUAUCUAGUCUGGUAAACAAAGCCAUAGGCCCAAGAUUCGAUUGACAGGUAAACUUGUGAACGCAUUCAUUCAAUAGAAGUCGCGGAGUUGUAUCAUGGCCAUUGUCACAGAGGUCCCUGAUGAUCUUUGAAAAACCAGGUGCUAACCCAGAAGCAUUUUAACUGAAGCUGCUCUUGGCAUCGGAGUCUGAAGGCAGCCUCAAUGCAGAAGCAGAAGGAUCCUCGGAAAGCAUAAGAUUUCCUUCAACAUCUUCAUCUCCGUAUUCCUUCAAUCGUGCAUCCAUGACGAUUUUGCACGAUCCCCACAUCUCAGCCAUUAAUCCCACACCAUAGUAGACUAAAUGGCUCGCAAUGCUGUUGUCAGUUACCAAUCUGCAGAGACGCACUCUCAUCAGUUGUCCACAUAUAUUCCUGAUAACAAAGGACUAAUUCUCUAGAACAAGCUGGUCUGUUACAUGACUAUUGCGUCCAGCAUGACAAAUCCAAAAACUAAUCGCUUGAACAAGUAGCUACAAUUGAAACUACCUCAUUACUUGCUGCAAGAUGGAUCUUCUCCAGAGCUAUCACAAACUUUCUCAACCUGAUAAACCAGACUACCAAAUCCUAUAUUAUGCAGCCAUACCUACAACAAAGGGAACAUUCCAAUUACAUAUCUCACGUAUAAAAGAUUAUGGUUAGACCUGAGAGAAGUAGAUGGAACCAAAUUAUUUUCACAUCAUCUCACACCAAUAUGUUUAUCCGCGACGGUCUUUGAGAGCAUUAGUAGACAUACAAUAAUUAAAAUGUGUAUAAUUGCACAGAGCUUAAGACUUGGUUAUCAGCCAUCACACACACCCACACACCCACACACACGCGCACCUAGACACACCCACACCCACACACAGAGUAUAUAGCAAAUAUUAUUACACGUCUUAAACUUCGGAAUCAUUUUGAAAAAUCUUAUGAUGGCUCUUGCAGAAAUAAGAGUUACUCAAAUAUUUCUGAAAAGUCAUGAGUACUACAAACUACCCAGCUUUGCUAAUAAGAUAAAAAACAAGACUGUUAUAUUUUAUACACUGCAAAAAGUGAGUACAUAAAUUGUUGGAAUAACUGAGACUUCACCACUUAGAUAGGUUGAAAGAAAUGCAAAGCAAACUCCAAAUUCAGCUGGCGACAAUUCCCCAUAAUUUACAUGAUAUUCCGUCUAGUUCUAGGCCUUACCUCUCUAAAGGAGUGAUGGUAAGUCUUCUGCGGGAAGUGAGAAUAGUACAGAGGCAAAUGAGGCACAAUAUCAUGUCCAUUAGUAACACGUACUGUAUUUGGCAGACGGUCACUGUAGUGAGACGCAAACACUGCAUUGCCAAUACGAGGUUAUCCAAACAUUAAAACCUGAACAUUCUGUGCUUCAUGAUUGACCUGGAAAUGAAGUGUCAUCAGUUAUAUAAGUAAAUCCAGUGAAAGCUGGUCUGGAAAAAACAGCUGCAGCACACAUAAUUAGACAGCCAAAUAACUUGAGUGUUAAUACACCAAUGGCCCUUUCAGGACGGGGGAAAAACACUCCACAUCAAUAAUCAUAUUUCGCAUUUCACAUACAAUGGGGAACAAUAGAACAACCCUUUGUCUCUAUGAGGGUUGAAGGUCUAGCAAUACUCUGUCAAGAUCCCAUCCAUAAUUUUCCCAACACCAAACCGCACACCCACAAUAAAACCACCCCAUUCUCAGCCCCAAGAAAAGGUGUUGAAUUUACAAACGAGGCGCAUUUAAAUGCUGUCAUAAGAAGCGCCGGAUGUUGUUGGUGUGAGUCACAUUCUGCUAAUGACAUAAACAAAAGAUACCAGGUUCAUGGUGAAGAUGCCCCUUGAACUUCAAAAGUUGCCAUCAUAAAAAGCAAAGGAGAAAUUAAAUCAGAAAAAGGGCAAUGACGCAAGGGCAUAAUGUCACAAUCCGCUAAGAACAAUUUUCAGCAAGAAACCAGAAAACAAAAAUGCAAUUUUAAAUCAUUUGUGUUAGGACAAGAUGUUCUACUCCUACUAAUACUUUGAGAAAAGGUAUAUUCUGAUGUUUACGCAACCUAUGAUCCUAUCAUAGGCCACAUGAAUGUCUGCUUCUCAAAAAAUCACCACUUGUCAUGGAGAGAGAAUCAAUGGGACAUGAUUUUAAGGUGGGUAUCAGAAGUUCUGCAACAGGUGCCUAGAAAAGUACACCGGACCACUCUGUUUAAUAAAGCUGAGACAAAAAGCAUAAUUUAGACAUCUUGGAAUUGGCUCCAUCCUACAAUAUAUCUGGCCCAGUAGUCUGACUAAAGAGGAGCUGCUUCAUUUGAUUAAAGAGAGACGGACAGAAACAGUGCACAAUUGAUAUAUAAUCUAUCGUAAAAUGUAUUAGCACUUUAAGAUUACAAAACAUAAAAUUUGGGCUUCAAGUCCCUUAAAAAGUUAUAUGUCCAGACCAUAAACAUAAUUAACAAUCCCAUAAAAUUUCCAGCAAGUAAACUUUGUAAUAAAUGGUCGGAUGUCUUUACCCACUACAUUUAAGUAUAUGAUCAACUCAAAGCUCCAAAACUUAACAUGCACAACUCAAUUCCCACAACUAGAGACUUCAAUAAUUGGUGGUCCGCAUAAAGGGCUGUUUGCACCCCAUUCUGCUUGUGUUUUGUCUAUGGGUUGAUUUGCCAAAAAUGUAAGAAAACGAGAUGCUAGUAUGGUAAUUGUAAAUGUAAACAUGACAGCCAUAGAAAGUUCAAGAUCCAGAUAAAGAGUCUGGACUCCUCAAGGUAGAGAUAACUCCUAAUAGACCAAAACAGAGCAGUUGGAAGAACACGAUAGAAAAUAAAACAAUAAAAUUCACAAGUCCCAGCCAUAACAAUUUUAUAAUUUAUCUUACCACAAGAUCAAGUCUGCAAAAGGACGCCAUAGCCGCUCCCAUAGAAUGGCCUGUCACCAUGACAUUGAUGUCUCCAUAUAAAUCCUUGGCUCUCAUAACAUCAUCCAAAAUACCAGGUCGAAAUGUUAUGUUGGGAUAAGCAUAAUAAAAUCCAUGAUGAACCUAAGCAAAGAUCAAUAGAGUAAGACUGUAACUCAAUCCAAAUUAGAAAUAUAUACAACUUGCAAGAGGCUUAUCAUCUAGAACUCACCAUGGCACCAGGCAUGCCAGGGUAGUUUAUGUUGAGCUGUUUCUAGUAGAGAUCUUCAACCCAAUUCUGUAUGCUGUAGACAUAAAUAGAAGUAACCACUAACUGAUAAGCUCAAAUGACACAGCAGCAACAUAAUUUUUCACAGAACAAGAUUAGAUAAGUAUGUAAUCUCCUUAUGACUCCAUAAAAAUUACAAGCACAUAACUUUCAUGUCUAGGUGGAAACAAGUUACCCUUCUCCCUUUUAUAGACAGCAGACCCAUACACCUCGUGUAUGCACACAACAGAGACUGCUCUUAUUAUAGCUUAAAUUUUCAUUAAAUCCAUUGCAUGUCGAUUGUAAGGGGAAGCAUUGCUAAGGUUAACAAGCAUACCUAUGUUCUUGAGUACCUCUGAAAGCUAUAACCACAGCAUUAAGGUCCUUGGCCACCCCAACAUAUGCCUACAAAUAAUAUAUAUUGGUUUAGAGAUAGAAACAAACAAUUAGAUGCAAUUCAAACAAAGAGGCAUCGCAAGCAUUGCAAAUUGGUAGGCCACUGCAAGACGAAUUAUACACCUGUAAGCAAUGCUGGAUGUCAACUACCAAUUUAGUGACUUCAAACCCCUGCUUUCAGAUCAAAAGGCAUUAAUAACCAAUUCAGAAGCUACAGACGGGAGACAGCAUAUGCCCACAAAAUCUUGUCUCAAGAAUUGGCCAUUUAGUACUGAGGAUUUAUUCUUCAUGCGACCUUAGCAACAAAGUCAUAUGAAAACAUAUUGAAUUACUUUCGUCUUUCCAUCACAUCUGGGACAUGUCCAACUAAAAAGUUCUGUCAAAUCUGACAUGUAAACCUGCAAAAUAAAAAGCUCUGUAUCUAAUUACAAUUUUAUUGUUUCAAAAUGGGAAAACAUGAAAGGGUAAUAACAACAAGUUCCAGGUAAAUGCAAAAAUCUUUAUAAAGAACACUUAUGGCAGAUGCAUACUGCACCAAAAUUGUGGCAAGAGUGCAGUUAUAAACAGCUUUAUGAGCCUUGGAUCUUACUCUAAGUUCUGCAUAUACCAGUUGAGAGAAUUUCAGAUUGAAAAUGUGGUCGCAAGCUCAUUUAAUUACAAAAAUUGAAGCAAGUUUCUUACGUCUCUUGCAAGCUAUUUCGACAAAUCAAUGAGGGGAACACUUUGAGGAAACAUACAACUCGAAGUGAGGGGAACACUUUGAGGAAACAUACAACUCGAAACAAUAUUUGAGUAUAUCUUUGGCUUCCUUCUUUGUGAACUUAAAGAACAAUAUACAUGAUGCGAUGUGAUGACGAAAGGGGAAUAAGUAAACAACAUAAGGCUCCACUUUCCCAUAAAGCUACUCCACUACAAACCCACAGGCUACAACAGUCCACUACUGGACUGGAGAAAAAGCUGAUUAGCUUAUAUUCAAUAACUGAGGCACUCAACAAACUUUAUCCCCAAAGAAGAAACGGCGGAAUAAGAUCUGUAUCGGACAAAUAUAACGAAACUUGAUCGAGCUGAUCAAGUUCCAGGCAUAGCAUUGAUCUAAACUCGGUAAUCUAAGGGGCUUACAAAACCAACUAACUAUAACACCGGGCUCUCGUUAGUUAUAUGCUGCGUAAACAUCCAUUUGUACAAAGUCAACGAUUGCCCCCAACUCUGAAAUGCCUAAUCCCCCAAAUUCCCAACACAAAUCUCACCGUUCAAGCUCAAAAACCGACGUGCUCAAUUCUAGAGCCUGUCUAUUCGCACCUUAUCACUAUCAAAACUUCCGAUCCAAGCUGAUUACAUGAACGCGAAUUGCAAUCACCUCCCGCCCCACUUGUGCCAAUCAAGCUUGUCAGAACCACCAUCGGCCUCAACCGUGACCCGUUCUGCUCCAUACUCUUUACGAUCUUUCCCGAUUUGCCCCUGGGAUCUUCUUCCGUUGGCGGCCAUAUUCUGCGUCGCGUUCCGUGAUUUCGUCGUUUGCGAGAGGGCACUGAAGGAAGUUCCGCCGAAAUCGAGACGUUUUACGAAGACCCGCACAGCGACGUCCACCGUCGGGUUCUUUUAGCCAAGAGAACGAGACACUUUUUUGGGGUUCGAUCUUCCCUCUUUCGGAGAUUCCCUCCCUUCGACGUCUCCACAUCAGCAUUUUGACUGGCUGGGUUCAAUUUAUUUGGUUCACACUAAAUUUUAAAGAACAUGCUAAAUUAAAGUUAAUACUAUCUAUCAUUUUAUUUAUAACUAUGGAGAUACGCGAAAAUGCAAUUGGUCCAUUAUGGCCGCAGGCCUCUCGAGUUGAGUGUUUUCAUAUUCAUCAUCCAAUUGAUCUAGCACACAACUUGUUCAAAUUCUAGCAAAGUAUAAUUGAACUCCAGUAAUCAACGAGUUGAGCAUAAUUGUGAAUUACAGAACCCACUUAUCUUGGGUUGAGAGUUCAAUAAGGCAACUUGGUAUUGUGUAUUAAUUCUCAAAUAGUAUCUCUGAAUAUUUAUGUUGAACUGGAUUUUUUUAUAGAUAAAAGUACCCAUAGUUUUUUAAAAUUGAGUCAUUUUGUCUAAAAGUUUUUGGACUAUUAUGAUGUGGACACAUUUGAAAUGGAUCGACGUCCUAAAAAUCAUGGUAUUGUCAUCCAUAAUUGCUUAAUUGAAUAUAUGAGUCAUACAAUUGUCGAGAUUGUAUACUUUACAAGUCAAAGAACAUGAAACAAAAGAAAACGUCCCUAAACCUUGAGAACAAAAGUUAAUAGGAUUUUUUCACCGGCCAUGUGAGAAGUAAAAAGAGCAUGUAACCUCUGACAAUGCAAGUCACAAAUGAAUUUUUUAAGAACGCAAAUGGUGUCAAUAAAAUUAUUUUUAUUUCGCAUUUAACUCACAAUAAUAGCACAAAAUAAAAAUCCCAAUGCGUGGUAUGCGCCAUGUUUGGUGGCUUUGGCAAUUUAUAGUUCUAGUGGCAUAUACUGAUAAAUUAGUUCACGAAACAAAAGUGAACAUGAAGAAAAAGUGAAAUUUAUGAGAUAUUAUUGUGAAGAGUAAGAUGAUCAAUUUUAUAGAGAUCAAUCUUCAAAUCUUUUCAUUCGAGUUAACUCAAAUUUUAACCACGCAUUUUUUUUUUUCGUAGGGUCAUGCACUACUCAUUUACUUUGAAAAGAAAUAAAACUGAGCUUGAAAAAUUCUCAACCCACGCCCAAGCGUGGUAAAGCAAUGGUAAAGAAAUCGCGCCAUCUUCCAGAGCGUAUAGCCUCUUAUCAUUUUGUGGAUUUGCUACCUCAAGCAAAAAGACUGGACUUUUAGGUAGCGAUUGUUUGUGUUCUUUUUUACUAGUCAUGAACACAAUUUUUAUUUUUUUGUUUCAGGGAACAAAAAAAGAAUAGAAACGCGUUUGUUUAAGUUUUUGUUCCAAAUUUAUUUUUUUGUUCCUGAGAACAAAUUUUGAAUAGAAACAAAAAAAAUAAGAAAAACUUGUUUCUUAUUCCUGGAACAUUUCUAAGAAAUAAUUUUUUUCUCUCCUAUUUUUUUCUCUUUCUUUUCUUAUUCUUUUAUCUUUGGCCGGUCGCCAGCCUCGGCCAUGGCCAGUGACGCCGGCGACCUCACCGAAGCGUUGCCAACCCCCGGCAAGGUCGAGCAUCGCCGGCCCCUGGCGAGGCCAAGCUCGCCUAGCCAAGGCGAGUUUGAGCCUCGCCUAGCCACGGCGAGCCUCGCGGUGGCUAAGCGAGGCUGCCAGCCAAAAGGAAGAAAAAAGAAAAAAGGAAAAAAAAUAAAAAUAUUAAAAAAUUAAAAGAAAUAAAAAAAUUAUAUAAGUUUACCAAAUGUGUUUAUAUUCUUAAUUUAUUCUAAAAACAUAAAUUUUCUGCAGUUACCAAAUGCAUUCUUUUGUUCAAAAAUUGUUUCCCAGAACAGAAAUAGUUUUUUCUAUUUCUGUUCCCCAGAACAAUUUUUGAACAGAAACGUUACAAAAUACUCCCUUAGCAUAUCUAUAGGGCUACAAUGACAAAAAAAAGUAGGACAAAACAAGGAAAAUUGAAAAAUCAAAUUAAAGUAAACCAAAUUUUCAGUUCGGGUCAUAUUUGAUUUAGGUCGCGAUUCAUUUCGGUUCGAACCAAACUGUUGACAUCCCGAGUUACAAUGAUAGACUCAUACACCUAGUGUUAGAUUGAGUUGAUAUGCUCAAACGCAACCUUCCGUAACUAGUGCACUCCCUUGGUGGCGACACCAAGAAUGAGUAAUUGUACUUCCUAACUUUUUUUAUUUUAUUAAAAAUAAAAUCGCAAAAAUCGUGACCAGUGCAGCGAGGCCAGGUCAGACCAAUCCUCGAGCCCUGGGUCCAUCUAAUGCACAAGUCAAUCCUGGCUUGAAUUCCCGCGGGGGGAAACGAAAGUACUUCUCCCCUACUCUUUGUUUUUUGUUUUUUUUUUUUUUUUUGGUCUAACAUAAAAUUUCAUUCACUCAGAAGAGCAAGGAACACAUGAUUCAAGGCAUAACACAUGGCGACCCCAAUCGGUGGAUACUUUUGUGCUAAUAUAACCUCACAGAACAUAUAUCUAUACGUAUAUACUUUUGUCUUAUCAGACUUCAUGCUGCGCAAUGCACUAGUAGAGCGGAGGAUCGAUACAGCAAGCGCCGAUCUGCAGAACCGAAUGAAGAACGGGGGUUUUCCCCCUUUUUUUUGGACUUUCCUUGUGAUUAAAAGCUUCAUCGAUCACCUCACACCAUAUACAAAGUGGGAAACGAUGGCGAACAGAGCCUGUCCAUCUUGCUCUGUUUCUGUCUUCACAUACACUGACUUCUUAAGUUGGCAAGGGCUUCCAUUCGUCUGGAAUGUUGUGGUUAAGAUACUUGUGGUUAAAAAAAAGGUAGGCUUUUGCUUUUGGUUUUCUAUAUUUUGAAUUUAGUGUUUUACCCAAAACCGUAAUUUAUAAGGAAAGGUUCUUGUUAAUGAAUGUCUUGGGGCAUUGUUGAGCACGCUUAAAGGGGAAAUUUUUUAUUUCCAGAGUAUUGAUUACACAUAAAAUAAGAAAAAACAAUGUACGAGAAAAUUGUAGUAUCUUUAUUAUUGAGUUACUUAACAAGUGUCCCAGGGGCACUAUUCAACAAAAUCCCUGAGAAAAAGAUUCCACGAUGCCUCACAUGCAAGCCGAUCUUUACAUAUGAAGCACAUAAUCUAUACGUCAACUGGAUGCAGGAAUAAAGGCAUUUAAACAGAGGUAGCAAGAUGGAAGAAAAUGAGGGAGCGCCAGGAUUUAAAAUCGUAACAUGCGGUAUGAUACCAAUUUUUAUAAUCCAUUUUUGUCCAAAAGCUUACACUGCAAACAAGCAAGUUCUGUGUAUUGCAUAUUGAUCUUUGAAGACGCUCUGUUUAAUACCGAAAAAAUAUACUUCCGAGAUAUGUCUGUCUUAAAGAUCUUAAGUUGGUCAUCUCUUAUGUAUAUGAAAUCCAAAUGCCUGAUUGUUUUUUGUGAAUGAAUUUGCAGGCUGCCCAGGCAAUCUGCAAGCUUGGUGAAGUAUUGGGUGAAUCCCUGUCUCCUAGUCAUCAAGUUUUGCGCAUAUCUCUUAUGGAAGAACUUCCAGGUCGAUUACGGGAGGUAAGAAAUGUCUUGGACUUUUUUACAGGAGAGGCGAUGUGUAGUUUGUCUUCUAAAGUACUGACGCAAUGGCAUGAAACUAGAAUAGCAGGAAUAAAGGCUGAAUUAUGUCACAUACCUUGCCAGUUAAACUUCUUUGCCUUCUUAUGACAAAAGAAGAUAAUAAUAAUAAUAAAAAACAACUUCCUUGCCUUCUCAGAUGUUAAUCCGUCAAUUCCUUCCUACAAUAUUGUAGGGGAAGGAGGCUCUCUUGUUUGCCUUGGGUGCUCUUUCAAAGUCUUGCCAUCAAGCCAUCUCCAAGGAAGAUCCCAACGCUGCUGGUGCUCUUCUGGAUUUGCUAUCCUCUGCAUGCACAAAAACGGACAAGAAAUACUGGAAAGUGGUACUUUUAAGCCUUGAUCAGGUAAUUCCAGAUUAUUGUGUGUUCGCGAAUGCAAUUGUCUUCAAUUAGAAAAUGUGGGGCUUUUACGAGCUCUCACAUCAAGAAACUUUCCAGCCGUACAUUUCGGAAAGUGCUGUUUCAGGUCAAUUUCAUCUUUUUAAUUCCCAACUAAAAUCUGCCCCCAACAUCCCCCUUCCUCUCUAAUGAAGAUCUUGAUUUUUUCAUGGUUUUUCAGAUUAUAAAAGCAUUUGGCAAUCAUGAGUUCUUCAACAUGGUUUUUCCAAAAUUGUUUGACAUGUGCAGUUUAGGCACUUCUGAUAAAUCUGGACAAGCACAUUCAGCAAGCGAUUCUGCUAAAUCAGGUUCAUCCAUAUUUCUAACUUGUAACUGUCCAGCUUUCAGGAUUUUGAGUUGUCCUGCAUUGCAACCUUUGAAUUCCAUAUCAUAACUUUCUCUCGUUGUUAAACUGUGCAUUUUACAUGGCAUGGUUGAUAUGUGCAGACUAUGAUGGAAAAGAAGAUUCUUCUGUUCCACUAGAAAAAGUACUGGACUGUAUCCCAUCAUGUAUCCAUGUGGCGUAUAUUGAUGAUAUUCUUGAAAAGAAAAAUAACUUGGAGCACCUCUGCAUUGCCUCUCUCUCACCUGAGUUGUCAUGGACUGGUACCAUCAUAACCAAAUCUUUCUUAGGUAAAUGCAGCAUGGAAAGUGUUUCUAUUAACCGUUUCAUCAUGCAGUCAAAAUAUCGGCUUUUCUAUCAAUUAAGGGACUCUGCUCAAGGAUUCAUGACAUUUUGCUUGAUUCUCAGCAAGCUUCUCAACAUGCAAAUGCAGCAUCUUUGUUUCAUGACAUAAUUAGUAUCCACUUUCUAACAAUAUUGCUGAGGAACAGGGUAACUAAGGGAUGAUAUCUCUAACUUUGGUUAAGGAAAAUAGCUUUCCUUUAUUAUGAUGGACAUGUUGCACUUACUGGCUUUAGAAUCAGUUGUCAUUCUGUUCUCCAAAUUCCUUAUCUGGAUUCUGAUCAUCUGUUUUUCCUACGCAAGUUUAAGCUGUUUUCUUCGAUGUUACCCAAAGUGGCAGACUGCAUAGCCACUGUUAAGAUAGCACAGGUAUUUCUUCACUUUCCCCUUUGUGGUGGAAAUUGCCUUUGCCUUCAUCUUCGUCAAAACCAUCUGAUCUUGUGUGGCUUUCACCUAGAUGUAGGAUUGUAGCAUUAUUAAGUCCUAUGCAUAUAUAGGUGACAUUACUCCAGUAAAUAAGAGUUCCAUUAAGUUAUCCAUCAAGAGUUCUGGAGUCUAGAUAGCAUACAUGCCUUCACAAUGUGAAGAAGUAGAAUUUUUCCUUGUCUUUAAUUUUUCAAGUUUCAAUGGUUCUUCUGAUGAGGGCUCUGUAUUAAUCAGAUUGCUGCGUUCAGCUGAUGUUUUUCUUGGAUUCAAUUCCAUUCUGACUCAAGGCACUAGAGGCAUUACCUUUUACUUGGCUUACAUUUUUUAUGAUGAUUCCUUACUAAGUAGAUCAGCCAAACCAGAGAGAUCAGUUGAUAGCACCCCAAGGAUAUUUAUGUAUUAAUCAUCAUAGCCAUUUCUUGUAUGUGCGAGCAAGAGUAAGUAAAUAUUUUGCAGGGAUUAUAGUUGACAUGGAAAGUGGACCACUUAAGAGUUAUCGAUCAUCUUAGAUCAUUCUUGCAGAUGCAUUUUAGAUGUUCAUCUUGCACUGUGGACCAAUAAUCUAUUUGAUACUUUUUCAAAUUUAGGUUCAUGUCAGUGCUUCAGAGUGCCUUUUGGGGAUGAUCACCCUUUGCAGGGAGCUUCCUUCAACGUUCUGGACAGAUGCAGGUUCGAAGGGUUUGCUGGUUCAUCUACGUGAGGUGGAAAAAAAUGAACAAGCCAAGUCCUUGCUUAAGAGAUGCAUCCAUUUACUAGAGACUUCUUAGAGGAAAAUGUGGAAGCGAGUUGAUUUCGAAGAAAGGUGAGUAGAGAGUUGUAGCCACUGCAGGUGAAGUAUGAUAAAUGGGUAAAAUCAGUAAAAAGCUGAAGUGAGGAAGUAAAUAUAAAAUGGGUAAUGAUCGAUCUUGACUGUUUGGUGAAUCAAGGCUAACACCGCCUUAGCAACCUUUUGGAUAAACUAAAAUGUUCGACCAAAGGAAGAAGCAAGAAUUAAGCAAGCAAAAGAAGAGCUUAGCUAGACAUGUUUUAGGAAGUACACACGUUGGUCCUGCAUAUCUCAAGCGUGGACAGAUUUAAAUAGAUAUUGCACAGGCUUGAUAUCUUUCAUUUAAUGAGCCGACUACUUUGUUCUUUUUUACUGUCGUUCAGCUCUGUACGUUCAUAUUAGCAAACACCAAAUAAUUCUGAACUAACCAAUCCGAUUUUCAGUGCAUAAGAUGAUCUUUUUUUUCUCCUGUUCGAACAUGAGCAUACUAUUGUUUUUGUUUUUUUCAUUGUUUUUGGUUAUUUAGUUAGAAUGAAUUUGUGGGAGCAAGAAUCCCGAUCCAUCUAAUGAUUGGUGAUCCGAUGCAGCCUGUUACGCCUCACUAGUAAAUUCUCCAUGAAUGGAGGGACAUUUCUUUGGUCUCGUCCCUGAAGCCUCGCCAUAGACAGAGACACCGUGCGGACGACGUGUUCAUGAACAAAGAUUUAUUGCUGUGGUUGCAGAACACUAACACAAGCGAUCAUCCAUUUUCCUGCUUUGACAGGAGAAUCUGGUGGGGACAGAACUGCUGCUUUCACGUGCAAGUACACAGACUGAAGGGACUGAGGAAUCUAUAUAGAUUAACGCUUGUAUACUGUGCACUUAGGAUAGUCUGGGGUUUCUUAAUCGGGUCUUUCUUACAUUAUAAAACUUUAGUUUAGACUGGGAGAAAUUUGAGGGCAAAAAGUAACGCUCUCGGUGUAUGAUCUUUCACAUGGACUGUCUACCAUCUUAACUAAGAGAUUAAUUUCGGUAUGAUGUCGUGAAUGACCCUAUAUAUAUUCUGACAUCUAAACAAACUAUGUCAGGUUCCUUCAUUGUAGGGUGAUUCUUUCAUCUUUCUUUGCUUGAGAAGAUCUUUACCUCGAUCCUUCCUUUCUACUUUUGAAGAUACGCUUUUCUUCGCUGCUCAAGCACCUAUUCUCAAAAACCUGAUCAUUCGAUGUGUUUAGUGUUAUUGCAUAAAGUAAAAUUUGUCAAAAAUUCUGAGGAAGUUCGACUCCUAGGUGAACAUCUGCUGGUAAAAUAAUCUGAAUUUUUUAAAAUUGCGAGUGUUCUAAGAAAAAGGAUCCAAAAAUCUAAUGCUAAGCUUCUUAUUCUAAUGUAUUAGACAUUAGCAAUUCAAACCCAAUCGAGGUGAUGAUGUGAAUAGCAAAGCAUUUGUUUCUUUAACGUUAUAACUUGUUGGGGCUUCCAAGCUUGCUUGGCUAAUUCAAAUGCGCUUGGAUUUUGGCUUGUUAACUCAGGUUAUAGCUGACCAAAAAAAAAAAAAAAUCAGAUUAUAGCAGAAAGAGUGAUAAAAGAAGACAAGAAAUCGAUGGAAAAUGAGGAAAAAAGAAAGUGCUAUUUCUUUCUAUGUUUAAUUACAUUAAAUUUGAAGGAAAAAAAUUAUGUCAAAUAUUCAAGGAUAAAACGUAUACUCGUGUGCAUGCAUGGUCAUCUAAUCAACGGAAAAUAUCACUUAACUUAUAAAUUUGAUUAAUUGAAAAUCAUCAAAAAGUAAAAACCCAAGAAUAUAAACAAAAAGCACCUGGAUUAUUUUUUAGUUUUGUAUGUUGAUCUUUAUUCAUUCUAAAGUCCUUUUUUUUUUAUUUGCAUGUUGGGGAAAAGGACUUUUGUGCAAUUAUUCAAGGCUAAACAACCAUUUGGCCAGAUGAUUCUUAAUUUGUCAUGAUAUCCUACAUUGUGUAAAAUUUUCAAUAGUUAGCAAAUUUGACAACAAUAUCAACUUUUUUUCUGUUUGAAUUACUCGUAGCAGAUUCAAAGAAGAUUUGGCAUGAAGUUGGACGCCUAUGAUGUGUGAAACUUAUGCUUUCUUUUACUGUGAAAAUGCAAUUUUACAUGACAUUGCCUGCAGAUUAGACUCUUUGAUGUCACUCUAGCACUGAAAACACAAAUUACAUAGUAGGAGCAUGUUCAUCAAACUAGAAAAGUCUUUAUUUAGUUGUGUGGAUAAUAUGAAACAUAAGAAAAAGUAAAAAGAAAAAAACAAAAAGCAGUUCCUUUUCCCAUUCGAGAGGAAAUUAAUAUGUUGGUCCAAAGGGGAAGCAAUUUUCUGAUAUCUUUCUCUCUCUUCUUUCGUCUCUCUUAUUACUACGUCCCAAAUAAAGCAAAAGGAAGCCCCAAUUAGGAGGGGCCGGGGGGGGGGGGGGCGCGGGAUGGAUAGGCUCAUUUAAUUACAGCUUACAUAUUUACGUUUCUCUCUUUCUUAAUCUAGAAUUAAGAGAAAGAUAAAAAUAAACACGCCAAUUGAAAUAGUUUGAUAUAAUUGUCCCAGUUUAUCUAGAAUAUAGUUAAGUGGAAAAAAAAAAUACAAAUACUCAUGGAUAAGCACAAGGUGCAUGAUUCGUCUCUGCCCAUAUCUAUAGACUCUCUAACCGAGAGAGAGAUCCAUUACUUCCAAAAUUGAUUCUCCUUUGAAGUUUGUGAAAAUAAAAUGGUUUUCACUAUGUUAUACACAAUUGAUGAUAAUUUAAUUCAGAUUGAGAGAUAGUAAAAGUUAUAAAUUUCGCUUAUUUGAUACGAUGUUGCUUUUCAAAUCACAUAUUUUCCCUAAUUCAUAAUACUAUCGUUAAGAAGAUUUUUAUGUUCCUUGAUGACUUCCUCUUUCCUCUUUUCAUCUUUUGUUUCGUGGCAUGGCGAGGCCACCUUGAGCGCGGCGGAAGAGAGUGACUACAUGAGAGGACAGCAGCACCGUGGUGCCAGAAGGAGGGGCAGAGACAGAGGGAAUUAUGGGUAUUUGUCAGUUUUUGGGUUCAAUAUUUUCUUAAAUAUCAUGGUCUGCAUUUUGUUUUUGGUGAAGUUGCUAAAAAGCUUUUCAUGUUUGCUGCCUGGAAUAAUGGCAUCUAUUAAGUGAAGCCCCUUAAUGUGAAUUUAUGUCUAGGCGUGAGGCGGCCCCACUCAGAUGUAAUGUCAUCUAGUAAGCAAGGCCUUCGCGGCCGGCGAGGACCUCAUCCACAUCUGGUGAUAGCCCCCGCCCAGGGGCCUUUGCGGCCCUUGAGGGACUUGGAAUUAAAAAAUAGAAAAAUGAAAAAAAUAAAAAGAUUCAAAAAAAUAAAAAAAUUUAUAAAAAUUGUCUACAUUAGUAAUUUUUGACAAAAAUUACUAAGAAGAACUGAAUUAGCAAAUUGUUAAAAGGCUUAAAAUUAAAUUGGUCAAUUAAAAAAUUAAAAACUAAAUUGUCAAAGGGUUUCAAACUUUUUCGUAAUUUUCCCGAAGCUUAUAAGACAUUUGCUAGAGUUGACACUUCAACAACUAACACUUACUGAAGAAUUCGAGUGACCUUUUCUGGAUGCGUCUUUUCAUGCAUUAGAGCCUCUCGGUAAAUCCCAAGUUGAAUGCCUAUCCAUGAUCCACGAUGUAAUUACCCGUUGCAGUGUUCAUCCAUCAAUUAUUCGAGAGACGUGCUCCAAAAAAAAAAAAAAAAAACUGAGGGUAUGUACAAUGAUCGAUGUGAUGAUUUUGGUAUUUGAAACGUAUCAUGACUAUAUCUCUAUUAGCAGUUUUCAUUGUGCCAAGUUUGCAUAUAACCGCUUAAGCCAAAAUCAGAAAAUCUAUGGCUUGGAAGAAACUGAAAGUCCAUUCAUCUACCGUCCUUUGUUAUCCCCAAGACUUCCCACCUUGCUUCAAUUAUAUGAACAAUCCUAACUGGACCAACCGAUAUCACUCCCAGUCUAUUCUCGUCAAUGGAUUUGCGCGCAUUGUCAAGGCAUCCUCUGCUGUGCAAACCGAAGUGCUUGCUUUGCUGGAAGCUAUUUGGAACUAUACUCAGAUCAAUAUAUCUGAUAUGGUGUCUAACUAGAGCGAAUUAGCCCUUGGGACUACUCUUUAGCCCUUGGGACUACUCUUUUCAGAUUUAAGAGUGGCCCAUUGUAACACAGAAGCAAAUAAGGUGACGAAUUGGAUUUUACAUCCUCUCAAACCCUUUGAGCUCUAUUAUGUUCUGAAGCUGCUCCUUGUAUGGUCAAACAAUUUAUUACUGAAUGGUUAUUAUCCUCCUGACCAAAAAGAGAAAAAGAAAGCAAGGUCCUUUUCUUUUUGCUGGCUCACCAUUCCGUUCUCUCUCUCUUUUGUUCCUCUCUUCUAUCCAUUGUAGAAGAACUGUAACAUCGGUCAAAGGCCCAUUUGACUUUAAAAGACUACUCUUUUCGGUUAUAUAUGCCUACUUUUUUCUCAAUUUGGCUUCACAAAUGGUGGAAGAGGAGAGCUCCAAUGAACCAAAGUUAUUGGGCCUUCAGAGUGUAGAACCAUUAGUCACUUCGGAGAAAAUAAUAUGUCUAGUUUGAUUUAACAUGCGGUCCUUAAUCUAAGUUUCUGAAUAUUCAGGCUUGGACUGUGGCCAUGAUGGACGGGACAUUUCGCAAGAAAAAGAAAAAAGUGGCGUCUACAGUGGCAGAAGGAACAAGAGACAAUAGCAAUGCUGAUCCUGAAGAGGUACUUGAUUUGUGAGUAUGUUUGUAAGGCUGAAUAGAAAUGGUCGGGGAUGCAGAAGGGAAUGAUAAGAUCCAGAUUGGGGUGCAGGACCAUUGUGAUAGGGAUUACGUUAUGCUAGUCUUCAUGAAUUCCCGUUUCUCCAAAGAAAUGCACCAUGCCUAAGUGACUGUCAAUGGAUGAACUCAUUUCAUAAUUCAUGUUGGGGCAAUGCAAAGACCCUACAGUAAAACAUUUGUAUUGUAACUGUAAACCAAGGCGUUCCUAGAUGAUUUUCUGGUGAAGUAGAAGUUCCUCCAGUGAAUAUUAACAUAAUCAUAUCUAUGUGCAGGAGGCCGAGGCUCAUUCUGCAGCUGUAGUAAUUAGAAGAGCGGUUAAAUUGAAGAGUCAGGACUGGAUUGAAUCUUUUCUUCCAUGAUCAUAAAGAGUCUCUUGGGAUGCAGUCAAUCUAGUGUCUCGUUCUGUUCUCAGCACCCAAAGUGUUGAACGGAAUGACAUGUUGGAUGUUUCAAUUAUGAUAGCACAUGAAAUUCCAGGAAUCGAAUCUUACAGAAGGCUCCAAUCAUUCACCCGGUCAGCUUAAUAAUGAAUUUUGUCAUUUUAUGAUUUGAUUGAAUAACAACAAUAAAUCUGGUAAAAAGUGCAUUCUUUUCAACGGCCAGAUGAGCAAAAAAUAGUUUAUACACAAGAUUUAAACGAAGUUCUAGGCAACCCAUGGGUUGGGCAAGUCUAUCAAUUGAAGUGAAGAUUAGUCCCACGACAUGUUUUAUUUUCUCACUCUUGUACGUAAACGAUCUCAAGUUUGAAUAUCUACUUGAAAUUAUCUUGCAUUGUAGUCCAGCACCACUACAUUCCUAAUGCGCCUCACGCUCAAGACAGAUUCUUGAAUAGAGUCCGAAAGCGUGCUAAUUAUGCACAUGAAAAAGAGAAACUCCCCUGCACCUGCCUGGUCGCCAAAUGCGCUUGUUUUGACAUUAGCUAAUGUUUAGCUUAAUGACCCAAAUCAUUUAAUUUCAGAUGAAUAGAAAUAAAGCAAGUUUUUUUCUUUUUGCCUUCUUUUUCCCUUGUUAAUUCAUAUCCGAAAGCAUUAACCAAUGGAGUCGAUAGCCGCAUUUUUGCAAAAAAUCAUCUAAAGGAGAGUCUUUUCAUACUUGAGAUCCAACAUAAAUCAAGUCUUCUAUUAAUCAACGUCUAUGAGCUUAGACCCUUGUGCUAAUGCUUUCUUUAAGACUUAGACUUCAUGUAAUGUGAACAAACGUUGGUAAGAAAUGCGCAACGUUGUUGAUCAAGGACCGUCCAAAUAUUUUGAUCGAUUACAUGGGGGCUCUCAACCAACCGCAAUUAGGACAGCAAAAAGAAAAUGAAGGAAGCAUCUUGGAAUUGCAGGUGAAUCUUAUUUUAUGCAUUAGGUGUUGAACGACUUGAAAGAAUCCAUCCACGUUAUUUCACUAAUGAGCGUUAAUUUAUCCAUUAGGAAAUUGCAUUAUCAACUUUGGCAAGCUGUAGUGAUGGUGCAAUGUUGUCAUUGACCAAUCCUAGCAAGCUGGGCCGCAACUUCAGCCAAUCCUAAAUUUCCUUGUAUCUUCUUAUUUGUAUCAUAUUCUUGUUCCCUUGCUAUUGUCGCAUACAUUUAAGCUUGUCCCCGAUUGAAAGCUUCUCUGCAGUAUCCAUGGAAUGGAUGGUAUUGGACACACGGCUAUUACCAAAAUCAUAUACAAUUAGCUUUCACAUGAUUUAGUAUUGUUACUUUCUUUUCCAAUAUCCGAGAAAGUUCAAGUAUGAAGGGUGUCAAUCAUUUGCAAAAUCAUUUAAUCUCUAACAUCCUUAAAAAAAGGAAAUUGACAGGUAUAAUGAAUAUUAAUGAAGGGAUCAACAAUUAAAAAUAGCCUAUCUAAUAAAAGAGUUCUCCUACUUCUCAAUAAUGUGGACAAAAAGAAUGAUAUGGAUUCACUUGUGAGUACACAUGAUUGAUUGGGUACAGUAACCAAAUGUGCUUGCUCUAGUUAGCUGAUGUUGAGCUAAAUAUAAAAAAUGACUUCAAUCAUUUAGGCUCUAUUUGUUUCACGGGAAAUAAUUUUAAUUUUUUUUUGAAUUUUAUGAUAUUUGCUUCACAAAAAAUAAACUUGUCAAGGAAAACAUUUUCCGUCAAUGGAAAAAACACCUUCAAAAGUGAAAAAAAAAAAAGAUUUCCUCUCUUUGAAAAAAUGAAAUUAUUUUUCCUCAUCUUUCUUUCACCCAGAUCAAGCACAUUCUCCUUUGUGCACUUCUUUUGAUCAAUUUUUUUUUAAAAUUUAUCUUUUUUUUUUCUUUCUUCUUCAAUUGGUCACUGGCCAUGACGAUGGCCAUCAACAGGCCGAGCGAGAAGAAUGACUUCCUGAAAAAUAUUUUUCAGAAAUGUCACAUUUUUUCCUAAAUAACUUGAGCCUUAAUUUCAAAUGAGCAGAAGUGUAGCAAGUUCUUUGAUUUUUUGCCUUGUUUUUCUCUUUAUAAGACAUAUCCGAAAGCAUUAACUAAGAGAGUUGAGAGCCGCAUCUUUUGAAAACAUAAUCUGAAAGAGAGAACUUCAUGAGAUUCGAUACAAAUCAAGUCUUUUUUUAAUCAAAGUCUAUGGGCUUAGAGCCUUCUGUUAAUGCUUUUUAAGACCAAGACUUUGUGCCAUGUAAACUAAUAUUAGAAAGAAAUGCCCGGCCACUGUUGAUCUAGGACUGUCCAAAUAUAUUAAUAGACUACAUAGGAAGCAUCUUGGAAUUGACAAUGAACCUUAUUGUAUGCAUUAGGUGUCGAAAAAAUUGGAAGAAUCCGUCCCCAUUAUUGCCACGAUGAACCUUAAUUUAUGUAUUAAGGUGUUAAAGAAACUGCAUUAUCAACUUUCACAGGCUAUAGGGAUGUUGCAAUGUUGACCAAUCCUAGCAAACCUGUCCACGACUCUCUACAGAUCUAACCAAUCCCGAAUUUCCUUGUAUCUUCAUAUUUGUAUCACAUUCUUGUUCCCUCGCUAUUGUUGCAACCAUAUAAGCUGUCCAGGAGUGAAAGGCUUCUUCUUUGCAAUAUCCAUGGAAUGGAUGGUAUCAGACAUACGGCUAUUUGCCAAAAUUAUCUACAAUUAGUUGUCACACAAUUGAACAUUGUUAUAUUCUUUUCCAAUUUCCAAGAAAAUUGAAACAUCAAGGGGGUCGAGUGCAUGCAAAAUCAUUUCAUCUCUAAUAUCCUUAAAAAGGAAAUUGACAAGCAUAAUGGAUAUUCAUGAAGGGAUUAACAAUUAAACAAAAAUUAUCUAAUAAAAGAGUUCUCUUUCUUUCUUAUGAUAUGGACAAGAAGGAUCAUAUGGAUGCACUUGUCGGUACACAUGAUUGGUUGGGUACAGUAACCAAAUAUGCAUGUUUUUACAUUAGCUAACAUUUAGCUAAAUCUGAAAAAUGACCCAAAUCAUUUAAUUUUAAAUGACUAGAAGUGUGGCAAGUUCUUUUCUUUUCACCUUCUUUUUCCCUUUAUAAUACAUAUCCGAAAGCAUUAACCAAUAGAGUUGAGAGCAUAACAAGUGCUGAAAAAGUUUAAACCUAUUUUAUUGGUACAUAUUCAGGUAUAAAUCUUUUAAUUGAACUAAUUUAAUUAUAAACCAUUUCGCAAUGAUGCCAUUUUGUCCAUUCGGCCAAAUUAGGUUGGAAAUCAUUGAUGUAGAUAUUAGCAAUCUUAUGUGCUACGACAAUACUGAUGUAGACAUUUUUUUAAUAAUAUUUUGAAUUUUAAAUUAAAAUUUAAUUGUUAUUUUCUUUUUUAAUUUUUUUUUCUUGGCCUUUUCUUUUUGGUAGUGGUCGAUCGUCGACCAUAGGCCAUGCCCAACAAGGGCGAGCCUCGCUUGGGGGAGGCUUGGCCUUGCUUGGGUGAGGGUGAGCGCCUACAAAGCCCCCCUCACCGAAUUUGACAAGGGUCGACUCUCACCCAGGCUAGGGUGGCGUAGUUAAGCAUUGCCUAGGCAAGGGUUGGCCUUGCUUGGCCUAGGCAAGGCUUGCUGGGCCUCGCCCUCACCCAAACAAUGCCUAGCGAGGUCGCCCUAGCUUACACAAGGAUCAAUCUUGCCAAAUCUAGCAAGGGGGGCUCAAUGGCGCUCGCCCUUGAGCAACCCCCCCCCCCCCCCCCGGGUCGCGCUGGCCAUGAGCCAUGGCCGAUCGCUAGCGACCGGCCACUAUAAAAAAUAAAAGGCAAAAAAAGGAAAAAAAUAAAUAAAAGAUUCAAAAUAUUAUUUAAAAUGUCCAUGUUAGUACUAGCUGUGUCACAUAGGACCACUAGCAUCCAUAUCACCAAUUUUUCGUUUAAAUUGAUUGGAUGAAAUGCAUUAGUAUCAAUGUGAAAUUUUUUUUUGAUUAAAUUGGUCAAAUUGAAAGAUUUAUAAGUAAAGUAGUAUCAAUGUAAUAGGUUUAGUACUUUUUUAUACUUAUUUCGUUGAAAGUCACAUCUUAAAUAUCAACUGAAAGAGAGAACUUCAUGAGAUUCGAUACGGAGCAAGUCUUUUUUAAUCAAAGUCCAUGAGCUUAGAGCCUUCUCCUCAUGCUUUUUUUUUAAAAAAAAAGAAAAGAUAUGGACUUUAUGUCAUGUGAACAAACUUUCGAAAGAAACGCCCAACGCUAUUUAUCAAGGACUGUCCAAAUAUAUCAAUAGAUUACAAGGGAAGCAUCUUGGAAUUGGUGACGAAACUUGUUAUAUGCAUUAGGUGUUCAAAAAUUUGGAAGGAUCCAUCCAUAGUGUUUCACUAAAGACCCUUAUUUUUUUUUUUUUUUAUGCAUUAGGGGUUAUAAAAACUGCAUUAUCAACUUUGAUAGGCUGGACUGAUUUUGCCACGUGAACAACCUUUCGAAAGAAACGCUCAACGCUGUUUAUCUAAGACUGUCCAAAUAUAUCAAUAGAUUACAAGGGAAGCAUCUUGGAAUUGGUGACGAAACUUAUUAUAUGUAUUAGAUGUUCAAAAAUUUGGAAGGAUCCAUCCAUAGUGUUUCACUAAUGACCCUUAUUUUAUGCAUUAGGGGUUAUAACAACUGCAUUAUCAACUUUGAUAGGCUGGAGUCAUGUUGCCACAUUCUUAUCGACCAAUUCUAGCAAAGUGUUCCCCGACUUUGCAUAUUUAGCCAAUCCUGACUUUCUUUGUAUCUUCAUAUUUGCUUCACAUUCUUUUUGCCUCGAUAUUGUCUACAAUAUCCUUGGAACGUGUGGCAUUGGACGGACUACUAUUGCUGAAAUCAUCUUUAUCAUCUUUCACAAUCUUCAACACUGUGCUUGCAGAUUCAUUUCAUCUCUUGUAGUCUUAAAAAGAAAAUUGGCAGAUUAAUGAUUAUUAAUGAAGGGAUUAACAAUUGAAAAUAGGCCAUCUAAUAAAAGAGUUCUCAUUUUUCUUAAUUUAACAUUUUAUAAGUGAAUAUAUAGAUUUAUAAAAAUAGAUACUAUACAAGCGUGAAAAUAUGAAUAGUUCUCAUUUUCUUUUCUUUUUUUAAUAAAAAUCAUUUCUGGCAAAAGUGAAAGUUCUUCGGAUCCCUUUAGCUUGAUAUUCUAGAGAACCUUGAACUUUCCACUUGCUAUUAAAAUUAACUGAACAUUCAACUUUAUCACAGAGAAUAUAAGCAUUAUGUUUAAUAUUAAGAUGUGAUGUGUUGGAAUAAUCAAAUAUUAAAUCACGCCUUAGUCUAACAAUUUAAGCUUUUAGAAUAGUUAGCAGUAGUUCUAUAAAUUCCCACAUGGUAUCAAAGCUAGAAGUCUUGUAUUCGAAUCUUUCUAGGCCCUUGUUGCCUCUCCAAUUCUCCAAUUAAAUAUUUGCAUGCUUAAUACUAGGCAAAAAGGCUAGACUACAUGUGAGGGGGAAUGUUGGAAUAAUUAAAUGUUAAAUCACACCAUCAUCUAACAGUUUAAGCUUUUAAAAUAGUUGAUAAUGGUUCCACAAAUUCUCACAUGAUGAAAUUUUAAUUUUCUUUAACAAUGUUCUAACCUUUCAACUUUAUCAAGUUAAUUUAGCUAUUGAAGGAAGAUGUCCAUAUUGUAGAUUUGAUAAAUAAGUUCAAUAGAUCAAUUCAAAGUUUGAGACCCCAACCCCUAGAGUGCCAAAACUUGGCACAGGAGUACUUAAAUGUCAAAAGUUAGGAAAUGUAUACUUAAAUAUCAAAAUUGAAGCAAAAUAAAUCAAUCAAGUGCUAAUGACAAGGAAAUCCAACUAAAAUGUGAAUGUGACGUUUUUUCGGAGAAACUAAUACAAAACAACGUCGUUUUAUACACUGACAUAGCUAGAUAAGCCCAAAACGACAUCUUUUUGUAUCGGAUUUGAAUUUUAAUACAAAUAUUAAUUAAAUUAAAUUUAAAACUAAAUUUAGAAUAUUAAAAAAAUGAUUGCAGCCCUCUCUUAGAUCCAACGAAGGUCGCUGGCCCUUCUCGACGACGGUGGGGCAGUCGUGGCGAGAGCUUGCACAGCUCUCAUCAUUUUGUAACUCCUUCCUAUUUUAAUUUAAUUUAAUUAAUAUUUAUAAGAGUCAAAACAACAUUGUUUUGACUUUUCUUUAAUUACUCAGCUUUCCGGUGAGUCAUGUAGGCGAGUUAUAUUAUUAAAAAAUUGCCUUAUAGGAUUUUCGACGAGAGUCAUUGGACUUGACACUCAGAUGUCCCAAUUUUCACAAAAAGUAGCACUUAAAUGUAUUCUUCAUAAUUUUUGACACUUAAAGUAUCUUUCAUACCAAGUUUUGGCACUUGUGUGGUUAUACUUAUGCCUUCAAAGUUUCUAUCUUCUUGGCCCCCCGUUUGACGUAUAAUAGCACUUGUUUUUUUUUUAAGUUAGUGUUAUUCCUUUUCAUUGCUUCUGCGACGACCACAAGCGCAUGGAUACUGUUCUUGGCCAAUGAAGUACGAAUUUUAAACCAUGUAUUCAUCUGUAAGAGCCAGAAACUUGCAUAUUAGUUAGGGAAGUCGUUGCCUACUGAUGAAAUCGUUGUACCUGUUGAACUCGAUCUGAAGUUUACUUGAAUGGUUCGUCCCUUUUUUAAGAGAAAUCAUUAGAGCAGGGUAGAAAAUUUAUUUUGUAAUUUGGGCAUCAUAUGUAAUGUUUGUUUGGGGAGGGGGGGGGGGGGGGGGGGGAAAAGGACUAUUUAGGAAACCUGACUGUUUUUUUGGCCUUUUUAUGGGGCGAUAAAAAUGAAUAUUGCAUUUCAUCUAAACGCGUGCUCUCUUCAUUGAUACGUAAUAGAACUUGUUCAUCAGUAUCCAAAUGUUCUUUUACGAUGAAAAACUUGAAGGGCUCACCUCAGUAAUUCUUUGUCUCCAGUGGAUGACUUAACAAGAUAAAAUAAGGAUAUUUGAUAUAGAUUAAUUUAGUAACUACGCUUGCAAUUCAAUUAGCAUAAUCACAUUGAUAUAUCUAAGUCACUAAAGUUAAAGUGGAGAAAAUGGUUGCAACGGUGCAUGCCCGUAGCCAUUGCGUUUGUGUAUGGGUUGGCUACACCAACUUGGUCUAGUGAGGGUGACAGCUAUCUAUUUGAUUUUAUCAUGCAUUUUAGUCCAUUCACCACUCCAUUACUAAUCCGUUACACACUCGAGACAGAUUCAUAAAUAGAGUCAACAACCGUGCUAGUUAAAUACAUGAAAAAAAGAAACCCCCCAAACAAGCCCCCAAUCCAAAUAUAACAAAUACGCUGCCAUACUUGAUAUUCGACCGGAAUCGAUUUUUCUUUUUUAAAUCAAAGUCUAUGAACUUAGAGCCCUGUGCUAAUGCCUUUUUUAAGACUUAGACUUUAUGUUGUGUGAACAAUCGUUUGAAAGAAUGCCUAAAUAUGUUGACCUAGGACCUCUCCUAAUAUUUUGAUAGAUUAUACCAGGUUCUCAAUCACUGCGAUUACGAUAACAAAGGAAAUUGAGGGAGCAUCUUGGAAUCUCUGAUGAGCCUUAUGUUAUGCAUUAGGCGUUUAAAAACUUGGAAGAAUCCAACCCUUAUUUCACUGAUGAACCUUAUUGAAUGCAUUAGCUGUUAUAAAAAGUGCACUAGUCAAUUUUGACAGGCUGGAGUGAUGUUGCAAUGAAUUGUUUUAUAUUGAUCAAUUGUAGCUAAGUGGACCACGACUCUCUGCAUAUUUAACCAAUUCUGGCUUCGAAGUUGAAUGACCUACAGAGAUCUCCAUUUGAGCUCACACUUCAACAGAAGACCACAUAAUGGCUACUUCAUCCAAAUAUGACUAUGAAGUAUUCUUGAGUUACAGAGGACCAGAUACUCGAUCAGGUUUUACUGACUUCCUCUAUACUAGUUUGAUGGAUGCAGGAAUUCUUGCAUAUAGGGAUGACGAAGAGCUCCGUGUUGGGGAAGAGACUAGCCUAGAACUUCUCCAAGCCAUUAAUCAGUCAAAGAUCUCGGUACCUAUAUUUUCAAAAGGUUAUGCCUCUAGUGUACGGUGUCUCAAGGAACUAGUCCAGAUGGUCGAGUGCCAGCAAUCUAGGGGACAAAAGAUCAUGCCCAUUUUUUAUGAUGUGGCACCUUCAGAGGUUCGACAUCAAACUGGAGCUUAUGGAGAGGCCUUUCGUUCACAUGAGAACAAGAAACGACAUGCUGAAAAGACCAUAAGUGAGUGGAAGGCUGCUCUCAGUGCAGUUGGGGCACUAAAUGGAUGGGACCUGCAAAGCAUACCCAACAGGUGACUACUUCUAGCAUUCUAUCUGGUGUGCUUUAUAUCAUUAAAACUCGAUGCAUUUAAAUUUGGUGUCCUUGCCAGAUUUGUGUUAAGUCUUGUUUACAUUGAAUUUAUGCUUUUGAAGUUUUGCCGCAAAAAUCGUGCUAAAUAAUGGCACAAUCCCAAAUUUGUCCUUUUUCAUUCCAAACAUCUUUUUUUCAGUUCAAAUCAUUCAUUAAAGCUUAGUACCAACGCAAGUUCAUGUACAAUGGAAUAAAUCCUUGAAGAACACAUUUCGGAUAAGUUUAUAGUUGUCAAUUUGGUAUUGUCAGAACAUAGUUUGGUUUUACAUAGUUUUCUAACUCAUGGCCUUUUGACCUCCAACAAAUAUUAGGCGAGAAGGUGAGUUUGCAAAAAGACUUGUCCAAAAGGUUUUCAAUGAGUUGAAAAAGGCUUAUCUAGUGAUAUCAGACUGCUUGGUCAGUGUCGACCAACAUGUGGAUGGAAUCAUGGAAAUGAUAGGCGCUCAAACUGGUGAAACAAGGAUUGUAGGAAUCCAUGGAAGGGGUGGCAUUGGAAAGACGACCAUUGCCAAAAUCAUCUAUAAUAAGCUUUCAAACAAUUUUGAGGAUUGUUGCUUUCUUUCCAACAUUCGUGAAAUAUCAAAACUCAAAGGCAUUGAAUGCUUGCAAAAUCAACUCGUCUCUGACAUCCUCAAAAUGAAAUGGAUGGAUAUACAAAACAUUGAUGAAGGGAUUCGGAUCAUUAAAGAUAGGUUGUCAAAUAAAAGAGUCCUCCUUCUUCUCGAUGAUGUGGAUGAAAAGAAUCAUAUGGAUGCACUUGCAGGUAAGUGUGAGAUGUCCUUAAUGUUCCCGAGGUGGACUGCAGUUAUGAGGUUAACUGCAUGGAUCCCGAUCAAUCUCUCCAACUUUUUUGCAAGCAUGCCUUCAGAAGAGAUUAUCCUUUAGAUGAGUAUAUCAACCAAUCAAAGAGGGCGAUAGACAUUGCUGGAGGUAUUCCAUUAAUGCUUGAGGUCAUCGGUUCACUUUUAUCUUGCACCGAAAAAGAAAAGUGGGAUGUCACGUUAGAGAAGUUGGAAAAUGCUCCUUGUGUGGAAGUUGACGUGGGAGCAUUAAAGCUUCGAAAUUCCAUUGAUCAACUGAUAAGCCCAACUCAAGCCUCUUCAACUAAUGAUACUCAUUUGUGAAUGGUGCAAGCAAAGGGCUAUGUGGCCACAACAUAAUCCAAUGGGUCCAGAACGUCCAAGAUGGAGCAUCUAGAACUUGAAUAAUAACUGCAGAUUGAGGAGCAAGGCUGGAGGGGUCAGAUUCUAGUUCCCACGCGUUUUCUAGUUCCUAAAUUUUUGUUGUUUCCUUGUUCCUAACUUUAUUGUCUCCUAGUUCCGAUGCUUUUAAGGUUUCAAAGUUCCUGUGUCUUUGUCUCUUUAUAAAUGAAAGGUGCAUUCUCCACUAUAAGGAAUUUAGACUUGAAUUCAUAUUGUAUGAGAAUUUCUCUCUAGUGAGUGAAUCCUUCGAUUUUUUAUCCAAUCCAUUAUUGGUGAACCCUAAUCCUUUGGUUAUUGAACCGUAUAAUUUUUUUUUUAUUGGUUGGUGAAAUACUCCAUCAUGACUAAGCCGACCUUAAUUUAAUUCAUACAUAUUUCAUUUAGCCUCUAAUUCACGAACCCAACAAAUCCAUACUUUGAACGUCCAGCAUCCUCUGAUUCUCACCACACAUCAAAAGUACAGGGUAAGCUAAAAAUAAGUUACGAUCUAUUAGAUGUUCAGCAAAAGCAUAUAUUCUUACCUUUUGACCCUCCAGGUUAUUGAAGAAGCUUUCAGAUUCAAUCUGGAAUUUGGAAUUAUUAAUUGAGUUGAACAUAUCCAUAAAGAUGUUUUGCCGGUUUUGUUUUUGCAACGAAAUACCUUUCACUGGGAGGAUAACUCCAGACAGGAUAUCAAAUGCAAUGCGAAUAAUGUCUUUCCAAUCUCAAACAACAUUAUACAAUACCGGGUCAAGUCGAAACCUAAUCCAUUAAUAAGCCCACAAGCUUCAAGACCAAACUUAAACUAUGCUAGGAUUUAAUCAAGGACACAAUUUAAGGACAAUUGAACACAAUGUUGGAAUCUAAUCAAUGACAUUGUCCCAGGAUUGUGAAAUACAAUGUUGGAAAUUAAUCAACGACAAUGCACUGGGAUGAAAGACAAUGCCGGAAUAUAAUCAAUGAUGUUGUAUCCAUGUAUGGAUACAUGCUGGAAUCUAAUUAAUGACAACGAUCUAAUAGCUACAGCUAUUGAAACUAAAGUGCGGUACAGGAAAUGUAAAGAUAAGAUAUAACAUUUUUAUUAAGUUUAUGUGACAUCCAGAUUUUUCGACCCUGUCUUCUACUGAAUAAAUCGGGCAUUUCGUUGACGCGUCUAUAGGGCUAUUCUCAGAACUGAUCAUUCUUGAGAUAACUAGACUAUCUGGGGGAAAUUAUUAGGAAUUUUGGCUGAAUUAUGUCACAAACUAUACCAGUUAAACUUCUUUUCUUAUGACAAAAGAUGAUGAUAAUAAUAAUAAUAAUAAUGAUAAUAAUAAUAAUAAUAAUAAUAAUAAUAAUAAUAAUAAUAAUAAUAAUAAUAAUAAUAAUAAUAAUAAUAAUAAUAAUAAUAAUAAUAAUAAUAAUAAUAAUAAUAAUAAUAAUAAUAAUAAUAAUAAUAAUAAUAAUAAUAAUAAUAAUAAUAAUAAUAAUAAUAAUAAUAAUAAUAAUAAUAAUAAUAAUAAUAAUAAUAAUAAUAAUAAUAAUAAUAAUAAUAUAAUAUAUAAUAAUAAUAUAUAUAUAUAUAUAUAUAUAUAUAUAUAAUAAUAAUAAUAAUAAUAAUAAUAAUAAUAAUAAUAAUAAUAAACAACUUCCUUGCCUUCUCAGAUGUUAAUCCGUCAAUUCCUUCCUACAAUAUUGUAGGGGAAGGAGGCUCUCUUGUUUGCCUUGGGUGCUCUUUCAAAGUCUUGCCAUCAAGCCAUCUCCAAGGAAGAUCCCAACGCUGCUGGUUCUAUUCUGGAUUUGCUAUCCUCUGCAUGCACAAAAAAGGACAAGAAAUACCGGGAAGCAGUACUGUUCAGCCUUGAUCAGGCAAUUCCAGAUUAUUGUGUGUUCGCGAAUGCAAUUGUCUUCAAUUAGAAAAUGUUGGGCUUUUACGAGCUCUCACGUCAAGAAACUUUCCAGCCGUACAUUGUUCGGAAAGUGCUGUUUCAGGUUUAUUUCAUCUUUUUAAUUCCCAACUAAAAUCUGCCCCCGAUCAUCCCCCUUCCUCUCUAAUGAAGAUCUUGAAUUUUUCAUGGUUUUUCAGAUUAUAAAAGCAUUUGGCAAUCAUGAGUUUUUCAACAUGGUUUUUCCAAAAUUGUUUGACAUGUGCAGUUUAGGCACUUCUGACAAAUCUGGACAAGCACAUUCAGCAAAUGAUUCUGCUUAAUCAGGUUCAUCCAUAUUUCGGGCUUGUAACUGUCCAGCUUUCAGGAUUUUGAGUUGUCCUGCAUUGCAACCUUUGAAUUCCAUAUCAUAACUUUCUCUCGCUGUUCAACUGUGCAUUUUACAUGGCAUUGUUGAUAUGUGCAGACUAUGAUGGAAAAGAAGAUUCUUCUGUUCCACUAGAAAAAGUACUGGACUGUAUCCCAUCAUGUAUCCAUGUGGCAUAUAUUGAUGAUAUUCUUGAAAAGAGAAAUAACUUGGAGCACCUCUGCAUUGCCUCUCUCUCACCUGAGUUGUCAUGGACUGGUACCUUCAUAACCAAAUUUUUCUUAGGUAAAUGCAGCAUGGAAAGUGUUUCUAUUAACGUUUCAUCAUGCAGUCAAAAUGUCGGCUUUUCUAUCAAUUAAGGGACUCUGCUCAAGGAUUCAUGACAUUUUGCUUGAUUCUCAGCAAGCUUCUCAACAUGCAAAUGGAGCGUCUUUGUUUCGUGACAUAAUUAGUAUCCACUUUCUAACAAUAUUGCCGAGGAACAGGGUGACCAAGGGAUGAUAUCUCUAACUUUGGUUAAGGAAAAAAUAGCUUUCCUUUAUUAUGACGGACAUGUUGCACUUACUGUCUUUAUAAUCAGUUGUCAUUUUGUUCUCCAAAUUCCUUAUCUGGAUUCUGAUCAUCUGUUUUUCCUACACAAAUUUAAGCUGUUUUCUUCGACGUUACCCAAAGUGGCAGACUGCAUAGCCACAGUUAAGAUAGCACAGGUAUGUCUUCACUUUCCCCUUUGUGGUGGAAAUCGCCUUUGCCUUCAUCUUCGUCAGAACAAUCUGAUCUUGUGUGGCUUUCACCUAGAUGUAGGAUUGUAGCAUUAUUAAGUCCCAUGCAUAUAUAGGUGACAUUACUCCAGUAAAUAAGAGUUUCAUUAAGUUAUCCAUCAAGAGUUCUGGAGUCUAGAUAGCAUAUAGUGCCUUUGCAAUGUGAAUAAGCAGAAUUUUUCUCCGUCUUUAAUUUUUCAAGUUUCAAUGGUUCUUCUGAUGCGGGCUCUGUAUUAAUCAGACUGCUGCGUUCAGCUGAUGUUUUUCUUGGAUUCAAUUCCAUUCUGACUCAAGGCACUAGAGGCAUUACCUUUUACUUGGCUUACAUUUUUUAUGAUGAUUCCCUACUAAGUAGAUCAGCCAAACCAGAGAGACCAGUUGAUAGCAUCCCAAGGAUAUUUAUAUAUUAAUCAACAUAGCCAUUUCUUGUAUGUGCGAGCAAGAGGAAGUUAAUAUUUUGCAGGAUUAGUUGACAUGGUAAGUGGACCACUUAAGAGUUCUCAAUCGUCUUAGAUCAUUCUUGCAGAUGCAUUUUAGAUGUUCAUCUUGCACUGUGGACCAAAAUCUGUUUGAUACUUUUUCAAAUUUAGGUUCAUGACAGUGCUUUCAGAGUGCCUUUUGGGGAUGAUCACCCUUUGUAGGGAGCUUCCUUCAACGUUCUGGACAGAUGCAGGUUCGAAGGGUUUGCUGGUUCAUCUACGUGAGGUGGAAAAAAAUGAACAAGCCAAGUCCUUGCUUAAGAGAUGCAUCCAUUUACUAGAGACUUCUCAGAGGAAAAUGUGAAAGCGAGUUGACUUCAAAGAAAGGUGAGAAGAGAGUUCUGGCCACUGUCGGUGAAGUACGAUGAAUGGGUAAAAUCAGUAAAAAGCUGAAGUGAGGAGGCAAGUAUAAAAUGGGUAAUGAUCGUCUUGACUAUUUGGUGAAUCAAGGCUGACACCGCCUUAGCAACCUUUUGGAUGAACUGAAAUGUUCGACCAAAGGAAGAACCAAGAAAUAAGCAAGCAAAAGAAGAGCUUAGCUAGACAUGUUUUAGGAAGUACACACGUUGGCCCUGCACAUCUCAAGCGUGGACAGAUUUAAAUAGAAAUUGCACAGGCUUGAUAACUUUCAUUUAAUGAGCCGACUACUUUGUUCUUUUUAUUCUCAUUCAGCUCUGUACGUUCAUAUUUGCAAACACCAAAUAAUUCUGAACUAACCAAUCCGAUCUUCAGUGCGUGAGAUGAUGUUUUUUUUUUUUUUUUUUCUGUUCAACCAUGAGCAUGCUAUUGUUUUUGUUUUUUUUCCUUCUUUUUGGUUAUUUAGUUAGAAUGAAUUCUUGGGAGCAAGAAUCCCGAUCCAUCUAAUGAUUGGUAAUCCGAUGCAGCCUGUUACGCCUCACUAGUAAAUUCACCAUUAAUGGCGGGACAUUUCCUUGGUCUCGUCCCUGAAGCCUCACCAUAGACAGAGACGCAGUGCAGACGACGUGUUCAUGAACAGAGAUUUAUUGCUGUAGUUGCAAAACACUAACACAAGCGAUCAUCCAUUUUCCUGCUUUGACAGGAGAAUCUGGUGGGGACAGAAAUGCUGCUUUCACGUGCAAGUACACAGCCUGAAGGGACUGAGGAAUUUACAUAAAUUAACGCUUGUAUACAGUGCACUUAGGAUGGUCUGGGGUUUCUUAAGUCUUUCUUACAUUAUAAAACUUUAGUUUAGACUGGGAGAAAUUUGAUGGCAAAAAGUAACGCUCUCGGUGUAUGAUCUUUCACAUGGACUGUCUACCAUCUUAACUAAGAGAUUAAUUUCGGUAUGAUGUCGUGAAUAACCCUAUAUAUAUUCUGACGUCUAAACAAACUACGUCAGGUUCCUUCAUUGGAGGGUGACUCUUUCAUCUUUCUUUGCUUGAGAAAAUCUUUACCUCGAUCCUUCCUUACUACUUUUGAAGAUAUGCUUUUCUUUGCUGAUCAAGCACCUAUUCUCAAAAACAUGAUCAUUCGACGUGUUUAGCGUUAUUGCAUAAAGUAAGAUUUGUAAAAAAUUUUGAGGAAGUUCGACUCCUAGGUGAACAUCUACUGGUAAAAUAAUCUGAAUUUUUGAAAAUUGCGAGUGUUCAAAGAAAAAGGAUCCAAAAGUCUAAUGCUAAGCUUCUUAUUCUAAUGUAUUAGACAUUAGCAAUUCAAACCCAAUCGAGGUGAUGACGUGAAUAGCAAAGCAUUUGUUUCUUUAACGUUAUAACUUGUUGGGCUUCAAAGCUUGCUUGGCUAAUUCAAAUCCGCUUGGAUUUUGGCUUGUUAACUCAGGUUAUAGCUGACCAAAAAAAAAAAAAAAAUCAGAUUAUAGCAGUAAGAGUGAUAAAAGAAGAUAAGAAAACGAUGGAAAAUGAGGAAAAAAGAAAGUGCUAUUUCUUUCUAUGUUUAAUUACAUUAAAUUUGAAGGAAAAAAAUUAUGUCAAAUAUUCAAGGAUAAAACGUAUGCUCGUGUGCAUGAAUGGCCAUCUAAUCAACGGAAAAUAUCACUUAACUUAUAAAUCUGAUUAAUUGAAAAUCAUCAAAAUUAAAAACCCAAGAAUAUAAACAAAAAGCACCUGGAUUAUUUCUUAGUUUUGUAUGUUGAUCUUUAUUCAUUCUAAAGUCCUUUUUUUUUAUCUGCAUGUUGGGGAAAAGGACUUUUGUGCAAUUAUUCAAGGCUAAACAACAAUUUGCCCAGAUGAUUCUUAAUUUGUCAUGAUAUCCUACAUUGUGUAAAAUUUUCAAUAGUUAGCAAAUUUGACAACAAUAUCAACUUUUUUUCUGUUUGAAUUACUCGUAGCAGAUUCAAAGAAGAUUUGACAUGAAGUUGGACGCCUAUAAUGUGUGAAACUCAUGCUUUCUUUUACUGUGAAAAUGCAAUUUUACAUGACAUUGCCUGCAGAUUAGAGACUCUGAUGUCCCUCUAGCACUGAAAACACAAAGUACAUAGUAGGAGCAUGUUCGUCAAACUAGAAAAGUCUUUAUUUAGUUGUGUGAAUAAUAUGAAACAUAAGAAAAAGUAAAAAACAAAAAGCAGUUCAUUUUCCCAUUCGAGAGGAAAUUAAUAUGUUGGUCCAAAGGGGAAGCAAUUUUCUGAUAUCUUUCUCUCUCUUCUUUCGUCUCUCUUAUUACUACGUCCCAAAUAAAGCAAAACGAAGACCCAAUUAGAGAGUGGGGGGUGGGCUUUUUGCAUUGGCGUUUGCAUCGGAGACGGGAUGGAUAGGCUCAUUUAAUUACAGCUUACAUAUUUACGUUUCUCUCUUUCUAAUCUAGAAUUAAGAGAAAGAUAAAAAUAAAAACGCCAAUUGAAAUAGUUUGAUAUAAUUGUCCCAGUUUAUCUAGAAUAUAGUUAAGUGGAAAAAAAAAUACGAAUACUCAUGGAUAAGCGCAAGGUGCAUGAUUCCCCAUAUCUAUAGACUCUCUAACCGAGAGAGAGAUCUAUUACUUCCAAAAUUGAUUCUCCUUAGAAGUUUGUGAAAAUAAAAUGAUUUUCACUAUAUUAUAUAUAAUUGAUGAUAACUCAAUUCAGACUGAGAGAUAGUAAAGUUUAUAAAUUUCGCUUAUUUGAUACGACAUUGCUUUUCAAAUCACAUAUUAUCCCUAAUUCAUAAUACUAUCAUUAAGAAGUUUUUUGUGUUCCUUGAUGACUUCCUCUUUCCUCUUUUCAUCUUUCGUUGCGUGGCAUGGCGAGGCCACCUUGAGCGCGGCGGAAGAGAGUGACCACAUGAGAAAUCGACUGAAUAGCAGCACGGUUGUGCCAGAAGGCGGGCCAGAGACAGAGGGAAUUAUGGCUAUUUGUCAGUUUUUGGGUUCAAUAUUUUCUUAAUUAUCAUGGUCUGUAUUUUGCUUUUGGUGAAGUUGCUACAAAGCUUUUCAUGUUUGCUGGCUGGGAUAAUGGCAUCUAGUAAGCAAGGCCCAUUAAUGUGAAUUUUUGUUGACGCACAAGGCGGCCCUACUCAGAUUUGGGCAAGGCCACGAAAGGCCAGCGAGGACCUCACCCUCAUAUGGUGAUGGCCCCGCCCAGGCUCACCAUUCCAUUCUCUCUUUCUUUAGUUCCUCUCUUCUAUGCAUUGUAGAAGCACUGUAACAUCGGUCAAAGGCCCAUUUGACUUUAAAAGACUACUCUUUUCGGUUACAUAUGCCUACUUUUUUCUUUUCUCAAUUUGGCUUCACAAAUGGUGGAAGAGGAGAGCUCCAAUGAACCAAAGUUAUUGGGCCUUCAGAGUGUAGAACCAUUAGUCGCUCCGGAGACAAUAAUAUGUCUAGUUUGAUUGAACAUGCGGUCCUUAAUCUAAGUUUCUAAAUAUGCAGGCGUGGACUGUUGCCGUGAUGGAGGGGACAUUUCGCAAGAAAAAGAAAAAAGUGGCGUCUACAGUGGCAGAAGGAACAAGAGACAAUAGCAAUGCUGAUCCUGAAGAGGUACUUGAUUUGUGAAUAUGUUUGUGAGGCUGAAUAGAAAUGGUCGGGGAUGCAGAAGGGAAUGAUAAGAUCCAGAUUGGGGCGCAGGACCAUUGUGAUAGGGAUUACGUUAUGCUAGUCUUCAUGGAUUUCCGUUUCUCCAGAGAAAUGCACCAUGCCUAAGUGACUGUCAAUGGAUGAACUCAUUUCAUAAUUCAUGUCGGGUCAAUGCAAAGACUCUGCAGUCAAACAUUUGUAUUGUAACUGUAAACCAAGACGUUCCUGGAUGAUUUUCUGGUGAAGUAGAAGCUCCUCCAGUGAAUAUUAACAGAAUCAUGUCUAUGUGCAGGAGGGAUCAUUCAAUUAUAAUUUGCCCCACUCAAUCAGGCACUACAGCACCACAACAUGCUCAACGAUUCACUCCAACCCUGAAAUGCCUAACCAGCCAAAUUCACUACACAAAUCUCACUUCCCCAGGCCCAAAACCAACGUACUCGAUGCUAGAGCCGGUCUAUGCGAACCUUAUCACAAUCCAGACUUCCAAUGCGAAUCAAGUCAGAGGAUCACAACCGUAACUAAUUACAUGAACACGAGUUGCAAUGAAGCAUUGUCAGAACCACCAUCGCCGUCAGCCACAACCUGUUCCACUCCAUAUUAUUCUGCAAGAGGGAAGGAUCGAACAACAUUGUCGAGAAAAAAACACGAUAUCGUGCAACAAAAAAAAUUCCAAUCUCCACAACCUUCCUUCCAUAUACACAAAACGGUCACGCGCAAUCGAAUGGCGCGAUCGCCCGGCGAGAUGGAGAGAUCGAUUGCGGUCUUUGUCCAUAUUGCUCGAAUUCAAACCUCGGAUUCUGGUCUCCUAGGUGAGUGGACUCUUAUAGUGAUUUUCGCGACGGAUGGCGAUCGAAAGCUCCAGCGACUUGGGGGCGGGGGGAGGGGAGGAAGGACGGGGACGAUGGAUUUGCUGAUUUUCCUUAUUUGCACUCGGGCGCUUGCUCUGUUGGCGGGCGUAGUCGGUGUCACGUCCGGUGAUUUCGUCGUUUCUGUUAGGACAAUGAAGGAAGUUUCGCUAAAAUGAGGCGUGCUCCUGGACAAAUUUCCGUUCUCUCUGUCUCUCUUCUUUUGGCGCUUCCUUUGAUGUCUUUCAAAUGAGCACUUUUGACUCUGCUUGGUUCAAUUAGUGGGUUCAAACUAGAAUUACGAAAAAUACACGAAAAUUAGAGUGAAUAUUACUUAUCCAUUUAUUGAUAUUUGUGGAAGUAUAUAAAGAUGCGGAUUACUCUAUUAUUGAUAGCAAGCUUAUUGAGAUAAAUUUUUGCAACUCCAAGCUCGAAUCCAUCUCAUAACUCGAAUUAUUCAAAAAUUUUCUUUUAUCGAUAUUAUUCAAACUUGAAAAGAAUGCAAUUCAACAUGUGUGAAAAGCAAGUAGAACUUAAUUGUGGACUGUGGAACCACAAUUCGAGAACGUGGCAUAUCCAUGACGUAUUGAUUCUUGAAUAUUCUUUGAAAUUUAAUGGAAGUGGAUUCGAUAGUUUUUAUUUUUCUUUAGAUAUAUAUAUAUAUAUAUAUAUAUAUAUAUAUAUAUAUAUAUAUAUAUAUAAAAUUUACAAAAUAUUUAUAGUGAAAAUAUUACGAACUGAUUACCAUAUUAUAAAAUGAUGCUAUCAUCAUCUCAUAAUUACUUGAUUGAAAAAUGAGUUGUACAAUCAUGAGGAUUGAAAACUUUACUUUACGUGUAAAAGAUUAUUAAAUAAAAGAAAAAGGCCCAUAAUCUUUGAGAACAAAAGUCAUUGGACUUUUUUCACAGGCUAAGUAUGAAGUAAAAAGAGUUGUAACCUCAUGUGACAAAAGUCACAUGAUGUCAUUUUAAAAAUAUCAAAAAGAGUGUGAGUGAUUUUUAUUUUUAAAUCGCAAUUAGCUCACACAAACAAAAUAAUAUAAGAACCACACCCCAAUGCGUGGUAUAUGCAAUGUUUGGUUGCUCUCACGGAUUUAUAUUCAUAAUCAAAUGAUUAUAAAAUCACAGAAAAAUCAGUACACAAAAAAGAAGAAGUGGAAGUUAAAGAAUAAGUGAAAUUCAAGAUAAAUUAUUGGGAAGAGUAACUUAAUCAAUUUUAUAGAAACCAAUCUUCAAAUCUCUUCAUUUAUUGGUAAUAUAUACGCAUCAAUCCCUCAUUCGCCUGAAGUCAAAUUUUGUAAGCACGAGACAGAUUUAUAGAUCACUCCUUUUUUGGUCAAGCUCAUACACUGCUCAUUCACUUUGAAAGUAUAAAAAAACCAAAACUAAAAGUGAAAAAGUCGCAUUCGCAAGCCAACCCCAACCACAAGCAUGACGACCCAAUGGUGAAGGGAUCAUGCCAUCUUCCAUUAAUUCACCAGUUCAAAUCAUGUCGCAAGUGAACUUUUCACUAGUUAGUAUUUCGGCAUUAACAACACUGAGUGGUUAUGGCUCAAAUGAGAUAUUUUGAGAUAGACAUAACACUUUAUGUAAUGACAAGAAUGGAUAAUUGUUUUUGAUAAUCUCUUCCCACAUUUUUUAACUUAUCAAAAGUUCUCAUAAGCAAUUGAAUAUGUUCUCCAAGCAUGAUAGGCUUGAGGUAAAAAGAUGAGGGAAAAUUUUAAAAAAAGACCGAAGUGCCCUCAUUUUCUCAAAGAAGGACCUUAAGUGGACUUUGUUUUAAAUAAAAACCUAAAGUGGCCUUGGUUAUUUCAAAUAAAGACUUGACCUUAUCGAUUGUCGGCUAGCUAAAUUUUUCGAUCGGUCAAGAGUGUUUUCGUCCAAAUUUUCUUCUCUUUUCUUCUUUUUUUCUUUUUCGGCAUCGACCAAUAGUUGCUAGCAAAGGCUAGUGAAGGCUCAACGAUCGUCACUGGCCGUUGGGAAGGACUAGCGAGGGCCUGCAAGCAUUCACUGGCAAUGGGUGAGGACCUAAAAGCCCUCACGGAUGGCCACGGGGGGUAAGGGUGUGCAACCGGACCGGGUUUACCCGGUUCCCGGUCCAGCCCACCCGGAAAACAAGGUCGGGAACCGGUUCCGGUUAAAACCGGGCCAGGAACCAGUUCCCAAAACUCAGACCCUGUUUAAACCGGUCCGGGAACUGGUUCCGAGGGAUUACCCACCCGGGAACCGGUUCGACCGGACCGGUUGGAGAACCGGUUUUUACCCCAGCAAAACCCUAAUUUUAUUUCUAUCUUUACCCGCAGAGGCGCAGACGCAGAGAACCAGACUUCCCUAAGCUCCUCUCCCGGCUCCCCUCGCGCUCGCACCACCGCCGCCAAGCUCCUCCUCCUCCCCCGCUGUCACCGUCACCGUCGUCGUCACCCCCGACAACCUCCACCUGCUCAACCCCUUCCUCGCCUCCUCCUCCUCGCUCCAGCCUCUCGUCUUGCCUUCCCCAGAGCCCCCCGCUGCGCCACACCCGUGGGUGCGCUUCGUCGCCAAAGUCCGCGCCCUCCGCGACCUCCACCUCCCGCUCCUCUCCCGGUGGUUCGAGUCCCACCCCUCCUCGCCCUGUGCGGUCGUCUCCGACUUCUUCCUCGGGUGGACCCACCGCUUCGCUCGUGACCGCGACGUCCCACGCGUCGUCUUCUCGCCGUCCGGCGCGUUCGGGCUCUUUGUCGCCUUCGCCCUGUGGUAGGACCUCCUCCAGCCCGACGAGGAGUCGACGGUCUCGUUCGCGAAGCUGCCGGACUGCCCUCAUUCCUGAAAUCGCGAAGCUGCUGACCCUCGCCAAGCUUGCACCCGAGCACUGACGUUGCCUCCGUUCAAUCUCGCCGUUCCACCUGCUGCUGUUGCCUCGCCGACGCCUCUGACCCGUAGAUCUCACCGCGCGCUGUUUCCCGAGCUCCCCUGUUGCCGAUCUACCACCGCCCCCCCUUCGCGAAGCUGCCGCUGCCUCCCUGCUCCGCCCGAGCACUCCUGCUCUGCUAGGCCGAGCACUCCGCCGCCGAGGUCACCCUCAACUCCCUCUCCUCUCGUGGCCCUUCUCACUCCCUCGCCGCUCGUAUCCUGGUGAGCUCCCUCGACCACCCCUGCUUCUUUCUUUCUUUUCUCUUUUUUUUUUUUGGUUUGGCGAAAACGCCGCAACUCAAGUUUCUAUUUCUCGACUCCAUCGCUUCGAUCAAAGAUUUUGAAGCCAAGUUAAUGUUCUGUUCCUUAAUGCCAUUAAUAUUAUCUGUACUUACAUUAAUGUUCUGGUCCUUUUUUUGGUACCUGAAGCCAAGUUAUGAUAUUGGUAGAAUGUCUUUGUUACUCCUUUAGUAUUCCAGUGAUGGAUCUUAGAAGGCAGAUACUUUGGUAGGCUAUAACUACUUGAUGGGAGUGAAGGAGUGAUUGUAAAGUGUAUUGAAUUGACCUUGUCUGUUCCUAGCUAUUCGUGAUUGUGGCGACCUCACUGAUUUAGUGGUUCAUUGACUAGAUAUUGCUUUAGUGUGAGGGAAUCUUUGUUGUUUAAUAUAAGGCAAACUCGAUGUAUCUUGUGGGAUAUGGGGAUGCGAGAUGGUCGAAUUAUAUACUUGGUUGUUUUCUUCAAGAGGAGUCCAAAUUUUAUACAUGUUCCCAAUGAGUUUGGACGAAGGAUGUGCUUGGUUCGACCUUUUUGUUUCAGCAGAUAACUCAUAUAGACUUGCUUUUUUAAGGUUAAUUUUUAUGCAAAACAGGUUCCAAUAUAAACAGGGUCAACCCUGUUCCCGGACCGGAAAAACAGGGUGGGCCGAGAACAGGGUCCAAUGAAAAUAGGGUAGGGAACAGGGUCCAAAAAAGGAGAACCGGUUAUAACAGGGUAAGGAACAGGAUCCAGGUCUAGACCCUACCCACCCUGGACCUAUGAAGCACGGACACGCUGUCCGUGCUUGCGUAUCGUGUCCGACACGUGUCGGACAUCUCGACAUGCUCGGACACGCGGUCAACGCGUGUCGGAUUUUUCGACACACGGUCAACCUUUUCCCGACACGUUUCGACACGCGUGUCCGAGAGGGAGCAAACCGCAAGCGACGGCGAGAGACGGCCGAGCUUAGACUGAGGCGAGGGCCAGCCCUGUGAUGCUGCGAUGGAUCCGACGAGGCUGCAGUUGCGAGGGAGAAAGGACCAAAGGUGAGAGGAAGAGGAGAGGAAGGCGGUUGUGCAGCGAGCGACGAGCAGCGAGGAAGGGGGUCGUGCGUGCGGCGAGGAGCAGCGAGCGGCAAGCGGCGAGGAAGGGGGUCGUGCGUGCAGCGAGGAGCGGCGACCAACGAGGAAGGAGGUCGUGCGGCGAGCGGCAAGGAGGGAGGAGGAGAAGAGGAAGGGUCGCGAGCGGUGAGGAGGAGGAAUAAAGGAACUAGGGUUUCUGAGAAACUCAAAAGUAAUUAAAAANNNNNNNNNNNNNNNNNNNNNNNNNNNNNNNNNNNNNNNNNNNNNNNNNNNNNNNNNNNNNNNNNNNNNNNNNNNNNNNNNNNNNNNNNNNNNNNNNNNNNNNNNNNNNNNNNNNNNNNNNNNNNNNNNNNNNNNNNNNNNNNNNNNNNNNNNNNNNNNNNNNNNNNNNNNNNNNNNNNNNNNNNNNNNNNNNNNNNNNNNNNNNNNNNNNNNNNNNNNNNNNNNNNNNNNNNNNNNNNNNNNNNNNNNNNNNNNNNNNNNNNNNNNNNNNNNNNNNNNNNNNNNNNNNNNNNNNNNNNNNNNNNNNNNNNNNNNNNNNNNNNNNNNNNNNNNNNNNNNNNNNNNNNNNNNNNNNNNNNNNNNNNNNNNNNNNNNNNNNNNNNNNNNNNNNNNNNNNNNNNNNNNNNNNNNNNNNNNNNNNNNNNNNNNNNNNNNNNNNNNNNNNNNNNNNNNNNNNNNNNNNNNNNNNNNNNNNNNNNNNNNNNNNNNNNNNNNNNNNNNNNNNNNNNNNNNNNNNNNNNNNNNNNNNNNNNNNNNNNNNNNNNNNNNNNNNNNNNNNNNNNNNNNNNNNNNNNNNNNNNNNNNNNNNNNNNNNNNNNNNNNNNNNNNNNNNNNNNNNNNNNNNNNNNNNNNNNNNNNNNNNNNNNNNNNNNNNNNNNNNNNNNNNNNNNNNNNNNNNNNNNNNNNNNNNNNNNNNNNNNNNNNNNNNNNNNNNNNNNNNNNNNNNNNNNNNNNNNNNNNNNNNNNNNNNNNNNNNNNNNNNNNNNNNNNNNNNNNNNNNNNNNNNNNNNNNNNNNNNNNNNNNNNNNNNNNNNNNNNNNNNNNNNNNNNNNNNNNNNNNNNNNNNNNNNNNNNNNNNNNNNNNNNNNNNNNNNNNNNNNNNNNNNNNNNNNNNNNNNNNNNNNNNNNNNNNNNNNNNNNNNNNNNNNNNNNNNNNNNNNNNNNNNNNNNNNNNNNNNNNNNNNNNNNNNNNNNNNNNNNNNNNNNNNNNNNNNNNNNNNNNNNNNNNNNNNNNNNNNNNNNNNNNNNNNNNNNNNNNNNNNNNNNNNNNNNNNNNNNNNNNNNNNNNNNNNNNNNNNNNNNNNNNNNNNNNNNNNNNNNNNNNNNNNNNNNNNNNNNNNNNNNNNNNNNNNNNNNNNNNNNNNNNNNNNNNNNNNNNNNNNNNNNNNNNNNNNNNNNNNNNNNNNNNNNNNNNNNNNNNNNNNNNNNNNNNNNNNNNNNNNNNNNNNNNNNNNNNNNNNNNNNNNNNNNNNNNNNNNNNNNNNNNNNNNNNNNNNNNNNNNNNNNNNNNNNNNNNNNNNNNNNNNNNNNNNNNNNNNNNNNNNNNNNNNNNNNNNNNNNNNNNNNNNNNNNNNNNNNNNNNNNNNNNNNNNNNNNNNNNNNNNNNNNNNNNNNNNNNNNNNNNNNNNNNNNNNNNNNNNNNNNNNNNNNNNNNNNNNNNNNNNNNNNNNNNNNNNNNNNNNNNNNNNNNNNNNNNNNNNNNNNNNNNNNNNNNNNNNNNNNNNNNNNNNNNNNNNNNNNNNNNNNNNNNNNNNNNNNNNNNNNNNNNNNNNNNNNNNNNNNNNNNNNNNNNNNNNNNNNNNNNNNNNNNNNNNNNNNNNNNNNNNNNNNNNNNNNNNNNNNNNNNNNNNNNNNNNNNNNNNNNNNNNNNNNNNNNNNNNNNNNNNNNNNNNNNNNNNNNNNNNNNNNNNNNNNNNNNNNNNNNNNNNNNNNNNNNNNNNNNNNNNNNNNNNNNNNNNNNNNNNNNNNNNNNNNNNNNNNNNNNNNNNNNNNNNNNNNNNNNNNNNNNNNNNNNNNNNNNNNNNNNNNNNNNNNNNNNNNNNNNNNNNNNNNNNNNNNNNNNNNNNNNNNNNNNNNNNNNNNNNNNNNNNNNNNNNNNNNNNNNNNNNNNNNNNNNNNNNNNNNNNNNNNNNNNNNNNNNNNNNNNNNNNNNNNNNNNNNNNNNNNNNNNNNNNNNNNNNNNNNNNNNNNNNNNNNNNNNNNNNNNNNNNNNNNNNNNNNNNNNNNNNNNNNNNNNNNNNNNNNNNNNNNNNNNNNNNNNNNNNNNNNNNNNNNNNNNNNNNNNNNNNNNNNNNNNNNNNNNNNNNNNNNNNNNNNNNNNNNNNNNNNNNNNNNNNNNNNNNNNNNNNNNNNNNNNNNNNNNNNNNNNNNNNNNNNNNNNNNNNNNNNNNNNNNNNNNNNNNNNNNNNNNNNNNNNNNNNNNNNNNNNNNNNNNNNNNNNNNNNNNNNNNNNNNNNNNNNNNNNNNNNNNNNNNNNNNNNNNNNNNNNNNNNNNNNNNNNNNNNNNNNNNNNNNNNNNNNNNNNNNNNNNNNNNNNNNNNNNNNNNNNNNNNNNNNNNNNNNNNNNNNNNNNNNNNNNNNNNNNNNNNNNNNNNNNNNNNNNNNNNNNNNNNNNNNNNNNNNNNNNNNNNNNNAAAAAAAAAAAAAAAACCCCCCGAUAAUAAAGAAACGAGCUGUCGUUUUCUAGAUUUCGAGGAAAAUUACUCCCUUUUAACUGAGCUGCAACUGUCUCCCCUCCACCCUCUAUACACAACCAGAAAAAAACUCCUUCCCUUUUGUCAGCCCACGGAAACGGACCGUUUAAGCAAAUCAAAACUCCAACAGACAAAGAGGAAAAAACCCAAAACUUCAUUACGAUCUGAUGCAUAAAGGGAGAGGGGAUCAAUCCUCCAAUCUUAAUUCCUUUCGAUUGACAUUCUUUUUCACAAAAAUGGGUUGUGGGGAGUCGAAGCAUGCUGUUGCCACCAGAAACACCAUAACCAAAAGCAGGAGUUCAAGCGCCCAUCCAGAGAAGAACAAACAAGUGGAACAAAACGUUCCUCAGAUGGAAGCAAUUGGGAAUGGCGCGGCAUUACUUGUGCAACAAGAAAUCAAUGGUGCCGUGAGCCAGGAUACAGGAACUGCAGCUGAUGUUAAGGACAUAACUGAACAUCCCGAGCCUGAACUAGAAGAAGAUAACGAAGAAGAAGUAACAAAGGCCAAGGACGAAGACAGAGAGGAAGAGAAGCAUGUAAAGGAAGAGAAGGAAAUCGAGCUGGAGCAGGAGCUAGAGCCGGAGACGAAACCGGUAGUAGAAGAGGAAGAGGCAGAGCCUGCGAGAUUCAUAUCCCAUGACUCGCCAGAUCAUUACUUCUCUCCGAGAAGAGAUGAGGAAGCACUGGAAGGGAACGUGUCUGAGGGGCUCUCCUCCGAGUACAACUCACCCUGGCAUGAACCGGUGAAGGAGGGUGAGUACGGUAAAGUGGUUGUGGAAGAGAAGAAUCCGACUGGACUGGAAAAGGCAGAGGAAUUGAGGAAGAAGGAAAUUGACUCAACUCCUGAUGAGGUACUUGAAUGAAUCUUCUGAGAUUUAAUGGCUGAGUUCUAAUAAUAGAGACAUGUAUUCAGGAUCAAAAGGUCACGGUCGCAGGUUCGCAGACAUAUGUCUUAACGUGGAUAUGCUCAUCUACACAUCCCGUUAUUUCCCUNNNNNNNNNNNNNNNNNNNNNNNNNNNNNNNNNNNNNNNNNNNNNNNNNNNNNNNNNNNNNNNNNNNNNNNNNNNNNNNNNNNNNNNNNNNNNNNNNNNNNNNNNNNNNNNNNNNNNNNNNNNNNNNNNNNNNNNNNNNNNNNNNNNNNNNNNNNNNNNNNNNNNNNNNNNNNNNNNNNNNNNNNNNNNNNNNNNNNNNNNNNNNNNNNNNNNNNNNNNNNNNNNNNNNNNNNNNNNNNNNNNNNNNNNNNNNNNNNNNNNNNNNNNNNNNNNNNNNNNNNNNNNNNNNNNNNNNNNNNNNNNNNNNNNNNNNNNNNNNNNNNNNNNNNNNNNNNNNNNNNNNNNNNNNNNNNNNNNNNNNNNNNNNNNNNNNNNNNNNNNNNNNNNNNNNNNNNNNNNNNNNNNNNNNNNNNNNNNNNNNNNNNNNNNNNNNNNNNNNNNNNNNNNNNNNNNNNNNNNNNNNNNNNNNNNNNNNNNNNNNNNNNNNNNNNNNNNNNNNNNNNNNNNNNNNNNNNNNNNNNNNNNNNNNNNNNNNNNNNNNNNNNNNNNNNNNNNNNNNNNNNNNNNNNNNNNNNNNNNNNNNNNNNNNNNNNNNNNNNNNNNNNNNNNNNNNNNNNNNNNNNNNNNNNNNNNNNNNNNNNNNNNNNNNNNNNNNNNNNNNNNNNNNNNNNNNNNNNNNNNNNNNNNNNNNNNNNNNNNNNNNNNNNNNNNNNNNNNNNNNNNNNNNNNNNNNNNNNNNNNNNNNNNNNNNNNNNNNNNNNNNNNNNNNNNNNNNNNNNNNNNNNNNNNNNNNNNNNNNNNNNNNNNNNNNNNNNNNNNNNNNNNNNNNNNNNNNNNNNNNNNNNNNNNNNNNNNNNNNNNNNNNNNNNNNNNNNNNNNNNNNNNNNNNNNNNNNNNNNNNNNNNNNNNNNNNNNNNNNNNNNNNNNNNNNNNNNNNNNNNNNNNNNNNNNNNNNNNNNNNNNNNNNNNNNNNNNNNNNNNNNNNNNNNNNNNNNNNNNNNNNNNNNNNNNNNNNNNNNNNNNNNNNNNNNNNNNNNNNNNNNNNNNNNNNNNNNNNNNNNNNNNNNNNNNNNNNNNNNNNNNNNNNNNNNNNNNNNNNNNNNNNNNNNNNNNNNNNNNNNNNNNNNNNNNNNNNNNNNNNNNNNNNNNNNNNNNNNNNNNNNNNNNNNNNNNNNNNNNNNNNNNNNNNNNNNNNNNNNNNNNNNNNNNNNNNNNNNNNNNNNNNNNNNNNNNNNNNNNNNNNNNNNNNNNNNNNNNNNNNNNNNNNNNNNNNNNNNNNNNNNNNNNNNNNNNNNNNNNNNNNNNNNNNNNNNNNNNNNNNNNNNNNNNNNNNNNNNNNNNNNNNNNNNNNNNNNNNNNNNNNNNNNNNNNNNNNNNNNNNNNNNNNNNNNNNNNNNNNNNNNNNNNNNNNNNNNNNNNNNNNNNNNNNNNNNNNNNNNNNNNNNNNNNNNNNNNNNNNNNNNNNNNNNNNNNNNNNNNNNNNNNNNNNNNNNNNNNNNNNNNNNNNNNNNNNNNNNNNNNNNNNNNNNNNNNNNNNNNNNNNNNNNNNNNNNNNNNNNNNNNNNNNNNNNNNNNNNNNNNNNNNNNNNNNNNNNNNNNNNNNNNNNNNNNNNNNNNNNNNNNNNNNNNNNNNNNNNNNNNNNNNNNNNNNNNNNNNNNNNNNNNNNNNNNNNNNNNNNNNNNNNNNNNNNNNNNNNNNNNNNNNNNNNNNNNNNNNNNNNNNNNNNNNNNNNNNNNNNNNNNNNNNNNNNNNNNNNNNNNNNNNNNNNNNNNNNNNNNNNNNNNNNNNNNNNNNNNNNNNNNNNNNNNNNNNNNNNNNNNNNNNNNNNNNNNNNNNNNNNNNNNNNNNNNNNNNNNNNNNNNNNNNNNNNNNNNNNNNNNNNNNNNNNNNNNNNNNNNNNNNNNNNNNNNNNNNNNNNNNNNNNNNNNNNNNNNNNNNNNNNNNNNNNNNNNNNNNNNNNNNNNNNNNNNNNNNNNNNNNNNNNNNNNNNNNNNNNNNNNNNNNNNNNNNNNNNNNNNNNNNNNNNNNNNNNNNNNNNNNNNNNNNNNNNNNNNNNNNNNNNNNNNNNNNNNNNNNNNNNNNNNNNNNNNNNNNNNNNNNNNNNNNNNNNNNNNNNNNNNNNNNNNNNNNNNNNNNNNNNNNNNNNNNNNNNNNNNNNNNNNNNNNNNNNNNNNNNNNNNNNNNNNNNNNNNNNNNNNNNNNNNNNNNNNNNNNNNNNNNNNNNNNNNNNNNNNNNNNNNNNNNNNNNNNNNNNNNNNNNNNNNNNNNNNNNNNNNNNNNNNNNNNNNNNNNNNNNNNNNNNNNNNNNNNNNNNNNNNNNNNNNNNNNNNNNNNNNNNNNNNNNNNNNNNNNNNNNNNNNNNNNNNNNNNNNNNNNNNNNNNNNNNNNNNNNNNNNNNNNNNNNNNNNNNNNNNNNNNNNNNNNNNNNNNNNNNNNNNNNNNNNNNNNNNNNNNNNNNNNNNNNNNNNNNNNNNNNNNNNNNNNNNNNNNNNNNNNNNNNNNNNNNNNNNNNNNNNNNNNNNNNNNNNNNNNNNNNNNNNNNNNNNNNNNNNNNNNNNNNNNNNNNNNNNNNNNNNNNNNNNNNNNNNNNNNNNNNNNNNNNNNNNNNNNNNNNNNNNNNNNNNNNNNNNNNNNNNNNNNNNNNNNNNNNNNNNNNNNNNNNNNNNNNNNNNNNNNNNNNNNNNNNNNNNNNNNNNNNNNNNNNNNNNNNNNNNNNNNNNNNNNNNNNNNNNNNNNNNNNNNNNNNNNNNNNNNNNNNNNNNNNNNNNNNNNNNNNNNNNNNNNNNNNNNNNNNNNNNNNNNNNNNNNNNNNNNNNNNNNNNNNNNNNNNNNNNNNNNNNNNNNNNNNNNNNNNNNNNNNNNNNNNNNNNNNNNNNNNNNNNNNNNNNNNNNNNNNNNNNNNNNNNNNNNNNNNNNNNNNNNNNNNNNNNNNNNNNNNNNNNNNNNNNNNNNNNNNNNNNNNNNNNNNNNNNNNNNNNNNNNNNNNNNNNNNNNNNNNNNNNNNNNNNNNNNNNNNNNNNNNNNNNNNNNNNNNNNNNNNNNNNNNNNNNNNNNNNNNNNNNNNNNNNNNNNNNNNNNNNNNNNNNNNNNNNNNNNNNNNNNNNNNNNNNNNNNNNNNNNNNNNNNNNNNNNNNNNNNNNNNNNNNNNNNNNNNNNNNNNNNNNNNNNNNNNNNNNNNNNNNNNNNNNNNNNNNNNNNNNNNNNNNNNNNNNNNNNNNNNNNNNNNNNNNNNNNNNNNNNNNNNNNNNNNNNNNNNNNNNNNNNNNNNNNNNNNNNNNNNNNNNNNNNNNNNNNNNNNNNNNNNNNNNNNNNNNNNNNNNNNNNNNNNNNNNNNNNNNNNNNNNNNNNNNNNNNNNNNNNNNNNNNNNNNNNNNNNNNNNNNNNNNNNNNNNNNNNNNNCGACUCCUGAUGAGGUACUUGAAUGAAUCUUCUGAGAUUUAAUGGCUGAGUUCUAAUAAUAGAGACAUGUAUUCAGGAUCAAAAGGUCACGGUUGCAGGUUCGCAGACAUAUGUCUUAACGUGGAUAUGCUAAUCUACACAACCCGUUUUUUCCCUUGAUUUUGAUACAUUUACUGUGCAUUUGGACAUUGACGCGAAGGCCAAGAAGUACAAACAUCUCAGACGUGACUGUUUGAGCUGGUUUUCUGAUCGAGAUGGUUGACUCUAGAAAAAGUUUACGGAAUCAUGUUUCUGCGCAGGAAGUCGUGGCUGAUUUAGCAAGUGGAGAAGUAGCGAAGAGCAACUGAAUCGAAGAAGCAGCAUUGUGAGAACAAUUUCCAUAACUAAUCUCAAGCAGCCUUUUAUGUGUUAGUUACUUAGAAUAACAGUCAUGUAGUUUGGUUCUAGAUGCUGAAAAUUGUCAGAACAGAGAACAGACUUGAGGUUGGAGCCUGGAAUGCAAUUUAUAUCAUUUGAUAUGCGUGCAUUGGGGCUGGAGAGAUGAUCCUAAUUUCUAUGUAAAAGAAACUCCCAAGGGAUGCUGUCACCUUGCGGUGUUACACUCUCAGAAGACAGUUGAAAUCAAAAGGAUCCUUGAAUCACAUAAGGUGAACAAAUCAUAAUCAAAGAGUCAUGGAGGCUAGAUUUAAAGUACUUAAAACAAGUACACUAGCUCAAAUGCAAUUUGAACAUCUAGCUAUAUCUGAAAUAAUGACUACGACAUUGGCACUUCAUUUUAAGACAUCAAGUGAAUAGCGGCAGUGUAUCAAAAUUUUAUUCUAAACUUGGAAUACCUAAAACUAAUGUUCUCACAAUAUCUGAAUGCAAGUCCUUGGCGGAGAAAAUGUCGUGACUGGUAGUUUGGAAAGUGGAGGGCCACAUCUCCAGAACCACAUCAGAAAGAUCCAAUUUUCAUGCUUAGAUAUAAGUAGAGCAAUUUUUUUCCUAAUUGUAGUGUGUGAGCUCGGAGCCUAGUAUGAUCACAUUUUCAAUGAUCACUCAACGUGGACAUCUUUAUUUCUGAGAUGCCUAACAAUGUGGGAAUGUGCCUGUCCUAAUUUUGAUGGAUUAGUUAUAACAGAAGCUGAGGUUCGGUAUCAAUUCUUCCCCAGAUAGAGGGGAUUCUCAAUCAUCCUGACUAGAUUAUUGAAAAAAGAUAUAUCUAUAUCAAAAUCAUCCACGAAAUUGUUGAUGACCCUUACUUACACUAUGCAUCAGAAGAUGAAAAACACGAAACCCCACUGCUCUUUGGCUGUAUAUCGGAAAAAAAAUAGAGUUACUGAGAAUUGUUGAUUUUGUCACUAUCAAAUUACGUUGCGAUAUCCUAUCGAAACAGGAUAACCGUGUCUAGCAAAUCAGCUUAUAAUUAAUUAUCCCUGGAGAUUGUUUUCUCUGCCGUUUAUUUCAAGGAUUUCUUCAAGAGAAGACUUUAAGUAGGCAUUACUGGAGAUGGUGCUACAAAAAAAAAUGAAGCAGCUGUAACAAUGGAAUGGUAGACCCGUCUACUUGCAUAUACGCUCGAAAAAAAUACAGGAAAUGAAGAUUUGAUCAGGAUUUGAUUACAAGGGUUUGUUGAGCUUUAUGGGAUUAUAUACUUGAGCAGGUAUUACCGACUUCCUUUAUAUCGGCUUGAUCGAUGCAGGAAUCCGUGCUUACAGAGAUGAUGAAGAACCGUGCAUUGGGGGUAGAGAUUGGCAUUAAACUUCUCCAAGCAAUCAAGCGGUCAAGAAUGUCCAUAUCGAUUUUGUCAAAACAUUAUGCCUUUAUUGAAUGGUGUCUCAAGGAGUUGGUUCAGAUGCUGGAGUGCAAGAAAACCAAGAGACAGAACAUCAUGCUAGUUUUCUUGGAUGUGGAACCUUCUGAGGUUUGGUAGCAAGAAACAAGAGGUGAUACAGUGAUGGAACUAUUAGCGAACGGAAGGCCACUCCAUGGAAGUUCGAGCACUAAAGGGAGGGGACGUAUAAAGCAUGCCCGACAGAUCAUUCAGAAAUCAUGCCAAAAAUGGCAUUGUUCACCGGGGUUUGACUUUUUCUUAGCUUAAGUAUAUGUUGUAAGUCCAUUUUCAUUCUUCCACUUGGCGAAUAAUUUCAACAAGGAUUCUGUCCAAACGAGGUCUUAAAUUUUUCUAAUUUGGUUUUGCCUGACAAUCCGUUGGUCAACCCAAAUUUCCAAUUCCAAGUGUUCUUCUACUCCCUAAGUAUCAGCCUCAAAAGUGACUUAGAGAAAACAUUCAUCAAGAUGGUUUUUAGCGAGUUGAAAAAGGGUUAUUCAGUAUUAUCGGAUUGCUUGGUUAAAGUAGACAACCGCGUGAGUGAAAUCAUGAGAAUGAUUGGCCCUUAUAUAGAUGAAACACCGAUUGCUGGUACCCAUGGAGUGGGCGAUGCUAGAAAGACCACUCUUGUCAUAAUCAUCUACAAUCAACUUUCACCUGAUUUCGAAGAUUGUUGUUUCCUUUCUAACAUUUUAGAAACUUCGAAGGUGAAGGGUGGUGAGUAAUUACAGAAUUAGCUCAUCUCUGACAUCCUCAAAAGGAAAUGGACAAAUAUAAGUAACCGUGAUGAAGGGAUUAAGAUGAUUAAAGAUAGGCUGUGUUUCGAAAGGCUUCUUCUCAUCAAUGAUGUCGAAAUAAAGAAUCAAUUGAAUGCAUUGAUGGGCAAGGGUGAUUGGUUUUGUGAAGGAAGUAAGCUUAUCAUCUCUAGAGAAACAAUAGGUUCUCAAUGUCCUGAAGUGGAUUGGACCUAUGAAAUUAAUUGCAUGGAUUUUGACAAAUCUCUUCAAUCUUUCGACAAACAUGCCUUUAGAAGAUAUUGUCUUUUGGAUGAUUAUCUUGCCCACACCAGAAAUGCAGUAUGCACUACUGGAGGUUCCUCUAACUCUCGAGAUUGUUCUUUCUUGAUUAAAGGAACGAUAGUACUUCAACCCCUUAAAAUAGUGAAUUUGAAUAAAUGCAUUUCGCUUAAACUCUUUUGUUUUUAAAAUUUUCCAUUGGGCAGGGAAAAACAAAAGUUGAAGCUCUUCGUCUCCACUUUGACCAUGAGCGGCAUUACUACUUUACCUAUAAGGACUUUGAGAAAAUAUCUAAUCUAAGGUUUCUUCAAGUUGACGAUUGGAAGGAAUACUUUCGUGCAGAAGAGAGGCUUCUUUGGCAUGAAUCGCUAUCAAAUGUUCUUCCAAUUGAUAAUUUCUAGGAGAAUCCAGAUCUCCUUCCACAAUUACGAUGGCUUUCUUGGCCUAAAAUUCCCCCAACAUUUAAGAUUACAAAUUUCUCCAUGAAGAAUGUGGUUAUUCUUGAUCUAUCAAAGAGUAAAAUUACGCAUGAUUGGAAGGGGUGGAGCCAUAUGAAGGUAUGUUAUAUGCUAGACAACACUUAUCAUUUCGUCUUAUUAGAUUAUAAGUAAUCUUUGCAUAAUUUUUCUUUUUCAUAGGUGAUGAAAAUUUGAAAGUUAUGAAUUUGACCAGAUGCGUUUGCUUGGAGAGAACCCCUGACUUCUCUGCUCAUUCAAAAUUAGAACGUUUGAUCUUACGGGAUUGUCGCAAAUUAGUUGAAAUUGACAAGUCGAUUUGUCAAUUGAAAAGCUUAAUUUUUUUAGAUGUAACAUCUUGUGUGAAUCUUCGAAGGUUGCCAGACAAGAUGGGUAGAGAUCUUGCAAGUCUCAAAUACCUAUAUAUGAGCGAUUGUGAGUCGUUGGAGGGGCUUCCGAAUACAAUCGGAAAUUUGGAAUCAUUGAAUGAGUUGAAUAUAAGUGGAACGGAGAUUAAGGAACUCCCUAAUACACUCUGGACAUUAGAGAAGCUCGAAGUAAGGCGAAAUGAUGCAUCAUUUUCAUAUGGAAAUCGGCAAUUGCAUAUAUAGAAAUCUAUCUCUGAGGAUCUUGAAAUUGUAUGGUACGACAAUACACGUGGUAUUGAGGCUUCUCGAAAGUCUUACAAUUCUAAAUUUGUCUACAUUUUACACAGAUGAGCCACUAGAUCUCUCAAACCUGCCUAAUUUAAAAGAAUUAUGGCUGGACUUCAGGCCAUCUUCUAAUGAAUUAUGGCUGAACUUCAGGGCAUGUGAUUCUGAUGGGGAAUCCGAUGGGCCUGUGGAAGAGGCUCUUCCGAUGCCAUUGCGGACCGAGGAUUUAAGCAAACUAGAAUCCCUAUCCCUGAGCUCUCGGUAUGCGAACACCAUACAAAUAGAUAUGAGAAGUCUCAUCCCCCAACUCUGGGAUCUCUCACUCUCGAGGUGCCCUAAUUUGCGUUGCCUCCCGAGCCUUCCCUUCACUUUAUCAUCCUUAGAAUUGGAAUCUGAAUGCUUGACCACCUUACCCAUGGAUAUACGUAGUCUCCUUCCUUGACUCCAGUCACUUUCACUCAAGUGCCUUAAUCUGCAUUGCCUCCCGAGCCUUCCCUGCAGUUUAUUAGAGUUACAUUUGUGCGCAUUCAAGUCGGGUUGUUCCAUGGAGGAUCUAUCGAAUUUGAAGACACUAUCAACUCUUCGCAUCAUUGAUUGUGAUGUCUCACAGAUUUGAGGCCUUGAUCGUUUGGAGAACCUACAAUAUUUGGGGCUUUUGCAUCUUCAACAGGUGGAGAUAUUACCCGAUCUAAGUAAUCUCAAUAAAUUAGGGUCGCUUGUAGUAUUUCAUUGUGGAAAUCUAGUUGAGAUUCAAGGCGAACUCCCACCAUCUUUGAAAAAAUUGGAGAUUAAUCAAUGUGGAUCUUUACAAAAGUUGCAUGAUUUGUCAAGCUUGAAGAGAUUGCAACAAGUUAAAAUAUGGGGUUUCAGGAAAUUAGAUGUGGAGGAUCUAUCAAAUUUGAAGACUAUCAAUUCUUUCCAUCUGUUACUGUGCUAUCUCAGAGAUUCGAGUCCUUGAUCGUUUGGAGAACCUACGAGUAUUGUCACUUUUGGAACUUCAACAGGUGGAGAUAUUACCCAAUCUAAGUAAUCUCAAUAAACUACAGACUCUUCAAGUAUUUGUCUGUUGUGAUCUGGUUGAGAUUCAAGGCGAACUCCCACCAUCUUUGGAAGAAUUGGUUAUUCAUGAAUGUGGAUCUUUACAAAAGUUGUUUGAUUUGUCAAGCUUGAAGAGACUGCAAAAAGUUAAAAUAAUGAAGCAAAUUGCAGCUUCCGACUUCUUUCUUCUUCAUUAAGUAUACUUAAUUCAUAAGCAAGUGUAGUCUAGUAAUCUAGAGUUUUCAAAAAAUGGAUCAUAUUUUAACAAUUUGCAAUAAGUCUGGGAAAAGAUCGCAUUGUCUAAUGAAUAUCGCGUUGAUGUAAAUAUCAAGUUGCUAUAACUUUGCCCAGAACGUGUAAUUUUGUCUCCGGGAUAUUCUAUCAAACAAGUUGACUGCAUGGACUAACUUGAAUUAAAAACACACAAAGUCAACUCUUCUCUCUACCGUAUGAUUCGACGAGCGAUACCCCGAGAAUCUUGAGCAAAAGGCACGCAAAAUUCACUUUCUCAGAAGACAGACAUGGGGAAGUGCAGUUUUCUGAUUCGAUCAAUCCACUGGGAAGGGAGCAGGGCAUCGGCGAGCGGGAGGAAGCUGAAGACGCCGUCAGAGGCAUGAGUGCGCCCGUGGAGGGCAAGGAAGGAUUGUCGACGAAGGGCCAGCGUACAAGCUAGGCCCGGUGGCUAAUGAGAGACGGCCAUUUGAGGGCAUGUGCAAGAUCACGAUGUCGAACAAAAUCAAGGUGUUCUUUCGCAACACAAACACUUUUGAGUUGCUCAAGAUCUGCGCUUCUCCGUGUGUAUAUUUUGUCUUCACCUACAUUUAGAGACGAUGGAGGCCACGACCGCAAAGAUCUGCGCUUUCCCCGUGAGGAACGCAUGACCCACGGCGGUGGCUAGGCGCCACCGCCGUCACCACCGCAAUCUUGCCCGUUCGCAUGUUCUCCGUGCGUGAAUAUAUAUAUAUAAGACUGUCGAUGAUAUUAGCUCACGUAUAAUGACGUGGCAGUCUACGUGUUUAAGAGGAGGGAAGGGAAAAAAAUCAGAAAAAUCAUAAGAAACCAAACGUCCUCUUUUGUCAGCCUUAAAUUGUCGACUGUACCACAUAAGACUGUCGAUGAUAAUUGAAUCAUCACGUCACCGAUUUUCAUAGAAAAUCAGUUAAAGGAAUUAUGUUUGAAUUAUCAAAAUGUUUAAGAUUAAAUUGAUAAAGUUGAAAAUUUUAAAAUUAAAUUCCAUACAAUAAGUUAAAGAUUGAUUUAGUAAUUUCUCAAAUCACACUCUAACAGGACACGCUAACCCAACCCCCGAGGAUUAGAAAGUAGGAAGGACGAAUAAAAAAUCUGAUCGUUAUCUUCAAAUUACUUCAAAUAUUUCUCCUUUUAUCGUAUAGAGUUCGACUCCGAAAGAUCAAAUAUUGUUUAAUUAUCCAAUUCCACUACAGAAAAAUUAUUCAUGGAUCCCAAUAUAAUUAAAAGUGACAUGAACUCAAGAGAGAAUGACAAGUUGACAACAGAAGAUAGGAUCGAAUAUUACGUACUUAUACAUUAAAUAGGUUACUAGUAAUUCUGCCCUAACUUGGUAGCACUCUUUGUAAAUUUUUUGUGACGAUGGUCAAUUUUUCUAAAAUCUUAAGCCUAUUUAUCGAAGGCAUGGUCAAUAUUUAAAUACUCUAACGCUACCCUCAUGCAUAAGCUAAAUAUUGGUCCAAGACUAAAGUGUAGAAAUAUCUAAUUGAAGAGGCAAAUAGAGACUUGAUAAGACUUGAAUGCGGGAACUCUUGCUUAGGCAUUGCCUAAAAUCUAAGUACUCCAACACUCUUCACGCAUUAGAUUUCGGCUAAUAUACUCAAUGUAGACUAUAGAAUUUGUGCUUAUAUAUAUAUAUAUAUUAUAUCAAUGGAAUACUUAUAGAUUUGGAUAUUCAUACAUUACUCAAGUAAGUAUACAAACCAUUCUGACAGAACAUAAGUGGUAAACUAGAAUAGAAAUGAUGACUAAUGAUCAAGCUUUUUACCCUUUUAUCAAUUGAUGAUUGUAAUUCAAAUAGAACCAAGUGUGAUUAAUUUAACUGUAUAUAGUAUUAUACACGGAAUGGUGACAGGUUGGAUCGUCAUUAAGAGAUGACAUUCACAAUGCUAAAGAGAUCUCACUGUAAUUAUCAUUCUAUUUAUUUAAAUUGUGAACCUUUUCCACUUUAUAAAAGAGAAAUCAAUUGAAGACGAGCUGAUGAUACUUGGUCACCUAGGAGAAACAUCUGAAAGGGUCACUUCAUUAACAGUGGAAGUUUUGUGAAUUAGACCGAUAGGAUUGAGUGUUCUCACAUUUCUCCCAACUGAAAAUGCAGGCAAAGAUGGUCGGGUAUGUGGGAUAGUAUUGGCUCCUCGCAUAUGAACCACAAGCGACAUGGUUGGUUGAUCUAUUGGGUCUUCUUGAACGCACAAUAGACCGAUGUGUAUGCACUUUACCACUUGAACUGCAUCACAUGACUCUUUGAUUGAUGGAUCGGUAAGUUCCAAACUUCAACCUUCGGACCACAACUUCCAUGCUUGUCAUUUUGGAAGGGAAGUAAGCAAGGACAAUUGCACAUAAUUCUGAGGUUUCAUAUUAAAAAAGUGUGGUGACUAGGAUUAUACAAGGGUGAGAAGGCUUUCACCGUGCUCUUGGAGAUGAAAACCGUUAUUCUUUCGCCUACUUAUCAUCUCUAGCAAGAGAACUCCAAAACUGAAGACAUCUGAUUUAACAGAAAAUAGUCCUUGCAUCGCAUAUUCCGGUGCCAUGUAUUCACGAACCGAAAUUAUGCGAUGAAGUGCAAUUACUUGGAAGUAAGAAACAAUUGUUGAGAAAUAUUGUGAGUAAUAAGGGUAAAAUAGUAACUUAGUUAUGAUUAGGGUUAAGCACAUAUGAGCAUAUAUAUUUGUAACCCUUUUUCACUUUUUAAUAUAUAUAGAAAAUAAUUAUCUCUUUCACAUGGUAUCAGAGCAAGGUUGGUCGGAACCCUAGACGACGGAACAGCCACUCGCCGCUGCGACUCGCCGGAAUAGUUGGCUGUCGUCGCCGCUCAUUGUUGAAACCUCCUGCCACUCAGACUUCCCUCUUCCUUUCUCUCGCUUCUUCGUGCGGCUCGCGUGCGCGGCUCGUGCGGAUAAUUUUGUGAAUUAGACCAAUAGGAUUGAGUGUUCUCACAUUUCUCCCAACUGAUAAUGCAGGCAAAGAUGGUCGGGUAAGUGGGAUAGUAUCGGCUCCUAGCAUAUGAACCACAGGCGACAUGGUUGGUCGAUCUAUUGGGUCUUCUUGAACGCACAAUAGACCGAUGUGUAUGCACUUUACCACUUGAACUGCAUCACAUGACUCUUUGAUUGAUGGAUCGGUAAGUUCCAAACUUCGACCUUCGGACCACAACUUCCAUGCCUGUCAUUUUGGAAGGGAAGUAAGCAAGGACAAUUGCACAUAAUUCUGAGGUUUUAUAUUUAAAAAGUGUGGUGACUAGGAACAUACAAGGGUGAGAAGGCUUUCACCGUGCUCUUGGAGAUGAAAACCGUUAUUCUUUCGCCCACUUAUCAUCUCUAGCAAGAGAACUCCAAAACUAAAGACAUAUGAUUUAACAGAAAAUAGUCCUUGCAUCGCAUAUUCCGGUGCCAUGUAUCCACUGUUCGAAAUUAUGCGAUGAAAUGCAAUUACUUGGAAGUAAGAAACAAUUGUGGAGAAAUAUUGUGAGUAAUAAGGGUAAAAUAGUAACUUAGUUAUGAUUAUGGUUAAGCACAUAUGAGCAUAUAUAUUUGUAACCCUUUUUCACUUUUUAAUAUAUAUAGAAAAUAAUUAUCUCUUUCACAUGGUAUUAGAGCAAGGUUGGCCGGAAUCCUAGACGACGGAGCAGCCACUCGCCGUCGCGACUCGCCGAAAUAGUUGGCUGUCGCCGCCGCUCAUCGUCGAAACCUCCUGCCACUCAAGCGACCCUCUUCCUUUCUCUCGCUUCUUCGUGCGGCUCGCGUGCGCGACUCGCGCGGUUUGCACGCGCUGCUCGUGCGACUCGCGUGCGCGACUCGCGCGGUUUGCACGCGCUGCUCGUGCGACUCGCGCAGUUUGCACGCGCUGCUCGUGCGACUCGCAUGCGCAGCUCGCGCGGUUCACACGCACUGCUCGUGCGGCUCGUGCGCGCUGCUCGCGUGGCUUGAUUGCGCUCGUGGCUCACACGGCUUGAUCACGCUUGCGGUUUGCACUGCUUGCGCGACUCUUGCGUGCUACUCACCUAGGAGAAACAUCUGAAAGGGUCACUUCAUUAACAAUGGAAGUUUUGUGAAUUAGACCGAUAGGAUUGAGUGUUCUCACAUUUCUCCCAACUGAGAAUGUAGGCAAAUAUGGUCGGGUAAGUGGGAUAGUAUCGGCUCCUAGCAUAUGAACCACGGGCAACAUGGUUGGUCGAUCUAUUGGGUCUUCUUGAACGCACAAUAGACCGAUGUGUAUGCACUUUACCACUUGAACUGCAUCACAUGACUCUUUGAUUGAUGGAUCAGUAAGUUCCAAACUUCGACCUUCGGACCACAACUUCCAUGCCUGUCAUUUUGGAAGGGAAGUAAGCAAGGACAAUUGCACAUAAUUCUGAGGUUUCAUAUUAAAAAAGUGUGGUGACUAGGAACAUACAAGGGUGAGAAGGCUUUCACCGUGCUCUUAGAGAUGAAAACCGUUAUUCUUUCGCCCACUUAUCAUCUCUAGCAAGAGAACUCCAAAACUAAAGAUAUCUUAUUUAACAGAAAAUAGUCAUUGCAUCGCAUAUUCCGGUGUCAUGUAUCCACUGACCAAAAUUAUGCGAUGAAGUGCAAUUACUUGGAAGUAAGAAACAAUGAAAAGCUAUUUCUAUAUUUAAACUUCUGUGAUAGGUAUAUGCUCAUUUUGGUGUUGUUGAGCUGAUCAUCAGAGUUCUUUGUUGGCCUAGUGAAUCAUUCAAACAUAUGACAGAUGUAGAAAGAUAUUAAAGAACUUACUAUGUUCCAACAACCCUAUUUGUGUUGGCCUCAUCAUCUUGAUUUACACCAAAGAUCAUUGCCAUUCCUAAAUCAGAUAUCUUUGAAUUCAUCUCGCCAUCUAGUAAAAUAUUACUAGCUUUCAGAUCCCUAUGGAUAAUUCUUAGGCAAGAAUCCUCAUGUAAAUAUAGAAGCCCCCGAGCUAUUCCAAAGGUGAUGUUCAUGCGCAUCUUCCAGUCUAAAGAUUGCCCCAUAGUUGAACCUGUCGAUCAUGAGAGACUCAGAUGAACAUCAACUAUAUGAAACUAAAAUUAACUAGCUAAAAUAUUCAUUGCAUCUGCUAAAGCUCAAACCAAAAAGGAAGACAUCUAGGCUUUUGUUGGGCAUGUAUUCAUAUAUCAAGAGUUUUUCUUGCUCUUACAAGCGGCAUCCCAAUAAUCAAACAAAGUUCCUAUGUUGUAGUCUAGCAAUCGAGAUCACUUCGUUCUUAAACUCGAUAAGUCCUUGGCCCGAGGUUCUUGAAAGCCUUUUAACUGCAAUUUCUUUUCCAUUUGCCAAUGUGCCCUGAAACAGGGUAAUGUCAGUAGUGAAAUCCCUAUAUGAGAAUUAGCAAUGAUAACCAAAUUGGAAUCAGUUCAUGUUUGGAUAGUAACCACCAGUUUUCCCAAUUUUCCCAUAAACAAGUGUUAAGUCUCUUCAAUGCUUACCUUGUACACAAGGCCAAACCCGCCUUCCCCAAGUUUACAUUCAUUGGAGAAGUUUUGUGUGGCCACACGUAUAAUGUCUAAUCGUAUCACAGAUAGUGCCUCGCAUGCGCCAUCGACGGUCCCCGCGCACAUGAGGCACGCGUGUAGCUGACGUCACGGUGACGUCAGCUGGCGCGUGCCUCACACGUGCCAUCGAUGGCCCCGACGCACGUGCGGCACGCGUGCAGCUGACGUCAGUUGGCGCGUGCCUCGCACACGCCAUCAACGGCCCGCGCACGUGCGUCGCAGGUGUAGCUGAUGUUAGCUGGCGCGUGCCUUGCACGCGCCAUCGACAGCCCCCACGCACGUGCGUCGGCCACGCAUGCGCGUGCAACGCAUGCACCUGCGUCUUCGAAUCGGCGCGUGCAAGCCGUUUCGCUCCGGUUGCGCGUGGGGGCGCAUCCGACGGCCUUUGGCGGCGUUCCGCCACUCGUCGUGCUUGUCUCAACGAGACCCUCGACCCUACACCAUCAGAAACUGAUUUCGACUUACAGAAAAUCGAAAAAAUGGAUGAACAGUGCUCGGGUGUCGGGAUUUUUCCACCCCCAAUCGAUGUUGGCCGAUUUUCAAUGAAAAAUCAAUAAAAAAAUCAUUCAUAAACAUGAAAGGGGUUGGGAAAAACAUGAAUAAGGAUUGGGAAACAUGAACUCUCGCUCUGAUACCAAUGUCGGGAAUAUUGGAUUCCCAAAAAUCGGAUUCGACACUAAAUCGAACCCUUAAAACAAGUGCGGAAGACGAGCCUAGGAAAAAGACAUGUAUUACCGAUCCUAAGGCACAUCACAUAAUCGAACAUACCUUGUUAGCCAUAGAUUAAACACUGACAUUGAUAUGAGGAAGAAGAAUUAAUCCUGUUCGAUCCGAUGACGCCAAUUCGCCUUGAAGGGAAGAGAGUUCUGACUCCUUUUGUUACUGUUCUUCUUUUGGAGUGUUUGGAGGGAGAGAGGGAGGAGGAACGUACUGUGGCACCCCAAAACACCUAAGGUCACCACAGGUACCUAUCGCUCCACCUAAUGAACACUAAUUACAUCUCUUAGUAGAAGCAUCGUAGUUCAUAGGCAUUUUUUUUUAAAAACGGUCCCAGCACAACUUAUUAGUGGAAGCACAAACAAGUCUCACCAUUUCUCCCUCCAACAAUCAUGAUACAAUGCACACCACUAAGCACCAUAAGAAAAGAUAAAGCCAAGACACUUUUAUUUAUAUAUUUUCAUGAUGGAUUUCUCGGGACAGUACAACCAAAAAGAAAGGCCAAGACUUUUAACUACACUUGGCCACAACCCAAAAGAUACCUCGACCCCUAUAAUGAUCACGUGUCAUCCUCCAUCUAUUAGUGUCGGCUAUCUCCAAAAAGAAACAUCAGCUCUCUACUCCUCAUGCGGCCAUCACACCUGACUUAGGCCCAUCACAUUAAUUAUUUAAAACCAUCAGUUUGUGCACCGACAGGAGUGCCUUGGAUGCAGAGGAUCAAGCAUGAAAUCUAGAAAGCGAAGGAAAUAUUUCUUGGUGCAUCGAGAAUCUUUUUUUCUUGAACUUGGAAAGAAUGCGAGCACAGUAAGAGUAAUUCAAAGACGACCAUGGACUUUUUUUUAACUCAAGAGGAGUAGGACAAUAAGCGACUUCUGGAGGGCGAGGUGAAGAAAUUGAUCAAGAACCAAGUUUUGCAGCUGCUCUCCCUGAUUCCGGGGUUGGUAAAGACGAAUUAGUCCGAUUUCCACAUUCUGUUGUCAACAGGGACAAGCACCCGAUUGGCUCUUUUUUUUUCUAGAAGAAAUGAGGGCGAACUUUCCUAGCUUGCCCUACCAACGAAAAUACCUAGUGGAGCCUAAAAAGAUCUUCCCGAGUAGCCUCCCAGAGCUCACCCCACAGGUUGCCCAACUCCAGCCCGUGUAGACGGAGACCUGCGGUCAGACCUUACCAGAGAAGAUGGACUUCUCGACAAGUUUGUCGAGGUCGGACUUGCUAAGGUGGAAGGUGGGCCGCUGCCACCCCGUCCCCCGGGAGGGGAGGCAACGCUAUCGAGGGAGGGAGGGUGGGUGGCAUCGGGCAAGAGGUAGGGGACGAAGGUGGCCUGGAGGGGGAAGCUCUUGAGCUUGAUCUUGCAGAAGCAGGGGGAGAAGGAGGGGUGGACGGUAGAGCCCACGGACUUAGCGGCGAUGGGGAUCUUGAAAGUGAGGCUCCCUACUGUGAGCAGAGAGAAGAAGAAGAAAUAAAGGAAAAAAAAAAGAGAAGGAAACUCAUAUUUAAGGGAAAAAGCCAUGAAAAACCUUGAAUUUUGCCCCAAGUGACACAUUUUUUCCAAACUUUUUUUUGUGCCGUGAAAAACCCAAACUUUCCAAACCGUGACACAUUUACCCCAAACUUUUUUUUGUGACACCAAAAACCCUGAACUUUUGUCGUGUGACACAUUUAUCCCAAAAUUAUAGGGUAUUUUGGUCUUUUCAUUUUUUAAAGUUUUUUUUUUCUUCCCUCUUCCCUCCGCUGAUUUGGAUUUAGCCUUUCUUUGCACUAUGAUUCCAACCCAAAGAACUCUACCACUAGAUUUGAAGUCAAGAUGUUUAAAAUAUUUCUAUAUAAGCAUGUACUGAGUUUUUGUGAUUGAGUAUAUAAGCUCUAUCAUUAAUGAUCAUAGUCAACUAUGUCGAAUCUACGACAAUUUUAGCUUGUGGUAGAUCUGAUCAACACCAUCCAUCUUUUCUUUUUUUCUUUUUUUUUUCUUCCUUCCCGGUCAUAGCAAUAUGUGAACUUAUGAAGCCAACUAUUCAUCAUCAAAUUGGAGCCAGCAUUUAAUGGUAAAGUGAACAUUUUCUCAUUGGAAUGCCAUCUUAAGGUUUGAAGGACCUAAAUUGACUGUCCUCUUCUUCAACACAAGGAUUCAACCUCAUUAUUUAAUCGCAAGGCUUAACUAGAGUCGAGAGAUUCUUGAUAAUACACCAAAUAAUAAUGACAUUUUUAAUUCCAUAAUUGCCCUUUAAAUACAGGCAGCCAAAUGAAGUACUCAAAGCCAGAGUCGAUGCACUGGACAACGAGAAGAUGACGUACAGCUACACAAGGGUGGAGGGAGGCGAAUCGGCUGACAAGAUCGAGUCGAUCUCUUAUGAAAUAUCAAGAUGGAGGCAUCUCUCGAUGGGGGCUGUGAGGGCACGAACAGGAGCAACUACCACCCAAAACCAGGCAUUGUGAUCAGUGAGGAUGAGAUCAAAGCCGGGAAAGAGAAGGCCAUGGCCGUCUUCAGGUCCGCGGAGCCCCAUCUCUUGGCCAACCCCGAGGCCUCUGCCUAAAAGCUUUUGUUAGUAUUAUUGUCUCUGUUUGAAGCAAAUUCUGCAUCUCUCUUUGUGGACCAAUUAAGUUCUGCUAAUUAUAAUGCGGUCUUCUCUAUGUGAAAUCCUUGAUUGAGAGUGCUAAUGUUGUUGCUAUUACAAUAAAGGUUCUCCAAUUCUACUAUAGUACGUUGCCUCGUUAAAAAGUGCCUUGGAGCACAGUUAAGAGGUAUAAUAAUGUUGCGGCGAUGCAUAUAUUAAAUUCACGUUGCAAAUUAGUAAAUGAAGUUAUUUUCAUGCGUUUGAAAAAAAUUGGAUGCACUUCUUCAAGGGUAGCAUUUUUCCCUCAGCUUGUUGCUUCCAUUGAUUGCAUCUAAAGCUUCGAGAUGUUAAAUCUUAGAGAAUUCCAUCUAUUUAAAAUUGAUGUGUAAUGUAUAUAGUUGUGAUUCAAAAGAAAGGUUGAUUAGGAUUAGGCCUUUCUUUGCAUUGUAAUCAUAACCCAAAUAGUUCUAUCACUAGAUUAGAGGUGAAGAUAUUUAAAACAUUUAUAUUUAAACGUGCAACAAGUUUAUGUGAUUGAGUAUAUAUGCUCUAUCAUUAAUGAUCAUAGUCAACUAUGCUGAAUUUACAAUGAUUCUAGUUCAUGGUAGAUCCGAUCGACGCCAUCCAUCUUUUCUUUUCUUUUCUUUUCUUUCUUGCCGGUUAUAGCAAUAUAUGAACUUAUGAAGCCAACGGUUCAUCUUCAAAUUGGAGCCAGCAUUUAAUGGGAAAACAAUGAAGCACGAAAUAUAUUCUUACCAUCCUCUUGAUCAAGAAAUGACAACGCCUUGACAACGAUUCUGAUGCAAGCCUAGGGGAGGCUUUCUCAAACAAUAGGAUCGGGAGAGUGACUCGCACACAAGAAACGGGACGAACAGUAAUUUCAGCACUGCGCAAGCUCAGGAGAACAGUCGUAUCUUUGUCGAUACAGAUCGGAUCAACCUGAUUCCAAAGCCAAAUGAACAAAAACUUCUGGAUCUACAAUUUCUGUGUUUUGGGUUUUUUGAAAUAAGCACUGUAGGAUAGUCGAAAUUGGGUUGGAAGUAACGAACAGAACAGGAAAAUAUAGGAACUUCGUUGGUUGCUCUUCUAGGCCUCCAAGGAAAUUGAGGGGGCACUGAUUCUUCUAGAUCGAUGACUGCAACUCUUCAAGGAUGCAGAUUUCAAAAGCUCCAACUCUUCAAGGACGGAGUGAAAACUCUUCUAGGUUUUCAAGGGUUGAACACUACAAGGUUCACCAUACUUGCUUCAAGCAAAGUUUUUCAUUCAUCAAAAGCUGUUCGUCUUCUACAAGAAAUUGGGCUUAUAUCGUCAAAGAAAUAAAGACGGAGCAUUGAAACUAGGAGAAAUAAAGACGGAACAUUAAAACUAAGAGAAAUAAAGACAGGACAUUAAAAUUAGCAGAAAUAGUAAAAGCAUAACGUCUUCAUGGCAAGGUGUCUUUCCAACUUCCGGGAUGGACUCAAGAUGUCGUUAUGACUUCUCGGUUUCGUCGAGCUUUAAUGCGGGCCGAUCUUCUUGGUCGAGAGAGCCGGUCUUCAAUGUGGGCUGCAUCAGAUUCACACGCAAACACUUCGAAUAUUUGUGGUUGGAUACAUUAAUUGACUCGGUAUAAUUAAUCACAGCACCAUCAAAAGGCAUAAGAGAUUAUCCUUGAAAACACAUGACCAAGUGGCCAAUUAAUCGUAACUUGAGUCAACUAUUAGGGUUUGCCCCAGUGGCCACCCUUCCAACAUGGAAGGGGGAUGUGAGGGGUUCGAAUCCCCACAUUCUCAGGAGAGAUUGGGGUGGGGACGAGAAAGUUUUAGGAGUGGGUUUCGACUCUCACGUCCUGCAAGAGGCAGGAUAAAAGUCUGAGAGUGAGUAUUAGAGUAGGAUUAAAGUAAGACUGACCCAAAAAAAAAAAUUGUAACUUAAGUCGAGACCUUUUAGUUCUCAUCCAACUUCAGUAUUGAAUUAUAUUCUUUGUAAGGUUAUUCUCCCUAUUCUGGUCUUUCUGAUUGUGUUCGUACGCAUCAUUCUAUUUCCAAGUUUUUGUCAUAUGAUCGUUUAUCUCCUACCUUCUCUGCUUUUGUCUCGUCGUUGUCUUCUAUUUAUGUGCCUAGCAGUGUUGCUGAAGCUCUUGCUCAUCCGGGUUGGCGUCGUGCCAUGGAAGAUGAAAUGGAGGCACUAAUUCAGAACAAAACUUGGAAGCUUACUUCCUUACCUAUUGAUAAGCAACCUCUUGGUUGUCGUUGGAUUUUCACUGUUAAAGUUCACCCGAAUGGUACUCUUGAUAGAUUGAAGGCACGGUUAGUUGCGAAGGGAUAUACUCAAACUUAUGGUGUUGACUAUAAUGACACCUUCUCUCCCGUGUACAAAAUUCCUUAUGUCCGUGUUUUUUUUUUUCAUUGACUGUGCAAUUUGGCUGGAUCCUUCAUCAAUUGGAUGUAAAAAAUGCAUUUUUACAUGGUGAUCUGGCUGAGGAGGUCUACAUGGAGCAACCAUUUGGGUUUAUUGCUCAGGGGGAGAAUGUGGUAUGUUGUUUACACAAAGCUUUGUAUGGACUUAAACAAUCUCCUUGUGCUUGGUUUGGUAGAUUUAGUGAUACGGUUAUCAAAUUUGGAUUAAAGCGGUGUCAGGUAGAUCAUUCAGUUUUCAGCUCCGUGUCUUCAACUAGUUGUAUCCUUCUAGUUGUAUAUGCAGAUGAUAUCAUCAUUACUGGCAGUGAUUCAAGUGGUAGUAAAAAACUUAAGCAAUUUAUGCAUAAAGAAUUUAGUACUAAAGAUCUGGGACGUCUUCGAUACUUUCUUGGUAUUGAAGUAUCCUAUUCACAUGCUGGUAUCAAUUUAUCGCAAUGAAAGUAUGUACUGGACAUCCUUGGUGAAGUUGGAUUUCUUGGAGUAAAGCCAGUUGAUACCCCUAUGGAUCCCAAUAUGAAACUUGAUGCAGAACAUGGAGAAUUACUACAUGAUCCAGCAAAGUAUCGAAGGUUAGUUGGUAAGUUAAACUAUCUUACUAUCACCAGACCUGAUAUAUCCUUCGCGGUUAGUAUAGUAAGUCAAUUCAUGAGUUCUCCUCGUACCACUCAUUGGGAUGUUGUACUUCGAAUCGUCAAAUAUUUGAAGGGAGCACCAAGUAAAAGACUACAAUUCAAGAAUUAUGGUCAUCUAAACACUGCAGGCUUCUCUAAUGCUGACUGGGCUGGAUGUCUUGUGGAUAGGAGAUCUACUUCAGGCUAUUGUGUGUUUCUUGGGGAUAAUUUAGUUGCAUGGAAAAGCAAGAAACAACAUGUAGUUUCCCAAUCAAGUGCUGAAGCUGAAUAUCGUGCUAUGGCACAUGUGACAAGUGAAUUAUUAUGGUUGAGAAUGUUACUAUCAGAGAUUGAAAUGUCACCGUCAAAUCCAUCAGUGCUAUAUUGUGAUAAUCAAUCUGCUAUUCAUAUUGCAUCUAAUCCAGUCUUCCAUGAGCGAACUAAGCACAUUGAGGUUAAUUUUCAUUUUGUGCAAGAAAAAGUUCAGAAAGGCGAGGUUAUUCUGCAACACACAAAGUCGGAGGAUCAACUCGCGGACAUUUUUACAAAAUCUCUAUGGGGGAAUAGAGUGAGCGUCUUAUGUAACAAGUUGGGUUUAUUUGAUAUCUAUAUCCCAACUUGAGGGGGAGUGUUGAGAAAUAUUGUGAGUAAUAAGGGUAAAAUAGUAACUUAGUUAUGACUAGGGUUAAGCACAUAUGAGCAUAUAUAUUUGUAACCCUUUUUCACUUUGUAAUAUAUAUAUAUAUAUAUAUAUAUAUAUAUAUAUAUAUAUAUAUAUAUAUAUAAAAUAAUUAUCUCUUUCACAACAAUGAAAAGCUAUUUUCUAUAUUUAAACUUCUGUAAUAUGUAUACGCUCAUUUUGGUGUUGUUGAGCUGAUCAUCAGAGUUCUUUGUUGGCCUAGUGAAUCAUUCAAACAUAUGACGGAUGUAGAAAGAUAUUAAAGAACUUACUAUGUUCCAACAACCUUAUUCGUGUUGGCCUCAUCUUGAUUUACACCAAAGAUCCUUGUCAUUCCGAAAUCAAAUAUCUUUGGAUUAAUCUCGCCAUCUAGUAAAAUAUUACUAGCUUUCAGAUCCCUAUGGAUAAUUCUUAGGCGAGAAUCCUCAUGUAGAUAUAGAAGCCCCCGAGCUAUUCCAAAGGUGAUGUUUAUGCGCAUCUUCCAGUCUAAAGAUUGCCCCACAGUUGAACCUGUCAAUCAUGAGAGACUCAGAUGAACAUCAACUAUAUAAAACUAAAAUUAACUAGCUAAAAUACUCAUUGCAUAUGCUAAAGCUCAAACCAAAAAGGAAGACAUCCAAGCUUUUGUUGGGCAUGUAUUCAUAUAUCAAGAGUUUUUCAUGCUCUUCGAAGCAGCAUCCCAAUAAUCGAACAAGGUUCCUAUGUUGUAGUCUAGCAAUCGAGAUCACUUCGUUCUUAAACUCGAUAAGUCCUUGGCCUGAGGUUCUUGAAAGCCUUUUAACUGCAAUUUCUUUUCCAUCUGCCAGUGUGCCCUGAAACAGGGUAAUGUCAGUAGUGAAAUCCCUAUAUGAGAAUUAGCAAUGAUAACCAUAUUCGAAUCAGUUCAUGUUCGGAUAAUAACCGCCAGUUUUCCCAAUUUCCCAUAAACAGGUGUUGAGUCGCUUCAAUGCUUACCUUGUACACGGGGCCAAUCCCACCUUCCCCAAGUUUACAUUCAUUGGAGAAGUUUUGUGUGGCCGCACGUAUAAUGUCUAAUCGUAUCAGAGAUAAUUCUUGAGAAGCCACCAGCUUUUCUCCUCGAGAUCUUUCCUUUGAAAACUCUUCUCCAAUUUCUCGUCUUAGAUGAAGUAACUGAACCUCUGGGCUGUUUUCCUUCUCUGAGAGUCCAAGAGCUUACUCUUGUUAGAUAAAGGUUAGAAGAUGGUCAUUCCAAUGGCAAGCAAGAUGAAUUCACUCAUACAUUUCUUCAAUCUCUUUGUCCUCCUUAGAAAUAUAAACGGACCCAUGAUGAUUAUUAGUAACCUCGAUCCAAUUACUGAGCUAACUAUUGCAAUCCACGGAUUUUGUUUGACCCCUGUCAAGAAAGGAAAAUUCCUUGCAUCUAAACAUACCACAAAUCUGCAGACUCUUUCUUUCACCAAGUGUAAAUAGUACUAAGAACUCGUUGAAAGCAAGAGAGUAUGAUCAUAGUUAAGAUCGUAAAAGAAAGUCAAGUGCAAUAUGAUACAGAAAACAGCAUAUAUUGAGAAUUAGAAGAAACGGAAUGACACCAUUAUACGCUUACCAUGACAAAUUGUGUGCCCAUUUUGAGAAUUAGAUAACUCGUACCUUCACUGCCGGACUCAGUGCUGGUUUUGUUUGUUGUAGAAGGUGCUGGUGCUUGUCCUAUACGUUCCCCACUAAGAUUCAUUUGGUACCGUACAUUACAACUCGGCUGAAGAAUUCUCACACCUCCCCUUUUAAAAUGAAGAGCGGUAGGAAACUCUCUGAUAGCCGAAAGCAAGCAACUCUUACAGACUGAUUUUGCUAUGUCGGGGGUGCACUGUGCAAUCUCAUGCAUGGUCACUGAACUUGAGACAUUAACGUUUAUGGUUGCAUAUAAACUUUCUGAGGAGAUCACCAAGUCUGUUACAUUUCUUGCCAAAUCCAUCACUUUUGCUGCAAGGUCCUCAUUAUCGAAAGUUUGUUCCACAAUCCUGUUGAAGGAAACUGAACUGUUUGCAGAGUCGACAAUGAAAAGAGUCGGUCUUGUCUCCAUGAUAGAGAAGAACGGUCUGUUGGAGUAGCGCAUGAGACACUCGUCGUACUGUAUGGUCCCCUCUUUCUGUCCAGGACAUCUUUCCACGAGGGUGUUGCUAGCUUCCUGGAUGCAAGACUGACAGCGAUUGGCAGCAACAUCGCCUAUAAAGAGGAAUAGGGAAGUUGCAUUAGUAGUCACUUAUAUCUGGGUGGUAAUUUUUCAGUUGGCAUUGGAUCAUCGUACUUUGUAGAGAAUUUUAAUUAAGACCAAUAUAUCAGGUCCAUUAUAAAUCCUAUUUCCAAGUGAGCCAAUUCCAAAGAUUAUAAUGAUUGAUUUGGAAGGUAUUACUCAAAAAUUAAAAUUUUUGGUAUCUUUCACUUGUGAUUUACCUGCAGAGGAAGAGACCAUAAACUUUGUCCGGAUCUUCACCUUCCGUUGUGUUGUAGAAACCGCCAAUGGGUCCUUUGCUGUAAUCAGCGGAGUUGCCCUUGGAGAGGAGGCUGCUGAGGUUGUCCUGAAACUUGGUAAAAGCAGCGUAGUUGCCCCUAGCUAAGCACCACUCCUGAACAUAUGUCAGUCCACCGGCAGGAGUGCCUGGGAAUCUAGGAUGAAGAGGAUCGGGCAUGAAAGCCAGAAAGCGAAGGAAAUAUUUCUUGGUGCAUCAAUAGUCUUUUUUUCUUGAACUUGGAAAGAACGCGAGUACAGUAAAAGUAAAUCAAGUGCAAUAUGAUACAUAAAGCAGCUUAUAUUGAUAAUUAGAAGCAACCGAAUGAUACCAUUAUAGGCUUACCAUGACAAAUUGUGUGCCCAUUUUUAGAAUUAGAUAACUCAUACCUUCACUGCCGGACUCACUGCUGGUUUUGUUUGUUGUAGAAGGUGCUGGUGCUUUUCCUCUAGGUUCCCCACUAAAAUUCAUUUGGUACCGUACAUUACAACUUGGCUGAAGAAUUCUCGCACCUCCCCUUUUAUAAUUAAGGACGGUAGGAAACUCUUUGAUAGCCAAAAGCAAGCAACUCUUACAGGCUGAGUUUGCUAUGUCGGGGGUGCACUGUGCAAGCUCAUGCAGGGUCACUGAACUUGAGACAUUAAUGUUUAUGGUCGCGUAUAAGCUUUUGGAGGAAAUUGCCAAGUCUGUGGCAUUCCUAGCCAAAACUGUCACUUGCGCCGCAAAGUCCUCGUUAUCAAAAGUUUGCUCCACCAUCCUGUUGAAGGUAUCUGAAACGUCCAGAGGGUUGAGAAUGGGUUUAACCGGUUGUCUCCAUGAUAGAGAAGAAUGAUAUGUUAGAGUAGCGCACGAGACACUCGUCGUACCGUAUGAUAGCCUCUUUCUGUCCUGGACAUCUUUCUAUGAUGGUGUUGGUAGCUAAAACGAUGCAAGACUGACAGAGAUCGGCGGCAACAUCCCAUGUAAAGAGGAAUAGUAAAGUUGCAUUAGUAGUCACUUAAAUCUAAAUAGCAAUUUUACGGUUGACAUUGGAUCACCGUACUUUGGAGAGGAUUUCAAUUAAGACCAAUAUAUCAGGUCCAUUAUAAAUCCUAGUUCCAAGUGAGCCGAUUCCAAAGAUUAUAAUGAUUGAUUUGGAACGUAUUACUCAAAAGUAGAAAUUUUUGGUAUCUUUCGCACGUGAUUUACCUGCAGAGGAAGAGACCAUAAACUUUGUCCGGAUCUUCACCUUCCGUCGUGUUGUAGAAACCGUAAAUGGGUCCUUUGUUGGAAACAGCGUAGUCGCCCCUGGAGAAGAGGCUUCUGAGGUUGUCCUCAAACUUGCUACGAGGAGCGCAGUUGCCCCUUUCUGCGCACCGCUCGUGAACAUGUGUCUGUGCACCGACAGGAGUGCGUGGGAUGCAGAGGAUCAGGCAUGAAAUCCAGAAAGCGAAGGAAAUAUUUCCUGGUGCAUCGAGAAUCUUUUUUUCUUGAACUUGGAAAGAACGCAAGCACAGUAAGAGUAAUUCAAAGACGGCCAUGGACUUUCUUUUAACUCAAGAGGAGUAGGACAAUAAGCGACUUCUGGAGGGCGAGGUGAAGAAAUUGAUCAAGAACCGAGUUUUGCAACUGCUCUCCCUGAUUCCGGGGUUGGUAAAGACGAAUUAGUCCAAUUUCCACGUUCCGUUGUCAACAGGGACAAGCACCCGAUUGGCUUUUUUUUUUUUUUUUUUCCAGAAGAAAUGAGGGCGAACUUUCCUCGCUUGCCCUACCAACGAAAAUACCUGGUGGAACCCAAAAAGAUCUUCCCGAGUAGCCUCCCGGAGCUCACCCCGCAGGUUGCCCAACUCCAGCCCGUGUAGACGAAGACCUGCAGUCAGACCUUACCAGAGAAGAUGGACUUCCCGACGAGCUUGUCGAGGUCUGACUUGCUGAGGUGGAAGGUGGGCCGCUGCCACCCCGUCCCCCAGGAGGGGAGGCAACGCUGUCGAGGGAGGGGGGUGGGUGGCGUCGGGAGGGAGGUAGGGGACGAAGGCGGCCUGGAGGGGGAAGCUCUUGAGCUUGAUCUUGCAGAAGCAGGGGGAGAAGGAGGGGUGGACGGUAGAGCCCUCGGACUUAGCGGUGAUGGGGAUCUUGAAAGCGAGGCUCCCUACCGUGAGCAGAGAGAAGAAGAAGAAAUAAAGGAAAAAAAGAAGGAAACUUAUAUUUAAGGGAAAAAUCCACGAAAAACGUUAAACUUUGUCCUGUGUGACACAUUUAUUCCAAAUAUUUUUUUUGUACCGUGAAAAAUCCAAACUUUCCAAACCAUGAUAUAUUAAUCUCAAACUUUUUUUUGUGACACCAAAAAUCCUGAACUUUUGUCAUGUGACACAUUUACCCCAAAAUUAUAGGGCAUUUCGAUCUUUUCAUUUUUUAAGAUUUUUUUUCUUCCCUCUUCCCUCCGCUGAUUUGGAUUUAGCCUUUCUUUGCACUGUGAUUCCAACCCAAAGAACUCUACCACUAGAUUUGAAGUCAAGAUGUUUAAAAUAUUUCUAUAUAAGCAUGUACUGAGUUUUUGUGAUUGAGUAUAUAAGCUCUAUCACUAAUGAUCAUAGUCAACUAUGCCGAUUUUAGCUUGUGGUAGAUCUAAUCAACACCAUCCAUCUUUUCUUUUUCUUUUUUCUUCCUUCCUGGUCAUAGCAAUAUGUCCUUCCUGGUCAUAGCAAUAUGUGAACUUAUGAAGCCAACUGUUCAUCAUCAAAUUGGAGCCAGCAUUUAAUGGUAAAGUGAACAUUUUCUCAUUGGAAUGCCAUCUUAAGGUUUGAAGGACCUAAAUUGACUGUCCUCUUCUUCAACACAAGGAUGCAACCUCAUUAUUUAACCGCAAGGCUUAACUAGAGUCGAGAGAUUCUUGAUAAUACACCUAAUAAUAAUGACAUUUUUAAUUCCAUAAUUGCCCUUUAAAUACAGGCAGUCAAAUGAAGUACUCAAAGCCAGAGUCGAUGCACUGGACAACGAGAAGAUGACGUACAGCUACACAAGGGUGGAGGGAGGCGAAUUGGCUGACAAGAUCGAGUCGAUCUCUUAUGAAAUAUCAAGAUGGAGGCAUCUCUCGAUGGGGGCUGUGAGGGCACGAACAGGAGCAACUACCACCCAAAACCAGGCAUUGUGAUUAGUGAGGAUGAGAUCAAAGCCGGGAAAGAGAAGGCCAUGGCCGUCUUCAGGUCCGCGGAGGCCCGCCCAUCUCUUGGCCAACCCCGAGGCCUCUGCCUAAAAGCUUUUGUUAGUAUUAUUGUCUCUGUUUGAAGCAAAUUCUGCAUCUCUCUUUGUGGACCGAUUAAGUUCUGCUAAUUAUAAUGCGGUCUUCUCUAUGUGAAAUCCUUGAUUGAGAGUGCUAAUGUUGUUGCUAUUACAAUAAAGGUUCUCCAAUUCUACUAUAGUACGUUGCCUCGUUAAAAAGUGCCUUGGAGCACAGUUAAGAGGUAUAAUAAUGUUGCGGCGAUGCAUAUAUUAAAUUCACGUUGCAAAUUAGUAAAUGAAGUUAUUUUCAUGCGUUUGAAAAAAAUUGGAUGCACUUCUUCAAGGGUAGCAUUUUUCCCUCAGCUUGUUGCUUCCAUUGAUUGCAUCUGAUGCUUUGUAUAUUGUUGUGAUUCAAAAGAAAGGUUGAUUAGGAUUAGGCCUUUCUUUGCAUUGUAAUCAUAACCCAAAUAGUUCUAUCGCUAGAUUAGAGGUGAAGAUAUUUAAAACAUUUAUAUGCCCUAUCAUUAAUGAUUGAGUAUAUAUGCCCUAUCAUUAAUGAUCAUAGUCAACUAUGUGAAUUUACAAUGAUUCUAGUUCAUGGUAGAUAUGAUCGACGCCAUCCAUCUUUUCUUUUCUUUCUUGCCGGUUAUAGCAAUAUAUGAACUUAUGAAGCCAACUGUUCAUCUUCAAAUUGGAGCCAGCAUUUAAUGGGAAAACAAUGAAGCACGAAAUAUAUUCUUACCAUCCUCUUGAUCAAGAAAUGACAACGCCUUGACAACGACUCGCACGCAAACACUUCGAAUAUUUGUGGUUGGAUACAUUAAUUGACCCAGUAUAAUUAAUCACGGCACCAUCAAAAGGCAUAAGAGAUUAUCCUUGAAAACACAUGAUCAAGUGGCCAAUUAAUCAUAACUUGAGUCAACUAUUGGGGUUUGUGUCACAUCCCAAAUUUCUGAUUCUAUUUUCAAUUAAAUGAGACGGACUUUUCAACGACACGCUUAUAGUUCAAUUCUUCGAGCUAAUCACUCACGAGAUAAUUAGUCUAUCAGGUGAAGCCGUUAAGGAAUUUAAAUGCAAUAGGCUUGAGAAUCUGACCAUGAACUGACUGCUUGACUGUAUAAAUCUGCAAUGAUCAUUACGACAUUAUCAGAAUCGAACAAAGAUCAGUAAUAGGUCGAUUCGACUGAGACAUGUAAUUAGGGUGUGGGUGAUUCCACUUGAUUUCAAUAUCCUCGUCGACCGGCAUUGAACUAAUUAUUCUGUCGUUUUGGGUACCCUGUGUCCGUAUUUGAAACCUCAAGAUUUUCACGACAAUCGAGAGUCGCCAAUGUGUCGAAGAUUAUUUCGUGGCUUGAAAAUAAUCAACCAUGGGUCAAUUGCACUGAAAAUUUCCUAAAAGCUACCCGAUAGAUUAGGACGUGCUCAAAUCGCGCCAAAUUGAAAUUAACCGUGAUUUUAAACUUGGAUUCAGAAAUUGAAGGUUCUGGCAUGUCACAAUUCAUUUUAGGAACAUCGACUCAUCUCCAUAAGAUUUUUCUACAAAUCGAGAUUUUUGGCGGAAAAGCAAAGUAAGGCCGUUUUUGUUUGGGAUUGUCAGAGGGCCGUUUUUAAUCGAAUCUUCAGGAUGCAAGUUGGAUCAUUUGACAGGGAAAUGUCAUGAGAAGGCCGAGGACACAUGGGUUGAUUUAAUUGAGCUUCAAUUGGAUGGAAUUGAGAGAGAAUUGAAUGGAUUGAAUGGGGGAAUGUCCAAAAUUCGUAGCUCCCAUGGCACACCACAUUUUGCACCUAUUGCCAAGCUUGUAAAGGAAGAUUGGAGGAGAGAGAGUGGCUGAGGUCAUGUGGUGUCAUGGUGGGGGCAAAGCCAAUGAAAAGAUGGCAAGUGUUGAGCUCUAGAGAGCCCAAAGAGACACCCCCCCCCCCACUCUUCAGCAGCUUCUUCUCCUUUAAUCCAAGGCUUUCUCCAUUAUUGUUAAAGGAGAGAAGCUCAGCAAAAACCAGAGGAACCAAGCAGCAUCAGCCCUCCACCGUCGCAUGCCCAUCGGACCCCAUUUCCUCCUCUGUUUUCCCCCCGUUCCAGUUUCUGCUCCAGCCGAUCUUUCGCCAAAGAUCUAAGUAAAAAGUUAACUUCCCGAUUGAAUCAGCGAACGAGCCACCCAUCACUGCGAAGACGACAUCCAGCCCGUUCCGGAGCAUCUCACCGCUCGCCGAAACAAUUCUCCGGCAGUCCCGUACGGCCGCCCGAAGCCGCCGCUCGCCGGACCGUCUAGACUCGCCUGGUUCCGCCUGUUUCGCCCGUUUCGCGGUUUUCAGCCAUUUUCUCCCCAUUUCUACCCUACCUCCACCCAUACCAACCAACAGUAAGAUCCCUUUGACCCCCGAGAGCCGCUGGUUGCCAACCACCCGCUUGCCGGAGCUCCGAUCAGCCCGUUUUCGCCGUUGAAGUUUCUGGUUUCUUCUCUGCAGUUCAACUCAGAUCAAAAGCAUAAGACAGCAAAAAGUUCCAGACUUCGAGGCCCGUUUUCAGUGUCUUCCCGGCCUCCAUUGGGGUUUAUCGACCACCUUGGUGUCGUGGUCGCCGUGAACUCAUCGGCGCGCAAAACCGGUGAGUUUAUCAUGAUUAGCUUAAGGGGUGUUUAGAUUAGUCUAAUUAGGUUUAGGUGGUUAGAUUAGAUUAUUUGAAUGUAAAUUAGAUUAGUUGUAUGAUUAGUUUAAUGGAUGUUUGAUUAGGGCUAAUUGUAUGUUUAAAUUAGUGUAAUCUAGUUUAAGCCCUAAUUAAUUAUUUUAAAUUAAAUAAUUAUUUCGAAUUUAUAAAUAUUAUUUUAUUAAAUUAUAUUAUUAUAAAAUAACAUUUAAUUAUUUAAUUUUCGGAAUUAAAUUUAAUUAUUUAAUAAUUUCGAAAAUUUUGCCGGGAUGGCUGGUCGUUAGAAUUUCGCGUUGAUCGCAACAGUGCAGUCGGUUUGUGCUAAUUAUAUGUUAAAUUGAGAAAUUGAGUGGAAAUGAUAAUUAUGGUUAAUUAUUCCAAAGUGUGGAAUUGAAUGAAAUUGGAGAAGUUUUGGUAUUUAACUUGAAAAUACCCGGUGUUGGCUUAUAGCACCGUAAUUGGUUGGUAAGACCAGUUUGUAUCGAUUGAUUGAAUGGUUGUUUAUGUGGGGAUUUAUCCCAAAGAUGUUUAGUAUCGAUAUUCGAUUGGAAUUUAAUUGUGAAAGGUUGUGAAUGGAUCUAGAAAAUCGUCGAAGUUCGACUGUGCCCUGUUAGACUGUGAUUUGCCACCUGACAAAGGUCGCGCCUGAUAAGGCCGUAAUCUGCCACCUAUUAAAGGUUGCGCCCGUUGGGCCGUAAAUUGCCACCCAAUAGGGGUCGCGCCUGAUAAGGCCGUAAUCCGCCACCUAUUAAAGGUCGCGCCCAUUGGGCCGUAAUUUGCCACCUAAAGAUAGGUCGUCUCCUUUCGACUGUGGUUUUUAGUGAAUGAUUUGAUUGAUUAUUGAAUUGUACUGACAUGCAGGAAUGGACUGAGGCGAGGUAAGUCCUCAAUUCUCUUUGUGUGGCUAGAGCACCCUGGAGCUUAUUUUCUUCCUAAUCGAGUUUUAGAGGGUAGGACUCGCUGAGACAUUGUCUCAUCCCGGUUGUGGGAUAAUAUUUCAGGUCCCUAAAUAGCGGAUCCUCCUGAGCUUUUUGGUAGACCAGUGAGGGUGGCUGAGAGGAUUUUUGGCUUCACCAAUCUCGACUGAAGAGCUAGCAUGGACCUGUCUAGCUGAUCUUAGGACAGCUUAGUUUUUGAGGACUGAUCUUCUAUGGAUCUUUUGUUAAUAGCCUAGUCCUGUAAAUGAACUGGUUUGAUAUGUAUAAAAAGUAUGUGGUUGGUUUUGAAAAUGUGAUCUUGCUUUUCUAUCCCAAUUGAAUUUUUGUUUGGAGAUUAUUUACUUGCUUCCGCAUGUGCAUUAAAAAGAAUGGGUCAGCGACAUGUCCUGGGAAGUCGCUUUUGUAUCGACUAGAGUGGGAUGUUCGCGCGCUCGGAGGAUUGGAGCGUGAUAGUUUGCCCCAGUGGCCACCCUUCCAACAUGGAAGAGGGAUGUGAGAGGUUCAAAUCCCUACCUUCUCAGGGGAGAUUGGGGUGGGGACGAGAAAGUUUUAGAAGUGGGUUUCGACUCCCAUGUCUUGCAAGAGGCAGGACAAAAGUCUGAGAGUGAGUAUUAAAGUAGAAUUAGAAUAGGACUGACCCAAAAAAAAAAACUGUAACUUGAGUCGAGACCUUAUAGUUCUCAUCCAACUUCAGCAUUGAAUUAUAUUCUUUGUAAGGUUAUACGAUAGCCCUUUACUCUUUACAGCCUUGGGAACCGGCUUAUCCGUCUUAGCAAGCUAAUUCAUCAAUGCAAGUGGGGUUGAGGAGUGCAUUCACUUUGUUUGUCAAGCCCUUCGGUUCGAUUAUUAAGGUACAUCGGCGAGGUUAACAUUUAGUGUGGGGGACACGAAGUUGCCGUCGUGGCACGAGGAAAUAAUCAGUUUAAGAAUCCUCUCGGAUUAAGUUGACUUCUCGAGAAAGUGUGCAUUAUAUGACGAUGAGAUGCAACACGAAUCGCAUGGCCGCAAGUUUUUCCAUUCACUACACCGCACUCUAACCAUCAUGUAUUAUCCACAGCCCCGCUUUUAGAAUCACGUGCUAUCCCGAUCAACUCUUCUCUCCCACUUCGCACCUCAGAACGUACCCUUAUUAGUUAUUAUAGCGAGAAUUAUUAACUUUCCUCUGAAUCUCGACGAAGAAAGAUAUCUUUGGAGCUUUGGAGCCAAUAAAAAAUACACCGAUUCAACGAGGGCUACCUCCUCUCGGACCUAUAAAUAGUGCGCUCCCUUGCCGUUCUCUUCACACUAAGCUCAAGCAAAGUUGAUUUCAUCGUUCGUAUAAUUUCAGUAGCGAGUCCCUAGAGAUCGAUCAUGGUUGUGUUCAAAUUGAGUGACGAGUACAAUUCCCCCAUUCCUACGGCGAGAUUCUUUAGGGCCUUGAUUGGGGACUUCCACAACCUUAUCCCCAAGCUCAUGCCUGAAGCUAUCGAGAGCAUUGACAUCGUCCAAGGCGACGGAGGAGCCGGAACCAUUAUGCAAAUCAAUUUCACUGAAGGUAAAGUUUCCUCGAGGGUUUUUAAGUAUUGACUCUCCCAAUCUUGUGUAAUGGAAUUGCACAUUUUCGUAAGUAAUGACAUAGCAAUAAGAUGGCCCACCAAAAAGAAAAACACGAUGAUUGUUAAGAUGCUAUAUUGUUUGAUCAGGCAAACUUUCCUAAAGAUAUUUGUCUUCUGUGAUUAGUUCAAAUCUAAUUAGUACGUAUCUCCCAUUUCAUACGCAGGUGGGGAACUCAGUUUCAUUAAGAGCCGAGUAGAUGUGCUAGAUGAAGAGACAUUAACGUGUGUGUACAGACUGAUUGAAGGCAGUCAAUUGAUGGAGAAGUUUGAAUCCAUUGCUUACGAAGUUAAUUUCGAGCCGACACCAGACGGUGGGAGCAAGAGCAGGAUAGCCAGCACAUACUACACCAAGGGCGAUUUUCAGCUCAACGAAGAAGAAAUCAAAGCUGGCAGAGAGAGAGAGGCUUAGGAAUAUACAUAGCCGUCGAAGCAUACCUCCUCCAAAACCCGGAUGCCUAUGCUUGAUUCCGGAAGUUCUUCUCUCAAAUAAAUCUGGAAUUACUCGUGGUACUCUGUGUCUUCUGUAGUGAGUGUUUGGCUUGUCUUUUGGCGAUGGACUUGACCGUCCUUUUGAGUGUGGAUGGCAAUAAGGAUACAUACUUUGUACCUCAUUUGAAGCGGUAAUCUUAACCUUCGCUCUGAUACCACAAAAAGGGGAUGUCACGCCCCGAUCCUCGAACGCGCGCACAUCCUUCUACUUGGUCGAUUUUAUAAUGCGAUAUCCCAGGACUAUGUAUCGCCGACCCUUUAUUUUUAUUAAGCACAUGCGGAAGCAGUUAUAAAUCCCCAGACAAUAAAACAAUGGGAUAGGAAAGUAGGCCAUAUUUUUCAUAUUGAAAUUCACAACCACACUUUCAUUUACAGCACAACUCAUAGAGUAUUUACAAUACUAUUUACAACAUAAAAGUCUCACACCUAUCUAUACCAAGACAGGGUUCACAAAAGGGAUGGGAUCUCAAUCCACAUCCGGGUUAUAAUCAAGAUCCCUCUCUGGAUCAUCUUCUACUUCAAAAUACUUUCUCCUUCCUCAGCUUCUCCUUCCUCAGCUUUUCCUCAGGGUCCUGAAAUGGUUAUUCAAUAACCAAUGAGACCACGUCUCAGCGAGUCCUACCCACUAAGACUCGAUUAAUAAACUAAUACGCCAUCCGGUUGCCUAAGCACAACACGAGUCAGAGGACUUACCUUAGCCUCAGUUCCAACCUGCAAUUCAAGGUUAAACACAGAUAUUCAAACAAUUCACGACAUACGAUCAAACAUUGGCCAAUCGACUAAGUCGAUUACAUGUCAAUUAGACCCUCUCUCGGUCAUUCCCACUCGUACCACGCUUUCUCAGUGGUGUACUCAUUCACCAAAUCACAUGUGUUUCUCGGGCGUCGUUUUCGCCAAUGACAUACCGAUCACCGACACCGUGCGUUCUUUAAGGCGCCGUUUUCACCAGUGAUAACCUUGAUCACCGAACCACGUGUCUUCUCAAGGGCGCCGUUUUCGCCAAGGUGACAUCGGCUAUAGACAACAUCGUGCGUUCUUUAAGGCGCCGUUUUCACCAGUGAUAUUCCCAUAACCACCGAACCACGUGUGUCUAUAAGUCAUUUACGUGCGUUCUUUAAGGCGCCGUUUUCGCCAGUGAUACUUCCAAUCACCGAACCACGUAUGUCCAAUAACAUCGUACCUGAUUGGUCUCACCAUUCUCCCUACUAUAUAGCCCAUCAACGUACUGGCGCUAUAUAUCCAUACUCAGUCAUCCAUCAAUCAAAUAUUCAAUCACAAACAAUUUAGGAUAAUUCCUAAAAUUCCACAAUAAAUUCAAUUCCACACAACGUAGAGCUCAAAUAAAUAAACGGACUACACCACGACAAUCAGCACGAAAUUCCGGUCACCGGCCAUCCCGGUUGAAUUUCCGGAAAAAUAAUUAAUUAAAUAAAUAAAUUUCGAAAAUAAAUAAAUAAACAUUAAAAAUCCAAUUUAGGCCUAUAUUGCCUUAUUGGAGCCCGAAACGGGUCGGGAAAAAUCCCGAGAUGCAUUCAAUAAAUCACCAAAUAUUUGUACUUGCUAAUAACUAGGUCUAACCACCUAACAUGCAUCAUUAAGUCACUAAAUUAAUUACUCUAACCUAAUCUAACCACCUAAGUGCAUGUAAUUAAAUCUAACCAACCCUAAGACAUAAUUAGCAAAUUAAUAAAGCAUUAGUGAGUAAAACUCACUUGACAAAAGCGGAGAUCGAAUCACCGCAACGGCGACGCGACGGCGGCCGAAAAGCCGAACUUUCGGCGGCGAUGACAAACACACGGACCGGGCCUAAAAGCCUCGCAAGCUUGCAGAAAUUUCUAGGCUUGGGCUUGGCUCCGCGGGCUUCAAAAACUGGGCUUGAAAUAAAACUGAAUUGGGCCUGACUUUGCUGGGCCCAAAAAUUUGAAAUUGCUGGGCUUUCCAAUCCAAUUGAUGCUGGGCUUCAAGACUAGGACAGAAUUGGACUGGGCUAGGACAGAAUUGGACUGGGCUUGAACUUGGGCUAAACUGAUGCUGGAACUUACAAGCUGAUGGCCUCCAAAAACUAACUGAAACUGAACUUGCGUGGGCUGGAUGCUGGGCCGUGUUUGAUGGAGAUGGGCUCACGAAACUCGCUGGAUGUCGUGGCUGGAGACGCGGACGAAGGGAGCUCCUUCGUUUGAGGUUGGCGCGGCAAGGUUGAAGCAGAAACGGAGCUGGGGAUGGGUGGCGUGAGUGGCCGACCAACCUUGGUGGAGAAGGGACAAUUUCUCGCGGACGGAUGCUGGCUUCCUCGGUGGUUUCAUUCGGUGGUCAACAAGGUGGAGAGAACCUGCUUUUGUUGACCGUGGAGUUGCAGGCCAUGGACGCGUGGAGAGGAGAAGAGAGCUUCGGUGAGUGGGGUCUUCGUGGAGUCUUCAACGUGGAGAAGAAUGUUGACCGAAGAAGUGGAAGACGCCUGGCAGCUUGCAGGUGUUGUUGGCGACGGAUCUUUGCACGGAUGAGGGGCUGUUUCGCUGGAGAUUGACCGAUGGAGAUGGGAAUUGAUUUGUUGCCGACAAAUCCCAGUGGAGGACGCGGCUUCGGUCUUCAGUGCAGCUGGUCUAUCGAUCUUCAAGCAGCGGUAAUGGAAAGCAAAAAAGGGAGGUUGUCGCACGAAAUGGGAAAUGAUGGAAUGGAAGCAUCUCACGGCAACAAUUUGGAGAGGAUGAGGGAGAGGUGGGCCUUAGCUUGAUAUUUUGCAAUAAUAUCUUCCAUGAAUCAUUCUUAGCCAAGUAAAAACACUUGGCCUUCAUUAGACCAUCCAAAUGACCCCCAUAACCUCUCAACUAGUCCAAUAAUGCUAGGGUGAGAGGGUGAUACGAAUUUCACCAUUUGAACUUCAAUUUCUCCCAUAAAUUCCCAAAUUGAGAUCCAAUUUCAAUGUAGAAAAAUCCCAAAUGAUUUUCUAUAAAUCCCCGAUACACAAUGGCUUAGCUUGAAAGCCCAAGUUCCCAUUAAUUUAGCCAAUCUGAACUUUUGCCAAUUUCCGCGACGUCCGAAUCCAAUUUCCGUAAAAAUCUCGGGACCUCCGAAAAUCUUCUGAGACUGAGUCGAUGCUCCUAAAAUAGCUUGUGACAUCACUGAACUUUCGAUUUCUGAAAUAUGACUCAAAUCGACGGUUAAUUUCACUCCGGCGUGCUUUUAGUGUGACCUAGACUACCGGGUAGUUUUCAGAACUUUUUAGGGCAAUUGACUCGUGGUCGAUUUUCUUCGAGCCACAAUGAACCCACUCGACACAUUGGCGACUCUCAAUUGUCGUGAAAAUCUCGAGGGCUCGAUUACCAACACAGGGUACCAAAACGACAGAAAAUCAAAUUAGUGCCGGUCGACGAGAAUUUUCCAAUUUAGUGGAGUCACCCACGAUCGGCCACACAUCUCAGUUGAACCGACCUAUCUCUGAUCUCAGUUCGAUCUUUAACUGUGCAGUAAUGACCUCUAAAGAUGGACACGGUCGAGAAGCCGCUUCCUGGUCGAAUUCUCAAGUCUAUUGCCUUAAUAUUCUUUAAUGGCUUACCCAGCUAGUCUAGUUAUCUCGAGAGUGAUCAGCUCUGAGAACAACCCUAUAGACACGUCAAUGAAAUGCCCGAUUAAUUUAAUAGAAAACGAUACUGAAAAUUCUGGAUGUCACAACUCUUCCCCUCUUAUAAAAAUUUCGUCCUCGAAAUUUAAACCUUACAAGACUUGAUUAAAAAGGUGGGGGUACAAUUCUCUCAUUGACUCCUCAGUCUCCCAUGUCGCUCCUUCUGUACCGUGGUGUUGCCAGACCACUUUGACUAAGGGAAUGGUCUUUGUACGCAGAACUUGCUCUUUGCGAUCGACAAUCUGGACCGGUCUUUCAACGUAUGACACACGGUCAUCCACGUCCAAUUCUUCAAAAUUGAGUACGUGGGUCGGGUCAGGCUCAUACUUCCUUAACAUCGACACGUGAAAGACGUCAUGCACUUGCGCCAAUCUUGGCGGCAACGCAAGACGAUACGCUAAGGUCCCGAUUCUCUCAAGAAUCUCAAAUGGACCUACGUACCUCGGACUCAGUUUGCCUUUCUUACCAAAGCGCGAAGUUCCCCUCAUUGGUGACACCUUCAGAAAAACGUGAUCACCAACUUGGAAUUCCAAAGACCUCCGGCGCUUAUCUGCAUAACUUUUCUGCCUGCUCUGCGCUGUCUUUAAUCUGUCUCUGAUCACUGUCACGGCAUCUACUGACUGCUGAACCAACUCUGGGCCUGUUAUCUUUCUUUCUCCGACUUCAUCCCAACAUACUGGUGUUCUACAUGCUCUGCCAUACAGCGCUUCAAACGGGGCCAUCUGAAUACUCUGCUGAUAGCUGUUAUUGUAGGCGAAUUCUACGAGAUGAAGCUGAUCUUCCCAACUUCCUUUGAAGUCUAUAACACAUGCUCUCAGCAUGUCCUCAAGGGUCUGAAUUGUCCUCUCAGACUGGCCAUCUGUCUGAGGAUGAUAUGCUGUACUGUACUGAAGCUUUGUACCAAGAGCACUCUGCAAGCUCUUCCAAAAAGCAGCAGUAAAUCUUGGGUCUCUAUCAGAUGUUAUCGUAACCGGCACUCCAUGCAUUCGAACCACUUGGCGCACAUAUAGGUCUGCGUGCCUAUCUAAACUGAGGUCCUUUCGAACUGCAAUGAAGUGAGCCGACUUUGUCAGUCUGUCGACUACUACCCAGAUUGAAUCAUUCCCUCUUUGACUCCUUGGUAGUCCAGUCACGAAAUCCAUCGUGAUAUGCUCCCAUUUCCAUUCUAGAAUCGCGAGAGGUUGCAGAAGUCCUCCCGGCUUGCAAUGCUGAGCUUUCACUUGUUGACAUGUCAAACACUUGGCCACAUGCUUAGCGAUAUCCGCCUUCAUACCUGACCACCAAUAAUGUUGACGUAGAUUCUGAUACAUCUUAGUGCUUCCAGGAUGAAUGCUGUAACUGCUACGAUGUGCUUCAGAUAAGAUUUCUUCUCUAAGCUCUACAUCAUCAGGUACAACCAAUCGUCCUUGGAAUCUUAGUGUCCCGUCAUCAGAAAUCUGAAAAUCAGCCUUUCUUUUCUCUACGUCUUCCUGAAGAAUUCUUUGUACAUCUGGAUCUGUCGGUUGGAGUUGUUUGAUUCUAACUUGGACAUCCGGUUCAAUUCUGAGGGCGGCCAUAAAACUCGAGAGGUGGCCUACCUCAAAUUUGAAUACCGAAUCCCGAGCUCUCUCGAUUAAGUUCCACUCCUUAAUCAGUAUAUGAGCCACUGAAGACUUUCGACUUAAAGCAUCGACGACCUUGUUCGCCUUUCCUGGGUGAUAUAAAAUAUCACAGUCGUAGUCUUUCAGCAAUUCCAUCCAUCUGCGCUGUCUCAUGUUCAACUCCUUUUGAGAGAAUAAAUACUUGAGACUUUGGUGGUCCGUGAAGAUUUGAAACUUUUCCCCACACAAGUAAUGUCUCCAAAUCUUCAGGGCAAAGAUAAUUGCGGCGAGCUCUAGGUCAUGCGUCGGGUAGUUCAAUUCAUGAGGUCUCAACUGACGGGAGGCGUAUGCAACAACCCUACCAUGUUGCAUUAGCACGCAACCCAACCCCUUGAAUGACGCAUCACUAUAGAUUUCGAAUCCUCCAGGACCAGAUGGAAUUGUCAACACCGGUGCAGUAGUCAGCUUUUCUUUCAGCUCUUGAAAACUACGCUCGCACUUGUCUGUCCAUAUGAACUUCUCGUCUUUCUUCGUGAGCUUAGUUAGAGGUGAUGCUAACGCUGAGAAACCUUCUACAAACCGUCUGUAAUAACCUGCCAAUCCCAGAAAACUUCUGAUUUCUGUCACUGAUGUCGGUCUCUGCCAAUUGAUCACGGCUUCUAUCUUGCUCGGGUCGACGGAGAUUCCUUCUCCGGAAAUCACAUGACCUAAGAACGCGACACGAGUCAACCAAAACUCGCAUUUGCUAAAUUUAGCAUACAACUGAUGCGUCUUUAACGUCUGGAGCACCAAUCUUAGAUGAUUCUCGUGCUCUUCGUCACUUCUCGAAUAGACCAAGAUAUCAUCAAUGAACACAAUCACAAACUGAUCUAGAUAUUCCUUGAAUAUUCGGUUCAUCAUAUCCAUGAAGGCAGCUGGAGCAUUCGUCAACCCGAAUGGCAUCACUGUGAACUCAUAGUGACCAUACCGAGUACGAAAUGCUGACUUAGGAAUAUCCUCUUUCUUAAUUCUCAGCUGAUGAUAUCCCGUCCUCAAAUCAAUCUUCGAGAACAUUGAUGCUCCUUGUAGCUGAUCGAACAGAUCAUCAAUCCUUGGGAGUGGAUACUUAUUCUUAAUGGUCACUUGGUUGAGUUGUCUAUAAUCAAUGCACAACCGUAAUGAACCAUCUUUCUUCUUUACAAACAAAACUGGUGCUCCCCAAGGUGAUGCGCUAGGACGAAUAAAUCCUUUGUCUAAUAAUUCCUGCAUCUGUACUUUCAAUUCUUUCAAUUCUGUCAAUGCCAUUCUGUACGGUGCCUUUGAGAUCGGUUCUGUCCCCGGUGCUAGUUCAAUCACAAAUUCAAUCUCUCUUUCUGGCGGUAGACCUGGCAAUUCCUUUGGGAAAACAUCUGGAAAUUCUCGAACUACUGGAAUGUCUUCCACUUUCAGCUCUUCAACUGUCGUAUCUACAACAGUUGCCAGGUAACCUUGACAACCCUCGUCUAACAGACGAGUUGUCUCUUGCGACGAGAUUAGGACAAUCGAGGGUCCUCCCCGACUUCCUACAAACUCGAAGCUAUCACCUUCUAUCGGGUCAAACUGAAUCGUUUUACGAUAACAGUCCAUUUUAGCUCUUUGCUUGGUGAGCCAGUCCAUGCCAAUUAUUAAAUCAAAGUCAUACAUGGCUAGGACUAAAAGAUCUAUUUUCCCCUCUCGCUCACCAAUCACUAACUUGCACCCCGAACAACCCAAAGCAGUAAUAAAUUUAUCUUUCAAGGGUGUAGAUAUACACAUUGCCGACUCCAAUAAUAUAGGACUGACUCCUAUCAACUUAACAUACUGUUCAGCAAUAAAUGAGUGAGUUGCUCCCGGAUCAAACAAAGCAUAAGCAGGUUGGUCGUUGAGCGAAACCAUACCUGUUAUCACGUUAGGCGCAGCUUCUGCUUGACCUUGUGUAAUUGCAUACACAGUGCCUUGAGCUGGAGGUCUCUGCUGUCCUCCUUGCGGCACGUUCUGAGGGGCAUACCCUCUUAUCUGUCCUCUCGGUGGUGGCGGUGGCAAUUGAGGUUGUCCUCUCUGCUUCUUUGGACAAUACCUUGCGAUGUGGCCCUGUUGGCCACACUCAAAACAGGCUCCUGUCCUGGCUGGGCACGGAGCUGUCCCGUGUCGCCUUCCACAAAAGCGACAUAUACCCGUGUUAUUGGACAUCUGUCUAUUGAAUCCGCUCCUCUUGAAAGGUGAGGCAUGAGAUCUACCUCCGGGCAUGGGUCUUUUUCCCUGACGAAUAUUCUCUCGAUUAGAGUUGAAUCUCGACCCCGACAAGGCAGCUCUGUCAUUCUGAUCUUUCUCGAUCAUUUGGGCUCUCUCAUAAAGAUCAUUAUAAGUCCUCAAGUUCAGGGAAACCAAUGUACUUCUCAAGUCUGGCUUGAAUCCUUCUCUAAACCUCCUCGCUCGGUUUACUGGAUUCGCAAUUAAUUCAGGAGCAUACUGUGAAAGUUCAGCGAACUUUGCCUCAUAUUGAUCGACAGUUAGGGAACCCUGGCGAAGACGUUGAAAUUCUGCCAUCUUCACCUCUUUGGCAGUUUCUGAGAAAUAUUUGACAUUAAAAGCUUCUCGAAAGGUGUUCCACUCUGGAACAACGCCUUCCGGGAAUAUGGUUUCUCGGGUUGUCUUCCACCAAGUAUCCGCAACUCCAUCCAGCUGGUAAGUUGCAAGUAGUACCUUUUCAGUCUCAUUGCACAUUAGUAGUGCGAAAGCUUUCUCCAAUUUCUUGAUCCAUGAAGCAGCAGCUUCAGGGUCUCCGAUCCCGGUAAAUUGAGGCGGAUUCAACUUCAUAAAUUGUUCUACCAACUGAUGAAUUGGUCUGUUCCCGACCACUAUUCCAGGUGGACCUUCAGCUUGGGCUGCGGCAGGUGCAGCGACAGGUACAGCGGCAGCUGCAGCAGCAAUAGCAGCAUUGGCAGCAGCAGUGGCGGCGGCUCCAACAGCGGCAGUAAAGGCGGCAGUCUGAUCUCGGGCCUGUUGCCCCAUUAUCUCACGCAUAGCAUCUAGAGCCUGGUUUAUUCCAACAGUCCCUUGCUCACCCGGGGCUGCUACCCCAGCACCAACAGGAGGUGGUGCUACUCCAGCCUCUACAACCGGUGGAAUCAUUCCACUCGCGCUAGCCUGUGCUGGCGCUCGACCACGGCCUCCUCGGGUACCGACUCUAGUCGGCGCUCUGCCCCGAGUCACGGCCCUACUGGCCCUCUUUGCAGGAGUCCUCGGCUCCUGAUCGCUCAUAGUGUCGCUUUAAAGAACUGACACCUGCUUCCAAUUCAACACUGAAUUAGAAGCGGAGCGAUUCAAAUAACAAACAAUUUUAGCACUCAGCUAACACAGACAUGCACCAGCAUGAAUUUAAAGGCCUUUCCUACUAACUAUCCCAUGGUCAACGCUCCUUAUCACUCCAAUCUUAACCUUCGCUCUGAUACCACAAAAAGGGGAUGUCACGCCCCGAUCCUCGAACGCGCGCACAUCCUUCUACUUGGUCGAUUUUAUAAUGCGAUAUCCCAGGACUAUGUAUCGCCGACCCUUUAUUUUUAUUAAGCACAUGCGGAAGCAGUUAUAAAUCCCCAGACAAUAAAACAAUGGGAUAGGAAAGUAGGCCAUAUUUUUCAUAUUGAAAUUCACAACCACACUUUCAUUUACAGCACAACUCAUAGAGUAUUUACAAUACUAUUUACAACAUAAAAGUCUCACACCUAUCUAUACCAAGACAGGGUCACAAAAGGGAUGGGAUCUCAAUCCACAUCCGGGUUAUAAUCAAGAUCCCUCUCUGGAUCAUCUUCUACUUCAAAAUACUUUCUCCUUCCUCAGCUUCUCCUUCCUCAGCUUUUCCUCAGGGUCCUGAAAUGGUUAUUCAAUAACCAAUGAGACCACGUCUCAGCGAGUCCUACCCACUAAGACUCGAUUAAUAAACUAAUACGCCAUCCGGUUGCCUAAGCACAACACGAGUCAGAGGACUUACCUUAGCCUCAGUUCCAACCUGCAAUUCAAGGUUAAACACAGAUAUUCAAACAAUUCACGACAUACGAUCAAACAUUGGCCAAUCGACUAAGUCGAUUACAUGUCAAUUAGACCCUCUCUCGGUCAUUCCCACUCGUACCACGCUUUCUCAGUGGUGUACUCAUUCACCAAAUCACAUGUGUUUCUCGGGCGUCGUUUUCGCCAAUGACAUACCGAUCACCGACACCGUGCGUUCUUUAAGGCGCCGUUUUCACCAGUGAUAACCUUGAUCACCGAACCACGUGUCUUCUCAAGGGCGCCGUUUUCGCCAAGGUGACAUCGGCUAUAGACAACAUCGUGCGUUCUUUAAGGCGCCGUUUUCACCAGUGAUAUUCCCAUAACCACCGAACCACGUGUGUCUAUAAGUCAUUUACGUGCGUUCUUUAAGGCGCCGUUUUCGCCAGUGAUACUUCCAAUCACCGAACCACGUAUGUCCAAUAACAUCGUACCUGAUUGGUCUCACCAUUCUCCCUACUAUAUAGCCCAUCAACGUACUGGCGCUAUAUAUCCAUACUCAGUCAUCCAUCAAUCAAAUAUUCAAUCACAAACAAUUUAGGAUAAUUCCUAAAAUUCCACAAUAAAUUCAAUUCCACACAACGUAGAGCUCAAAUAAAUAAACGGACUACACCACGACAAUCAGCACGAAAUUCCGGUCACCGGCCAUCCCGGUUGAAUUUCCGGAAAAAUAAUUAAUUAAAUAAAUAAAUUUCGAAAAUAAAUAAAUAAACAUUAAAAAUCCAAUUUAGGCCUAUAUUGCCUUAUUGGAGCCCGAAACGGGUCGGGAAAAAUCCCGAGAUGCAUUCAAUAAAUCACCAAAUAUUUGUACUUGCUAAUAACUAGGUCUAACCACCUAACAUGCAUCAUUAAGUCACUAAAUUAAUUACUCUAACCUAAUCUAACCACCUAAGUGCAUGUAAUUAAAUCUAACCAACCCUAAGACAUAAUUAGCAAAUUAAUAAAGCAUUAGUGAGUAAAACUCACUUGACAAAAGCGGAGAUCGAAUCACCGCAACGGCGACGCGACGGCGGCCGAAAAGCCGAACUUUCGGCGGCGAUGACAAACACACGGACCGGGCCUAAAAGCCUCGCAAGCUUGCAGAAAUUUCUAGGCUUGGGCUUGGCUCCGCGGGCUUCAAAAACUGGGCUUGAAAUAAAACUGAAUUGGGCCUGACUUUGCUGGGCCCAAAAAUUUGAAAUUGCUGGGCUUUCCAAUCCAAUUGAUGCUGGGCUUCAAGACUAGGACAGAAUUGGACUGGGCUUGAACUUGGGCUAAACUGAUGCUGGAACUUACAAGCUGAUGGGCCAAAAUUGCUGUAACUGAACUUGCGUGGGCUGGAUGCUGGGCCGUGUUUGAUGGAGAUGGGCUCACGAAACUCGCUGGAUGUCGUGGCUGGAGAAACUCGCUGGAUGUCGUGGCUGGAGACGCGGACGAAGGGAGCUCCUUCGUUUGAGGUUGGCGCGGCAAGGUUGAAGCAGAGACCAACCUUGGUGGAGAAGGGACAAUUUCUCGCGGACGGAUGCUGGCUUCCUCGGUGGUUUCAUUCGGUGGUCAACAAGGUGGAGAGAACCUGCUUUUGUUGACCGUGGAGUUGCAGGCCAUGGACGCGUGGAGAGGAGAAGAGAGCUUCGGUGAGUGGGGUCUUCGUGGAGUCUUCAACGUGGAGAAGAAUGUUGACCGAAGAAGUGGAAGACGCCUGGCAGCUUGCAGGUGUUGUUGGCGACGGAUCUUUGCACGGAUGAGGGGCUGUUUCGCUGGAGAUUGACCGAUGGAGAUGGGAAUUGAUUUGUUGCCGACAAAUCCCAGUGGAGGACGCGGCUUCGGUCUUCAGUGCAGCUGGUCUAUCGAUCUUCAAGCAGCGGUAAUGGAAAGCAAAAAAGGGAGGUUGUCGCACGAAAUGGGAAAUGAUGGAAUGGAAGCAUCUCACGGCAACAAUUUGGAGAGGAUGAGGGAGAGGUGGGCCUUAGCUUGAUAUUUUGCAAUAAUAUCUUCCAUGAAUCAUUCUUAGCCAAGUAAAAACACUUGGCCUUCAUUAGACCAUCCAAAUGACCCCCAUAACCUCUCAACUAGUCCAAUAAUGCUAGGGUGAGAGGGUGAUACGAAUUUCACCAUUUGAACUUCAAUUUCUCCCAUAAAUUCCCAAAUUGAGAUCCAAUUUCAAUGUAGAAAAAUCCCAAAUGAUUUUCUAUAAAUCCCCGAUACACAAUGGCUUAGCUUGAAAGCCCAAGUUCCCAUUAAUUUAGCCAAUCUGAACUUUUGCCAAUUUCCGCGACGUCCGAAUCCAAUUUCCGUAAAAAUCUCGGGACCUCCGAAAAUCUUCUGAGACUGAGUCGAUGCUCCUAAAAUAGCUUGUGACAUCACUGAACUUUCGAUUUCUGAAAUAUGACUCAAAUCGACGGUUAAUUUCACUCCGGCGUGCUUUUAGUGUGACCUAGACUACCGGGUAGUUUUCAGAACUUUUUAGGGCAAUUGACUCGUGGUCGAUUUUCUUCGAGCCACAAUGAACCCACUCGACACAUUGGCGACUCUCAAUUGUCGUGAAAAUCUCGAGGGCUCGAUUACCAACACAGGGUACCAAAACGACAGAAAAUCAAAUUAGUGCCGGUCGACGAGAAUUUUCCAAUUUAGUGGAGUCACCCACGAUCGGCCACACAUCUCAGUCGAACCGACCUAUCUCUGAUCUCAGUUCGAUCUUUAACUGUGCAGUAAUGACCUCUAAAGAUGGACACGGUCGAGAAGCCGCUUCCUGGUCGAAUUCUCAAGUCUAUUGCCUUAAUAUUCUUUAAUGGCUUACCCAGCUAGUCUAGUUAUCUCGAGAGUGAUCAGCUCUGAGAACAACCCUAUAGACACGUCAAUGAAAUGCCCGAUUAAUUUAAUAGAAAACGAUACUGAAAAUUCUGGAUGUCACAACUCUUCCCCUAUACCACUUCAAUUUCCCAUUAAUUUCGUAAGAAAUCUCAUCUAAUUUUUUUCUCGCGACAUGCUUGUUUUGAUAUAUCAUUUUAAACAAUUUUGCCAAAUGGUGUUACGUCUCUAAUCAAAGUAAAAAUUAGAUAGUUGUUUAUUUUGGAAAUAUACAUGUGUCUUCCUAAUAAGGCCUCUCAGAAUAUUGAAAGACUAGCUAAAAUGGAUCAAGAUACUAUAUAAGCCAAAAUCAAACAAUAGACUUCAAGUCUCAAAAACUGGUUAAGUCCUAACUUAUGACUAUGUAGGUAGCCAAGACCUACGGUAUCCUGUUUGAGAACAACUAGCAGAAGUGAAGAACAAGGGAUGAUUCAAGAGUGUGAAUGGUGUAAUAAGAACUUUUUGUAGAGAACAAUCCUCAAUUCUCCACAUUUAUAGGUAGUGUUGAUAAAUCGAUUGUUCAUCAAACUUGGGUGCUAAUAUGCACGAGACAAAUUUAUACACCACACAUGCCUUUAUCAAAUUCAUGCACGACUCCUUCACGUGGAAGGAGUUGAAAAAGAAAGAGGAAUGAACGUGAAAAAAUUGUAGCCCAACCCCAAACGCGACGACUUAAUCAUAAGCGGGUCACACUAUUUUUCAUGAGUUAACAAAUUUGAUUUGCAUUGUGAGCAGAUUCUUGGUGAGCUUGUAUCCUACAUAUAUUGCUACCUCAUGCGUAGAUAUUUCCUGAUUUCCAGCACGCCGGUAAGAUAGCAACGACAGGCCUAUAUACGUAUCCAAACUGAAUAGUUUUGGUUCAAACUUAACCUUCCACGGUGAACGUGAGACCGUAACGUCAGAGGGGGAAUCACGUUUGAUUUUUCCUCUCUAUCCUCUUGAUAUGCGAAGGCAAAAAUCGCAGCCCAUCAAGAGUCGGUUGCGUCGGGCAGCAAGGCCAGGUCGGACCACCUCUAAUUAUCAAGCCGCAGCUCGCAUCUCGCGCGGGAGCCGACGCUGCCUUCAAUUCGGCGGCAGGGAAAAUGAAAAUACAAUUUUGCCCCUCCUCUCUGACUGGCGGGGAAUCUUCGCGCCACUCGCAUGCAGCGAAAAAUGAAAAGAACAACCGAAAGGAAAAAACCACACCCCAAAAGAUAAAAAGGAAAACCAAGAAAAAAUUUAAAACAAAAAUACAAAAAGGCGCAAAAAACCCUCCUCUGUUUCCUUCAGUUUCCGACUCCGAAUAUCCCACCAGCCCCCUCCAACUCUCUCCUCCCAUUUUUAUUUCAGAUCUCUCUCUCUCUAGAACGAGCAGCGAGAACCUGGAUUGGUUGGUCUCUGCCAAAAUAGGUUCUUUAGCACUGCCAUGGCCAAGCCCUCGAACCAACAGGUGUCGUCCGAUGCCUCCAAGGAGGAGGAGGAGGAAGAGGAGGAGCAGCAGCAGCAGCUCAACGAUUGUUGUUUCUGCGGAGGUGGACCACUUGCGCUAGUGCAAAACGAUUGACGCACUUGCGUUUGCCCUGUGUGUGGUGACGGUUGCUACCAUCGUUGUUUCUGCUAUUCCGUUCAAAGAUUUCUUCCAAAGGAGUAAGAUCACUUGGGAUGGGCAGUCCAAUAAUGAUGCUGCUAUAUAAACCAUGGAGCAGCGUGAACGGUGAAAUGAUUUGUGAUUAUUAGUUCGAUGACCUUGAACACCUGAUUUCAUAUCCAAAGGCAUUAAUAACCGAUCAGAAGCUAAUGAGAGAAGGCAGCAUAUGCCCACAAAAUCUCACCUGAAGAAAUUGGCCAUUCAAUACUGAGGACCUAUUCUUUAAGCAGCAUUAGCAACAGUGUCAUAUUAAAAUGUAAUGCUCCUCUUUCCCAUAAGGCUACUUCACUUAAACCUACAAGCUACAGUCCAUUACUCAACUGAAAAAAAGCUGAAUAUCUGCUAGUCAAUUACUGUGAGAUACUCGACGAAUUUAAUCCCCAAAGUAGAAACAGCAGGUUGAAAUUCUCAUGUCGAACAAAUAUAAGGAAAUUUGAUUGAUCUGACCCUAUUCUAAUGGUAGCAUUGAUCCAAACCCGCUAAUCCAAGACCUUAACAAAAUCAAUUAAAUACAACAUAGCGCUGUCAGUCAUAUGCUUUGAAAACAUUCAAAUCUACACCUAAGGGAUCAUUUAGCUAUAGUUUGCCUCCAUUCGAUCAGGCACUAUAGCUCCACCACACGGUCAAUGAUUUCCCCCAACCCCAAAAUGCCUAAUUAGCCAAAUUCAUUACACAUAUCUCACUUCCCCAAGCUCAAAACCGAUGUAUUCGAUACUAGAACUUGUCCACACGAACCUUUUCAUGAUCCGGACUCUCAAUCCGAAUCAAGUCAAGGAUUGCAACCAUAACUGAUUACAUGAACACAAAUUGCAAUGAAGCAUUGUCAGAUCGAGGGACAGAUCGAACAGCGUCGUCAAGGGAAAAAAAGUGACAUCGCACAACAAAAGAAAUUUCAAUCUCCGUACCUUUCCAUAUACGCACAACGAUCACACUCGAUCAAAUGGCGCGAUCGCCCCACGAGAUGGAGAGGUUGAUUGUGGUCUUUGAUCUUGUAAGUUCGUAGACUCUACAGUGAUUUUCGCAACGGAUAGCAAUCGAAAGCUCCAGCAACUUGGGGGGAAAGGAAGGAGGGGGACGAUGGAUUUGCUGAUUUUCCUGGCGCUUGCUCUCUCGGUGGGCAUAUUCGGUGUCACGUUCGGUGAUUUUGUCGUUUCCGUGAGGGCAAUGUAGGAAGUUUAGCUAAAAUGAGACGUGCUCCUGGACAAGUUUGCGUUCUCCCUCUCUCCUCGUUUAGCGGUUCCUUUGAUGUCUUUCGAAUGGGCACUUCGACUCAGCAUGGUUCAAUUAAGUCGAUGUUACUUAUCCAUUCAUGGAUAUUGGUGGAGGUAUAUAAAAAUGCGAUUACUCUAUUAUGAUCGCAAGAAGCUUGAGUUAAAUAUUUUUGAUUCCAAGCUCGUAUCAAUCUCAAACUAGAAUUAUGCAAAUCUUUUCUUUGAAUUCGAAAAGAAUAUGAUUCAACAUAUGUGGCAAGUGAGCUGAGCUUAAUUAUGGAUUAUGGAACCCCCCAUCUCUCGUGCUGAGAGAAAGUUUGAGAACGCAACUUGCCAUGAUGUAUUAAUUCUUGAAUAUGCGUCGAAGCUUAUAUGGAAGUGGAUUCAAUAGUUUUUACUUUUUUAUAGAUCAAAUGUAAAUAUAAUAGUUUAGUGAACUUAUACACUUACCGAUGGAUCGAGUGGUUAUGACUCAAAUAAAAUAUUUGGAACGGAUAUAACACUUUAUGUAACAAAAAAAAUGGAUAAAUCAUAUUGAUCAUCUCUUCUGAUAUCUUUUUUUAUUUAUAAGGGAAAAAGAAAAACGCAACCCAUUUUGACUCAAGCAGGGAGGCCAAGUCGGAUCACCCCCAAUCCUCAUGCAGCUCAACGAUUGUUGUUUCUGCUGAGGUUGGCCACUCGUACUCACUUGAGGUUGCCCUGUGUGUGGCGACGGUUGCUACCAUCGUUGUUUUUGCCGUUCUGUUCCAAGAUCUCUUCCAGAGAAGAGUGAAAGCAGCAAGUAAUAUCACCGGAGAGGGCAAUCCAAAAGAACAGAUUGCUGCAGUGCUAUGGAACAUCUGGAAAGCACGGAAUGACUCCAUCUUUCGCGGUAAGAUCCCACAACCGACAGCCAUGGUAGAUCUGGCACUAGCGCAGCAAGUAAAAUUCAGCAGAUGGCAGAACAAGGAAGGGCAGAAACCCAUUAAUCGAAACCUACCCACCAGAUGGAAGCCACCGGAACAAGGAAAACUUAAGCUGAACGUCGAUGCCUCGUGGUCUCCGGGCGAUUUCUCAGGAUCAGCUGCUGGUAUACUGCGCGACUCGUCGGGGACGGUGGCCGACGGCUUUGUGGUGCCGAUCCGGGCUCUCUCUCCCCAGCACGCCGAAGCCCUAGCUCUGUUGCAGGGGUUGAAGUUCUUGAACCAAACUGAAGCUACGCACGUGGGACUGGGUGUCGUCCAAAGCAGCGGAUGUACAGUUGAAAGUGAUAGUUUAAUCUCGGUGGAUGCUGUGAUGGGCCGGGCCGAAUCCUCCUGGGACAUAAAAGCAAUUAUUGAACAGUGCAAAGAAGAGCUUCUUUUUAUUAAGUCAGUCAAGGGCGUAGCCGUAACGGUCGAGCAUUGUCUCCGCGAAGCAAACCGAGCUGCAGAUUGGCUCGCAAACUCCCACCGGUCCAAAAAUCUUCCUGCAAACUGGGUGAAUUAUCCUCCUCUUUUCCUUUUGGAAAUUCUAUGUUCAGAAUUUUACCCAUCGUUGACUUGUAAGGCUCGUUUAGUACAAUGAAUGAAUGCAAAAUCCUGAUUUCGACCAAAAAAAAAAAUAAUAAUAAUGAUACUGCCAUAAAACCAUGGAGCAGCGUGAACGAAGAAAUGAUUUUGAAUAGAAUGACGAAACAAGGAUAAGAUGUCCCUCAAAAGUGUUCUUACUGGUAGAUGAAUCCAACGCUGGAUAACUCAGUUACUACCUCCUCUUAGACAAGCUACCAAGAUGGAAGGGAAAGUCUGACAUGGAUUUCUGCCUACAAAGGGAUUGCUGCAUGACCUCAAUAAAGCAUAUGCUUGAAUGUCAAGGAUUGAAGAGUCUACAAAUUCUCUGUGCUUGACAUGGACUCCUGCCUUAAUUGAGUAUUCUGCAGUCAUAGAAAUUCCAAGCUUUGAGAGUCUGGAAAGUCUUAGAACUUUGGAGCUGAACAAACUCAACCAACUAGGCAAAUUGGAUGAUUUGAGUGGCUUGAAGAAACUAAUGGCUUUUCUUUUACAUCAUUGUGGUAAUCCGGUCGACUGAAUUUGUUGGAAAAUUUAUGGAUCUCCACCGCCAACUCACUCCUGAAGUUUCCUAAUGUAUUAACGUUAAAGAAAUUAAAACGGAUAGGUAUACUUCACCAUAGGUGAUUUGGAAAUUCACCACAUUAUGUAGUUGCUUGAUCGAACUUGGCGAGUUUCUGCAAGAGAGAAAACAAUGGAUACCUGCUCUGUUGAGUACUUUUUUCUGAUAAGAAGUGCCUCCUAUUCUAUUACAGAUAUAAAUUACUCAGAGGUUUAUGUAAAUUUUCCCUUCAUGUGCACUUCACAUGUCGACUUCUUAUAUGGUUUUGUAAUUCUAUAUACCCUUAUUCAGGUCUUCUUUGUUUUAAUUGGUUUGGUUAAAAUGUUUCAGUGGCUUUGAAUUGCUAAUUAACUUACCCAGUGAGGUCGAGUCAAUUUGUAUAACUUCUAAGUGCAUUAUCUUGUUAAUUUACUAUAUGGUGAUUUAUCGGAGAAAUCCUUAAAAUUGUUGCUUCAUAUUACUAAAUCUGAAGUUGUUCGAUGCCCAUGCUUCACGCAGGAGAAUGUUAACUUCAUCACACUGUAGAAAAUAAAUAUUUGUUAUAAAAAGUGUGAAAUAUCUCAGCACUGAGGGCAUCACCUCUCCGAGAAUAACCUACUCAAAAAUGCAAUGUAAAGAAGAUAAAUACUCUACAUCGAUUAACGCAUGUCCAGUUUGUUUUUCGGGUAGAGCAUUGCUCUUAAGUUGGAUUCACAUGAGUUGAAGAGAAGGUGUAACGAUUCUUAACUAAAUUCAAAAAUGUUUCCCAUUGCAAAUGGACUUGUUUUUACAUAUCCAAUGUUGAGGUAAAUCUGAAAUAAUAGCAACCCAAAUCAUUUAAUUUCCAAUGAACAGAAGUGUGGCAAAAAAAAUUCCAAUUUUAAAAAUUUAACAUGGAAUUGUCUCACGCUGACCGCAAGUUCUUAUCCUUUCACCUUUUUUUUUUUAAAUACAUAAUCCCAAGCAUUAAUUGAGAGAGUGAGAAGCCACACCUCCAAAAAUAUUAUCUGAAAUAGAGAACUUUCAUACUUGAGAUUGGGGGGAGUCAAUAUUCUUUUUAAUCGUCAUAGUCAUUGGAGAGGCUCCACUCAACUUUUGCUGGUCAUUGGAGAGGCAUUUGAGUUCAAUCGUGAAUUUGGACAUGCUAAUUGAAUUGGAUUUCAAAUGAGAUCUAAUAGGUCACGUCAAGUUCAUGAGCUUAUUCACCACACUUGUUAGUGGCUCAAAGUUUUAAUACAAUACUUUAGAAUAAUAUUUGUCAUCUACAUCAACACAAGACUGUACUUAGACAUUGGUUUUGUGUGCUCUAUUUUAAUAGUAUUUUGUAUAAUAAUAAGCACAAAGCAUGGAUUUUGUGUCCAACCACAAUGCUUUGUGAGGAGCAAUUUAUUGACACUAACGAGGGGUUUAGUGCGAACUCCUCAGUUAAUACCUUGAUCAAGAGAAAGAGAGUUGUGAUAUGUACAGGCAAAGACAUGAGUGUGCCUUGUGUAGUGCCAUUCCUACAAUAUGGGGGCAAGUGUGUGGGCAUUAUAAAGACAAGUGUUGUCAAAAAAAUCCAAUUGAAGAUAAAGUUACAAUUUACGGUCGGUUAAGCAUAAAGUAACCCCAUAAAGAGCAAAUAAGUUAAAAUUCAAUAAUACAAAAAGAACCUGAAGAGUUUCUUUUAAUAUUAUGUUUUAGACACCGAAAGUGACUAAACUGCUCCCCCGUCUCUUUAGAAUUUCACUUUUUUUUUAUUUGGGUUAAUACCCUGAAAAAUCACAAACUGGUACACUUGUGAUAAAUUUACCCAAAACUAUUUUUUUGACCAUGAAAAACCCCAAACUGGUAUAUCUGUGACAAAUUUACCCUGACUGACUAUAAAAAACUAUAAACUUGUACAUUUAUGACAAAUUUACCCCAAACUAAUUUAUUCGAUUGCAAAAAACCCCAAAUUAGUAAAUUUGUGACAAAUAUACCCUAUGCCAAAUUGGAUUAAUACCACACAAAAAAUUACAAAAACUGUAAACUGUGACAAAUGAAGCGUAAAAUCCUAAAUUGGUAUAUCGGUCAACUGUCACAUGUCAUUUAACUUAAUAAUUUGAGAAUAAAAUUUAACAAAAACUAACAGAGGUAAAUUUAUCACAAGUGUACCAGUUUGAGGUAAUUUUAUCAAGGAUAUACCAGUUUGGGGUUUUUUAUGGUAAAAAAAAAUAGUUUGGGGUAAAUUUAUCACAAGCGUACCAGUUUGGGAUUUUUCAAGGUAUUAACCAUUUUUAUUUUCUUCUUUUGGAAUUUGAAUUCCACUAAUUUAUUUACCUCGCAAUCGUACUUCUCCCCCAUCAGAACGUGAGCUUGGACAACCAAUCAAAGGCCAGGCAUCCUUUUCUAUGGGAUUUAGCCCCAUCAAUCUGCAAAGCGUCUCUAGUACAAUGGGCCAAGGAUGAAUCAGCAAAGCCCAUAAGCUUUUCUCUUCGCUGCACCGAUGAGCGCUUCGCCGUCCCCAAAGCCAUGCAUCUCUUAUCAAAGCCGGAGGAGUCCAAACUCUAAGUUGAAGUCUGAGACUGCUUCGUGUGCUGAGAAACUCUGACGGUUUUCUACUAGAGCCUUUGCUUCCGCCGGAGCUGCUGCUGAAGUUGGGCGCCCGGAUCUCGCGAACCCGUCCGCCGAAAUGCCACCGCGGCCUCGGCACGCGCGGCUGAUCGCUCCCUCCGUCGAGCCCCCGCUGAAGGAUCCCGUCGAUAUUUCUCCUCGAGAGCUUUUUGCCGCAGUCGGAGCCAUAUCUGAGGUUAGUGUCCAAGGGCCCACUUUUGGUGUUUAGAAAGAACCCUAGCAUUUUGUCAGCUUUGACGGGCGGCAAUGAAUCAUUCUUAGUACGGAGAUCUCUCCAUUUCGCUAGUUCUUUGGCUUCCGAGUUUUUCCCAUCUCAGGCUGCCACUGCUUUUGCUGAUAUCCUGUUUCGACUUCUUUUUUUGCUUUGAAUAGGAGAUCAAGCGAGAUUAAUGGAGGGGAGUGCAAAUGGACGGCGCGUGUAUGGAAAUGAUGGAGCAGCAAAAGGCGCUUCUGGUACUCACGCUUCAACAGAAGGUCAAGAAGUGGCUACUUCAUCGGGAUAUGACCAUAAAGUAUUCUUGAGCUUCAGAGGACUGGAUACUCGAGCAGGUUUUACCGACCACCUUUACACUAGGCUUAAUGAUGUGGGAGUCCACACUUUUAAGGACGAUGAAGAUCUCCGCAUUGUGGAAGAGUUUGCCUCAGAACUUCUCCAAGCAAUUAAACAGUCGAAGAUCUUAAUACCUAUAUUUUCGAAAGGUUAUACUUCUAGCGUAUGGUGUAUGAAGGAGCUAGUCCAGAUGGUCGAGUGCCGGAAAAAUGGAAGACAAAAGAUCAUGCCCAUUUUUUUAUGACGUGGCACCUUCAGAGGUUCGACACCAAAUUGGAGGUUAUGCAGAGGCCUUUCGUUCACAUGAAAAGAAGCAGAGAAGUUUAAACGAAUUGAGGGAGAAGACGAUGGACAAGUGCACCUUGCACUUCAAAGAUUCUUGAUCCAAUACCACAAAUUGUUCACUUGUGUUCAAACUUUAAACGAAUUGAGGUAACUUAUUUCAUCCGACAGCCUAUGUUUUCCCUUUUCUACAAUUAAUGUUUUUUCACAGAUAUGAACGGAGAAGUUUCACAUGCACUUUUUAUUACCUUCUCACUGAAAAUCUGAUGAAGGUAUUGAAAUUAUGAUACCUCUGUACAACCAGAGGUUUCUUAAUUAUGUACUAGCAUUUUCCUAGUUUGGUUUGGCUUUUUUUGGCUAUAUUUUCUUUGGAUGGUUUCUCUGUGCAUUUAUGUUUCCCAGCUGGAGUUAUACAUGUCGAUUGCAUCGUUUUUAUUUGAUUGACAAAUUAUAAGAGGUCCUUGUCAAUUUGCUAUUUCACUUAUGUCAAAGUUGAUAACCUCGCUUCACUUUGGAGAGAACUUUGUUAUGUUGUAAACCACUAGAUGGAAUGGGUGUUGGAAGGUCAUAGCAAUAUGGUUCUCAUCCUGGAACUUUACAGCAUAAUCAACUCAUUGUUGCAACUGUGAAGUGGGCAGACCGUCCAUAUUGAUAUGCUUAAGUUCAGUUUAUUCUAGGAAAGAUGUGCUUCUUAGUGGGAUUUGCAAAUGUUACAGAGAAGUUAUAAAAUAAAAGAUGAAUUUCACUUGAGUAGUGGCAUCAAUAGUUGGUGCAGCAAAACUUCCAUCUAUGACCAGAGAGGAGAACCACCAAUGGCUCACUUCUCCAAGGUAUCAUAAAUCAUCUCGGACAUAUGAUAAGUCUCAUGUCAAUGGACUCUUAUGUGAUCUCAAUUAUUGCCUGCAUUUUCUAGAAAUGGUUAUGCCUAGGUGAUUACCUGUCAUGGAAGCCCUUCCAUUCACCUCAAGCUAUACUAGAGGACUCUUUUAGGUUUUAAGAUUGACAAGAAGUGCUCAGGGAGACAUCUAAAACAACCAGCUUCUGGCUGGUUCCUAAUGUUGCUGAGAGGAAUUAGAGUUUGAAAAUUUUACAGAAAUCUUUCUGUGCAGGGAGUUGUGGCUAAUUGGGCAGCUAUACAAAUGAAGACCGAAAAAAGGAAAAUGAAGAUGACAUUCAGAGUGAAGUUUUACAUCCACUUUAUAAUUACUUUGGGAGUUGAUGCCUGGAAAUCUGAAGAAGGUAUUGAAAUUAUGUACCUAUGUAGAACCAAAGGGUUCUUAAUUAUGUGCAAACAUAUGUUUUCUUUUCUUAGUUUGGUUUGGCUGUUCUAGCUAUAUUCUCUUUGGAUGGUUUCUCCUUGCUUUUUUGUUUCCCAGCUGGAGGUAUGCAUGUCGAUUGCAUUGUUAUUAUCUGAUUUAUGACAAUUCAAUGGAGAUCCUCAUCGAUUUGCUGCUUCACAUAUUUUGAAGUUAAUACCCUCUGCUUUGCAUUGGAGAUAACUUUGCUCUACUAUAAAUGGGAUGUGUCUUGGAAGGUCAUAGCACUAUGAUUCUCAUCGUGGAAUUUUACAGCAUAAUCAACUCAUUGUUGCAACUAUGAUGAGCCAGACUCUGUAUUGAUAUGCAUAUGUUCAGUUCAUUUUACAAGAAAGGCGUGCUUCUUGGAAGGAUUUGCAAAUGUUAUGGAGAAGUUAUAAAAUGAAGAAAGAGGAAUUUCACCUGGUUAGCGGCAUCAAUUGUUGGUGCAGCAAGGGUUCCAUCUGUGAUAGGAGAGCAGAACUAUUUAGCUUCUCCAAGAUAUCAUAAGUCAUCAUAAUGUUAGGCUAAAUUUCGGUAUUAUCAGUGCAUAUGAUGAGUCUCACUUGGGGUCUGAAAUCAUGUAAAUCGACCCUUGUGUGAUCUCCAUCACUGCCUCCAUUUUCUCGAAAUGGUUAUGCCUAGGUGGUUAUAUGUAAUAGACGCCUUUCAUUCACCUCAAGUUAUGUUAGAUGACUCUUUUGGUUUAAGGAUUGACAAGAAGUGCUAAGGGAGACAUCUCAAAUGACUGGCUUCUUGCUGGUUUCUAAUGUUGCUGAUAGAUAUUAAUGUUUAAGAAAAUUACAAACAUUUUUCUUACGUUUUUGGGCAGUUGUAUAGAUGGAGACCGAAGAAAGGCAGAUGAUGGAUGAAACUUGAUGUUGACCGGAUUCCCACUCAUAUUCUUGGGGUGGUAUGCCCUGUAUUCAUCUGUUUUGGCAUCAUGUUUUUUUCCUUUAUUUGGGCCCACAAAAAUGAUUAUUACAUUUCAACUUAAUGUGUUUUCUGUUCAUUGUUAUGCAAUAGAACUUGCUUAUCAGUAACCAAAUGUUAUUUUAUGAGAAAACACCUGAAGGGCUUGUCUGGAUUGGGAGAAAAAUUGUGUGUGUUGUGCUUGAGGUAGUCUUAGUUGCUCCUGCCAAAACCAGUUCAUGGACCUCUCGAUGUGAAAAUGGUGUUCAAGGUAGUCUUAGUCAUGAGUAUGAUAGGCACUCACAACACAAGAAUUAUGGAUUGUGGGAAUUCAUGGAAUGGACUGUGUUGGAGAGACAACUCUUGCUUAGCUUGUCUACAAUCAGCCUGCACAUGGUUUUGCUGCUUUUUUUUUUUCCUAGCAUCCGUUAAACUUCAGAGCUCAAGGGCAUCCAGUUCUUGUGGAAUAACUCAUCGCCAAUAUCCUCAAAAGGAAAUUGACAGAAAUAAGUGAUGUUUAUGAAGAGAUCGAGACAAUUAAAGAUAGGCUUUUUAGUAAAAGAGUUCUUGUCCUUUUUGAUGAUGUUGACCAGAAGAAUCAAUUUGAUGCACUCGUGGGUAACAUCUGUGAUAUUUGGGCAUUACUGAAUUCUUCAAUGCGGAAUAUCAAGCGUUGAAGGAUCUUGAAAUUCUCAGUGUUUUUUUUUUCUCAUUGAAUAUAGGUGCUUUUUGUUGAUCGAAGGUGCUGCCAUCUUGAAAUACUUUGCAGAAAGGGAUGACAUGUGGGAGGCCUCUGAUCGUUUCAACUUGAAAAGGUUCAAAUUAGGCAAUGUCUGGCUUGCUUAGAAGAUUCAGCCAUUUCUUGAAAAAUUUAGGAGAUAAUGUCAGCAGAGGAGUUCACUAUCCAAUAAGAAGUGGAUGUGGUUCUUGAAAGGUCCUGCUUUCCUAACCAAGUCUGUUGUCAAUGAAGAUUUAAAACUUAAAGAAAUUGCUUAUUGCCCUAUGUCAUCUCAGCAGAAAUUCAUUGUUGUCUUUCCUGGGAUCGUUAUCUGUUAUACACAAAUUAACUCCACACUUUGGCAGGUUGACUUGAAAUCUAUUGUUCUUGUAGGUAUAGUCAUUACUGGCCAAUUUUGCAACCGUAUUCUACCUUUAAGAUGGAUUGUUGUAUACUGUUCACAAAAUGGGACCAUGUUUUCUUUUGAUCUAUUUCAUGAGUUUGAUUUGGUUUUUUUGGGGUGGGGGGGGGGGGGUGUUGAAGGUUGGCUAAUUGAGUUACCAGUAAAAGACAAGUCAAAUUGAUGCUAUGCUACUACAUUCAAGUACAUUAUAGUGCUACUACAGUCGAGUGCAUUACUUUUAUCAAUUUACGUGUUGGUCAUUUAUGUGAGAGAUUGGAACUUGCUGGUCUGUACUUUAAAUUUGAACCUUUUAACCAUGCCUUGUGAAACUCAACUUUGUUAUGCCUCAAACAAUGAAGGAUAUAGUCAAACAUGUAGGUUUUAAUCCGUGACAAAAGCUCUUUCAUUCACUUUUGGUUACCUAGGAAUGGAGCUUUAGGUUUUGACAUUAGUAAGGAGAAUCGCUGAACAAUAAAAGAGUCCUAUAAGACUGCCUGAGCUAUUUCUCUUGGUAAUAAGUGAGAAAAACUUACGGGAUCUUUCUAUAAAGGUUAGCUGGGGCUAUUGCUAUUAACUCAUAGAUUUGACGAUAGUAUAUCUUUCCCAAUAUUUUAGUGCUAUACUUUGGCUUUUACUGUCAUGUACAAACUCCAGCUACCGUACAAUGUCAAAAGUUUAACUGUUCUCUUGCGCAAUGUGCUUUGAAUGGUCACAAUUGGCAAUUUUUGCUUUGAAAUGAUGAGGGAAUUUCAGUUUUUCCAGUUUCCACUAAUGUUAAUUCCAGCAUAUCAAAAAUAGAAGGUAAAAGCUUAUGGCUGUCAUUCCAAAGGCCGAUCAGAUCAUUCUUACAUGUCUAAGCCAAGAUGACAUAAAUUGUUUACCUCCUAAAAGUUGAAAUUCGGCCAAGCUUGCCAAUUGAAAUGAUGCAAACUUCAGACAAGAUCGUCAUUUGUUUCCAAGAUGGCUUGAUUUAACAGUUAAUCUACAUAAUUUCCUACUAGGGAACAGUUGAAGUACUUGGUUGCACCGAUUUGCCAAUGAGCCAGUAGUAGAAGAUAAGGUCACUGAUUAAAAAAUGUUCUCCCUAGACAAUCUUUAUUUCACCUUAUAAAACCGGUUAAUCAUGAAACCGUGCAAGUCUUACAGUUCCCAGUUCCCGAAUUCACACACAUCUGACAAUUUUGCGAAGUUCAACACGAGUUUAACCCACACCCCCCCCCCCCCCCCCCCCCCCCCCCCCCCAAAAAAAAAGGAAAAAAGCUGCGUGAUUCAACUAUGGAUAGCUCAGCUCAGCAUGCACACAUCAUUAUUAGGUUUUAUCGAGUCUGACAGGUAAACUAGCAAGCGCAUUCAUUCAAUAGAUAUCACAGACUAGUAUUUACGAGGAGGAUACAUGCAACUUCCUGCUUNNNNNNNNNNNNNNNNNNNNNNNNNNNNNNNNNNNNNNNNNNNNNNNNNNNNNNNNNNNNNNNNNNNNNNNNNNNNNNNNNNNNNNNNNNNNNNNNNNNNAAUUUCAGCAGAGAUCCUGUGCAUCUUGUGAUGGACAUGGAAGAAGAUUGAUGGAUGCAUUACGUGAAUAAAUUUCAUCUAGAGCUACAUAAUGAUCUUCAAGAAAUUAGGUGCUUACUUAGGAGCAUGUCACAUUAAGUUACUCUAGGCAUCGGAGUCUUGACAUUGCUUUAAUGCAGAAGCAAAAAGGACUCCUGGAAAGCGUAAGGUUUUCUUUGUCUUCGCUUCCAUAUUCCUUCAAUCAUGUGUCCAUGAUGAUCUUGCACAAUCCCCAUGUCUCCGCCAUUAAUUCUACACCAUAGUAGACUAAAUGGUCUGCGAGGCCGUUGCCGGUUACCAAUCUGCAGGAACACACUCUGAUGAGUCAUCCAUAAAUAUUUCCAGUAAUGAAGAACAGGCAUUCUUUAGAACAAGCUGGUCUAUCACAUGAGCUAUUGCACCUAGCAUGAUAAAUCCACAAAAUAAUUGCUUGUAACAGGUAGUUACGACUGAAACUACCUCCUUACCUGCUGCACAUUGGAUCUUUCUCUAGAGCCAUCACAAACUUUCUCGACCUGAUAAACCAAACUACCAAAUCCUAUAUUAUACAGCCACGCCUCCAAAAAAAGAAGGAUUCCAAUCACAUGUGAACAUUGACAUAGAAAAGAUUAAGAUUAUCACCAUACAAGCAGGCGGAAUCAAAUUAUUUUCACAUUAUCUCACGUCAAUAUGUUUAUCCAUGGCUGUCAUUGAGCUAAUCGACAAUAAUUAUAGGCAGUAGACAUGCAUAAUUUAUAUGAGUAAUACAUUGUAAUUGCACAGAACUUAAGACUAGGUGAUCAGCCAUCAUCAUCAUCAUCAUCAUCAUCAUAGAGAGAGAGUAAAUAAUUCACAUUAUUACGCAAAUUAAAUUUUGGAAUUGGUAUGAGAAACUCAUGAUAUAGGAAUGAGAAGAGUUCCUUAAAUAUUGUUAAAAAGGUCAUGAGUACUACGAAUUGCCCUACUUUGUUAAGAAGAUAAAAUAAACAAAACAGUUCAAAUUUAUACGCUGAAAAAAGUAGUAUGAAUAUUGUUGGAAAAGAUAAGACUUCUCCAGUUUAGAUAGGCUGAAAUAAAUGCAAAGCAAACGUCCAAUGCAGUCAGCGACAAUUCCCCAUAAUUUAUGUGAUAUUCCGUCAAGAUCAAAGUCAUAGCACCCUAGCGAAGUGAUGGUAUAUCUUCCAUGGAAACCAAGAAUAGUACGAAGGCAAAUGAGGCACAAUAUCAUGUCCAUUACGAGGUUGGGACACCUAGAGUGCCAUAACUUGGCACGGAGGGACACUUAAAUGCCAUAACUUUAAAAUGGUACACUUAAGUGCCAAUAUCGGAGUAAAAUGGGACACUUAAAGUGCCACUCCGGCGAAAAUCCGGCCAAAUGGCUGACGUGGCCAUUUUCCAGCAAGUUUGAUUCAAAACGGCGUCGUUUUUGCAUUUUCUCCGCCAUGUCAGUGUGCAAAACAACGCCGUUUUGGACCAAACUCGCCGGAAAGUCGCCAAGUCAGCCAUUUGGCCGGAUUUUCGCCGGAGUGGCACUUAAGUGUCCCAUUUAACUUCAAAAUUGACACUCAAGUGUACCAUUUUAAAGUUAUGGCACUUUAAGUGUCUCUCCAUACCAAGUUAUAGCACUUGGGCUGUUCUUCUGCCUGUCCAUUACUUAUAGGUAAUGUAUUUGGCAUGCAGUAGUAAGAAAAAAACAUUGCAUUGCCAAUAUAGGGUUGUGCAGAUGUCAAAACCUGGACAAUUUGUGCUUCUUGGUUUACCAGGAAAUUAAGCGUCCUUAGUUAUAUAAGUAAAUCAAGCGAGUGCUGGUUUGGAAAAAACAGCUUCUGCACACAUAAUUAGACAGCUAAAUUACUUAAUAAUUUCACAAGACGAAAGAGUACUAUGCAUCAAUAACCAUAUAUUGCAUUUCACAUACGAAGGUGAAGGAUGGAACAGCCCUUUCUCUCCAUAAGGUUGGAGGUCUAGCGUUACUGUCUAGAUCCCAUCCAUAAUUUUCCCAAAACCAAACCCCAUAGCCACAACAAAACCCACCAAGCCUCACCCCCACAAAAAGGUGUUAAUAAUAUGGAAUGGUGGGAUUGGGGGUGAAUUCACAACCAAUGCACAUUUAAAUGCUUCCACAAGAAGCACUUGGAUGUUGGUGAGGUGAGUCAUAUCCUGCCAAGAACAUAAACAAAAAAUUCCAGGUUCGUGGUGAAAUUGCCCCUUGAACCUCAAAACUUAUAGUCAUAAAUAGCAAAGGAGAAACUAAAUGUUAAAAAGGGCCAUGACGCAUGCAAAGGGCCACGACCCAUGGGCAUGAUAUCACAAUCAGCUCCGAACAAUUUUCAGCAAGAAACCAGCAAACAAAAAUGACAUUUUAAAUCAUCCAAAUGUCUGGACAAGAUGUAACUUAUGAUCUUAUUGUAGGCCACAUGAAUGUCUGUAUAAUCUGAGUCCAAUCCAAAGUUUGACCCUCAAAAAUCACAACUUGACAUGGAGAAGAGAAUUAAUGAGAUAUGACUUUGGGGUGGGCACCAUUUCUGGUACCAAUUCCACAACAGGUGCCUAGAAAACUCUGGACACUCUGUCCAGUAAAGCAGAGACAAAAGGCAUAACUUAGACAUUUUAGAAUUGGCUCCAGCCUACAACAUAUCUGGCCUGUAUUCAUACUGAAAAGGAGCUGCUUCUUUUGGUUAGAAAGAGACUGAUAGAAACAACACACAGAACACAGAUUUAGGAUCAAUAUAUUCUAGUUUAAAUUGCAUUAACCCUUCAAGAUCAAGUGCUUGCAAAAGCUAUAUAGCCAGACCAUAAACAUAUCAAUAUUCCCAUAAAGUUUCCAGCAAGUAAACUUUAUAAUGAUUAGUUGGAAGUCUUUAUCCACUAUAUAUGGGUAUUCAGUCAACUUGAAGCUCCAUGGCUUAACGUGUAAGAUAAUUCACACAACUAAAAACGUAGACCCUAGGUGGUUUAGGUAAAGGGAUGUUUGCAACCCAUUCUGCUUGUGUUUUGUCUAUGGGUCUAUUUACCAAAAAGACAAAAAAGAGAGAAAAAAAAAACAAGAUGCUGACUAAUUGUAAAUAUAAAUAUGAAGCCAUGGAAAGUUCAAGGUAUCCGGAGCUUAAACUCUUCAAGGCAGAGUCGGCAGGGAAUUCCAAGUAAUUCUUGACAGACCAAAACUGAAAAAAUGGAAGAACACAAUAGAGAAGAACCAAUAUCUGAACCACAACAAUUUUUUAACUGUGUUACCACAAGAUCAAAUCAGCAAAAGGAUGCUAUAUCCCCUCCCAUAGAAUGCCCUAUCACCAUGAUGUUGAUGUCUCUAUAUAAAUCCCUGGCUCUUUUAACAGCAUCCAAAGUACCAGGUUGAAUUGUUGUAUUGUGAUAAGCAUAGUAAAUCCAUGAUGAACGUAAGCAAAGACAACAAAAUAAGAAUGUGAUUCAUUCCAAAUCAGAAGUAUCCACAACUUAUCAUCUCUAGAACUCACCAUGGCACCACACAUGCCAGGGUAGUUUAUGUCAAGCUGUUUCCAAUAGAGAUCUUCAACCCAAUUCUAUUUGCUAUAGACAUAAAUAGAAGUAAUCACUAAAUGAAAAGCUCAAACAACUUUUCCAAGAACAAAAUUAGUGAAGUAUUUGAUCUCCUCAUGACAAAAUCUAAAAUUACAAGCACAUAACAUUCACGUCUUGAUGGAAAUGAUUCACUGUUUUCCCUUCUUAUGGACAGCAGACCCAUGUAUUUUGUGUACGCAUUCACUGGAGGCUACUCUUCUUAGCUUAAAUUUUCAUGAAAUCCUUCACGUGUCAAUGUAAGAGGAAUAAUCGCUAAAGUUAAAAUGCAUACCUAUGUUCUUGAGUACCUUUGAAAGCUAUAACUGCAGCGAUAAGGUCCUGGCUAUAUAUAUAUAUAUGAAUGAAAUAAAGACAAAAAAUUAGAUUAAAUUCAAACAUAAAGGCAUCACAAGCAUCGCAAAUUGGUCGCCACUGCGACACGAAUUAUAUACUUGUAAACAAUGCUGGACAUCAACUAUUAGUUCAAUGACUUCGAACCACUAAUUUUAGAUCCAAAGGCAUUAAUAACCAAUCAAAAGCUAAUAAGAGAAGGCAGCAUAUGCCUACAGAAUCUCAUAUCAAGAAUUGGCCAUUUAGUACAGAGGACCCAUUCUUUACGCAACCUUAGCACCAAUGUCAUAUUAAAACGUAGUCAAAUUACCUUUUCUUUCCAUCACAACUAGGACACAUCCAACUAAAAAGUUAUGUCAAAUUUGACAUGUAAACUUGCCAAAUAUAAAGCUCUGCAUCUAAUUACAAUGUUAUUGUAUUGAAAUGGUGAAACCUGAAGGGUAAUAACAACAAGCUCUAGGUAAAUGUGAAAAUCUUUAUAAUGAACAGUUACAGCAGAUGCAUACUCCACCACCAUCGUCGCAAGAGUGUGAUUGUAAAUAGCCGUAUGAGCCUUGGACCUCACUCUAGAUUCUGCAUUUACUAGUUGAGAAAAAUUUAGAUUGAAAAUGCAAUUACAAGCUCAUUCAAUUACAAGCAAAGAAGCAAGGCUGUUAUGCGUCUAGCAAACUAUUUCGACAAUCAGGGGGUAGGAACACUUCAAGGAAACAUCAACUCAAAACAAUAUUUCAGUAAAUUUCUACCCUUCCUCCUUCAUGAACUUAAAUAACCAUAUAUCAAUGCGAUGAAAGGCGAAAAAGUAAACAACAUAAGGUUCCUCUUUCCCAUAAAGUUAAUCCAUUGUAACCUACAAGCUACAGUCCAUUACUCGACGGGAGAAAAGCUGAAUAGCCGAUGGUCGAUCACCGUGCGAUACUCAAAAAAAUUUAUCCCCAAAGUAGAAACAGCAAGAUGAAAUCUGUAUCGAACAAAUAUAAGGAAAUUCAAUCGAUUUGACCAUAUUCCAGUGGUAGCAUUGAUCCAGACUUGGUAAUCCAAGAGCUUUACAAAUCCAACCAAAUACAACACGAUGCUCGCUCAGUCGCAUGUUUUGACAACAUCCAAAUCUACACCAGAGGGAUCAUUCGACUAUAGUUUGCCCCCAUUCAAUCAGGCACUACAGCUCCACAACACGGUCAACGAUUCCCCCCAACCCUGAAAUGCCUAAUCAGCCAAAUUCACUACACAAAUCUCACUUCCCCAGGCUCAAAACUGACGUACUCGAUACUAGAGUCUGUCCAUAUGAACCUUAUCACAAUCUAAACUCCCAAUCCGAAUCAAGUCAGAGGAUCACAACCAUAACUGAUUACAUGAACACGAGUUGCAAUGAAGCAGUAUCAGAACCACCAUCACCCUUAGCUCAACCAUGAUCAGUUCCGCUCCACAUUAUUCUGCAAGAGGGACGGAUCGAACAACGUCGUCAAAGGAAGGAAAAAAAAAAACGAUUUCGCGCCACAAAAGAAAUUCCAAUCUCCGCAACCUUUCCAUAUACGCAAAACGAUCACGCGCGAUCAAAUGGCGCGAUCACCCGGUGAGAUGGAGAGGUCGAUUGCGGUCUUUGUCCAUGUUGCUCGAAUUCAAACCUCGAAUCCUGGUCUUCGCAGCGUUCGUGGACUCUGUAGCGAUUUUCGCGACAAAUGGCGAUCGAAAGCUGCGGCGACUUGGGGGGAAAGGAGGGCGGGGAUGAGGAGUUCACCGAUUUUCCUGAUUUGCUCUCGGGCGCUUGUUCUAUUGGUGGGUAUAUUCGGUGUCAUGUCUGGUGAUUUUGACGUUUCUGUGAGGGCAAUGAAGGAAGUUUUGCUAAAAUGAGACGCGCUCCUGGACAAACUUGCGUUCUCUCUGUCUCUCUUGUUUUGGCGCUUCCUUUGGACCUUUGAUGUCUUUCAAAUGCGCACUUUGACUCAGCUUGGUUCAAUUAGUGGGUUCGAACUAGAAUUAUGAAAAAUGCACCAAAAUUGGAGUCAAUAUUACUUGUUUUUUGUUGAUAUUCAUGGAGGUAUAUAAAGAUGCGGAGUACUCUAGUAUGAUCAUAAGCUUAUUGAGAUAAAAUUUUUGCAAUUCCAAGCUCAAAUCUAUCUCAUAACUCGAAUUAUUCAAAACUUUUCUUUUGUUAAUAUUAUUCAAACUUGGAAAGAAUGCAAUUUGACAUGUGUGAAUCAAGCGGGGCUUAAUUAUGGAUUAUGGAACCACAAUUCAAGAACACGGCUUAUGAUGGCGUAUCGAUUCUUAAAUAUUUUUUGAAACUUUAUAGAAGUGGAUUUGAUAGUUUUUAUUUUUUUUAGAUAAAUGUACAUACAAUAGUUUGAGAUGAGUCGUUUUAUCUAAAAUUUACAAAGUAUUUAUAGCGCGAAUAUGAUUGGAUUGAUCACCAUAUUAUAAAAUGAUGCCAUCGCCAUCUCAUAAUUGCUUGAUUGAUAAAUGAGUAGUACAAUCCUAGGGAUUGAAAACUUUACUUUAUGUGGAAAAGAUUAUUAAAUAAAAGAAAAAUGUCCAUAAUCUUUGAGAACAAAAGCCAUUGGACUUUUUUCACGGGCUAUAUUUGAAGUAAAAAGAGUUGUGACCUCACGCAACAAAAGUCACGUAAUGUCAUUUUAAAAAUAUAAAAGAGUGUUAAAAUAUGUCUCGAGUUUAAGUCCAAUGUGAAAUUUCGAAUAUUCUCAAUUGAAUAUGUUACGGAUGUUCGAAGUUGAGCAAAGAAGAUCCGAAGAUCAACUUCCCAAAGUUUGAAUCUGCGUUGGAGAAUUGAGCCACUGAAAUAGGAAAGUUCAACUUUGACUUGGAUUUGGAUUUUGUUUAAAAUAUAUAGAGAUAUCUUUUGGAUAAAAUCGUUUUAGAUAGAAAACAGAAUUCUAUGAGAAGUUGGCAAAAGAAUAAAGAUUUUACUUAUAUAUAGACUUGUGACCGUGGGUGGUAAAGGUGGAUCACAAAUUGUCUUGAAGCGCCGCGUGAGUACUUGGUGUUCCACCGUUGAUCAUGAAGAAAAGUUCUUGAAGCGCUGUCUUGUCGUCGAGUGCUUGGGAGGGAUUUUCUUUGUCAUGAAUUACAUCCAAGGAAGUUUAGUGUUGAAACCAAUUAAAUCUUGCAAUAAGAUUUGCGUGUAAUUCCUUCGUGAGAUUGAGAGAUUAUUUCUUGAGGAAUUUCGGGGCUAAACACUGUAUGCGUUAUUGGGUGUAAUUGGAGCUUGGGAAACACCAAGAGAGUGUUUGAGUGACUUGAGUGUGUAAUUUCCUUGUAUUGCUUGAUCUAUAAUGAAAUUCACUGCUGCUCUCCCCGUGGACACAGGUUUUUACGACUGAACCACGUAAAUCUUGUGUCCGAUUUAUUUUCUUCUUCAAUCUAUAUUAUUGUUCGAUCGCUCGCCUUUUCGCAACAAAGAGUGUGAAUGAUUUUUAUUUUUAAAUCACAUUUAGCUCACACAAACAAAAUAAUAUAAGAACCCCACCCCAAUGCAUGGUAUACGCGAUGUUUGGUGGCUCCCAUAGAUUUAUAUUCACAGUCAAACGUUUAUAAAUUUACAGAAAAAUCAGUACACCAAAAGAAAAGUGGAAGUUAAAGAAUAAGUGAAAUUCAAGAGAAAUUACUGGGAAGAGUAAAUUAAUCAAUUUUAUAGAAACCAAUCUGCAAAUCUCUUCCUUUAUUGGUAACAUGUACGCAUCAAUCCCUCAUUCUCCUUAAGUCAAAUUUUAUAAGCACAAAACAAAUUUAUAGAUCAUUCCUUUUUUGAUCAGGCUCAUACACCACUCAUUCACUUUGAAAAUUAAAAAAAAAAAAACCAAAAUUGAACGUGAAAAAGCCAUAAUCACAAUCCAAACCCCAAGCAUGGCAACCCAAUGAUGAAGGGAUCAUGCUAUCUUCCAUUAAUUCACAAGUUCAAAUAAUGUCGCAAUUGAACUUUUAACCGGUUAGUAUUUCAAGUAUUCAUAACAUUCUAUGGAAAGAUUUUUAAACUUUUGGUAUAUUAGUUACAAUGAUAGACUCGCACACCUAAUGAUGGACUGAGUGAUUAUGGCUAAAACAAGAUAUUCUAUGAUGAACAUAACAUUUUAUGUAACGAUGAGAAUGGAUAAUCGUAUUGAUCAUCUUUUCCCACAUUUUUUAACUUAUCAAGAAAAAAACAAUUGCAGUCCAUCGGGACUCGGGCGGGGAGGCCAAGUCGGACCUCCCCCAAUCCUUGUGCCGGUGGGUCCAUCCUGCUCAUAAGUCCACAUUAGCUUCAAUUUCCACGGCGGAAAACGAAAGUUCAUUUCCCUCCACCGGCUGGCGGGAAGUUUUCAUAUCACCCGCAUAAAAUGAAAACGAGAAAAAAAACCGCAAUAAAAAAACUAACACAAAAAUAAUAAUAAUAAAAGUGAAAAACUAUUUAAAACAAAAUUACGAAAAAACGCAAACCCUCCUCUUCGCUUCCUCCAUUUGCGGACACCGACUCUGAUCGAACGACCCACUCCUCCUCUCUCCUCCUCAUCCUCCUCCACUUGUUCAAAUCUUCUUUGUUUAAUUUUUGUUUGUUUAGAUGUUUAGGGGCUUUGAAUUGCUAAUUAACUUACCAAGUGAGGUCAAGUCAAGUUAUAUAAAUUCCAAGUUCAUUAUUUUGUCAAAUUACAAUGUGGUGAUUUAUCUGAGAUAUCUCAUAAAUUGUUGUUCGUUUUACUGAAUUUGAAAUCAGUCGAUGUCCAUGCUUUCUAUAGGAGGACAUUAACUUCAUUAUAUUGUAUACAUUAAAGUGGCCAUUACAAUGUGUUCAAAAGUAUCAUACUAACAGCAACGUGAAGACGACAAAUAAUCUACAUUGGUAAACGCAUGUCCACUUUCAUUUUUGUUUUUUUUUUUUUCAGGUAAACCACGGCUCUUUAUUGGAUUCACAAGAGUUGAAGAGAAGGCGUAGUGAUUCUUAAUUAAAUUUUUAAAAAAAAAUUCUAAUACGAAUGGACUUGGUUUGACAUUAUCUGUUGUUGAGGUAAAUCUAAUAUAAUGAUCCAAACCAUUUAGUAUCAAGUGAAUAGAAGUGUGGCAAAAAAAUUUCCAAUUCUAAAAGUAUAACAUGGAAUAAUUUUGCAAUGUUCACGAGUUCUUAUAUUUUUCGCCUCUUUCUUUUCUUUUGUAGUAGAUAAUCCAUAAGCAUUAAUCGGGAGACUAAAGAGCCACUCCUCCAAAAACAUUAUUUGAAAUAAAGAACUUUCAUAUUUAAUAUUGGGGGGAGUCAAUAUUUUUUCCCAUCUACGUUGACAUAAGACUAUGCUCACACAUUGAUUUUGUGUACUAUAUCUUAGUAGUAUUUUGUAUAAUAAUUAGCACAAAGCAUGGAUUUUGUCUAACUAGAUUGCUUUGUGACAAGCAAUUUAUUGACACUAACAAGGGAUUAAAUGCGAAGGAUAGUUUAUCAUGAAAUAAACAUGAUCUUUUCUUUAUUUGAUUGAUUGCUGGGGGGAGAGCUUUGACGUAGAUCAAGCAACAUAAUUUUACUGGGUUUGAUGUUUUGAAGUCAAUCCGGGCCUUGGCCCAAUAAGCCCUUUAAACUAGAUAGACCGGAGUUCACCUUAAUUAGGAUGGGGAAACGAACUUAGUUGGAAGUUCCAUGUCUGCUUUUGUUGACUUUGACUUUGAAUGAAUCUGCCAAUUUUUCUAGGGCCAAAAGUCGAUUCUCAUCUACACAAUUUCUGCAUCACGUCAACCAGUGAUUUUCCACGUCAAGAAACGUAAAUAAUUGUCGACUUUGAUGGCUUGGAGUGAUGCUUUGAGGAAGCAUCCUUAUUGACUGAUUUUGCAACAAAACUGGGCCAUGACUCUUUGUAUGUUCAAUCGAUCAUUUGGCUUCUGAGUUCAAAUUCAUUUUUAGUACCUUUAAGAUUCUGUGGGAAAGGAGUAGAAGUCUUGAUAGUUAGGGCCCAUAUAUGCACGAAAAGUCUUUCUUUUCCUUCCAAAGAGUAUGAGUUAAGGUAGUGGUACCCCACUUGUUUUCUCUUCUUUCUGGAGCUUUUGAGCUAUAAUGGAACUUAUUAUUCUCCAACUUGGUAGGAUCAUCUGAGAAAUGCAGCUCGGAUACUUAGAAAUGUUACCAUUCUGGCAUCUCUAAGUGUCUCUAGAUUCUGAACUAAAGAUCGGAGUGGUUUCCUACUUAAAGGCUGUCCCUGAAGAGCUUGAACGAGAGAGGUUUGCCCACAACGGGAAGGCAUACCUGCAGGAAACUGACUCCGUCCUCCUAAUUUCAAUUCGAAUGGAAGGAGUAUGAUUUUUAAAAAAUCUGCAAUGAGACUUUUGGAAUUUCGUGAGUGAUAAUCAAAAAUGAUUUUUCAUCAAACAAACUAACCUUAACCUAAAUAAUGAAGAAAGAACAUGAGAGACAAUUUCAUCUUUUGUUUUCUUUCUUUGGGAAAAUGUUACCCUUAGGAAAAAAAAUGUACAAAUGUUUGCAAGCUAAUGUUGUUGAUGAAUCCAGACAAAAAAAAAAAAAAAAGACGAUAAAUGUCAGAUUUGAAUGAGGAUGGACCAUAUAAUUGAUGCCAAUGAAGACCCAAAGUGAACAAUCAUAUUACUUUGCAUUCUUUUCUGUCUCGAAAUGGAGAAGAACAGAAGUGAAAUGCUAAAAAGAAGGUGGACGAAUGUAAGGUCUCAAGCGCGUAGUGGAAAAGGACAAAAGAAAAGCAAGAAUAUAAUCCAAUCCAUUCCACUUCUCUUAAAAUGAGUUGAAAAACACUUAUCUAAAAGUAUCGAAUUGCUUGGUCACUAUUGAUCACCAAGUAGAUAAAAUCAUACAAAUGAUGAGUGCUCAAACAGGUAAAUUAAUGAUUAUCGAAAUUUAUGAGAUGGCUGGCAUUGGAAAGAUGAUUAUUGUCAAAAUCAUAUACAAUUAACUUUCACACGAUUUUGGAAAUUGUUGUUUUCAUCCUGAUAUCCAAGAUUUUUCGCGAACAUAACUAGGGAAAGAAAUUCCUAGUGGCCCGGAAAAAGAAGAGGGCAAAAUAGGAAGGAGCACUAAUUAAUAAUUUCUUGCCACCGAAAUGCAUCCUCAUGUUUCUGUUUUUUUCCCGCACGGGUUCAAAAUAUUGCCGACAACACAAAGGCAGGCUAAUUUCAAAGCAUGGGCGGGUUUUCUUUCCCGUGUUAGCGGGACCCACUUUUUCUUUUUUCCUUUGCUUUGGUGCCUAAUUUCUUUUCAUCAUCACCUUGCUUUUUUGAUAAGAUUUUCGUUGGAUUCUCGCGGGCCGACUUCGUCGUGAAUGACGAUUGAGGUCCUCUGCGUUAGUUAUUCGAUAGUUGAUUGAUCGGCGGCCACCAUUUAUUUGGGGGCAAAAGUCCAUUCUACUCCCAAAAUUUUGCACCACAUGGUUCAAUGAUUUUCCAAGUUAAGAAACAUACAUAAUUGUGACUUCGACGGGCUGGAGUGAUACUUCAAGAAAUUAUCCUUACUGACCCAUGUUGCAACAAAAUUGGCCCACAACUUUGCAUAUUCACCCUAUCCUUUGGCUUCUAAGUUCAAUGACCUACCAAAAAGUCAUUCAAAAAAUCUUCCCUUUUUAGUUCCUUAAUGUUUCUGCGGCAAAGGAUCAAAAGUCUUGAUAGUUGAUGUCCACAUCUAAUACUAAUAGUCUUUCUUUUCCUUUUAAAAAGAGUAACUGUUUAGGCAGUGGAAUCCCACUCGUUUCCUCUUCUUCCUAGAGUUUUUGAUUUAUAAUGGAGGAAGCUCAAUUUCGAUUCAAAUGGAAGGAGCCUGAUUUUAUAAAAUUGUGACAAGACUUUUGGACUUUCAUUUUACUAAAACAAGAGUUUAGUGGAGUGCAAUCAAAGUUAAAGCUAUUGGAAAACAAAUUUGAUCUUCUGUUGAUCUCAAUUCAAGGAAUUUGAUACUUCCAUGAGUCUUUUUUUACUUAUCGGCUUGACAUGAUUAAUAAAUUCAAUCUUAAUUUUUUUUAUUGUUUUAAAAGAUUUGAGAAUUUAUGAAUUUUGGAGUGGAAACCUUUUUACAUCUCUAAAUUUGGUGAGAUUUUAUUUUUCCUACGUGCUUCCUCCAUGUUGUCCUCAUCAAAAUAUCAAUUAGUUUGUUUAAUCAAUAGCUGUACCCUAUCGAGGUCCCAAAGCCUUGUAGAUGCUGGUGCAUUCACAUUGCGCAUGCACUGGCCCGCAACUUUGAGGAGGUCAGCUCAUCAACUAUGAGGGGCAUGGGGUUAGGUUAGGAUUUUGGAAAAUCAAGGGAUUUGGCACAAGGAAAAAAAUGUGCAGUUUUAAGCUCGUCAUUGAUCAAGCAAACCGCCACUUCGGAUCUACAACAUCCGUCAUGGACCAAACUUUGACGGAACAUAUUUUUUUGGUUAUCAUACAAGUUUUGAAUUUUGAUGAUACAAAAAAUAGUUUGGAUAAUUGGUAUUGCGAUGAAUAUAAAGGUUAGGAAUUCUUAGGGAACCACCGCUUGCUGUCGUCAAAUUUGCCGGUGACCCAUGGCCAUCACAAGCUCUCAAAUUUGCACGUCAAUCCAUUGGCGUGUUAACGCCUUGCCUGUUGAAGUCUAUCUUCUAUGCCUUCGUCUCUUUUUCUUUUCACUUAGAGCUCAUAAUCUAUGUCCAUGGAAUUCGCAACCGACAGAAGUUGCUAGCCUCGCACAGCCAUAGAUCUAGGGUUGCUUGGCCGCCGGUGUGGGCCUCGACUUAGUGAGUUUGCUUGAUUUUCUAAACAACGGAGAGAGGCCCUCGGCUUUGUUUAUCAUUAAAAUCAAUACCCAAAAGGAAAAAGAUAAAUAAAUUCCUCAGAUAUUUGGGUCUUUUGGCAUCGGCAAAAAGACAAAAUGCAAUAGAUUUCGAGUGUAGUGAAACAAAGGAAAAGGGGUAGUGAAUGUGGAUGGAUGGAGCGGGUGCUGUCAAUUGUCGGUGUUCACAUGGGGUGCUGUCAGCUUUUGUUGACUUGACUUUGAAUAAAUUAUUUGAGGGUAAAAGUCGAUUCUCAAUCUGAAAUUUCUGCAACAUAUGGUCCGGUGGUUUUCCACGUUAAGAAAUGUAAAUAAUUUGUCAACUUUGAUAGGUUGCAGUGAUGCUUCGCGGAAGUAUCCUUACUGAUCCAUUUCGCAGCAAAAUUGGCCCACGACUCUUUGUAUAUUCACCAAAAUCUUUGGCUUCCGAGUUCAGUGACCUCUAAGCCAUUCGAAAAAAUCUUCUUAUUUUAUUUCUGUGGUAAAGGAACAAAUGUCUUGAUAGUUAAGACCUGUCUAUCUCUGUACAAAAAGUCUUUCUUUUCCUUUCAAAAGAAGAUGAGUUUAGGCAAUGCAUCCCACCUAUAUUCUCUUCUUCUCUGAGCAUUUGAGCUAACGGAGGAAACUCAAUUUCAAUUCGAAUGAAAGGAGUCUGAUUUUAAAAGAAUCUGCAAUGAGACUUUUGGAUUUUCGUUUUUACUAAAACAAAAGUUUAGUGGAGUAUAAUCAAAGCUAAAGUUAUUGAAAAACAAAUUUGAUACUUCUUAGGAGUAUUUUUUAACUCAUCGGGCCAUCGUGAUUAAUAACUUCAAUCUUUUUUUUGUUGUCACACUUGGAUUUAUACCUAAAAAGACUUAAGAACUUAUGAAUUUCGGAAUGGAACAAUUUUACACCUCCGGAUCUACGCAGAUUUUGCUUUCUAUCGUGAAACAUGGAAUGUAGUUACCACAAGAUCAAUUUAGAAAAUAGAAAAAUAAUUGCAAAUAAAUGCCAGCCAAUCAAUAAAAAAGUUUUUUUUUUUGGUAAAACCAAUCAAUAAAAAAGUUGAUACUAUAUGAUUUAACUAAAUGGAAAUAGAAUGUGAUGCAUAUAUAUAGUCUUGUGUUGCAUCGAAAUAUGAUCCUGAGAUUGGUUGAUAUGAUCUUGAUAUGGACUCCAACAAUCUAAAACCUAAGCUCCCCGUGCCUUGUCUUAGCGUGGUAUUAGCAUUAGCUUCCAUUCUCAGAAAGAGAGAAAAGAGGCUUGCCUUGCAUCAAAAUAUGAUCUUGAGAUUGGUCGAUAUGAUAUUGAUAUGGACUCCAACAAUCUAAAACCUAAGCUCCUUGUGCCUUGUCUUAGCGUGGUGUUAGCAUUAGCUACCGCUCUCAAAAAGAGAGAAAAGAGUUAGAGAGAACAGCGUGUGGGGGCCGUGCGACUGAAACCAAUGAUUGACCCAAGUCAAAGUCUACGGAGAAUUGGACUACCAACAGUUCAUGAUGGACCAGCUUGCUCAAGAAGGAAUCGCACCAAUGAUUGGCCCAAGUCUACGAAGACUUGGACUACCAAGGGCACACGCUAAAGCUAAAGCAUUGGCGGGACGACUUCUUUUCCACGUUAGGAUGACCCCAUCUUCUUUUUCUUUGCUGUAUUGCUUCAUUUCUGUUCAUUAUUCGCUCUGCUUUUUAACAAGAAUUUCCCUUAGAUUCUUCGAGGUAGUUUCGCCGUGAAUGACUAUUGAGGUCUCCGGUAGGUUAAAUACUAUAAGAAUUUGUAAAAUAACACGCAUUCAACGUGUCACAUAAAAGAUGGCAUUUUAAUUACAACGGCUAGCAAUAUGUGGAUUUUUUUUUUAAAGUUGUUUAAAAUAUGUGCACUUUUACUCAACAGGUACAAGCUCUUUAUCAUUUGAAGUUUAACCAAUAAAUCUAGAUUAUUUACAAGUAAUUUAAACAAGCAUACUUAAAUCGAUACAUUAAGUCAUGUGAUCAAAUCAUAAUGUGCCAAGAGUGUUUUUAGACUUAUCAAGUUAUUGUGAUUAAUAACUUCAAUCUUAAAUGUUGUUUUUGGUCACACUCGAAUCUAUACCGGAAAAUACUUAAGAACCCAUGAAUUUUGGAAUGGAACAUCUUUACACCUCCAGAUCUAGUGAGAUUUUGUUUUCUAUUGUGAAACAUGGAAUGUUUAAUUACGACAAUCUUGAUUUAGAAAGUAAAAGAAUACUUGCAAACAAACACCGUGUGCCGAAAAAUACGUUGACUUUUAAAUAGUCUAGCCAACUGUAUCAUCAAUUAAUAGAAAAUUUGAUACAAUCUAAUUUAAUUAAAUGGAAAGUAUGAAAGUGCCGCAUAGAUUUAGUUUUUGCAUUGCAUUGAAAUACAAUCAUUAGAUUACGAAUUGCAUGAGAUUGGUCGAUGUGAUCUAAAACCUAUGCUUCCUGUGCCUUGUUUUAAUGUGGCAUUAACAUUAGCUACCUUUCUCAAGAAAAAAAGAAGAAGACAGAACAGCGUACGGUUGGUGCAAGAAGACUGAAACAUCACGGGAUCAUAGGGGCAAAGUCAAAAGUCUACGAAGACUCAUGACGAGCCAGCUUUGCUCUAAAAAGGAAUCACAACCAUGAUUCAUUCAUUUGGUAACCUUCUCCCUCAUAGUUAUACUUCCAUAAGCGUAGGGAUUUUAUCAAAAAUAAGGAAAAAGAUGUCACUAGAUCAUUAUGUAAAAUCCAAUGACGACUCAUUGUUCUCCCAUGCACCCGUAAAAUUUACAUGUAACAAAUCGAUCUCCAAUUCUCAUAUUCAUCGCACCAUUUCCUCCAGUCAUAUACCAUCACAUGAAAAUAGAAAAAAAAGAAAAUUUUUAGGGUGUCAAUCUGGCUAAGAAUUUUUUUGUCGCGGGAAAAUGCUUUUAGGAAAUUCAAUUUCAGAUAAAGGGAAUCGGAAUAAUUUGAUUACAAUGAAAACAAGUUAAAAAAAAAAAAACUGAUUUUAUCAUAAUUGGUAAUAAGCGACUCCACUAAAUAUGGCUUAUAUCGUCAAAAGUAUCAUGGAAUGACUAAUAAACUAGAAUUGAUAUUACCUUCAUUUAUUCUAUAAUCCAUCAAAAUAGCAAUGAUUACAAAGAAAUUAAGAUAGAAAUUAUGAAACCAUAUUUGUAAAUUAUAGAUUUGAUCGUGCUUUGGGAAUGUAGAAAAAUUGAGCAUUAAUAAAGUAUAGUAACUUUGAAGGAUAGCAAGAAAAUAAGGGUAAUGAUUCUUUUUGGCCAAGUUGUUUUUCUCUAAACUUAUUAUUUUUAGGGUUAAUAUCAUGAAAAAUUUCAAACUGAUACACUCAUGCUAAAUUUAUUCUAAACUAAUUUUUUGACCACAAAAACUCAAGCUGGCAUAUUUGUGACAAAUUUAAUUUCCAUUCAUUUCUGUUAACUUGGAUUGAUAUUAUGAAAGAACGCAAAUUAGUACACAUGUGACAAAUAGAGAGUAAAACCCCAAACCGAUACAUCUAUUAAUUGUCAAAAUUUGAUGUCUACUGUUGUUCACUUUGACUUUGAAUGAAUCCACCAUUUAUUCGAAGGGCAAAAGUAGAUUGUAAUCCCAAAAUUUUUGCACCACAUAGUCCAAUGAUUUUUUGCGUUAAGAAAUGUAAACAAUUGUCAACUUUGGGAGGUUGAGCGAUGCUUCAAGGAAUCAACCUCAUUGACCAAAUUUUGCAAUAAAAUUGGCCCACGACUCUCUUUGCAUAUUUAUCCAAUCCCAUGGCUUCUAAAUUCAAUGACCCACCCAAAAGUCAUUCAAAAAGAUCUUUCCUUUUUACUUCCUUAAUAUUUAUGUGGCGAAGGAACAAAAGUCUUUGAUAAUUAAGACCCGCAUCCAAUAUGAAAAGUCUCUCUCUUCCUUUAAAAAGAAUAUGAGUUAGGCAAUGGAUCCCACCCAUUUUCUCUUCUUCUCUAGCUUUUGAGCUGUUGGAGGAAGCACAAUUUCAAUUCGAAUGGAAUGAGUUUGAUUUAAAAAAAUUUGCAAUGAGACAUUUGAACUUUCGUUUUACUAAAACAAAAUUUUAGGGGAUAUAAUCAAAGCUAAAACUAUCGAAGAACAAAUUUGAUCUUCCGUUAGUCUCAUUUGAUGAAUUUGAUACUUUUUUAAAGUCUUUUUUUUUAACUCAUUGAGUUAUCAUGAUUAAUAACUUCAAUUUUGAAAUUUCUUUUUGUCAGGUUCAAAUGUAUGUCUGAAAAGACUUAAAAGCUUAUUAAUUUCGAAACAAAACAAUUUUAUACCACCAAAUCUAGUGAGAUUUUAUUUUUCCUUCUCGGCUCCUCUCCACCAUGUUGUCCUUAUCAAGUAUCAAUAGGCUCAAAUUAAUCAAUAUUUGUAGCGAUUGAAAUCCAAAAGUCUUGCCGGUGCUGGUGCAUAUAGAUCACUCAUGCAAUUGCGAGGAACUUUGAGGAGGUCUUUUAGAAUGACCACAGCCAUGAGGUUUUGAGGUUUUUAGGGUUUUGGACAAGUGUGAGUAGAGCAGUGAUAGAUCUAAUCUUUUGAUAUAAGAACGUGCUUACAGUAGCAAACUGUAAUUUUUUGAUUUAUAGGUUUUGUCUUGUUUGGCAGUUCUUUUGGGAUUUGUUUGCUUGGAAGUUUUCUAUCUUCUUCCCAUAUUUGAUUACGACAGAUAAAAAAAAAAAAAUUUCUUUCUACCAAAAAAAAAAAGAAAAUCCAAACUCAUGUAUACCAAUGGAUAACGUGGGUGCACGAGUUGGGUUCACAUGUGUCGGUGCACAGACAACACCCCCUCGACGUAUAGAGACGGAGAGAGAGAGAGAGAGGGAGAGCGUGCUAUAUAAUAUGUACAGGCAAAGACGCGAGUGUAAAGUAACUCGCGGAGGCAGGACGAGUUAAAAUUCAAUAAUACAAAAAGAACGAGAGAGAAAGAGUUUCUUUUAAUAUUUUGUUUUAGUCACCGGAAGCAACUCAAUUGCUCCUCCUUCUCUUUAGAAAAUCCAGGGUUUUCUACCAGAGCCUUGGCUUCCGCCGGAGCUGCUGCUGAAGUUGUGCGCUCAGAUCUCGCGAACCCAAACGCCACCGCAGUGCAGCUGAUCGCUCCCUCCGUCGAGCCCCGGCGAAGGAACCCGUCGAUAUUUCACCUCGAUAGCUCCUUGCCGCAAUCGGAGCCAGAUCUGAGGUGAGUCUCCAAGGGCCCCACUUUUUGGUGUUUAAAAAGAACCCUGGCAUUUUGGCAACUUUGAUUGGCCGCAAUGAAUCAUUUUUAGUACAGAGAUCCCAUGGCUUGGAAGGAUUUACCAUAUCUGGCUGCCGCUGCUUUUGCUGCUAUCCUGUUUCGACUUUUUUCUCGAGGAGCAGAUCAAGCGAGAUCGAUGGAGAGGAGUGCAAAGAGACGGCAAGGAGAGUUAGCGAGAUCAAUGGAGCGGGGUGCAAAGAGACGGCGCACGGGUGGAAAUGAUGGAACAGCAGGAGGCGCUUCUUCUACUCACACGUCAACAGAAGGUCAAGAAGUGGCUAUUUCAUCGGGAUAUGACUAUGAAGUAUUCUUGAGCUUCAGAGAACCAGAUACUGGAGCAGGUUUUACGGACCAUCUUUACACUAGAAUGAUAGAUAUGGGAAUCCGCGCAUACAAGGAUGAAGAAGAUCUCUCAAAGGGAGAAGAGUUUGGCCCAAAACUUCUCCAAGCAAUUGAGCAAUUGAAGAUCUCAAUGCCUAUCUUUUCGAAAGGUUAUGCCUCCAGCGUAUGGUGUCUCAAAGAGUUAGUCAAGAUGGUCGAGUGCCAAAAAACAAAGGGACAAAAGAUCAUGCCCAUUUUCUAUGAUGUGGCACCUUUAGAGGUUCGACACCAAACUGGGAGUUAUAAAGAAGCCUUUCGAUCACAUGAAAAAAAGAAGCGACAUGAUGAAAAGAUUGUGCAAGAGUGGAAAAAUGCUCUCAGUGCAGUUGCGGCAAUAAACGGGUGGGACUUGCACAGCCAGACCAAAAGGUGACUUUUCCUAGCAUGCCAUCUCAAGUGCAUUAUAUCAUUAGAACUCGAUGCAUUUCAUAUGGUUUCUUUUCUGGAUUUGUGUUAGCCUUGUUGAAAUUGAAUUCCGUGUUAUUGAAGUUAUACUGCAUAAAUCAAAUUUUUCCCAUUUUUUCCAAGCAACAUUUUUUUUCCAGUUCACUUACCGACGCUAUUUCAUCUACAAUGGAAUAAAUCCUUAAAGUAACACAUUUCAAAUUCAAUUUGGUCUUCUCAGAAUUAGUUUAAUGUUCACACAAUUUUCUAACCCAUUGUCUUUUGCCUCCAAAUAACUCUAGGCGAGAAGGUGAGUUUGCAAGAAAAAUUACUCAUAAGGUUUUCAAGGAGUUGAAAAAGGCUUAUCUGGUGGUAUCAGAGUGCUUGGUUAGUGUCGACAACCACGUGGAUGCAAUCAUGGAAAUGAUAGGUGCUGGGACAAGUGAAACACGAAUCGUAGGAAUCCACGGGAUGGGUGGCAUCGGAAAGACAACUACUGCCAAAAUGAUCUACAAUAAGCUUUUAGACAACUUUGAAAAUUGUUGCUUUCUUCAAGAUAUUCGAGAAACGUCAAAAGGUAAGGGCAUUCAAUGCUUACAGAAUCAGCUCAUCUCUGUCAUCCUCAAAAUAAACUGCAUGGAUAUAAAAGACAUUCAUGAAGGAACUCAUAUGAUUAAAGAUAGGUUGUCUAAUAAAAAAGUCCUCCUUCUUCUCGAUGAUGUGGAAGAAGAAAAUCAUAUUAAUGCACUUGUAGGUAAACGUGAUUGGUUAGGCAGAGGGAGCAAAAUUAUUAUUACUACAAGAAACAAAGAUAUUCUUGAGGUUCCUGAAGUGGACUGUAGUUAUGAGCUUAGCGGCAUGGAUCCUAAUGAAUCUCUUCAACUAUUUAGUAGACAUGCCUUCAGAAAAGAUUAUCCUUUGGAUGAGUAUAUCGACCAAUCCAAGAGGGCAAUAGCCAUUGCUAGAGGUCUUCCACUAGCUCUUGAGGUCAUAGGCUCACUUUUAUGUCGCACUAAAAAGGAAAAGUGGGAUCUCACAUUGAAGAAGUUGGAAAAUGUUCCUCAUGCAGCAGUUCAGAGUAAGUUGAAAAUAAGCUAUGAUGCAUUAGAUGUUUGACAACAAGAUAUAUUCCUCAAUGUAGCUUGUCUUUUCAUCAGAUAAAACAAAGACAUUGUCGUUUAUUUUUGGGAUGAAUCUAAAUUUCCGGAAGAAGCCAUUGAAGUUUUGCAGAACAUGUCUUUGAUAAAUAUUAUAGAGUAUAAUAAAGUGUGGAUGCACGACCAACUCAGAGACCUUGGAAGAGAAAUAGUUCGUCAAGAUAGUAAAAUAAAAAUAGAGAAGCAAAGGAGGGUGUGGGAUCCCAAGGAAGCAUUGGAUUUGCUGAGGAGACAUGAGGUAAAAUCCCCCAUACAAUAAAUCUCCAAGUUACUUAUGAACAUUUUCUUUUAAAAAAGUGCAGUUACUUUAUGUAUUCUCUAGCGCCAUUGUGACCCACUCAAUUAAUAUUUUUGCUUUUUUAAUAUUAGAUGAAUGGUAAUACUCAACUCAACCCCUUAAAAUGGUGAUCUUGAAGCGUUUCCCUUCAGCUUUUUUCUUCUUAAAUUUUUCUUUUAGGCAGGGAAAAAAAGAAGUUGAAGCUCUUCGUCUCAAGUUUUACCGUGAGGGGCAGUUCCAUUUUACCUAUGAAGACUUUAAGAACCUUUCAGAUCUAAGGUUUCUUCAAGUUGACGGUUGGGCAAAUUAUUUUGAUGCAGAAGAGAGGCUUUUUUGGCAUGAAUUGCCAUUAAAUGUUCUUCCAACUAAUGUUUUCUCGGAGAAUUCAGAUCUCCCUCCAUAAUUACGAUGGCUUUCUUGGCGUGAUCUUCCCCCAAAAAUUAAGAUUACAGAUUUCUCUAUGGAGGAUGUGGUUAUUCUUGAUUUGUCUCAGAGUAACAUUACGCAUGAUUGGUAGGGAUGGAGCAACAUGAAGGGUUAUCAUAUUCCAAAGUAAUCUUUGCAUCAUUUUUCUUCUCAUAGGUGAUGAAGAAUUUGAAAGUUCUGGAACUGCGCCUUUGUUUUAGCUUGGAGAGAACCCGCAACAUCUUUGCCCAUUCAAAUUUAGAACACUUGCUCCUAGCGACUGUUGGAAUUUAGUCAAAAUUGACAAGUUGAUUUGUCAAUUGAAACGCUUAGUUUCCUUAAAUUUAUAUGGAUGCGAAAAACUUCGGAGCCUCCCAAAAGUUGUGGGUGGAGAUCUUGCAAGCCUUGAAUACCCAUCUCCAAAACAAUGCAAUUCGUCGGAGAGGCUUCUAGAUACAAUCGGAAAUCGCUGAUUGAGUUGGAUCAAAGAACUACCCAAUUCUAUCCGAAAGUGGAAAAAUUUGAAAGUAUUGAAUAUGAUGAAUAGUGCCAUAAGCAAAAUACGCGGUGCCCUCUGGAUUAUUGUGACCCUUGAAGAAAUAGAAUUUGAAACUAAGCAUGCUUUUGAUGUGGAAAUUGGCGAUUGCAUCUGUGAAAAUUGAUGCCUAAGAAUUUUGAGAUUGAUGAUUGUUAAAAUAUACAAAGUACCAACGCUUCCCAAAAGUCUCGUCAAUCUGGAGUUGCAUACAUUGUACAUGAAUACGUUUCCAAAUCAUUCAAACCUGGUUAAUUUAGAGAUAUUGAAGCUGGGGUUUGGCCCACGUAAUGAUGGUGGGGGAUCUGGUGGGCCUGUGGAAGGAUAUCCAAUGCCACGGUGGAUGGAGAAUUUAAGCGAACUAGAGUUCCGGACCAUCCAAUAUUUUCUCGAGUUUCCGGACCAUCUCAGUAGUGUCCGUCCCCGACUCAAGUCACUUAAACUCGAGGGCGCUCAUCUGCGUUGCCUCCCAGCCUUCCCUUCACUUUAUCAACCUUGAUGUUUUACUCUAAAUUCGUGACCACCCUACCCACAGAUAUUAUAAGUCUUCUUCCCCAACUCAAGGAUCUUUCACUCAAGUGCCCUAAUCUCGAUUGCCUCCCAAGCCUUCCCUCCAAUUUAUCAGCCUUGGAUUUGGAGUCUGGAUACAUUACCACCUUACCCAAGGAUAUGAGUAAUCUGCGUUGCCUCCCGAGCCUUCCCUCUAGUUUAUCAGAGUUGCGGUUGACCGGUUGCAAGUCGUUAUCUUCCCUGGGGGAUCUAUUGAAUUUGAAGGGACUUUCAUAUCUUUUCAUCGAUGAUUGUGCAAUCUCAGACAUUCGAUGCCGUGAUCCUUUGGAGAACCUAAAACAAUUGGGGCUCUGGAAUCUCAACAGGUGGAGACUUUACCUUCUCUACGUAAUUUCAACAAACUAGGUUUUCUUCAUGUAUUAGAAUGUGGUAAUCUGGUUGUGAUUCAAGGCGAACUACCACAAUCUUGGGAAGAAUUGAAGAUUUGUGGAUGUGGAUCUUUAAAGGAGUUGCCUGAUCUGUCACGCUUGAAGGGACUGAAAAAGGUUAAAAUAAAGUGUUGCGGGAAUUUAAACAUGGAGGCAAUUUCUUCGCUUUGCUUGGAGAAGUCAGUUGAAUUUGGGGAAGAAGACAGUGAUGACGAAUCCGAAUCUGAGCAAGAAGACGACGAAUUUGAAUUUGAAUCUGAGGGAGAAGGCAACGAGUACGAGGAAGAAGACGAUGAAUCUCAAUAUGAGGAAGAAGAUAACGAAUGAGUGCACGAUCAUUUGAAAGCUUCUUGAUCCACGUCCACAAAUUGUUCCCUUGUGUUCAAGCUUCAAACGGAUUGAGGUAAGUCAAUUCAUCUGACAGUCAAUGUUUUCCCUUUUCAGCAAUGUACUUCUUUCACGGAUAUGAACGGUGAAGUUUCACAUGCACUUUUUAAUUAACUUUUCUCGAGUUGAUGGCUGCAAAUUUGAUAAAGGCAUUGAAGUUACGAUACCUCUGUACAACCAAAGGGUUGUUAAUUACGUACAAAUAUCCGUUCUCUUUUCCUAGUUUGGUUUUGCUUUUUAGCUAUAUUUUUUCUCGGAUGGUUUCUACUUGUUUUAUGUUUCCCAGCUGAAGGUAUGUAUGUCGAUUGCAUCGUUUUUAUUUGAAAUGUAACAAAUUUUUAGAGAUACUUGUCAAUUUGCUGCUUCACAUAUUUCGAAGUUGAUAACCUUGCCUUGCAUUGAAGAUAACUUUGUUAUGCAGUAAACAAUCCGAUGGAAUGGGUGUUGGAAGGCCAUAUAACUGCGGUUCUCAUCCUGGAACUUUACAGCAUAAUCAACUCAUCGAUGCAAUUGUGAAGAAGAUAGACACUCUCUAUUGAUAUGCUUAUGUUCAGUUUAUUUUCCAAGAAAGGUGUGCUUCUUAGUGGGAUUUGCAAAUGUUAUGGAGAAGUUAUAAAAUGAAGAAAGACGGAUUUCACUUGGGUAGCGGCAUCAACAGUUUGCGCAGCAAACUUCCACCUGUGACAGGAGAGAGGAGCUACUUAGCUUCUCCAAUGUAUCAUAAAUCAUCUUAUAGUCAAAAGCUAAUAUUUCAGUAUUCCUGGUGCAUAGGACAUAUGAUGAGUCUUGCUGGGGUCAAAAAUCAUGUAAGUGGACUCUCGUAUGAUAUCCAUUAUUGCCUACAUCUUCUAGAAAUGGUUAAACCUAGGUGAUUAUCUGUAAUAGAAGCCCAUCCAUUCACCUCAAGCUAUACUAAAGGACUCUUUUAGGUUUUGAGUUUGACAAGAACUGUGAAGGGAGACAUCUCAAACGACCAGCUUUUUGCCGGUUUCUAAUGUUGCUGAGAGGUUUUAGAGUUUGAGAAACUUACAUAAAUCUUUCUGUGCAGGGAGCUGUGGCUAAUUAGGCAUCUGUACAAAUGAAGACUGAAUGAAGGAAAAUGAAGAUGACAUUCUGUCGCCUGAGUUUCCUUUCACAUUCUUGGGGGCGGCAAACUGUUCAUCCAUUUGUCGAGAGACAGAAACUUGAAGAUUAGGGAGGAUAGUCGUUGCCUAAUGAUGAAAUUGUCAAAUCUGUUGAACUCGAUGUUAAGUUUCAGUUGAAUUUUUUGCACUUUUUUUCUAGACCAGGGCAGGGGGGAUUCAUUGUGCGAUUCGUGGCAUCAUACGUAAUGUUUUUUUUUGGGGGGGGGGGUGUAAAAGGGCUAUUUAAGCAAACCCGAUAGUUUAUUAAUCUUUUUUUGUGGGGCCAGAGAAUGAAUAUUGCACUUCAACUGCAUGUGUGUUCUCUUCAUUGACAUGCAAUAGAACUUGCUUAUCAGUACACAGAUAUUCCUCUGCGAGGAAACACUUGAAGGGCUUGUCUGGACAGGGUGAAAAAUUGUGUGUGCUUAAAGAAGUGUUCACGGUAUUGCCUGCCAAAAUCAGUUCAUGGACUUCUUGAUGUGAAAAUGGUGCUCAAGGUAGUUUUCCUCAUGAGUAUGAUGGGCACUCACAGCAUAAGAAGCAGGAAUUGUUGGAAUUCAUGAAAUGGACGGUGGAUGUCAGUUGAGUCUCACCAAAAUUAUCUACAAUAGUCUUCGCAUGGUUUUGAGUACUGUUGCUUUCUUUCUAACAAUCGUGAUACUUUAGAGCUCAAGGGCAAUCAGUACUUAAAGAAUCAACUCAUCUUUUGCGUCCAUAAGUGGAAAUUUACUGAAAUAAGUAAUGUUGAUGAAAGGAUCAAGACAAAUGAAAGAUAGGCUAUCUAGUAAAAGAGUUCUCUUCCUUUUUGAUGAUGUUGACAAGAAGAAACAACUGAAUGCGCUUGGGGCAAAUAUCUAUGAUAUUCAGGCAUUACUGAAUUUUUCGAUGCUAAGGGCGCGAAUGACAAUCAUUCUGGCCAGAAAUUUAUUUCUCGAAAAUAAAUAGAUUUUCUAUUCUAUUUAUAGAUGAGUUUUUAAGCAAAAAUAACCGUUUGAUAACGAUAUAAAAUUUCUACUCCAAAAAUAUAAAUUCAUUUGAUAAUGACAAAAAAUUUCUUCCUUUCAAACGGCGGUGGAUCGAUGGACGGUGGUGGACCGGCGAUCGUUGGCAACGGCGGCAAUCAGCGGCUGGCGGCGACGGCGGUGACCGGCAACCUGCGGCCAUCGACUGGCGGCGUCGGCCGGUGGUCGGCGGCGACGAAUGGAGAACACAAUAAGAAGAAUUUUUAUUUCUCAUUUUUAUUCCAGAAAUAAAAAGUAGAAAAUUUCUACUUCUGAUUUUUAUUCCAAACCUAUUUUUGAAACAAAAAUCUAUUUCAGAAAUAAAAAAAAUUGAAUAAGUUUAUCAAACGGAUUUCUAUUUCAGAAACGAUUUUGGAAUAGAAAAAUUAUUUUUGGAACAAAAACAGGUGUUUGUCAUAGACUCCCUAAGCAUCAAGUGCCGAUGGAUCUCGAGAUUUUUAGUGCUUCACGUUGUUCAUCACUGAAUAUAAUCUCUUCCAUUGGUUACUUGAUAUCUCCAUCGAGGCUAUCCUUCAUAACCACCACAAUUACACAACUUCCUCUGUCGAUUCAAGCUCUUACAAGCCUUAAAUACUUGUCUUUGAAAGAAUGUAGAUGUAUACAGAGGCUUCUAGACUCGAGUGGCAAUCUACAAUGGCUAAUUGAGUUCAAUAUCUCCUACAUGUGCAUUAAAGAGCUACCUACUCGAUGGGAAAUGAAAAGUUUGAAUGUUGUGAGGAUGAAUAAUUGUUCCAUUGGAAAGAUACCUAGUGCCUUAUGGUUGCUGUAAAAGCUUCAAGAAAUAGAUGCAGCAAGGUGAAACCUUGCAACUGGAACUAUAAAUGACAUUUGUAGAUAUUCCUCUUUGAGGAUCUUGAAAUUGACACUGAUUUAAGCAUGAUGAGUACAAGUACCAAGGCUUUCUCGUCUGUUUACACAUUGAUUCAUCAAUGGUGACACAAUUUAGAUUUCUUAAACUUGACUAGUUUAAAUGAUUUGUAUUUGGGCUAUUUGACGAGAUGCUUAGCCGUUGACAGUUGUCCACUUGUGGAAGAUCCCAUGCCAUGGUGCAUUAUGAGAUUAAAUAAAGUGGGGUCUUUUACCUGCUUGUCUGCUGUUGUAAUUACUUGAUCAACAGACAUUGGUCAGCUUUCUCUACUCAAAAGACUAGAACUCCAAUGUGCUAAUUGGCUGCACCUCCAAAGGCUUCCCUCAAGUUUGUCUUAUUUAUCUGUUGAAUCUUGCUGGUGGAGGAGAACAGCGAUGGAUCUCUCAAAUAUGAAUAGACUAUCAGAACUAAGAAUGGUAAAAUCUGCAGUAACAGAGAUUUAAGCCCUUGAAUAUUUGAAGAAUCAUGAAUUGCGAAACUCUUUGAUCUUGAAAAGGGAGAGUUUCCUUAAUCCGACUCAUUUGAAGAAGUUGAAGUUAGUUGCAAUAGAUUAUUGGGAGCAAUGUGGAUUUUGCUCGUCGCAAACCACCAGAAUCUCUGGAAGAAUUGUUGAUUGGAGGCCCUGCCAUACCCGAUCUAAGUUGAUCGGGUCUAAAUUUUUGGCGAGCAGGGGAUAACAAGUGUGAGGCCUGACUGUUUCAACUUGAAGAGGUUCAAAUGAUGCAAUGUCUAGCAUUGCAUAGGAGAUUCGUCCUCGAAAAAUUUAGAAGACAUGCUCUACACAGGAAUACAUUUUCCAAUAAGAAGUGCAUGUAGUUCUUGAAAGGUCAAACAUUUACAACCAAAUAUGUUGUCAAGAAAGCUCUGAAACAUAAACAAAUUGCUUAUUGGCCUAGGUCAUUUUAGCAGGCUUCAUUAUUGCUUUCCUGGAAUUGUGUUCUUUAUACUAAUUAGACUCACAAUUUGGCAAAUUCACUUGAAACUUGCAUCCUUGUAUAGUUAAAUACUGGCCUUUUUGCAACCACUUUCUAUUUUGAAGAUGGAUGGCUGCAAAAUGCUCAUGAAAUGGACCGUGGUUUCUUUUGAUCUAUUUCUUGAGUUAGAUUUGGUUUAGAGAUAUUCCCUUUUGACGAUUUUGGUUGGUGAAUAAAAUUUCUGGUAAAAGACUAAGUCAAAUUGAUGCUAGUUUACUAUAGUCAAGGGCAUUAAUCUUGUCAAUUUACACAUUGGUCUUUUAUGUGAGAUCCUUGAACUUGCUCAGUUGUACAAUUUGAAGCUGAUAGCCAUGCCCUGUAAAUAUUAACUUCGCUACACCUUUAACAAUGAAGGAUGUAUCCAAAGUGUAGGUUUUAAUCAGAGACAGAAGCUCUGUCAUUCACCUUUUGGUUAUCCUUGAAAUGGAGCUUUAGGUUUCAACAUCGAUAAGGAGAACCACUGUCCCACAAAAGUCCCACUUGACAGCCUAAGCUUUUUUCUCUUGGUAACAAGAGAAAUUUACGGGGUCUUUCUAUGCGAGUAAGCUGUGAUUAACUCAAUUAAUGCAUAGAAUUGACAACUAUCUCACCAAGUAGAGGAAAAUAUACAUAAGAUGACAAUAUUUUUUGCCAAUGCUGGUCUCUUGCACAAUGUGCUUUGAAUGGUCAUAAUUAGCAAUAUAUCCUUUGAAAAGAUGAAGGAAAUUUAGUUCUUCAGCUUUCCACUAAUGUUAGUUCCUGUAUAUCAAGGAAAAAAAAUGUAAAAGCUUACAACUCUCGUUCCGGAGGCUGAUCAGUGUUACAUGUCAAAGCCAAGAUGACAUAAAUUGUUUACUCCUAAGAGUUAAGAUUGAGCAAAGGUUGCCAGUGGAAAUGAUGCAAGACAAGGUCAUCAUCUGCUUCCAAGAUGGAUUGAUGUAAUAAUUAAUCAGCAUAACUCCCUGCCAGACAACAGUUGAAGUACUUGCGCCAAGAAGUCUUUAGUGACAAUGUGCCUAUAGUAGAAGGUGAGGUCACAGAUGGAGAAGUGGUCUCCCAAGGCACUCUUUGCUUCACCUUAUAAAAACGGUUAAGUCUGGUAAACAAAGCCACGGGCCAAGAUAAGACUGAGAGGUCAACUAGCGAACGCAUUCAUUCAAUAGAAAUCACGGAGUUGUAUAAACAAGAAUGACACAUUCAACUUCGCACUAUUUACAUUCAGAGUAAAUUUGAGUAGAGCUCUUAUGCGUCUUGUGAUGGAUGUGGCCAACAGAUUGAUGGAAUCCAUUUCAUAACCGUCAUCACAGAGGUCCCCGAUAAUCUUUGAGAAACCAGGUGCUGACCUGGGAGCAUUUUAACUGAAGUUGCUCUUGGCAUCGGAGUCUGAAGGCAGCCUCAAUGUGGAAGCAGAAGGAUUCCCAGAAAAGAAAAGAUUUCCUUUGACGUCUUCACCUCCGUAUUCCUUCAAUCGUGCAUCCAUUACGAUUUUGCAUGAUCCCUAUGUCUCAGCCAUUAAUCCCACGCCAUAGUAGACUAAAUGGUCCGAGAUACUGUUACCAGUUACCAAUCUGCACGGAUGCACCCUCAUCAGUCAUCCAUGUACAUUCUCUAGAACAAGCUGGUUUGUCAUGACUUAUUGCGUCUAGCAUGACAAAUCCACAAACUAAUUGCUUGAACAAGUAGCCAUGACUGAAACUACCUCAUUACCUGCUACAUGAUGAGUCUUCUCCAGAGCCGUCACAAACUUUCUCGACCUGAUAAACCAGACUACCAAAUCCUAUAUUAUUCAGCCAUACCUACAAAAGGGAACAUCCCAAUUACAUGUGAACAUUGACAUAGAAAAGAUUAUGAGUAGUCACCAGAGAAACAGUUGGAAUCAAAUCAUUUUCACAUUAUCUCACAUCAAUAUGUUUAUCCGUGGCUGUCUUUGAGCAAGUCGCCAAUUAUCAUAAGCAUUAGUAGACAUACAAUAAUUAAAAUGUGUAUAAUUGCACAUAAACUAAGACUAAGUCAAGACUAGGUUAUCAGCCAUCAUAAAAAAGAGAAAGAGAAUAUAUAGCAAACGUUAUUAUGCGUCUUAAACUUUCGAAUCAGUAUGAAAAAACUCAUGAUGGCUUUUGCAGGAAUGAGAGUUACUCAAAUAUUUCUCAGAAGUCACGAGCACCACAAACUACCCUGCUUUGCUAAGAUGAAAUACAAAAAACUUAUUUUUCUAUGCUGAAAAAAGAGAGUACAUAAAUUGUCGGAAUAAAUGAGACUUAGAUGGGUUGGAAGAAAUGCAAAGCAAACGUCAAAGUCAAUCAGCAACAAUUCCCCACAACAUAGAUGAUAUUCCACCAAGAUCAAAGCCUUACCUCUCUAGGGAAGUGAUGGUAAGUCUUCUGUGGGAACUGAGAAUAGUAAGGAGGCAAAUGAGGCACAAUAUCAUGUCCAUUGGUAAUACGUAUUGUAUUUGGCACAUGUCACUGUAGUAAGACGCAAACACUGCAUUGCCAAUACGAGGUUGUCCAAAUGUUAAAACCUGAACAUUCUGUGCUUCAUGAUUGACCUGGAAAUGAAGCAUCCCCAGUUAAGCAGCAGGCGAAUAACAACUUCAGCGCACAUAAUUAGACAGCCAAAUAACUUGAAUGUUAAGACAUCAAUGGCCCUGUCAGGAUGGGCAAAAAAAAAACAUUGUGCAUCAAAAACCAUAUACUGCAUUUCACAUACAAUGGUGAACAAAAGAGCAUCCCUUUCUCUCCAUGAGGUUUGAAGGUCUAGCGUUACUCUGCAAAGUUCCCAUCCACAAUUUUCCCAACACCAAACCCAACACCCACAAUAAAACCGACCCUACCCUCAGCUUCAAGAAAAGAUGUUAACAAUAUAAAAUAGUGGGAUUGGGGGUGAAUUCACAAUCGAGGUGCAUUUACAUGCUGCCACAAGAAGCAAUUGGAUGUUGGUGGCAUGAGUCACAUCCUGCUAAUGGCAUAAACAAAAAAUUCCAGGUUCACAGUGAAAAUGCCCCUUGAACUCCAAAACUUAUGUCAUAAAUAGCAAAGGAGAAACUAAAUCAAAAUAAGGGCCACAACGCAUGGGCAUGAUGCCAUAGUCAGAUAAGAACAAUUUUCAAGACGAAACCAGAAAACAAGUAGUAAAAUUUUAAAAUCAUUCGUGUUAGGACAAGAUGUCAUGCUUGCUACUUGUACUUCAAGAAAAGGUAUAGUCUAAAGUGUAUGCAACCUAUGAUCCUAUCAUAGGCCACAUGAAUGUUUGACUCUCAAGAAAUCACCACUUCUCAUGGAGAGAGAACAAUGGGACAUGACUUUGCGGUGUGUACCAUUUCUGGUACCAGUCCCACAACAGGUGCCUAGAAAAGUACACUAGACCACUAUUUAACAAAGCCGAGACGAAAAGCAUAAUUUAGACAUCUUAGAAUUGGCUCCAACCUACGACAUAUCUACCCAGCAGUCCGACUGAAGAAGGGCUGCUUCAUUUGAUUAGGAAGAGACAGACAGCAACAGCACGCAAAACACAAACUUGGGCUUGAUACAUAAUGUAUCUUAAAAUGCCUUAGCACUUUAAGAUUACAAUACAUAAAAUUUGAGCUUCAAGUGCCUAAAAAAGUAAUAUGUCUGGACCAUAAACAUAUCGUCAAUCCCAUAAAGUUUCCAGCAAGUGAACUUUGUAAUGAAUAGUUGGAUGUCCUUACCCACUACAUUUAAGUAUUCAACCAACUCAAAGCUCCAAAGCUUAACACGUGCGACUCAAUUCACUAACUAGAUACUCCAAUAAUUGGUGGUUCGCGCAAAGACUGAGUGCACCCCAUUCUGCUUGUGUAUUGUCUAUGGAUUGAUCUAACAAAAACAUAAGAAAACAAGAUGCUAUUAUGAAAAAUUGUACAUAUAGCUAUGAGAGCCAUAGAAAGUUCGAGAUCCAUGUAAAGAGUCUAGAAACUUCAAGGUAAAGUUGGCAGAGAAUUCCAAAUAAAUCUUAACAGACCAAAACUGAACAGUUGGAAGAACACGAUAGAAAAGAAACCAAUAAAAUUCACAAGUCCCAGGCAUAACAGUUUUUCCAAUUUAUCUUACCACAAGAUCGAGUCCACAAAAGGAUGCCAUAGCCCCUCCCAUAGAAUGCCCUGUCACCAUGAUGUUGAUGUCUCCAUAUAAAUCCUUGGCUCUAACAACAACAUCCAAAAUACCAACUCGAAUUGUCGUAUUGUGAUAAGCAAAAUAGAAUCCAUGAUGAACCUAAGCAACAAUCAAUAGAGUAAGACCAUAACUCAAUCUAAAUCAUAAGUAUCCACAGGUAGUGAGAGGCUUAUCAUCUCUGGAACUCACCAUGGCACCACCGCACCAGGCAUGCCGGGGUAAUUUAUGUCAAGCUGUUUCCAAUAGAGAUCUUCAACCCAAUUUUGUAUGCUAUAGACAUAAAUAGAAGUAAUCAGUAACUGAAAAGCUCAAAUGAUAAAGAGAAGUGACAGAAUUUUUCACUGAACAAAAUUAGUGAAGUGUGGGAUCUCCUCAUGACUCCAUCUGAAAUUACAGGAGAGUAACUUCCGUGUCUUGGUGGAAAUGAUUCACCCUUUUUCUGUUCGUAUGGACAGCAUUCCCAUGUGCCCUGUGUGCACAUUCACUGAGGCCGCUCUUCUUAGCUUAAAUUUUGUUCAAAUUUUUUGCAUGUCAAUUAUAAGGGGAGGAAUUGCAAAAGCUAACAUGCAUACCUAUGUUCUUGGGUACCUCCGAAAGCUAUAACCAUAGCAUUAAGGUCCUUGGCCACUCCAACAUAUGCCUAUAUAUAUAUAAAAUAGUUUAGAAAAGAGACAAAAUUAGAUGCAAUUCAAACAUAGAGGCAUUGCAAGCAUCCAAAUUGAUAGGCCACUGUACAAUGAUUUAUAUACUUGUAAGCAAUGCCGAACGUCACCUAUCAGUUCAAUGACUUCGAACCCCUGCUUUCAUAUCAAAAAGGCAUUAAUAAACAGUUCAAAAGCUCAUAAGAUGAGGUAGCAUAUGCCCACAAAAUGUCAUCUUAAGAACUGGGUACUUAGUACUAAAGAUCCAUUCUUCACACAACCUUAGCAACUAAAAAGUAGUCAAAUUACCUUGGUCUUUCCAUCACAUCUAGGACAUGUCCAACUAAAAAGUUCUGUCAAAUCUGACAUGUAAACCUGCAACAAAGAGCUUUGCAUUAAAUUACAAUUUUAUUGUAUUGAAAUGGUGAAACAUGAUGCGUAACAACAAUAAGGUCUAGGUAAAUCUGAAAUUUUUUUUAAAGAGCACUUAUGGCCGAUGCAUACUCCACAAAUAUCGUGGCAAGAGUAUGAUUGUAAACAGCUUUAUGAGCCUUGGACCUCACUCUGAGUUCUGCAUUUACCAGUAGAUAAAAUUCCAGAUUGAAAAGUGGUCACGGGCUCAUUCAAUCACAAGCAAUGAAUUGAGUUUUUUUAUCUCUCUAGCAAGCUAUUUUGACGAAUCAAGUGACGGGAACGCUUUGAGGAAAUAUCAACUCAAAACAACAUUCAGUGUAUUUUUGCAGUCCUUCGUGAACUGAAAGAACUAUUUACACAAUGCAAUGCGAUGAGGAGGAAUAAGUGAACGACAUAGGUUUCCACUUUUCAAUAAAGCUGCUCCAUGAAAACCUACAGGCGACAGUCCAUAACCAAACAAAAGCUGAAUAGCUGAUAUUCAAUCACUCUAAGACAUUCGACAAAUUAUAUCCCCAAAGUAGAAACGGCAGAAUGAGAUUUGCAUCAAACAAAUAUAAGGAAAUUCGAUCAAUCUGACCAUAUUCCAGCCAUAGCAUCAAUCCAAACUUGGAAAUCUAAGGGCUUAACAGAACCAACCAAGCACAAUUCGACGCUUGUCCUUUAUAUGCUUUGAGAACAUCCAAUUGUCCACCAGAGGGAUCAUAUAGCUAAAGUUUUGCCCCAUUCAGUCAGGUACUAAAGCUCCGCGACACAGUCAACGAUUGCCCCGUACCCUGAAAUACCCAAUCCCCCAAAUUUACAACACAAAUCUCACUGUCAAAGCUCAAAACCGACGUACUCAAUUCGAGAGCCUUUCUAUUCGCACCUUCUCACAAUCAAAACUCCCAAUCCGAAUCGAGUCAGAGAAUGGGAGCAGUAACUGAUCACAUGAACGCGAAUUGCAAUUACCUCUCGCCCGGCUCGUGGCAACCAAGCACGUCAGAACCACCAUCGCCCUCAGCCACGACCCGUUCCGCUCCAUAUCCUGCAACAGAAAACGGAUCGAACAGCGUCGUCGAUUAUUAAAAAAAAAAAAAAAAUCUCGCCACCAAGGAAAAAAAAAAAAAAACUCCAAUCUCCGCACCUUUCAUGUACGCAAACAAUCACACGCGAUCAAAACGGCGCGGAUGGCCCGGCGAGAUAGAUACAGAGAGAGAGACCGAUCGCGAGAUCCUCGCCCGCGUCGCUCGAAUUCGAAUCUCGAUUCUGGUCCCUCGCGGCGGCGUCGUUCGUGGACUUUUAUUAUGGCGAUUGAGAGCCGCAUUGACUUGAUGGGGGCGAAGGGAAGCGGAGGACGACGACGAAGUUACGUAUCUUUCCUGAUUUGCCCCCGUGAUCUUCCCCCGUCGGCGGGCAUAUUCGGUGUCCGCGUUCGGUGAUUUCGUCGCUUGCGCGAGGGCAAUGAAGGGAGUUCGUCUGAAAUCGGGGAGCUUUGAGAAUGACCGCGUGGCGAUUUCUUCUGUUUUAUUCUGCUUUUGGACAAAACUCGGGAUCCCAUCUCUCUCUUUUCGGAGCUUCCCCUAGGUUUCUCCACGUCAGCACUUUGACUCGCCGCUUGUCUCAAGCUAGAAUUCCCCCAAAAAAAACAAAAAACUAAAAUUAAUGCUAAUAUUCGUGGAGAUAUAUGAAAAUGCGAGUACUACUUCGGACGAAUGUUUUAGAAUUCAAGCUCGAAUCCAUCUAAUAUCUCGACUCGUACGAAUUUGAAAAUAAUGUAUUACAUUUGAGUGAUUGGCGAGUGGAGCUUCAUCCCGAAUUGUGAAACCUACUUCUCUUGAUUUAAGAGAGAGUUGGAGAAGGUGACUUGCUGUAUGUAUUGAUUCUUGAUGCUCUUGGUGUCUUUAUUGACUUGGACACAAUAGCUUUUAUUUGGACUGAUAUCAUGAAAAACUCAAAUUAUUUUUUUGAUCAUUAAAAACUUAAACCCAUACAUCUGUAACAAAUUUACUCAUUAUUAGUUAGUGUUAAAAUUUACUAUUAAAUUGUUGAGUUAGAUAACAUGUAAUGCUGAUGGAUAUACUAGUUUAAAAUUUUACAUAUCAUUAGUUUACGUUAAAUUUACUGUUAAAUUGUCAGGUUUUAUGACAAUUGACAUAUGUACAAAUUUAAGGUUUUACAUUUCAUUUAUCAUAGUUGUCAUGAUAUUGAUCCAAUUAAAUGGAAAUUAACGAAAAAUAAAUUCGUCACAAAUGUACCAUAUUGAAGAUUUUUGUGGUAAGUUCGUCAAAUGUAUACUAGUUUGAGAUUUUUUAUUGUUAAAAAAUUAAUUAAGGAUAAAAUGAUCACCAGUGCAUCAAUUUUGAAUUUUUCAUGAUAUUAAUUCUUUUUAUUUUUUAGAAUUUCGAGUUUAGUUGCUUUGUAUAAAAUAUACAAACUACUCAUAAUGUGAGCACAUUUAGAACUGAUCACUGCCUUAAAAAUCACAGCAUUGUUAUCUUAUAGUUGCUCGGUGGAAUGUAUGAGUCGUACGGAGAUUAAAUGUUUUACAUAUAAAAAGAACAUGAAGUCCAAUGAGUUCUAAUCUCAAACAAAAAGGUUGCAAGUGUACAUUUUAAGAGGAAAGAUUGUGAAUGAAUUUUUAUUUUUUAUUUUGCAUUUAGCUCACACUAAUAAUAUAAAUAAGAACAUUAAUAUGAGGCACGUGCCAUAUUUGGUGGCUCUCACAAAUUUAUAUUGGUAGUGGAAUAUUUAUAAAACUAUAGUGAAAUUAGUACACGAAACAAGUGGGAGUUAAGAAAAAGGCGAUGUUCAAGAAAAAUUAUCAUGAAGAGCAAAAUGAUCAAUUUCGUAGACACCGAAUCUUUUCCUUUAUAUGCAGUAGAGAUGAAUGAAUUGGUGUGACUUAGGUCAAACUUUACAAGCACAAAACUGAUUAGUACACUGCUCAGUUUUUGUUGCUAGGCCUAUACACUACUCAUUUGCUUUAUAAAAAGAAGGGGUAAGUACAUUAUCAGUGCCAAAAGUUGCGUACGGCGCUCACUUUGGUGCCAAAAAUUUCUGUCGGAUCACUUAAGUGUCAAAUCAGAUGAAAAAUGAUAACUUUGGUGCCACCGGCGAGAAAUUCCGGCCAAAAUGAUUACGUCGCUUUUUUAUUUUAAAAAAAAAUUGACAUGGCUUUUAAAUGACGUCGUUUUCCGUCAUCCUUAAGAAAACGAUGUCAUUUUGCCGUCAUAUGUGGAUGGCCUCACAAAAACGAUGUCGCACAGCUCAUAUGGGAUUGAAAUUAGGGUUUUUUUUGUUCGAUCCUUGCCCAACGCCGACCUAGCUUGCUUGGCCACCGUUGCUCAGCCUCUGUUGUAGUUGCUUGACUAGGUGAGCAAGGAGAGGCUGAGGUUGUUUCUCGGGCAAGAAGCGACGGGAAGAAUAGGAGGCAAGGGUGGAGGAGGAGGAGGAAGAAGGGGGCUCGAAGGUGGAGAGAGAGAGAAUACGAGGAGGGCGAGGGAAACAACGAGGGCGCAUAUGGAAAUAGUGGAUUGGGCUCUGCUCAAGAAGUGGUUGGUGCUGGUGUUGUUCUUCGGGGAAGAAGAUGACUGUCACGCCCCGAUCCUCUAAGCACGUGCACAUCCCUCCUUGGUCUCUUAAUAGCGAUAUCCUAAGAUGCAUCACCGACCCAUUCAUUUUAAUAUACGCAUGGGGAAGCAGAUAUAAAUCCCUAGACAAUAAAACAAAGGGAUAAGGAGGUAGGGCCUUAAAUUUUUCAAGCCAACAUCAACCUUUUAUAAACGCAUAGGUUUAUUUAAAAUAUCAGGUUGCUUACAAAAAUAUCGGCUAAAUUAAAAAGGGGCUGUCUUAUGACUAAUGAGUUAGAUAGCUUUGCCGAUUCUGUUUCCUCCACUCCCCCAAACUCUGGGACUUCUGGUCCUGCACCAACACCAUCUACAGACCUGAAAAUAGUUAUACAAUAACCAAUGAGACAACGUCUCAACGAGUUCUACCCCUAAGACUCUAUUAGGAAGAAAAUAUACCCUAAGGGUUGCCUAGGCACAACCACGAGUCAGAGGUCUUACCUUGGCCUCAGUUCCUUCUUACAAAUCAGUUCAAUUCAUAAAUACUGACGAAUACAGCGUCCACUCAAUUCAAUCAGAUCAAAUCAUCGAUCAAUCGACUUCGUCGAUUACAUGUCAUCAAGACCAUCAUGCGGUCAUUUCGAUUAAUCACUUUCAACUCUUGAUUUUGGCCCAACAGGCACAACCUAGAUUAAGUGGUCAUCACCGCCCCACUGGCAACUUUUCUAUAUUUGGUGGUAAUCACAGCUCCACUUGGCAAUUUUCUAGGUUCAGUGGUAAUCAUGGCCCUACCUAGCAAUUUGCUUAGAUUUAGUGGCAUCACGGCCCCACUCGGCAAAUUUUUUAUAUUUAGUGGCAUCACGGCACCACUCGGCUAAUUUCUUUAUUGAGUGGGAUCACGGCCCCACUCGGCUAUUCUUAGGUUUAUACCCACAUUAAUAAAUUUUCGGGAUAAAUCUUUAUAAUCACCAAUUCACUCAAUUUUCACCAACCAAGGCUCAAUUAAAUAAACAUACCGCACCACAAUAACUAGCAUAAAAUUUUCUAGGUUCAGGGUCUAACUUAGGCCCGUUAUAGCCUAAUUGAAAGCCGAGACAAGUAGGGAAAAUUCCCAAGACUUGUUUAAUAAAUACUAAUACGAGUCUACUUGUUAAUGUCACUAGCUAACCACCUAACAUGCAAUGAUAAGACACUAAUUUCAUUGUUCUACUCUAAUCUAACCACUUAAGUAUGCUUAAUUAAAUCUAAUCAAUCCCUAAACAUAAUUUACCAACUAAGCGAAGAUUAGUGAGUGAAACUCGCUUAUUAAAAGUGAAGACGGGAACACCGCGACGACACGUGACGGCGGCCAAAAUCCAAAUUUUCGGCAGUGUCGACGGACACUCGAGCCGGGCCUAGAAUGGGCCCAACAAAUCUCAGCCCAACUGAGAUUUGUUUUCAACUUGGGUUGGGCUUCAAAUGGGCUGCUCUUUGGGGCUUCAAUGGACUUGCUGGAAUUAUACGAACUGGGCUUGAUGGACCCAAUGAAAAUCGCUGGGCUAACUUUCAUGGAAAUGGGCUGAACAGGCCUUGAAUGGGCUGGAUCCAAGCUGGGCUUGAAGAUGGGCCUAACCGUGAGUUGUUGACUGAUCGCGGGCUUCGGUGGAUUGCUGUUUGUGCGGAUGGAAGGCUGGUAGCUGGGAGACACGUGAUUGAGGAGCUGCUUCUAUUGACUCUGUGCUGGCGUGAGCUGCUGUGGUGUUUGCUGGCGCACGAAGAAACGAAGAUGGCAGGCGCGUGGACGUGGCUUCGGCGGUAGAAGCGUGGGGACUUCGGUCAACAAAGUGGGAAGAGUUUUGCUGCUAUUGACUGUGAGGAUGUGAUGGCAGCCAAAGAACAAACGGAGAGGAGAGCAGACAAGCGACGAGCGGCUUCGGUGGACGUGACUUCAAGGGGUCAACGAAAGAGCUUCUGUGGGCUUGCUGUUGACCACAGAGACACACAGCUUCGAUCGUGGGCUGUCGGUGGCUUCGCUGGACGCACAACGGAGCCGCAGCUCAACGAAGCCAAGAGGAGGUUGACGCUGGGGUUGUUGCGGUUGAUGAUUGACUCGGACGAAUGCUACGGUGGGUGAAGUUGCGGGAGAUAGCAAUAAGAGAGAUGGUCCAUGAAGGGAAUUUCGUUGGUGGAGGCGUGCUGGCCGAAGCUAGGGUUUGUUGAUUGAGGGAAAACAGGGAAAAAUGAAAGCAAAUCCGAAGCUGCAGAAAGGAAAAGAGUCGGCCAUAUGGGAUGUGCGAAGGAGAUGGAGGUGGCGUGCAUGAGAAUUUUGAGAGGGGGGACCCAAAAAUCAUCAAACCUAUCUCUUCUAUUGAUGUCUUUGUGGCAUCCCAAAAAUUCAAGGCGACCUCCAGUUACAUUAAAGUCUAUGAAUAAGUGAUGGAAGCACCAUCAAGUUAUAUUAUAGCCACUUAAUCCAUGAUUUGCAAUAAGAUUUAUGGCCAAGCUUUUAAUGGAGAGUUAUGUGAUAGGAAAGAAAAUUCUAUCAUUGGUCAUGUGUAUUAUAAAUUGGAAUUUAUGGAUUUAUGACUACAAGUUUUAUGGCCAUAUUAUUUUUGCAAGUUAGGUAUUUAUUUAUGUGAAAAUGAUAGUAGAUUAUUAAAAGGAUAGUGGGCCGAAAUUCUUAGGCCAAGCUGGCCCAAAAACCCAGCCCAAGACCCCCACCAUUUUGGCCCAAAGCCAGGCCCACGAAGCCCAAAGGAAAGGGCUGCUGUCGACCAAGGGGGAGGGGGGAACCGGUUUUGCAUGCCUCCCCAUUUGCCCCAUGAAGCUUGCCAAGUGUUCUUCCCUAGUUGCCAAGUGUGGCUGCCCCAUUGGCCUUCUUGGGCGGCCACAUGCAAAUUCAAUCAUUGCAAAUGAUUGUAAGGGAAAGUAAAGAGGGGGAGCCGGUUUUGGUGAGAGAGAGAGAGAGUUGUCGAGAGAGUGAGAGAGGGAAACUGAGAGAGAAGGAGGCCGUGCGUGCGAGGGAGAGGAAGGAGGUCCGUCCGCCGUUUGUCCGCCUAGCUCGCUGCCGUUCGUUCGCCGCCUUGCCCGCUGUUUGUCGCUGUUUUGUGCUUAAGUUCGAGGCAAGUAGAAUCCUAAAACCUACCCUUUGCUUGCUGUAAUGUGAGUGUUGAAGAUGGUGGAUUUUGGUUGUGGUGGAAGUGAUGAAAUUUGGAGCUUUGGGGAGAGAUUCGUUGGCCUAACAUGCUGUUUCUGGAAAAAACCAAUCUGACUGUUCAUGAGUUUGUGAGUUGCAUGCGACUUUUUAGUUGAAAUCUUGCUUUGGUAUCUUCAUGAAAGUUGUAGAGGACUUCUUGAAGUUUAACAUACUAAAAUUUGAGACAAAAUGGACAAGUAUUGGGGGGUGAAACCCUUUUUCUACGAAAAUAUUAGAUCUGGAAACUGUUUUGUUAACCUCUUGGUGACUUUGUGUGCUGCAUGUGACUUUUUAUUUGGAAUUUCACUUCGACCUCUUCGUGAAAGUUGUAUAGGACUUCAAGAAGUAUAACAUAUAAAUUUGAGAUAAAAAGAACAAAUAUUUCUUGGUGAAACGAGUUUCCUUUGAAGAAAUUAGAUCUGGAAUUUGUUGUGCUGACCUUCAGUGAUUUUGUGGAUUGUAAAGUAUCUUUCUUGUAAAAAUAUCACUUUAAUCUCUAAUUGAAAUUUGUAGUGGACAUCUUGACGUAGAACAUAUCAAAAUUUCAGAGUAAAAAAACAAAGAUAGGUCAGUAAAAUCAUUGUUCUUUGAGGAAACUGGAUUUGGGAAAAUGCUACUUCGACCUAGUAUGAUUCUGUGAUUUUUUAUAAAAUCAUCCAGCUGAAAUUUGAUCAUAUGUCCUUAAUGAAAGUUGUAGGUAAUAUUAGGUAAUAUUCUGAGGAGUAACAUACUGAAAAUUUAGAAGAAACGAACAUAUAUAGGUCGGAGAAACGAGUUUCUUUUGGAAGAUGAUAAUCUGGAAAAGAUGACUCCGAGAACAGGGAGAAUAAAUCGUCUAUAUCUAUUAAUAUAGAUCUGUUUGGGUUUCAAUUUAUUCAUGAGAAAUUUACCUUUAGGACUUUUCUAUAACAUGUCAAAAUUUCGGAAUUUUUGAAGUUCAUUUGGGUAUUUAAUUUAAAUUAUUUCCGAAACUGUGCAAGCUGAAAUAUUGAAGUUUUGAAAACUGUGAUGCAUGGACCGUACUGUUUUGUGUGAGAUUCUUUUGGUAUGGUGUUUUUCAUGAGAUAUCUACCUUUAGGUCUCGUCUAUAAUGUGUCAAGUUUUCAGAAUUUAUUAAUGCCAUUUACUAAUUUUCUAGAGUUUUAAUUAAAGGAGUACAUUCUGUUUUAUCCGAAUAUUGAGGUGUUUUCAAAAAAUGAAUGGAAUUUUCCAUGUGAUGUAAUGUUCUGAGUGCUGGAUUUUGCUGCAUAUGUGAUGACAUAUGGCAUGUUAUAUGGCAUUAAAGGCUGAUUGAGAUCCUUGAUAUUGUUGCAUCAAAUGCCAUGUUGAAAUUAAAAUACAUGUGUAAAUAUAAAUUGAGAUAAUAUCAAGACCGUCGGAGGUGUGAGCCGACGAUGCCUUGGGAGUUUCGAGAUGCCCGGAGGUUUGUGCCAAAUGCCCGGAGGUUUCUGCCGGAGGGUCCUCGUGAUGCAAGUUGAGAUAUGAGAUGCCCGGAGGUUUGUGCUGAAUGCCCGAAGGUUUGUGUCGGAGGGUCCUUGCGAUGCCAGGAUUAGGUGCGAGAAGAGGGAUGCAAACACUGAUCCCUGGAAAAAAAAAGAAAAAGAAAUGAGAUCCUUUGAAAGUUGAGAUGGAAAUUGAAUCAUGCAUAUGUGUGUGAGCAUAUGGCAUAGGAUAUGAUUGCAUAUGAAAUUGAGCUAAUAUCAUAUGGCAUUGAAAAUGUGAUCAUGGAUGCAUUGAGUGGAUCUCAUGGAAUACAUACAUGAUGGCAUGGUAUGGAUGAUGUGAUCAUGCGCAUGUAUGGGCAUGUGGCAUGGAACAUGGGUUGUUUUGAUACAUGGUGAUAUAUGCAUGGUUGUAAGGUAAGGUAUGCUUGAAUGCAUGAAUGAUAUGUGUUUAUGAGACCUUGAUUGCUUUGCUUGCUGCAUUGUGUAGUUUGGUGGAUCUUUACUGCUGAGUGGUUGUACUCACCCCUUUUGGGAAUUAACAUUUCAGAUUAGAAAGAUGCAUUUGCUACCAGUUGCACGCGGUACUUAUUAUGGCAUACCUACUGAUGCGGAUGUGGAGAGUACAUAGCACACCUGUGUCGGUGCCCCUAGUUUAGUGUUUGUUCGAGUCCGUGUCCUGGUUAUGUACGAUGUCGGUUGUGCUAAUGGCCCGAUUAUCCAGGAGUUCUUAUCUGUGCACAUUUGACGUCAUGGAUGAUGGUAGGGAUGCUACUGCCGUUGCCGCCUGAUGGACCGGGUUGGGUGUGAUGGCACUAUAAUUGGUGGGAGCUGACACUUUUUGGGAUAGCCGACGCAUGUUGAUGGAUGAGCGUAUAUGUUUGAUAUAGGGUCGAGUUCUUUUUGCUUAUAGCCAAGUGUAGUUAUAAACCUUGGCCUUUUGCUUUAACCGACCCAAGAUGUCCAUCUUGCUAAUGUAAAAAAAAGCGACUCGGCUUUGUUUUUCCUUUGGUGUAUAGUUGGUGUGCAUUGCAUUAUUGUUGUUGGAGUAAGGGAUGGGAUGUUGGUUAUGCUUCCGCUAUAUGAAUUGCGCUGGGACCUAUACAAAAAAAAAAUAGGGACUAAAAAAGGGAGAAGAAUUUUAUUGAUUAACCCCUUUUAAGCUAUAGUUCCUCUUUAAUUGAAAAGCCUUUGGACUCGCUUGUAGUAAGGUAAGUAAUAAGUACCUCUGGUGACCCUACCGGAGUUGGGGGUGUCAGAGCCUUGUCCCCCUAAAGUCUACAUAAUUAUCCUCUUAUGUCUCCAAUUCUUUCUUGAAAUAGAAUUCUUCAAUAAUCCAAUUUUUGGUGUCAAAAUAUAGCCCAUCAACCAUAAAUCCGAAUUUCACUUAAUUUAGCUUCAAUUUCAUCCUCAAUUUCCCAAAUUCAAAGUCCAAUUUCAUCGAAGAAAAUCUUGAACAAUUUUUUGUAAGUCCCUGACACUCAAAGGCUCGGCAUGGAAGUCCAAAUUUCCUUUAAUUUGGCUCAUCUGAAUUUCCGCUAAUUUUCUGCAACGUCCAAACCGAUUUUCCGUAAAAAUUCUGGAAUCUCUGAAAAAUCUUUGGAAGAUCAGUCGAUGUUCCUAAAAUACCUUGUGACACGACAGAACUUUCAGUUUCUGAAAUCGGGUUCAAAUUCGCGGUUAAUUUCAAUUCGGCGUGCUUUUGGCGUGACCCAGUCUACCGAUUAGUUUUCAGGAAUUUUUUGUGCAAUUGACCCGUGAUCGAUUUAUCUUGAGUCACACUGUACAUCUUCGACACAUUGGCGACUAUCGAUUGUCGUGAAAAUUUCGAGAUUUCAAUUACAGGCACCGGAUACCAAAACAAUAGAAAAUCAAUUUAGUGCAAAUCGAUGAGAAUUUUGCAAUCAAGUGGAAUCACCCACAUUUUGAUCACAUAUCUUAGUCGAAUCGACUUAACUCUGAUCUCUAAUCGAUCUCUGACGGUGCUGUAAUGAUCCUUGCAGAUCAACAUGGCUGAGCGGUCGAUUCCUAGUAGAAUUCUCAAGUCCAAUUGCCUUUAGAUUUCUUAAUUGCUUCCCCAGAUAGAUUAGUUAUCUCGUGAGUAAUCGGCCUAGAGAAUAACACUAUUGACGCAUCGAUGAAAGGCUCGAUUUAUUUAAUAAAAAACGAAAUCUGAAAAUUCAGGCUAUCACAACUUUUCCCCUCUUAUAAAAAUUUUGUCCUUGAAAUUUAAACCUAUUGCAAUCCUUAACCAAAUAGGUGGGGGUACAGUCGUCUCAUUGACUCCUCCAUUUCCCAAGUUGCUCCUUCUGUGCUGUGGUGUUUCUAGACCACUUUAACCAAUGGGAUGGUCUUGGUUUGCAAGACAUGUUCCUUGCGAUCCAUAAUCUAAACCGAGCUUUCAACGUAUGACACUCUGUCGUCCACGUCCAAUUCCUCAAAAUUGAGCACGUGGGUUGAGUUAGGCUUAUACUUCCUUAACGUCAACACGUGAAAGACAUCAUACACUUGAUCCAACCUUGGCGGCAAUGCAGAACGAUACGCUAGGAUCCCGAUUCUUUCAAGAAUCUCAAAUGGACCUACGUACCCCGGACUCAAUUUUCCUUUCUUGCCAAAGCGCGAAGUACCUCUCAUUGGUGACACUUUUAGAAAAAUGUGAUCACCAACUUAAAAUUCCAAUGGUCUCCGAUGCUUAUUGGCGUAACUUUUCUAGCAGCUCUGAGCGGUCUUUAAUUUGUCUCUGAUGAUGACAUCUGCAUCCACUGACUGCUGAACCAACUUUAUGCAUGUAAUUUUCUGUUCCCCAACUUCAUCCUAACAUACGGGUGUUCUGUACACUCUGUCAUACAACGCUUCAAAAGGAGCCAUCUGGAUGCUCUGCUGAUAACUGUUGUUAUAGGCAAAUUCCACUAGGUGAAGCUGAUCUUCCCAACUUCCCUUGAAGUCUAGUACACAAGCUCUCAGCAUGUCCUAGAGGGUCUGAAUUUUCCUCUCAGACUAGCCAUCCGUCUGAGGAUGAUAUAAUGUACUAUAUUGCAGCUUUGUACCUAGAGCACUCUACAAGCUUUUUCCAAAAUAUAGCUGUAAAUCUCGGGUCUCGGUCUGAUGUAAUUGUCACCGACACUCCAUGCAGAAGAACUGUCUAACGCAUGUACAUCUGUGCAUGCCUGUCCAAAUCAAGGUCCUUUCGUACUACAAUGAAAUGAGCCGACUUUUUUGACCACUACCCAAAUAGAGUCAUUACCUCUCUGACUCCUCGGUAAACCUGUCAUGAAAUCCAUUGUAAUAUGUUCCCAUUUCCAUUUGGGAAUCUCAAGAGGUUGUAGAAAUCCUCACGGCUUACAGUACCGUGCCUUCACUUGCUGACACGUUAGACACUUGGUGACAUGCUUGGCGAUGUCCGCCUUCAUACCUGACCACCAAUAGCAUUGACGUAGAUUCUGAUACAUCUUGGUACUACCAGGACGAAUGCUGUAACUGCUACGAUGUGCUUCUGAUGAAAUAUCCUCUCUAAACUCUAUAUCGUCAGGUACAACCAAAAGUCCUUGGAACCUCAGUGUUCCAUCAUCAGAGAUCUGAAAGUCAAAUUUUCUUUUAUCGGUAUCCUCUUGCAGGAUCUUCUGAACAUCUAGAUCUGUUGGCUGAAGUGCUUUGAUUCUGAUUUGGACAUUUGACUCACUUCUGAGGGUGACCAUAAGAUUUAAGAGGUGGCCUACCUCAAUUUUGAAAAUCGAAUCUUUAGCAUUUUCUACCAAAGUCCAUUCUUUGAGUAACAUUUGUGCAACUGAGGACUUUCGACUCAAUGUAUCUGCGACCUUGUUCGCUUUUCUGGGAUGAUACAAGAUAUCACAAUUAUAGUCAUUCAAAAGUUCCAUCCAGCGACGCUGUCUCAUAUUCAACUCCUUUUGAGAGAAUGGAUACUUGAGGCUUUGAUGGUCGGUGACGAUCUGGAAUCUUUCUUCGUACAAAUAAUGUCUCCAAAUCUUCAAAGCGAAAAUAAUUGCUACGGGUUCUAAGUCAUGCGUCGGGUAAUUCAAUUCAUGAGAUCUCAACUGAUGGAAGGCGUAUGCAAUAACUCUGCCAUGUUGCAUCAACACACAACACAGUCCUCUAAAUGACGCAUAAUUGUAGAUCCCAUAUCCUCCAGGACCAGAUGGUACGGUCAGCAUAGGUGCGGUAGUCAGUUUUUCCUUCAGCUCUUGGAAACUACGCUUGCACUUGUCUAUCCACAUAAAAUUUUCUUCUUUUUUUAAGAGUCUUGUCAGAGGUGACGCUAAUGAUGAGAAUCCUUCCACUAACCAUCUGUAGUAACCUGCUAAGCCCAGAAAACCUCUGAUUUCUAUCACGGUAGUCAAUCUUGGCCAACUAAUAACUAUUUCGAUCCUGGCUGGGUCCACGAAGAUUCCUUCACCUGAAAUCUUAUGACCAUUCUCAAAUGACUCUCGUGAUUCUCAACACUCAUCGAAUACACUAGAAUAUCCUUGAUAGACACAACUACGAACUAAGCUAGAUAUUCCUUGAAUACUCAAUUCAUCAAUCCAUAAAAGUAGCUGGAGCAUUCGUCAACAGUUCAAACUGUAUUACCUUACGCCAACAAUUCAUUACCACAAGAUGCUCCUUGAGCCAACUCUUUUCAUAUAUGAAGUCAAAGUUAUACAUAAACAACUAGUUAGGUACAACUGUAGCCAGUGAUUCUUCUUUCUAUAGCUUUAUUAUAUCAACUGAAAUUCUACAGCCUUAACCAAAAUUCCACUGCGCUACUUUGAUAAAAUCACUCCAAAAAUGUUCUUCCUUUGGUCGGUGCAUGGUUGGUUCGUUCUUGUCCCCUCCGCCAUCCUAGUGGUGUUCUAUCUGUGGUACUUUCCCUCUGUCUUGUCCUCUAAUGAUGGCGUACAUUCCUUGCUCUAGAGGUCUGUUUAGUCCACCCUACUAUAUGUUUUGUAGCACAAAACCUCUUAUCUGACCCAAUUAUGGCUGCGACGGUAAUUACGGUUGUCCUCUCAGUCUUUUGGGGUAGUUCCUGGCUAUGUGACCUAAUUGGCCACACUUAAAGCAAGUACCUGGCCUAGAAUUACAUGGGACCGAUCCGUGUCGCCUUCCACACAAGCGACACACGCCAUUCUGGAUAGGCCCUGCUUUUCCAAUUCCAUCCUUCUGAUUGGGCGGGAUUUGGAAUCUACCUUCAGUCAUGGGCUUCUUUCCUUAACGGAUCCCUUCUCUGUGAAAGCUAAACCUUGAUCUAGACAAGGCAGCUUGCUCGUUCAAACCUCUCUCUAUCAUCUAAGCUCGACGAUAGACUUCUCGAUAAUCUAUCAAGUCCAAUGGCAACAGAGGUUGCUUCAGCUCGGCAUGAAGACCAUUUUUGAAUCUUCGGGCUUUCUCUUCGGGGUCUUCAAUUAAUCUAGGGGCAUACUGAGAAAGUUCAGCGAACUUGACCUCGUAUUGAUCGGCCGUCAUCGAUCCCUGACGAAGGCAUUGAAACUCCUCCAUCUUUUGUUCUCGGGCAACACCCAAAAAAUAUUGGUCAUUGAAGGCUUUGAGGAAGAUGUCCCACACCCAGGGCACUCCUUCUGGAAACACGGCAUCCUCGGUGGCUUUCCACUAGAUGUUGGCAUUAUCUUGAAGUUGGUAUACAGGAAAUACCACCUUCUCCUCUUCAUUGCACAUCAAGAGUGCAAAUGCCUUCUCUAAGUCUUGUACCCAUUGCGAAGUAGCCUCAGGGUCUCCACUACCCCUAAAUCUUGGUGGACUGAGCUUUAGGAAAUACUCCACCAAUUUAUGGAUUGGUUUUUCAGCGACCACUAUCCAUGGUGGACCUUCGACAUUCAUGGCGGCAGGUGCAGCUGCAGGCGCUGCAGUAGGGGCAGCCUCGGCAGUGGCAGCAAUAGCGGUGGUAGCGGCGGCUUGAGCAGUAGCGGCCUGAUUCUGUGCUUGCUGAUCCAACCUCGUUCCCAUAGCUUUCAAGACACGCAUGAUCCCUUCUAGCUUGGGAUCAUUAGGAACUACUAGUCCGGCACCUACUAUAGGUGGUGCCGUACCACUCACGCUUGCCUGUGCUAGCACUCGACCACGAUUUCCUCGGGUACCGAUCAUGGUCGGUGUCCUACCCCGAGUUACAGUACGCAUGAUCCUCUUAGAAGGAGUCCUCUACUCCCGAUCGCUCAUGAUUCAGUUUCACCAACUGACACCUGCUUCCAAUUCCACACAGAAUUAAAAACAGAGCAAUUCAAACAAUAAACAAUUCUAGCAUUCAGCUAUCACAGACAUGCACCAGCUGUGAAUUUAAAGGCCUUUCCUACUACUAUCCCAUAGGUCAUCGCACCUUAUCACUUCAAUCUUAAACUCUGCUCUAAUACCACAAAAAAGGGAUGUCACGCCCGGAUCCUCCGAGCACGUGCCCAUCUUUCCUUGGUCUCUUAAGAGCGAUGUCACAGGACGCAUCGUCGACCCAUUCAUUUUAAUAUAUGCAUGUGGAAGCAGAUAUAAAUCCUCAAAUAAUAAAACAAUGAGAUAGGGACCAACAUCAACCUUUUAUAAACGCACAAGUUUAUUUAAACUAUCAAGUUGCUUACAAAAAUAUCGGCUAAAUCAAAAGGGGGUUGUCCUAUGACUAAUGAGUCAGACAGCUUUGCCGAUUUUGUUUCCUUCACUCGCCCAAACUUGGGACUUCUGGUCCUACACCAACACCAUCUACGAACCUGAAAAUGGUUAUACAAUAAAUAGUGAGACAACGUCUCAGUGAGUUUUACUCCCUAAGACUCGAUUAGGAAGAAAAUAUGCCUUAGGGGUUGCCUAAGCACAACCACGAGUCAGAGGUCUUACCUUGGCCUCAAUUCCUUUCUGCAAGUCACUUCAAUUCCUAAAUACUGAUAGAUACAUCAUCCACUCAAUUCAAUCAAACCAAAUCAUUGAUUAAUCGACUCCGUCGAUUACAUGUCAUCAAGACCAUCAUACGGUCAUUUCGAUUAAUCACUUUCAACUCUUGAUUUUGGCCCAACGGGCACAACUUAGAUUAAGUGGUCAUCACGGCCCCACUGGCAACUUUUCUAUAUUUGGUGGUAAUCACGACCCCACCCGGUAAUUUUCUAAAUUCAGUGGUAAUCACGGCCCCACUUGGCAAUUUGCUUAAAUUUAGUGGCAUCACGACCCCACUUAGCAAAUUUCUUAUAUUUAGUGGCAUCAUGGCCCCAAUCAGUUAUUUUCUUUAUUGAGUGGCAUCGCGGCCCCACUCGGCUAUUCUUAGGUUUAUACCCACAUUAAUCACCAAUUCACUCAAUUUUCACCAAUCAAGGCUCAAUUAAAUAAAUAGACCGUACCACAAUAACUAGCAUAAAAUUUUGGUCGUCGACUUUCCCAGCCUAAUUUUUGGGAAAUAAAUAAAUAAAUAAAUAAAUACAUAAAAUAUUAAAUAAAUGCAAUAAAUCUAACUUAGGCCCGUUAUAGCCUAAUUGGAAGCCGAGACAAGCAAGGAAAAUUCCUGAGACUAGUUCAAUAAAUACUAACACAAGUCUACUUGUUAAUUUAACUAGCUAACCACCUAACAUGCAAUGAUAAGGCACUAAUAUAAUUGUUCUAUUCUAAUCUAACCACCUAAGUAUGCUUAAUUAAAUCUAAUCAACCCCUAAACAUAAUUAACCUACUAAGCGAAGAUUAGUGAGUGAAACUCACUUGUUGAAAGCAAAGACAGGAACACCGCGACAACGACGCGAUGGCGGCCGAAAUCCAAAUUUUCGGCGGCGUCGGCGGACACUCGGGCCGGGCCUAGAACGGGCCCAACAAGUCUUAGCCCAAUUGAGAUUUGUUUUCAACUUGGGCUAGGCUUCAAAUGGGCUACUCUUGGGGGCUUCAAUGGACUUGCUGGAAUUACACGAACAGGGCUUGAUGGACCCAAUGAAAAUCGCUGGGCUGGCUUUCACGGAGAUGGGCUGAACAAGCCUUGAAUGGGCUGGAUCCGAGCUAGGCUUGAAGAUGGGCCCAACCGUGAGCUGCUGACUGAUCGCGGGCUUCGGUGGAUCGCUAUUCACGCAGAUGGAAGGCUGGCAACCGGGAGACGCGCGAUUGAGGAGCUGCUUCUGUUAACUCUAUGCUGGCGUGAGUUGCUGUGGCGUUCACUAGUGCAUGAAGAAACGAAGAUGGCAGGCACGUAGACGUGGCUUCGGCGGCAGAGGCGUGGGGACUUCGGUCAACAAAGUGGGAAGAGUUUUGCUGCUGUUGAUCGUGAGGAUGCGCUGGCAGCCAAAGAACAAACGGAGAGGAGAGCAGACAAGCGGCGAGCGGCUUCGGUGGACGCGACUUCAAGGUGUCAACAAAAGAGCUUCUGUGGGCUUGCUGUUGACCACAGAGACACGCAGCUUUGAUCGUGGGCUGUCGGUGGCUUCGCUGGACACACAAAGGAGCCACGAGUCAACGAAGCCAAGAAGAGGUUGACGCUGGGGUUGUUGCGGUUAAUGAUUGACUCGAACGAAUGCUAUGGUGGUUGAAGCUGCAAGAGAUAGUAGCAGGAGAGAUGGUCCAUGAAGGGAAUUUCGUUGGUGGAGGCGUGCUGGCUGAAGCUAGGGUUUGUUGAUCGAGAGAAAAUAGGGAAAAAUGAAAGCAAAUCCGAAGCUGCAAAGAGGAAAAGAGUCGACCAUAUGGGACGUGCGAAGGAGAUGGAGGUGGCGUACGUGAGAAUUUUGAGAGGAGGGACCCAAAAAUCAUCAAACCGAUCUCUUCUAUUGAUGGUGUUGUCCCCCUAAAGUCUACAUAAUUAUCCUCUUAUGUCUCCAAUUCUUUCUUGAAAUAGAAUUCUUCAAUAAUCCAAUUUUUGGUAUAAAAAUAUAGCCCAUCAACCAUAAAUCCGAAUUUCACUUAAUUUAGCUUCAAUUUCAUCCUCAAUUUCCUCCUCAAUUUCCCAAAUUCAAAGUCCAAUUUCAUCGAAGAAAAAUCUUGAACAAUUUUCUGUAAGUCUCGAACACUCAAAGGCUCAGCUUGGAAGUCCAAAUUUCCUUUAAUUUGGCCCAUCUGAAUUUCCACUAAUUUUCUGCAAUGUCCGAACUGAUUUUCCGUAAAAAUCCCAAAAUCUCUGAAAAAUCUUCGGAGUAUGAGUCGACGUUACGACAUAAAUUUCAAUUUAUGAAAUCGAGUUGAAAUUUGCGAUUAAUUUCAAUCCGGAGCGCUUUUGGCGUGACCCAGUUUACCGGUUAGUUUUCAUGAUUUUUUUGUGCAAUUGACCAGUGAUCGAUUUAUCUCGAGUCACACUAUACAUCUUGUUGAAGAAAAAUCCCUUAUGUGUUUUGAAGCUAACAAAACAUCCUCGUCAGUUAACUCUGAAGAAUCCAAGACUCAAUCGCUUAAGUCUGAAGAGUUCAAGACCUAGGUGUUUUAGUCUGAAAAUCUCUAGACUCUUCUAUCAACCCCAGAAGUGUAGACUUUGAUUUUCUCGAUUCAAUCAAGAUUAAUUUGAGAGAAAAGUUUUCUUGUUUACAGCUUGAGACCUUUUGCACUGAUUCGACAAUCGCCUAUCCUGAAUUGAUGGCCUACUUCUAUUCAAAUCUAUCAUUUUUAGAUGCGAAUAGACUUUCAUUUACUUUCAAGGAUAGAGAAUAUGUUGUGGACGUCGACACUCUUGCUGCCAUUCAAUACUAGUGAUGUUAGUCGGUCUGGUGCAGAUGCAGAGGAUGUCUAUGCAUCACACUUUCCAGAGGUUGAGGUAUCUUCUCCCACAGAAGGUCAAAGGGCUGAAAAUGAACCCCCUAGCUUCUAGACUUAAAGAACGGAGUCUGCAGGUCCAAGCACUGCAAAUGUCCAUUCAGCCGAUUUUUCAAAGCUGUUAGAUAUUAUGAUGGAUCUUAAGAAGCAGGUAUAUGGGAUGGAUUAUGAGUUGCGGGAUUUGAAGCAAGCACUCUUGGCUACUUCCGUUUCUAUGCAGAACCAGAUUAAUGCCCUUAAACUUCAAGUUGAAUCAAAUGUGAAGGGUGCUGAUUUGGAAUCAUUAAAGGAAGGAUUUGCUAGCCUCGAGAAGACAGUUAACUCGCUGGGUGAAUAUCAGCUUGUUCGUAUCCCCAAACAGCCUUGACUUUUAUCAUCUUUUUCAUUGAUUCCUCUGCCUCCUUUUGAUGUGACAAAAAAGGGGGGAGAGUGCUGCAGAUUUGAUCUUCUCAUUCGUUUUUGGAUUUAUGACUUAUUUUGUUUUGGACAUUUGGUUUGGAUCUUUCAUGUUUUAUUUUGUUAAGACUUUGGACUGGUGGCGCGUUUGAACUAAUGCUUUUAAUGAUUGGGUUUGGACUAGUGAACUUGCAGGUUUAUUUUAUACUUGUGAGGAUAAUUAUUUUCUAGACUAACAUUUUUUUGUGGUUGUAGAAGUAAUAUAAAUUAUUCCCCAAAUUAUGUAUAAGUUUUCUUUGCAGGUCAAAAGUUUUUCAAAUUUGCCGAGAUAUUUUGUCACCAUAAAAAAUGGGGAGAUUGUUGAAAAAAAAUCCCUUAAGUGUUUUGAAGCUAACAAAACAUCAUCGUCAGUUAAGUCUGAAGAAUCCAAGACUCAAUCGCUUAAGUAUGAAGAGUUCAAGACCCAGGUAUUUCAGUCUGAAGAUCUCUAAAUUCUUCUAUCAAAGUCUGAAGACUGUUAGACUCAAUUUUACGAGUCUGCCGAAGUUGACAGCAUUUUAAUCCAACGGUUUUGGAAUUCAAAGAUUGGAUAAUAUCUUCCUUGAUUCGUUCUAUUUAGUGGAAGAUCUCUGGCUGAAACUAAGCUCGAAGAUUUUGGAUUUAUCUCGAUUAAUCCGUUGAAGAACAAGCAAGAUUUGGAAGGUUCUACUUAUGGAAACUCAAGAUCCUAAUUGUAUGGGCGAAUAGGAUUAACAAGCUAUCUUCCACAUAUAUUUGACAGCUUGAAGAUCACCUUAAUUGAUUCAUUCCAAUGGGUAGAUUGGAUGAACUCGUUUGGAAGGUCUUAACGUCUAUGAAGGCAUGAAGGAGUAUUUAAAGUAGAGUCAUUGUUGUUCGAAGGGAGUGCGCUGAUAGAAAAUUUCGAAGUCUGAACCUCUGAAACUCCUUGUUCUCAAAUUUCUUGAGCUAUAGUUGUGUACAAAGGAGAGAUAUAUACAGUGAGGAUUUGUGUGAGCAAUAGCCAAGACUUUCUACUAAAGAAGUCUAGAUCAUAAGCUGUACAAAUCUCAUUUGCUACAUAGUGAAUUUAUCCAAUGGACUGUCAGCGUGGAGAGUGGAUGUAGGCUUGAACUAAGCCAAACCACUAUAAACUUCGGUGUCCAAAUCUUCUUACCUUAAUCUCUUUAUUUUAUUGUUGCAUGUUUUAAAACUGCUUAAGUGUUUAGUUUCAAAUCUUUCACUCUGAUUUUAUUUCAAGUCGUGUGAUUUGGGUUAAAUGUUUCAAAAGAAAAUUAUAAACACUUAUUCACCCCCCUAAGGUGUACUUACUAGCCUUUAUCACAUCUUCGACACAUUAGCGACUCUCGAUUGUCAUGAAAAUCUCAAGGUUUCAAUUACAGGCAUCGGGUACCAAAACAACAGAAAAUCAAUUUCGUGUCGAUCGAUGAGAAUUUUGAAAUUAAGUGGAAUCACCCAUAUUUUGAUCACAUAUCUUAGUCGAAUCGACCUAUUUCUGAUCUUUAAUCGAUCUCUGACGGUGCCAUAAUGACCCUUGCAGAUCAACACGGUCAAGCAGUCGAUUCCUGGUCGAAUUAUCAAGUUCAAUUGUGUGACAUUCAAAAUUUUCAACCUGUUUUUUGUGGAGUUAAUCGGGUAUUUCAUUGACACGUGUUGACUGUUGACACCCGAAAUUUUCGUCGACAUUUUAAUCAUCCAUUUUGCAAAAAUAUAAAAAAUAAAGAGCCAAAAAUAAAUAAAUAAAUUAAUAAAAAGAAAACAAAAAAGAGAAAAAAAGAAAACAAAAAGAAAACAAAAGAAAACAAAAAGAAAAAAAUGAAAUGAAAUGAAAAGAGAAAAAAAAGAAAUAAGAAAAACGAAAAAGAAAAAGGAGAGAAAAAGAAAAAAUAAAAGAAAGAAAAAGAAAAUAGAAACGGGGAUCGGGGGGAUUGGACGAUUUUUUUUGGCUCUCUUGGAGGUCUCUCUUUCCUGCUCUCCCGCAGGCUCUCUCUCUAGGGGGACUCUUUCUCUCUGGGGAUUUUUCUCUCUUUCCCUGGUUCUCUCUGGGGGAUCUCUCUCCUUUCUCCUUGUCCGCACCAGAAACCCUAGGCUGGAAACCCCUGAUCUCUGCCGGGAUCGGAGUUCAUGAGUAGGAGAGGAAUCGAUUCGACUCUGAGAAGAACCGGCAACAGUGACGAAACACCGCACGCUCUGGAGUCUCGCCUUAAAGGAACCGCCGCUUAGAGAGCAGCUUCCCCUCCGAUCGAAUUGCACCGCCGUCGCCGCCGUCGCCGUCGCCGCCGUCGCCGUCGCCGUCCUCUCGGCAAAUCUCGGCUCCCGCCGGCCUCGGAUGGUCAUCUUCAUGCCCGCGUUUCCCCGAGCUCUGGUCGGAGGCGAAGGUUUUUCUCCAUUGGCGAGCGAUCGGAGAUCGAGCUUCGGCGGUCGGGGAUCGUGAGGAUUUGGUUCUUUCUCGAAGACCAGACGCUUGCUCGCUCAAUCGGUGAUUCUCUUUCCAGAUUAGGCUCGCCAAAUCAGGUUCUCUUUCUCUCUCUUGAUUGCUCUCUGAUUUGAUUGCGAUCCGUUUUUCACUCUCGCUCUUUCUUUUUCGAUUUUGUACUUGUAUCUGUUUUUUUAGCUCCGAGGUUGCGUGCUUUCAUUAGCCUAUUCUGCCAAGUCACUGUAGCUUGCAUGUCGUUCGUGAUAAAUGCCGUGUUCGGGAUGUUCUGUUUGGCGCCAUUUGCUCCAUAACCUAGAAAUGCCCUCUACCUGUUUGAUAGAAAGCCUGACUCCAUUGCCGAUAGUUCCUAUUGCAUUCCGUUUACCAACGUCUUGAUAUUCAAUUGAAAUUGCGUUGGUUGUGUCUUUGCUGGAUUUCCUGUAUAUAGUUGAUUGAAAUGUGAACUAAUUAGAUGUAUAAGUGAUGUAUGUCCAAUGCUGUUCGUGAUUAUUUGCGUGGAUCAAAUUCUGUUCAUGUGUGAUUUUGUAUAUCAAAUGGUUCUCAUGCAUGUUACUUUGAGAUGUUGAGUCUGCCGAGGAAGAAGAGGAGACUGUUCUGUGCGUUCUUGAUAUUUUUCACGCAAUACUUGUUCACAACCAUGAUAAUCAAACUAAUGAAUUCGCAAAGAACCUGAUCUGUAGUUCUUGGUUCAUCUCCUCAUUUAGCUGUUUGGAUUUAUAUCCCACAGAGAGGGUGAAGCACCGAAUUUAUUUGAUGAUGAGUUCACUAAUUGAAGUUCUACUUCAAAAUGAUUGUGGGCGACACAUUAGGGAUGCUGUAUCUUACCUUCCCUCUGAGCCAAAUGAUUUGCAAUGAGUUGAUGAUUAUUGAUGAUGAACUUGAAGUUGAUUGAACUUGAUUUGCCUUGAUCUGCAAAUUCGAAUACCUGAUAUAUCACUUUCUGUUUUGGCUGAAAUGAGGUGUUAGAUAAGGUUUUUUGACUUCGAGCCCUUCUAGACAGAUAAAAUACACUUCUAGAGCUUCAAUUUGAUAUGUUGCACGCCCUGAACGGACGUCGUUCAGUCAUCGAAAAACACCUGCAGAAUCUAUUGAUUCUGCAGUAGUUUUAGAUUUAUUUGUUGUUCUGAUUGAUUCUCUGUUUCGAAUGACCUUUUGCGCAAAUGACCCGAUAUGAGCUGGUUGUUGUGGUUUUCUGUGUUUGAUGCUUUCAUGAGAGCUGAAGAUGGUUCGACUAGCUUUCCAACGAGCUAUAAUACACCCUGAUCCGAUAUCAUUAGCCACAUGAAAUCUUCUUUAAAAGUUAGGAAGUAAUUCUGGAAAAUUGUUGUGUUCUGCUUUGAUGUGGAAAUUCGUAUGCCUAUUUUGACUGAUAUGCUUCGGUCCUCGAAAUGAGCUGGUAGAUGAUGUUAUUAGGACUUAAUGUCUUCUAGAUAAUUGUAAUAGGCAUCUCAAGCUUUAAAAUGACAUAUUGCAUGCCUGAAUCAACCAUCAUUUGCCAUGUUUAACAUUUUUUUUCUAAUCCAUUCUGAAAUCUGGAAUUUUGCCUUGGUCAGAAAUGCAUAUUAUGUUUUUGCGUGGGCUUGGUUGUCUGUCACUUCCUAUGAUCUUUUAAGAUAGAUUUUGAGGUUGAUGAUACAAAAAAAGUAUAUCACGUGUGGAAUGGUCUUGCUCUAUUGUUCUCUUUUUUAGCAAAGUUUUGUUGUUUGAUAAUUGAUAUUAGAUAUCUACCAUCAAUCCAAUUUCUAAUAUUAAUCACUUUACUCAGUAGCUUAUUUGUAUUCUACCGAUCCAAGCUCUAUGUGUUUUUGCUUGCAAAGAUGUCCAAAGUUAUGUUGUUCUUUAGUGUCAAUUUUUCUUUGCUUGCUGUCUUUUCUUAUUUUUGACUUCCAAGCUCUUUUUGGCUUUCUUGAAGUUGUAUGUGUUUUCAUUUGUGAAUAUCAGUAUGCUAUAAUUGCUGCUCUAUUCUUGUGUAGAUUGUUUUUAUCCAAUUGAUACAUCUCUGCUCUUGAUUUUUUUUUUUUUUUAAAUAUGCAUACUGAAUCUGAAAAAAUGUUGUCUUUUCUAUGGCUAAUUGCAAGAAAUUUGUCAAGCAUGACAUUCUUAGUUCCAAGUCACUUUGCAAUGUUAAUGACUUGUGUGACUUAUUUGCAUUCUGAUUUAGGGUUAAAUGUUUACCCAAACCUUUUUCGCAUUUAACCUUAUGUCAUGUGCAAGUUUCACAUUUUUGUAUAUUGUCUAGGUGAUCUUAUGAACCUUUAAACAUGCCUUGUAUUUUGUCCUGUUUGUGACUUGAAUUUGCUAGAUUCAUGUUCAUGUCUUAUGCCUAUGUUUGUUCGUUACAAUAAUGAUUUCUAUGCGUUAUCUUAGUCAUAUAAGAUGAGGCAAGGGAUCCUUGUUUCUUAGAUUAGGUUUAGAUUAGGACGAAGAUGGAGAAGGCGUAAGGCGUAAAGAUGGUGGAGGUCGAUGUCCACUCCGACCGUUAUCAUGUAAUGCUCAUUUUUCCCGACACAUGUCUCGGGUUCCAUGCAUUGUAUAAAAUCCGACGAGUUGUGGGUUUUCUUCCUUUCCCAAUUGUUUUCUCUUUUAUACAUUUUUGGAAUUGCAUGAUUAGGUUUAACUGCUUUCCCUUAAUUGUUUACUUCACGUCUUGCGAUUUCAUUUUCAUUGUUUGUUUUCCUUUCAUUUCUUAGGAAUAGAAUAGAAUGAAAGUAAUCCACAACGCAUAAUCAUUUAGUAUAGAAUUGACGAUCCUGAAAAUAUAAAAAGAAAUGCAUGAACAUGUUAGGAAAAACACAACAUACUGAUUAGGUACCGAAAGGGUGCUAAUAACAAUAUUAGCGUAACCCAAGUCCCCGAACCUAGAUAUCUAGCUACGUAGGAAUCGAGGGAACACUCCCGACCCUCGAUUGGGUUUCUAGCCGACUCCCAAAAUGAGGCUAGUGGCGACUCCUGUAUAUUCUUAGGUUGUUAAAUACCUAGAUCGUAUAAAUAAAUCCGCUGUCACGCGGGGUACGAGCUUGGGAGAGCUCGCGAUCUCGUGAGGAGACUCUCGUGAUCAAAGUACCCCUAAAUCCGACAUUUCCCCUCUUUGGACAUUUCGAGGGGUGGCGAAAUCGGGUCGCGAUAGGUUUGACGACUCCAUUGGGGACUGGUUACUAGAUUAAGAGGACUUGAAGCCGUUUAAAAAUGGUUGUUGUGUUUUAACUAACAUGUCUUAUAUAGGAUCGCUUGCAUGUCAAAGUCGCGUGAAAAAUCAGGUUAGUCGCUAACCUCGUGUUAAAUGGUUUUGUAGGUGGGAGUUAUAAGGGGAGGCGUGCUUGUAAACCAUUUGUUUUGCAGGUGGUGUAAGGAUGUAUGAAUGUAUGUGGGUUUAUAUUGAAGUGCUGAAUGUUUAAAUUUAAAUGCAUAUUUACAAGCUUUAGCACGACACCGCACACACAACCGCGGUCUAAAACCCCGAUUGCCCAAUUUAGGACCUUAGGAGGGUUUAUGGGUGGAAUCUGCGGGUGGAUGCUCAUGGUAAUCCAUUACUUACAUAAACUCGCUCAUCCCAACCGAUAAAAUAGCACUGACCGGUGAUAGUAGCGGUGGGUAAACUAUUUUUAUCCUUUGGAAUGAGGACCUUGAGCCUUUAGCACCCUCACCUUAGGCGUCAAAACCUCACAGUUUCAUGCGACGUGAUUUGUGCCUGUCAUGUGUCUGGUGGGUAAGAUAUCGUUCCUUCUUCAUUGUGCUUAUCUUUUACUUUCCAUAUUUCAAUUAUGCAUUUUAUAUUUCAACGACGAUAUGUUUUAAUCAUGGUUUAGAUUUAGAUGGGUAAACCCGAAGUGGACGUGAUCCUUGUGCUUGGAAAUCUCAAGACUCUAUUGGUGAAUCUCGACCCAAGACAUAAAGACUACGUGGAAAAAUUCUUGAACCCCAAGGUUUUCGACAGGCUCACAUUAAGGAACAAGAAGACAAUGCCUUGAUUAAUGAAGAAUGCUUGGCCCAUGAUAACAAGUGUUUCCGGGCGAUCCCACCUAGUCCUUAGGUUUUCAUUUCAUGCACUUUUUUUUAAAAGGGAUUUCAUUUGUGUUUCCCUCUUUUCUAUCGAGGUUUCCCUGUAUUCAUUUUUCAUAUCCUUGUAAAAUCGAACUACUUUGUAAGCUUCAAGAAAGCAAGAUUAUGUUUCCCUUGUAAUUGUUCAAUGAAAUGAAUAAAAUUCUUGAACAUUUUCAUGUAAUUUUUAGAAAAGGGGCAUCCUGAUUAAAUACUUGUCGUCAUUCCUUUUCAAUUGUAUAAUUUCUUUUGAGGAAAUUUUGAUAAGAGGAUGUUAUAUGAUAUUGUGAUCAUAUACACUUCUUAUCAUUAUUUCAUCUCAAGAAAAUAUAAAAUUGACUAGGAUUUGUACUUUAAUGGUUUCUCUUGACUGGUACUAAUUCAAGUCAUCUUCUUUUAUAGGAGGUUUUGAAAAACGGCUAAAGAAAGAUUUGUUAUACGAACUCGCUGCCAAACACAGAUGAAAAACGAAGAUACCCGAGCCCGUGUCAUUAAUAUGGAGAAUCAAAUGGUGCAUAUGAUGGCGUUGUUGGCUGACCUAUCCAACCAAGUCAAGAACUUAACGUCUAUAGUUUUUGCUUCUCCUACCAUGAAUCUUCCUACCGCUCAUACACCUACCAUGGAGAUAGGGGGUUCUUCUCGAAACUUUGAGCGCAAAAGAAAAGCUCCUCAAAGGCAAUUCACUCCAUUGCCUAGACCAAUGUCCCAACUACUUCCAAUGCUGAUCGAAAAUCAUCUUGUGGCAAAAGAGAUCCCGAGAGAUAAUUCGCCAAAGUUUGUCGGGUUCAACCUUAAUAAGAUGUGUGAUUAUCAUAUGGGAGAGAGAGGUCAUCAUGUGGACAACUGUCUGGUGCUUCGUUCUAAGGUCCAAAAUUUGCUGGAUAAAAAGCUGCUCAUCUUUAAAGACUUAGCGCCGAAUGUCCAACAAAAUCCCCUUCCAAAGCAUUCUGAAGAGGUCAACAUGAUUUAUGGGGAUGACGACAAAGAUAUACCCCUGAUAGAAAUCCAAAAGAUGGAACAAAUCACGCCAUUUGCUGAUAGCCAGUUGAAAGACAACAUCACUCGUGAUAACGAAGACCUUACUUCAAUUUUGUCGAAAGAUAAAGAGGUCUACUCCUAUGACGGGGAUGAGGAUGAAUACAAAACUUCUCAUUUGGAUAGUGAGUUCAUAAAGAAAGCUUGCGAAAGAGGUGAAGUGGUGGACACCUGGGGACAACCAAGAGGGAAAUACGACUUUAUGGUCAAGUAUAUUCCUCUUCCAAGUUAUUUUCAAAAUCCCGAAGACAUUGUCCCUAGUGGAUGGGGAAAUGAAUUCGAGGAUGAAUUCAUGGCUAUGAUUGAGCCUGUUGUGAUUGAUUUGACCAAAGAGAAAACCUCAUGUGGGAGUGAUACAACUAAUAAAGGUGUCAUUGAAAUCGGCUCAUCGAUUGACAAUUUUGGAACCAUGAAGAUCUCAAGCGCGGGUUUUGGACCUAUUGUGAUUGAAUUGCCACUAGAAGUUGGUGAGUGUUCCAACACUAAGAUGACUCCCACUUAUGACACUAAGGCGGUCCCUUGGAAUUAUAAUACAAAUGAAAUCGACGCUGUCACCCGAUCGGGUCGAAUCUACUCACCACGUGAAGGUGAGGAAAAGAAGGCCGUAACUGAUGAGGAAGCUGAAUAACUCCUCAAAACACUCAAGACAAGUGAAGCUGAAGUGAUUGACCAAUUGCGCAAGAUGCCUACGCAGAUUUCUCUAUUGGAGCUUUUCAAGACCUCUGAAAAACAUAGAAAUGCUCUCCUCAAAAUUUAAAAUGAAGUUCAUGUACCUGAGGCCAUUGGAGAAGUACAGUUGGAGGAGUUUGUGGGUGCAAUACUUCUAAGAGAUCAAAUUACUUUCUCUGAGAGAGACCUCCCUUCUGAGGGCCAAGCACACACUAAGGUGUUAUAUGUGUCCGCUCAACAUUUUGAGACAAAGAUUUCGAAGGUCCUGAUCGAUAAUGGCUCUGCCUUGAACAUUUGCCCUUUAUCCACCCUUCAUAAAUUGGGGAUAGGAAUGGAAAAUGUCUCUUCUCCAACAAUUCCUGUUCGAGCCUUUGAUGGGAUGAAGAGAGAAACAAUAGGAGAAAUCAAUUUAUCACUGACGAUUGGCCCUAUUACCAUGACUAAAAAAUUUCAAGUACUAGAUAUCCCAAGCAAUUUUAGCUUGCUAUUGGGACGACCUUGGAUCCAUGCUGUAGGGAUCAUUCCUUCUAGUCUUCAUCAGAUGAUGAAACUGCUCAUCGAUGGAAAGAUUGUGACCAUCCGACGUGAAAGAGAUGUGGAGACUUUCCAUAACACGGCCAUACCUUUCAUUGAGCCUGAUGUCAAGGGGGAAUCGAGCUAUCACUUGUUUGAGAUGGUGUUUGUCACUCAUGUGCCUGUUGGGUCGAUUAUUAGGAAGCCUCGAUUCUUAAAAGCCUCCCUGAUGGCAAGUAGAGAACCGCUCAAGAACGGUUUUGCUAUGGGGAAAGGUUUGGGUAAGUUCGCCCAAGGCAUUAUAAAUCCUAUUAAGGUGGUCAAAAUCAACAAGCGUGAAGGCCUGGGUUAUCAAGGCAACCGUAAGGAUCAAGGUAAUUGCAAAGGCCCAAACAUCAAAGGUAAAAGCUACCAACGUCUCUUGCUUCCACCUUUGAAAUAUUUCUUUCCUGGACCACCGAAGCUCUUGCAAGAAGGAGAGGCCAAUGUCUAUCACUUUGCUGAUUUGUUUGAAGAUGGUCUAGUUGGCACUAUGGGUAAAGAUGAAGAGCCUACAAUUCCCACUGUGUGAGGGAUGUUUCUAGUUCUUGCAUUUAAUUUUUAGUUGUAUUCGAUUCAUUUCUCCCCUGCAAGGGAAUUCUAUUCAUUUCUCCCCUGCGAGGGAAUUUCAUUCGUUUCUCCCCUGUGAGGGAAUUCCGUUCAUUUCAUUCGUUUGUGCUUGUAAUAAUCUGGAUCAUAAACUUUCUAGAUCCAAGAUGAUAUACAUUGUAAUGCAAUUUUUGCAUAUCAAUAAUAUUCAUGUUUUGUUAAUAGACGUGUGAGGCCCAAAUCAGUCUUAUGAUGAUGCUUUGAGGCCUGAGCCUUCACACGAUCUAUCGUUUCAAAAUGUUUUAUUGGAACGAUGACGUCCAAUGACAUGAGGAUUAGUUCCCAAUAAAUUUUUCAAAAAACAACUUGAAUUUGAAAACAAAUUUUUCAUGUCAUUUACAUUCAUUACAUUCAUUCAUAUGUAUAUAUACUAACCAUUUUUCGAUUGCAUCCCAAGCAUGACAUUUCACAUCAUGAUAGUCAUUUGCAUGGCUUGGAUUCGCAUUCAAAAGACUUUGACGAACCCGAUUAUUCCAACUCAGAGAAUGAAGAUGAUCCUCGAGGUAUUGAAAAAGAAUAGCUCAGACAUGAAAGUCCAAACCUCCUAUCGCCAAACAGCCAGUCACUCUAAAUUUAGGAGAUUCAGAUAACCCUAAAGAAACCAAGAUUGGGGCAGGUCUCUCUCAAGCGGAUGCUAAUGGAUUAAUUGGGCUCUUGAAAGAAAUAUAUGGAGAGUGUGGCACUCAUAUGAACGGUCAUCUCUUAGCUAGAAAAAUAUUGAGGCUUAGUUACUAUUGGUUGAUCAUGGAAGCCGAUUGUAUUUAGCAUGUGAGGUUCUGUCAUCAAUGCCAAGUCUAUGGAGACAAAAUCAAUGCUCCUCCUAAUGAGCUACAUCAAAUGUCUGAGUCCUGGCCUUUUUCAAUGUGGGGCAUCGACAUCAUUGGACCAAUUAAUCCUCAAGCAUCGAAUGGACAUCGUUUUAUCUUAGUAGCAAUUGAUUACUUCACCAAAUGGAUUGAAGCCAAUUCUUAUGCCCAUGUUACUGCAAAGAGUGUGGAAAAAUUCAUCCGUCGUGAUAUCAUCGCUCGAUAUGGAGUUCCUGAAGUGAUCAUCACGGAUAAUGGAUCAAACUUGAACAAUAAAGUGGUGGAUGAUUUACUUGGAGAAUUCCACAUUCGCCAUUUGAAGUCUUCUCCUUAUCGCCCACAAAUGAAUGGAGCUGUGGAAGCGGCAAAUAAGAAUAUCAAGAAGAUUUUAGCCAAAACAGCAGAAAAUUAUCGUGAUUGGCAUGAUCGGUUGCUAUAUGCUUUGUUUGCUUAUCGAACUUCAAUUCGUACUUCGACUGGGGCAACACCAUUCUCAUUGGUUUAUGGAAUGGAAGCUGUAUUACCUGUGGAAGUGGAAAUUCCUUCACUGAGGAUACUUUCUCAAAUCAAGCUCUCUGAAGCUGAAUGGGUUCAGCAAAGAUUUGAACAACUCAAUAUGAUUAAUGAAAAGAGGGUGAAAGCCUUAUGCCAUGGACAAAGCUAUCAGAAGAGAGUAGCUAGGUCAUUUAACCGCAAGGUUAGACCAAGGCAUUUCGAGAUUAACGAUAUUGUCUUGAGGAAGGUUUUACCUAUCAUUUCAGAUCCUCGUGGGAAGUUUACUCCAAACUAUGAAGGUCCAUAUAUUGUAAAGAAAAUGCUACCUGGUGGAGCACUAAUCCUUGUAGAAAUGGAUGGUCAUGAAUUGCCAAGACCUGUAAAUGUUGAUGCUGUCAAGAAGUAUUAUCCAUGAAUAAAGUGAAAAGCCUUUGAGCCAUUUUUGGAUGUUUGCAUCAUGCAUUUUCAUGCAUACAUAUUGCAUCUACAUGUUUGUUAAUUUUGCAGGAUCUCUGAUGAAGAUUCUACCUAUCCGCAAGAGGUUCAUCUCAAGAGUGCAAAACUUUCAAAAGUGUCAAUUCUUCUUUAGAACUUAGAAGUGACCUUAUCCUUUAGAAUGCUAGAGGAGUCGGUUAGAAUUCUAAAAGUACAAUUAGAACUCUAGAAAUGAACCCAUGUGCUAAGCAAAGCCUGUUCUAUCUACAAAUUUUGUCAAACUUUACUUCCAAAAAUCUUCCCGGUAGGGUCAAGGAAACAUGUCAUCUCAGACAAAAUUUCAUUAUAUUUUCAUUUCCCCAGGGAGUUGAAUUUAACUAAAAUAUGCUUUGGAAAACCUGAAAAGGAUUGUAAAAUAUGCCAGGUGGUAGUGCCUAAAAUGAUGAGAGGCAACCCUUUUACCAAACACGUCCUCAUACACUCUUUGAAAGAGUAGAGUGGAAAGAACCACGUCUUAGGGCAUAUGAUUCAUUCACAGUGAAUACAUGAUUUGAGAUGAUCAAGGCAUUUUCAUUUCUCAAUCCCAAACACUAUUGAUAUCCCUUGCAAGCCACUUUGAGCCAAAUAGGGAGCAUUUCAAAAUAACCAUGUCAAGAACAACCCCACAUUGGGCAAAAUAGGAGGUCUUGGUUGAAAAUCAUAGAGCAAAAGAUUAAGAAAGAUUUUAUUGCUUUCACUUGCAUCAAUCUUCUUGUGCUGGCUUUAGGUGAUUUCUUAUCGAAACUUGAAGCAUCCCGAAGUGAUGAAGAGCAUUCCGUUCACUACCACAAACACAAUUAUCCAUUACUUAGCCAAUUUGAGCUUAUGCAAUUCUUUCAUAACCCCAGGUGAUGAUUAUCUCCCCACACUAGGGCAAGGCACAUGAUUUACCAACAAAAUUGAGAAUAUUGGUAAUGUUUGUAAAUGCCACUCGAGAGUCCUAGAUACUCAAAAGAGAAUGAAAACUAGGGGGCAUGAAAAAGCAGUGUGCCUGGUAAAAACAAGGCCAAUGCCCAUGAAAAAAAAAUGCAAAGAAAAGCAAGAAUGUAAAAAAGAGCGAAAUCCAUGAUCAUGCAAAAGAUCAUUUUUCGAAAAACAAAAGAAAUAUCUUGCAAGAAAAAACAUGUAUUGCAAGCAAUAUCAUUAGAACAAAGAGCGAAGCUCUCAUGUCUCAAGACAAAUUACCCAAAGGACUCUCGAGAUAGGUUAAAUUUCAAGAAUCAAAUUUUGAAAACUCGUGUGAUGGUAAUGAUGCCAAGAUAAUCACUCACUUUUUAACCCUUUGAUAUCUGAAAGUUUUUCAAGCCUUUCUAAGCCUCACCCGAACCAACACUACAACCCUUAUCCGAAGUCUCUUCCGAUUGGGAUGGUUCGAGUUGAAAUGAGAAUAUCACAUAGGAGCUACCGCUAGAAGGAGUGGAAGCAAUCCUAUCUUAUCUUAUCUUCAAGGUUCUUGACUUGUAAACCCGAUGAAGAUAUUGAUUGAAUAUUCAUUUCUUGGCCUCAAAGUGCAUACCCUUUGUGUAAGCCCAUGACCAAGCCAUCAUUACGGUCCAUUUAAAAGACCUUUUGAUCAGUGGAUUGUAUUCACUGUGAACGUUUCCAAAAAUCUUAGACAUAGGUUGAGUGAGAUUUCUCCAGUGAGAUUUAAACAAUUUUCCCAUAUCAAUGGUUGGGAAUAAAAGCCCUUUUUGAGAGCUAGUGUGAAAGACCUAUUUUGAUUAGGAUAUUUCCACCUAGCAUAUUUGAUUUAACCCUUAGAUGGUUAAUCAGAUCCCAUUUUGUUAAAAUCUUCUCUGGAAGGAUUUGACAAUCAAUAUUAUUUUGCAAGAUUGUUUCUCCAGCAAUUGAGAAAAUCAUACCCGGUUGAAACCCGUUAGUAUAUGGUGAGACUAUCAUACCUAGUCAAAACCUGUUUGUAUACGGUGAGACUAUCAUACCCAGUCGAAACCUAUUUGUAUAUGGUGAGACCUUCCUCUCAGUCGAAACCCGUUUGUAUACGGUGAGACUAUCAUACCCGUUCGAAACCCGUUCAUAUACGGUGAAACUUUCCUCUCAGUUGAAACCCGUUUGUAUACGGUGAAACUAUCAUACUCGGUCGAAACUCGUUCGUAUACGGUGAGACCUUCCUCUUAGUCGAAACCCGUUUGUAUACGGUGAGACUAUCAUACUCGGUCGAAACCCGUUCAUAUACGGUGAGACCUUUUUCUCGGUCAAAGCCCAUUAUUACACGGUAAGAUCCUUUUCCCAGUUUAAAACACACAGUUCUAGGUCAACUUAAAACCUUGUCCUCAAGUUCUAGGUCAACUUAAAACCUUGUCCCCAAGUUCUAGGUCAACUUAAAACCUUAACCCCAAGUUCUAGGUCAACUUAAAACCUUAUCCCCAAGUUCUAGGUCAACUUAAAACCUUGUCCCCAAGUUCUAGGUUAUCUUUAAACCUUGUCAUUAGGUUCGUGGGUCCAUCCUUAAACCACACGGUUCCAAGUCAUCCUUAAACCUUGUCUCUUAGGUUCGUUGGUCCAUCCUUAAACCACUAGGUUCGUGGAUCCAUCAUUGUCUCUUAGGUUCGUGGGUUCAUCCUUAAACCGCACGUUUCCAAAUCAUCCUUAAACCUUGUCUUUUAGAGAGAGAGCGAGAGACAGAAUGAAUAAAUCUCAACAAGAGUUUAGAUACCCCAAUGAGCAAAGGUAAGUAUCAGGUAUGUCCUUAAUCGACUAUCAUUGCUUUUGUCAUUCUCUAUUUUUCAAAGUUGGGUCGACUAAAAAUUGCAGGUAUCAAUUUUGUUUUUGAGUGGAACCUCUUCGAACUCUCACCCAAAGAGGGGCAGCUGUUGACACUCGAAAUUUUCGUUGACAUUUUAAUCAUCCAUUUUGCAAAAAUAUAAAAAAUAAAGACCUAAAAAUAAAUAACUAAAUUAAUAAAAAGAAAACAAAAAAAGAGAAAAAAGAAAAAAAAAGAAAACAAAAGAAAACAAAAAGAAAAAAAAAUGAAAUGAAAUGAAAAGAGAAAAAAAAGAAAUAAGGAAAACGAAAAAGAAAAAGGAGAGAAAAAGAAAAAAUAAAAGAAAGAAAAAAAAUAAUAGAAAAGGGGAUCGGGGGGAUUGGACGAUUUUUUUUUGCUCUCUUGGAGGUCUCUCUUUCCCGCUCUCCCGCAAGCUCUCUCUCUAGGGGGGCUCUUUCUCUCUGGGGAUUUUUCUCUCUUUCCCUGGUUCUCUCUGGGGGAUCUCUCUCCUUUCUCCUUGUCCGCACCAGAAACCCUAGGCCGAAAACCCCCGAUCUCUGCCGGGAUCGGAGUUCAUGAGUAGGAGAGGAAUCGAUUUGACUCCGAGAAGAACCGACGACAAUGACGAAACACCGCACGCUCCGGAGUCUCGCCUUAAAGGAACCGCCGCUUAGAGAGCAGCUUCCCCUCCGAUCGAAUCGCGCUGCCGUCGCCGCCUUCGCCGUCGCUGUCCUCUCGGCGAAUCUCGGCUCCCGCCGGCCUCGGAUGGUCAUCUUCAUGCCUACGUUUCCCCGAGCUCUGGUCGGAGGCGAAGGUUUUUCUCCAUUGGCGGGCGAUCGGAGAUCGAGCGUCGGCGGUCGGGGAUCGUGAGGAUUUGGUUCUUUCUCGAAGACCGGAUGCUUGCUCACUCGAUCGGUGAUUCUCUUUCUGGAUUAGGCUCGCUAGAUCAGGUUCUCUUGCUCUCUCUUGAUUGCUCUCUGAUUUGAUUGCGAUCCGUUUUUCACUCUUGCUCUUUCUUUUUUGAUUUUGUACUUGUAUUUGUUUUUUUAGCUCCGAGGUUGCGUGCUUUCAUUAGCCUAUUCUGCCAAGUCAUUGUAGCUUGCAUGUCGUUCGUGAUAAAUGCUGUGUUCGGGAUGUUCUGUUUGGCGCCAUUUGCUCCAUAACCUGGAAAUGCCCUCUACCUGUUUGAUAGAAAGCCUGACUCCAUUGCCGAUAGUUCCUAUUGCAUUCCGUUUACCAACGUCUUGAUAUUCAAUUGAAAUUGCGUUGGUUGUGUCUUUGCUGGAUUUCCUGUAUAUAGUUGAUUGAAAUGUGAACUAAUUAGAUGUAUAAGUGAUGUAUGUCGAAUGUUGUUCAUGAUUGUUUGCGUGGAUCAAAUUAUGUUCAUGUGUGAUUUUGUAUAUCAAAUGGUUCUUCUGCAUGUUACUUUGAGAUGUUGAGUCUGCCGAGGAAGAAGAGGAGACUGUUCUGUGCGUUCUUGAUAUUUUUCACGCAAUACUUGUUCACAACCAUGAUAAUCGAACUAAUGAAUUUGCAAAGAACCUGAUCUAUAGUUCUUGGUUCAUCUCCUCAUUUAGCUGUUUGGAUUUAUAUCCCACAGAGAGGGUGAAGCACCGAAUUUAUUUGAUGAUGAGUUCACUAAUUGAAGUUCUACUUCAAAAUGAUUGUGGGCGACACAUUAGGGAUGCUGUAUCAUACCUUCCCUUUGAGCCAAAUGAUUUGCAAUGAGUUGAUGAUUAUUGAUGAUGAACUUGAAGUUGAUUGUACUUGAUUUGCCUUGAUCUGCAAAUUCAUAUACCUGAUAUAUCACUUUCUAUUUUGGCUGAAACGAGGUGUUAGAUAAGGUUUUUUGACUUCAAGCCCUUAUAGACAGAUAAAAUACACUUCUAGAGCUUCAAUUUGAUAUGUUGCACGCCCUGAACGGACGUCGUUCAGUCAUCGAAAAACACCUACACAAACUGUUGAUUCUGCGGUAGUUUUAGAUUUAUUUGCUGUUAUGAUUGAUUCUCUGUUUCGGAUGACCUUUUGCGCAAAUGACCUGAUAUGAGCUGGUUGCUGUGGUUUUCUGUGUUUGAUGCUUUCAUGAGAGCUGAAGAUGGUUCGACUAGCUUUCCAACGAGCUAUAAUGCACCCUGAUCCGAUAUCAUUAGCCACAUGAAAUCUUCUUUAAAAGUUAGGAAGUAAUUCUGGAAAAUUGUUGUGUUCUGCUUUGAUGUGGAAAUUCGUAUGCCUAUUUUGACUGAUAUGCUUUGGUCCUCGAAAUGAGCUGGUAGAUGGUGUUAUUAGGACUUAAUUUCUUCUAGAUAAUUGUAAUAGGCAUCUCAAGCUUUAAAAUAACAUAUUGUAUGCCUAAAUCAACCAUCAUUUGCCAUGUUUAACAUUUUUUUUUCUAAUCCAUUCUGAAAUAUGGAAUUUUGCCUUGGUCAGAAAUGCAUAUUCUGUUUUUGUGUGGGCUUGGUUGUUUGUCACUUUCCUAUGAUCUUUUAAGCAUAGAUUUUGAGGUUGAUGAUACAAAAAAAGUAUAUCACGUGUGGAAUGGUCUUGCUCUAUUGUUCUCUUCUUUAGCAAAGUUUUGUUGUUUGAUAAUUGAUAUUAGAUAUCCACCAUCAAUCCAAUUUCUAACACUAAUCACUUUACCCAGUAGCUUAUUUGUAUUCUACCGAUCCAAGCUCUAUGUGCUUUUGUUUGUAAAGAUGUCCAGAGUUAUGUUGUUCUUUAGUGUCAAAUUUUCUUUGCUUGCUGUCUUUUCUUAUUUUUGACUUCCAAGCUCCUUUUGGCUUUCUUGAAAUUGUAUGUGUUUUCAUGAUACACUCCAUUUGUGAAUAUCAGUAUGCUAUAAUUGCUGCUCUAUUCUUGUGUAGAUUAUUUUUAGCCAAUUGAUACAUCUCUGCUCUUGAAUUUUUUUAAGAAAAAAUAUGCAUACUGAAUCUGAAAAAAUGUUGUCUUUUUUAUGGCUAAUUGCAAUAGAAAUUUGUCAAGCAUGACAUUCUUAGUUCCAAGUCACUUUGCAAUGUUAAUGACUUGUGUGACUUAUUUGCAUUCUGAUUUAGGGUUAAAUGUUUAUCUAAACCUUUUUCGCAUUCAACCUUAUGUCAUGUGCAAGUUUCACAUUUUUUUUAUAUUGUCUAGGUGAUCUUACGAACCUUUAAACAUGCCUUGUAUUUUGUCCUGUUUGUGACUUGAAUUUGCUAGAUUCAUGUUCAUGUCUGAAGCCUAUGUCUGUUCGUUAUAAUAAUGAUUUCUAUACGUUGUCUUAGUCAUAUAAGAUGAGGCAAGGGAUCCUUGUUUCUUAGAUUAGGUUUAGCUUAGGACGAAGAUGGAGAAGGCGUAAGGCGUAAAGAUGGUGGAGGUCAAUGUCCACUCCAACCGUUAUCAUGUAAUGCUCAUUUUUCCCGACACAUGUCUCGGGUUCCAUGCAUUGUAUAAAACCUGACGAGUUGCGGGUUUUCUUCAUUUCCCAAUUGUUUUCUCUUUUAUACAUUUUUAGAAUUGCAUGAUUAGGUUUAACUGCUUUCCCUUGAUUGGUUACUUCAUGUCUUGCGAUUUAAUUUUCAUUGUUUGUUUUCCUUUCAUUUUUUAGGAAUAGAAUAGAAUGAAAGUAAUCCACCAUGCAUAAUCAUUUAGUAUAGAAUUGACGAUCCUGAAAAUAUAAAAAGAAAUGCAUGAACAUGUUAGGAAAAACACAACAUACUGUUUAGGUACCGAAAGGGCGCUAAUAGCAAUAUUAGCGUAACCCAAGUUCCCGAACCUAGAUAAUCUGGCUAUGUAGGAAUCGAGGGAACACUCCCGACCCUCGAUUGGGUUUCUAGCCGACUCCCAAAAUGAGGUUAGCGGCGACUCCUGUAUAUUCUUAGGUUAUUAAAUACCUAGAUCGUAUAAAUAAAUCCGCUAUCGCGCGGGGUACAAGCUUGGGAGAGCUCGCGAUCUCGUGAGGAGACUCUCAUGAUCAAAGUACCUCUAAAUCCGACAUUUCCCCUCUUUGGACAUUUCAAGGGGCGGCGAAAUCGGGUCGCGACAUUGACAACUAGAUUUUUGCCCAAAAAUCAUUUCCAAAAAAUGAGAACUUGUUUUUCCACAAAAAUAUUUCAUGUCAAAUUAUUGCAUAUAGAUUAUCCAAGAGUUUAGUAUAGUUUUUAUAAAUGGAAGAUGUUUUUCCUUUAAGAAAAAAUUAAGUAAAAAAAUUAAAAUCUUUAAAAAAAGAAAAAAAAAAGGAAGAGCAAGUUGGGGCCAAUGAUCUAAAUGUGACUAGCCAAGCCCAGGAGGUCAAAUUGGAAUUCAAAUGGCAAGUUGGGGCCAAAAUGCAAUUUUCAAAAGUAGAGAGAUCAAUUCGCAAAUUUUGCAAAAUUUCGCCCGAACCCUUAAAUCAUCAUCUUGGUCACCAAUUAAGUUGAAAUUGAACUUGGGCUAGGUCGAAUCAAUCAAAUUGGGCCAAAAGGAUCAAAUUUGCCUGGAAUUGGGUAUUUUUGGAUAAGAAAAUGGCUAACUUUGAGGGACUUUCUUGCAAAAUUGGGUGGGCAGAAUUGUGAAAGCUAGUCAAGAUUUUAAACUAAUAUACAUGAGCUUGCUAAUUGAUAAAAAAACUACAUGCAAAUUGAGGGAUUAAAGCAUUCAAACAAGCUACCAAAACUCAGCCCACGAUUAAGUUUUAAUUCGGACAUGCUAAGUAGGCAUAUUAGUGGCCCCACCAUAUCCCACUCAGCCACCCAUUUAGCUCGAUCUUUGCACGUGAUGGAAGACCAUUAUUGGUACUGCAAGUGGACGGAAAUUGGCCAGGGAUAAGCUGUUGGAAGCACGGGAAAAUCGCAACAAAGUCCGCAAACUCAACAGCUGCAGAAGUUAAAAAAAAUUGGCUAAGUCAGAAGAGUAGGUGAACCAGCUCAGUUGACAGACUUAGUAGGUGGACAAAAGACUGACAAAAAAUCUCUUAAUUCAGGGGGGAAGAUCACAAAAGAAAGCUCUUUCAGGGGAUGAGAGGGAGGAGACGAGAGAGGGAGGAGAGAGCUCAAAAUCGUUUCCCAAAAACACCUCCGAAAGCAACUCCAGAAAAAAAAAAAAGACCCAGAAAUUCUAGACCAACCCUCAGAGAGAAAAUAUAAUUUUCACACACUUGCAGCCAAAAUUAGCUAAAACCCUCAACUAGAGAGUGAAACUUCACUCAAAGAUCUUUCCAUCCAUAGGUUGCAUGUCCCAAAUGGAGAUUGGGAAGGUCUCUUAAAGCCCCCCGAAAUAGUGCCCUACUGGCGGGCCAAGAAAGUCCGAAAAUUUUUCUAAGUGUUGAGCCUAGUUGGUUACGAGUGCGGGAAAGCGAGUGUUUUUGAGAAAAUUAAGAGAUAAAUGAGGAUGGCCAUGACCGAAAACCCAAACUAGAAUACAUAUGGCUUGGGUUGGUUUUGAUUUGGCCAUCAAAAGAGGUUCGGAAGUCUAAUUUUGGAAGUCAACGAAAACCUUCGUUGUCACUUUUUUCUUCUGCAGAUCUCAUUUCUAGUUUGAAGGAGCCAACUUCCACGUGCCACCCAAGAAUAAUUUCUUGGCUUCCUCGGCCAAGAAUCACUUGAAAAAGAAACUAGGAAGCAAGAUAAGUAUACUAGAUGUUUUUCUGUUCGAUUUUGAACGUGUUUGGAUAGUGAAAAAUCAAGAGAAAAACCAGCGCGGAAAACUAAUUUUUGAGACUGAAAAUUUUCUAAGUGUUUGAAGCCUCUUCAAGAGCCAUAUAUGUUUGAUUUGCUAUACCCCAUUUUCAUGCAUUACUUGUCUUUGUGAUUUUGAUUAAUGUUAUAUGGGAGUACAAAUGAUGCAUAGAUCAGCUUGGUUUGGUCUUUAAACCCCCUGGGUAAACCGUGAAAUCGUCCACAACUUGAGCCAAAACCAAGCCCCUCCAUAUUGAUCCAUGGCUGGUCAGUGUGGACCUUGCGUAUAUGCUUCUUGAAGAGGUCGUUUCGAUGUGUUCGGUUCAUUGUUUUCUAUAAUUUUUGUUAUAUUUGAAAGCCCAUGUUACCUACUUUCACUCGAAUUAAGUAAUGUUUCCCUUAGAUCCUGCAUGUGAUAAUUGUCGAGGCUUGAAUAUGGGCAUGUAACCUGUUUGCUUGACUUGGGUUCAAACCCAGAUUUGCAAAAUCAGCUCGAACCCGCAUAUUUGAUGACAACUUCAGCUUGGUUUUCAUGUGUUUUAGGCUAUGAUUUUUAUAUAAUCUUACUCUUUGCAUGUGGUAGUAUAAUCUUGAUAUUUUAGUUCCACAUAAGAUUGCUCAUGAGUUGAGAUUGAAGGCCGUAAACAUGGCCCAAAGAAGCUGGUUUAGGGUAGUUUGAUGCACGCCAAAUGUUCGACAAAAUGUGCAAACCAAGUUUCGAUCUUAAAACGGUCGAUUUAAGCUUGAUUAUUGUGAUAUUCAUGUGCUGAGUUGUUCAAUAUUAGCGUAUAUUGGUUUAUGGAAUUAUUAUUAUUAUUAUUAUUUUUAAAAAUAAAAAUAAAAAAAUCCAAAAAUUUCAAGAAAAAAAUAUAAAAGUGAUAGAUGGUAUCAAAUUAUGGCAAAAAUGACAUUUAUGAAAUUUUAUUAAUUUUAUAAGGUCAUUUUUCCUAAUUUAAUGCUAUUUUGAUAUUUUAUAAUCAUUUCUGUAAAUGAUCCAUUUUCCGUAGAUUAAAAUUAUUAAGAGUAAUUUCAUGCAUUUAAAGUAAUGUCAUGCACAUUUAAAUUCCCAUUUUGCUCACGGGGGUCCUGUCCCGGGGCGUGAUAACAAGGCCAUGUAAUAUUAUUUGCCCGACUUGUAUCGGGUUUUCAUUUUCCGCAUUUAUUUUCAAGUCAUUUCAAUUUCUUGGAUGUCUACUUAUGCACCGCUUUUCAUUAAUUUGAGUGUAAAUUUCUUUUCUAAAUUAGGUUAGAAUUAGUGUAGACAUUAAGGAAAACAAACCUACAAGAACAUUUGCAUGGACGCUUAGCGAUUUUAUAAGGAUUAUAAUUGGUAAUCAAGAUUGUGUGACCAUUUAAAUAAACAACCUUUCAAGUUAGUGGUACCGCAAGGGCGCUAAUAGAAACAUUAGCGUAAAUAAGUCCCCGUUCCUAGAAAUCUCUGGUUGCGUAGGAAUCGAGACAACACUCCUGUAUCUUGAUUGGUUUCUAGCUGACCCCAAUAGGCUAGUGGCGACUCCUAUAAAUAUUUAGGUUGUUAAGAACUAAAAAGCAAAAUCCAACGCCACAUGAGGUAUGGGCUUGGGAGAGCCCGCAUAAUGUGGACAUCGAGCCAUAUCGAGGAGGAGGUGCUAAGGACCCAUUAUCUAUUCAUAUUGGUUCGAUCACUCGAGCGCGGGCCAAGCAAUUUAGGCAAGCUGUUGGUGUCAUGGUUUGUGAUCUUUGGCAUGGAGAUGACCUUGGAUCAAAUCUUGAAGAAUCUUGGAAAUCUUGGCGUAAUUUAAUUAUCUGGUCACCAAAUAUUUGACCAAUUCAAAUAGGAAUAUUCUUCUUGUUUAGGAAUAUUCUAGAAUAGGAAUAUUCUAGAAUAUGACGCAUUAGUUUUUUUUAGGGUUGGUUUUAGGGUUUGUGUGGCGGCUAGAAGGCUUAUAUAGAUAAGACUGACUGAAUUUCUUUGGGGGACAGAGAUAUAUUUUAUUUUUAAGGACAAGAAUUGAGAGGUUUUCUUCUACUGCUCUUUUGAGGACUUGACCUUAUCAAGAUUCUCUUUGGCGGUCGAUUUGACUUAUCGAGCGAGAUAGCGAAUUCUUUCGCUCGUGGCGUCUAUAACGUUGGUUGGUUGACACGCGUUCGUCAACAGGUCACGUUCAUACCGAGGUUGCCAAUCAUAGGUUUGAUUGGAGGUCGAGGUUUGCAAUUCGCACCAUCUGGGCCUUCGUAGAACGAUCCUUCCGCAACGAUUCACAUCAGUUUGGUAUCAGAGCUUGCUUCUACAAGGUCUAUUUAUCUUUAAUUUUCUGUUGAUAUUCAAAAAUUUGAGAUUUAUUGAGCUAGGGUUUCGGUUCUAGCUAAUUUAGAGAUUUGAUUGCUUUUGUGCUUCCAUACGUAGUUGUUUGCUAUUAGUUUUAAAUUUUCCUUUAUAGCAUCUUAAAUUGUAUCUGAGUUCGACAAAAAAAAAAAAGAAAAGAAAAGAAAAGAAAAGAAAAGAAAAAGAAGAGAAAGAAAACGUACACAAAAAAAAAAGUGCGCAAGAGAAAAAAAACAGCUUUGGCCAAAAAAAAUUAGCCGAACAAAAAAAAAAUCAAGAAGGCGACUCGUUUGUUAGUAGACUGGAUUGAAACAAAAUCAGUAGUGAUUUGCGUUUCAAUUGGAAUUUCGAAGGUUGUACUUGUUGGUUUGAAAUUGUUACUUGCUGAAUCAAAAUCAAUAGUGAUCUAAUCUUGUUUGAUUAGUUCGAUUGAUUGUCAUGAGAGAGUUGUGAGACAGGUUUUGAGUCCGAUAAAGAGCUUGUGAAAAGAGAAUACGAGAGGAAAAAGGCAAGAGUGUGUAAGCUUAAUUGAGGGUGAAAAAAAGCCUAAACUUGAGUUAAACACGAGGGGAGUGACAAACACUUUGAGAGAAACACGUGAGGGAGUGAUUAGUGAGGAUUUUUGUGACUAACGUUUACUUGCAAGUCUAAAAUAUGUCGCACUAAGAAAGUGUGAAUCAAAAGGAGAUUGGCUCCAUACGAAGGGAUGAAGCGCUCGUGGAAAGCAUCCAGCAAUUGAAGGCCGUAGUGGAGGAGCUUAGUGGCCGAAUGAUGGGGAAUGACAUGAGGGUUGAUGGUGACCGAGAGCUACCCCGGGGAAGGCUGCAAUAUCAAGGAGACACCUCUAGAACAUGACAUAGAAGGCAACGGCAUUAUGAUGAUGAUGAGGCCGGCAUGGAGGAUGAUCGAGAUGCUCGAUUUGGAAGGUGGAAUGGAGCUCGAGGGUUUAGACACCGAGAAGAUAAUGAACUUGGCAAUAUCAAGAUGAAGAUUCCUUCUUUCCAAGGGAAGAAUGAUCCCGAUGCGUAUCUAGAAUGAGAGAAACGCAUGGAGAUGGUAUUUGAUUGCCAACGAUACUCCAAGAUCAAAAAGGUAAAAAUUGCAGCUGUUGAAUUUACUGAUUAUGCUAUAAUUUGGUGGGAUCAACUUGUGACUAAUAGGAGGCGCAAUGGUGAAAGACCGAUAGAGACGUGGGAUGAGAUGAAAGCGGUGAUGAGAAGACGUUUUGUACCUAGUCAUUACCACCGAGAUUUGUUUCAAAAGUUACAAAAUCUCAUACAAGGCAAUAAGAGCGUGGAAGAGUAUCACAAGGAGAUGGAGAUUGCCAUGAUCCGUGCUAAUGUGGUGGAGGAUCGUGAGGCCACAAUGUCAAGAUUUUUGAGUGGUUUGAGCCAAGACAUAGCAAGGGUGGUAGAGCUAUAACACUAUGUUGAAUUGGAAGAAUUAGUGGACAAAGCCAUCAAAGUUGAGCGGCAAUUGAAGUUGGACCGAAAUCACAAGAGUGGAGGAGGUUCAAAUCAGAAUUGGAGAUCCAAUUGGAAGAGAGAUGAGAAGCCAAAUUGGAGAGGAAACAAUACUGAAACCGAAACCUCAAAGGAGAAGGAGAGGGACGGUAAAGUUGGAACGAAUCUGGCUUCAAGUAAAACCGAAAACCCUAACACUAGAACUCGUGAGAUUAAAUGUUUUAAGUGUUUGGGCAGGGGUCAUAUGGCGAAUCAAUGCCCUAAUAGGAGGGUGAUGAUCAUGACUGGACAUGGUGUUAUUGAGUCCGAAAGUGAAAGGGAAGAAGAUGAUGAUGAGAUGCCACCAUUGGAGGAUUGUAGUGAUUGAGAAGUGGCUAUAAAAGGAGACUUACUAGUGGUUAGGUGUUCUCUAAGUGUGCAGGUAAAGGAGGAGGAGCAUCAUCAACAAAGAGAUAAUUUGUUUCAUACAAGAUGUGUGGUGAAUGGUAAGAUCUGUAGUAUGAUAAUUGAUGGAGGUAGUUGUGCGAAUGUGGCAAGUUGUAUUAUGGUGGAUAAGUUGGGUUUGAAGACGACAAAGCACCCUAGGCCUUAUAGACUUCAAUGGUUAAAUGAUAGUGGUGAGGUGAAAGUAUCGAAGCAAGUUCGAAUUCCAUUUGAGAUAGGGAGAUACAAAGACGAGGUAGAGUGUGAUGUUGUACCUAUGCAAGCGGGUCAUAUUUUACUUGGAAGACCAUGGCAAUAUGAUCGAAAAGUACAUCAUGAUGGGUAUACUAAUCGUUAUUCAUUGAUGAUGAAUCAAAAGACUUAUACCUUGGUACCAAUGACACCUAGUGAGGUGUAUCAAGAUCAGUUAAAGUUGCAACGAGAAGCCGAGAGAGAGAGAAAAUGUGAGAAAUCCGAGGGCUUGCGUGGUGUGUUUGAGACUCAAGGAAAAGGAGAGGCCGAGAGAAAGAUUGUGGUAAAAACCGAGGGAAAAGAAGAGAGGAAAGAAAAGAAGCAAAAUAAUUUUUAUGCAAAAUCAAGUGAAGUGAGGAGAGCUUUAGUUCUAGAUCGACCAAUGCUUGUACUUGUGUACAAUGAGGUUUUGUUUUCAACUAACGAUCUUGACCCAAGUUUGCCUAGUCCUAUUGUGUCUUUAUUGCAGGAAUUUGAAGAUGUCUUUCUUGAUGAACUUCCUGGAGGGAUACCACCGAUUCGAGGCAUAGAACAUCAAAUUGACUUGAUUCCUAGUGCGCCAUUACCUAAUCGACCCGCAUAUUGAAGCAAUCCCGAGGAGACAAAGGAACUUCAACAGCAAGUUAGUGAACUAUUGGAACGGGGGCAUGUGAGAGAGAGUCUUAGCCCGUGCGCCGUCCCUGUUUUGUUGGUGCCAAAAAAGGAUGGAACUUGGCGAAUGUGUGUCGAUUGCCGAGCAAUCAAUAAUAUUACGGUAAAGUAUCAACAUCCUAUUCCUAGGUUAGAUGACAUGUUGGAUGAGUUGCAUGGUUCUUGCAUUUUCACUAAGAUCAAUUUAAAAAGUAGCUAUCAUCAAAUUAGGAUGAAAGAAGGUGAUGAAUGGAAAACUGCAUUUAAGACCAAGUAUGGAUUAUAUGAGUGGUUAGUAAUGCCAUUUGGAUUAACUAAUGCACCGAGCACGUUUAUGCGACUUAUGAAUAAUGUUUUGCGUGCUUUUAUUGGUCGAUUUGUAGUUGUCUAUUUCGAUGACAUCUUGAUUUAUAGCCGAAGUCCUGAUGACCAUUUUGAGCAUGUGCAAGCUGUCUUGCAGGUUUUAAGGGCUGAGCAAUUAUAUGCUAAUCUAAAGAAGUGCUCUUUUGUUACCAACAAAUUAGUAUUUCUAGGAUUUGUUGUUAGUGCUGAUGGUAUACAGGUUGAUGAAGAAAAGGUCAAAGCAAUCCGUGAAUGGCCAACGCCUAAGACCGUGGGAGAGGUGCGUAGCUUUCAUGGAUUGGCAAGUUUUUAUCGACGAUUUGUGAGAAAUUUCAGCACCAUUGCCGCACCUUUAACUGAGGUUAUCAAGAAGCACAUGGGUUUCACGUGGGGAGAAGAGCAAGAGAAAGCAUUUAAUCUGCUAAAAGAUAAGUUAACUAAUGCUCCUUUGUUAUCUUUGCCAAAUUUCAGUGCUACUUUUGAGAUAGAGUGCGAUGCUUCUGGUACAGGAAUUGGAGCUGUGUUGAUGUAAGGAGGGCGUCCCAUAGCUUAUUUCAGCGAAAAAUUGAGUGGAGCAACAUUGAAUUAUCCUACCUAUGAUAAAGAGAUGUAUGCUUUAGUGCGAGCUUUGGAGACUUGGCAACAUUAUCUAUGGCCAAAGGAGUUUGUGAUCCACACCGACCAUGAGACCUUGAAGUACUUGAAAGGGCAGCAAAAGUUGAAUAAAAGACAUGCCAAAUGGAUGGAGUUCAUUAAGACUUUUCCAUUUGUGAUCAAGUACAAGAAAGGUAAGGAAAAUGUGGUAGCCGAUGCACUUUCUCGAAGGUAUGCAAUUCUAACUAUUUUAGAAGCAAAGUGUCUAGGUUUUGAGCAUAUUAACGGCUUAUAUACUGAUGAUGAUCACUUUGGGAGAGUGUAUGAAGCAUGUGAACACGCUACAUUUGAUAAAUUUUAUAGGCAUGAAGGUUAUCUUUUUCGUGAAAACAAACUUUGUUUGCCUAAGUGUUCUUUGCGUGAAUUGUUGGUGCGGGAAGGGCAUAGUGGUGGUUUAAUGGGGCAUUUUGGCAUUAAUAAGACUUAUGAAGUGCUGCAUGAACAUUUUUAUUGGCCACAUAUGAAGAGAGAUGUCAUACGUGUCUAUGAGAGAUGCAUUGUUUGUAAGCAAUAUAAGUCUAAAACUAAACCGCAUGGCUUGUAUACACCAUUACCUAUUCCAACACAUCCUUGGACUAAUAUUUCUAUGGAUUUUGUGUUAGGAUUGCCUAGGUCUAAGAAUGGUAGAGAUUCCAUUUAUGUGGUUGUUGAUCGGUUUUCAAAGAUGGCUCAUUUUAUACCUUGUCAUAAAACUGAUGAUGCAUCUCAUGUUGCUGAUUUGUUCUUUAGGGAAGUUGUUCGUUUGCAUGGCAUGCCUAGAUCGAUUGUUUCAAAUCGAGAUUCUAAAUUUCUUAGCUACUUUUGGAAAACAUUAUGGAAAAAAUUAGGAACACGGUUGUUAUUUUCUACUACUUGUCAUCCACAGACCGAUGGUCAAACCGAGGUAGUUAAUAGAACUUUAGGGGUAUUGUUGCAUGCAAUUAUUAAAAAGAACAUAAAAUCUUGGGAAGAUUUUCUGCCACAUGUUGAAUUUGCAUAUAAUAGGAGCAUGCAUUCUGCUACUAAAAUUUACACCAUUUGAGGUUGUCUAUGGUUUUAAUCUGUUAACUCCGUUAGAUUUAACCCCUUUACCUAUUGAUGAGCGUGUGGAUUUAGAUGGAGCAAAGAAAGCUGAAUUUGUCAGGGCGUUACACGAGAAGACGCACGCAAAUAUUGAGUGCAAGAUUGAGCAAUAUGCAAGGCAAGCCAACAAAGGGCGCAAGGAAGUGGUGUUUGAACCCGGAGAUUGGGUUUGGGUUCAUAUGCGCAAAAGAGAGAUUUCCUAAGCAGCGACAUUCUAAGUUAUUACCACGAGGGGAUGGACCAUUCAUGGUUUUGGAAAGAGUUAAUAAUAAUGCCUACAAGCUCGAUCUUACAGGUAAGUAUGACGUUAGUGCCACAUUUAAUGUUUCUGACUUGACUCUUUUUGAUGCCAGUGAUGAUUUGAGGGCAAAUCCUUUGCACGGGGGAGGGAAUGAUGUGGACAUCGAGCCAUAUCGAGGAGGAGGUGCUAAGGACCCAUUAUCUAUUCCUACUGGUUCGAUCACUCGAGCGCGGGCCAAGCAAUUUAGGCAAGCUGUUGGUGUCAUGGUUCAUGAUCUUUGGCAUGAAGAUGACCUUGGAUCAAAUCUUGAAGAAUCUUGGAAAUCUUGGCGUAAUUUAAUUAUCUGGUCACCAAAUAUUUGACCAAUUCAAAUAGGAAUAUUCUUCUUGUUUAGGAAUAUUCUAGAAUAGGACGCAUUAGUUUUUUUUAGGGUUGGUUUUAGGGUUUGUGUGGCGACUAGAAGGCCUAUAUAUAUAAGACUGACUGAAUUUCUUUGGGGGACAGAGAUAUAUUUUAUUUUUAAGGACAAGAAUUGAGAGGUUUUCUUCUACUGCUCUUUUGAGGACUUGACCUUAUCAAGAUUCUCUUUGGCGGUCGAUUUAACUUAUCGAGCGAGAUAGCGAAUUCUUUCGCUCGUGGCGUCUAUAACGUUGGUUGGUUGACACGCGUUUGUCAACAUGUCACGUUCAUACCGAGGUUGCCAAUCACAGGUUUGAUUGGAGGUCGAGGUUUGUAAUUCGCACCAUUUGGGCCUUCGUAGAACGAUCCUUCCGCAACGAUUCACAUCACCGCGCCUAAUUUAGGGCCAUUAGUCUACUUCUUUAGGAAAAUACCCCAAACCUUUUUCCUUUUUCCCCCGGACGGAAAAAGGGAGGUCGUGACAAUGCGUCUAUAGGGUUUUCUCAUAGCUGAUCACUCUUGAGAUAACUAGACUACCUAAGUAAGCCAUUAAGGAAUUCUAAGGCAAUAGACUUUAGAACUUGACUGGGAAUCGGCUUCUCGACUGUGUCUAUCUUUAGAGGUCAUUACAGCAUAGUUAAAAAUUGAAUUAAGAUCAGAAACAAGUCAGUUUGACUGAGAGAUAUGACCGAUCAUGGGUGACUCCACUAAAUUGGAAAAUUCUCGUCGACUGUCGUUUUGGUACCAUGUGUCCAUAUUUGGAUCCUCAAGAUUUUCACAACAAUCGAGAGUCGCCAAUGUGUCGAGUGAGUUCGUUGUGACUCAAAGAAAAUCGACCACGGUUCAUUUGCCCUAAAAAGUUACGAAAACUACUCGGUAGCCUAGGUCACACUAAAAACGCACCGAUUGAAAAUUAACCACCAAUUUGAGUGCGAUUUCAAAAAUUGAAGAUUCUUUCAUGUCACAAUAAAUUCUAGGACACACGACUCAGUCUCAGAAGAUUUUUUUUACAACCGACACUUUUUGGGAAAAAGUCGUCGCCGGACCGUUUUUGUGCAAUUGAAGCUAGAGAUUUAUUUUGGUUGUAAAUUUGAGAAGCAUGAUGGAUAUAUGGGUGAGGAAAAAUGCUAAGAGGAUCAAUGGAUAACCAAUUGAAUUUGGGAGAGUCGAUUGAGAUGAAAUCAAGAGGGAUUUGAAACCAAUUGAAGCCAUUCCUCUCAAAAUUUGUAGCUCCCCCUCAUGCCUAGCCAAAGUGGACUACUUCAAAGGUUGUGAGGGGUGUGUGUGGUUAAAUGAGAGCCAAGGGAUUCUACAUGGUUGAGGUUGCUUGUGGAGGAUAUUUUUGUGGAAAAUUUGACCAAAUGGAGCCCAUCUCUCAUUUUUGUCUUAACCCCUCUCCCUCCCUUCACUUGGCCAACCACCCUACCUUCCCCCCUCUCCAUUUUGUGUGAAAACUAACACAGCAAGGAGGAGAGCAACUGCUGUCCACGCCUAGCCGCUCGUCGCCGCGCCGGUGUCGCCCUCGCCCCAGCGCGCGCGCCCUCCUUGCCGUGCACCAUCGUCCCUUUGGUCAUGUCUCUCCCUCGUCCAGCUGCUGUCCUUGGUCCAUGAAAGCCUUGCCGGGGCUGGUUUUGGUUGUUUCUUUGCUAGUAAAGACCCGCCAUGGCCCGGUUUGGCCUAUUUCCUUCUACCGGUCAAUUCAUGUGCUUAACCGAGUUGUUUGCUUCAAUUUCCAACCAAGAUUAGAUCAAUUUUGUAGUGGGUUUCCAGCUGCCUUUAGGCCCGUUUUGGAGGAGUUCCGGGCCUCGGUUUCUAGGUCCGCUUUGGACAUUGUUGUUCCCCGCGCCGUUCCCGUCAGUUUGAGCCAACUUGUGUGUUAUUCUAAUGAGUUUAGCUCACUAAAUCUCGCUUAGUAGACUAAUUAUGCUUAAGGGUUGAUUAUUGUUAAUUAAGUAGGAUUAGGUGGUUAGAUUAGAGUAGAUUAGUGAUUAUUAAUUAAUUGUGAUACAUGUUAGGUAAUGUGAUGAUGCAAUUAACUAGUUGACGUGUUCUAUUAUUUAUUAAAUGCGUCUCGGUAUUUUUCUCGGACCGUUUUGGGCUCCAAUUAGGCGAAUCGGGCCUAAGUUGGAUUUAUUGGUAAUUAUUUAUUAAUUUUUAUAAUUAAUUAAUUAUUUAUUUAUUUUUUGGAAAUUCGGCAGGGAGAGCCGACGACCGAAAUUUUAUGCUGAUUGUUGUGGUGAAGUCCGUUUAUUUAUUUGAGCCUUACAUUGUGUGGAAUUAAUUUAAUUGUGGAAUUUUAAGAAUUGUUCCUAGUUGAAUUGAAAUUGGACAAUUAAUUGGGAAACAACCGGGUGUCGAUUGACAGCACCAAAAAUAUUUUGGUGGACUACAAAUAAGGGUGGGAUUUGUGACAUCCUGAAAUCUAGGUUUUGAUUUCAAUCGAAAUAGUUGGGCAUUUCAUCGACGCAUUUAUAGUUCUUUUCCCUGAAUUGAUCACUCAUGGGAUAGCUAGUCUAUCAGGUGAAGCUGUUAAGGAAUUCUAAUGCAUUAAACUUGAGAAUUCGACUAGGAAACGACUGCUCGACCGUGCAAAUCUGCAAGAGAUCAUUACGACAUAUUAAGAUCGAUUAGAAAUCGGAGAUAGGUUGACUCGACAAAGGUAUGUGAUUAAGUGUGGGUGAUUCUACCUAAUUGCACAAUUCUUGUCGAUCGGCUGUCGUUUUGAUACCCUGUGUUUGUAUUUGAAAUCUUGAGAUUUCUAUGACAAUCGAGAGUCGCCAAUGUAUCGAAGAUGUACUUUGUGGCUUGAGAAUAAUCAACCACAAGUCAAAUGCACGAAAAUUUCCCGAAAGCUACCCGAUAAAUUAGGACGCACUAAAUUUGCGUCGAAUUGAAAUUAACCGUAAAAUCGAACUCGAAUUUAGAAAUUGAGAGUUUUGUCAAGUCACAAUUCAUUUUAGGAACGUCGACUCAUUUUCAGAAGAUUUUUCUACAAAUCGAGAUUUUGGCGGAAAAGCAAAGUAAGGCCGUUUUUGUUCGAGAUUGUCAGAUGGCCAUUUUUGAUCGAAUCUUUGGGAAGCAAGUUGGAUCAUUUGAUGGGAAAAAGUCAUAAGAAGGUUGAGGAUGCAUGGGUUAAUUUAAUUGAGCUUCAAUUUGAUGGAAUUGAUUGAGAAUUGAUUGAAUUAAGUGUACAAAAUUUCAUGCCACGGCGGAAAAUAAAAUUGGACCCAUUGAAGAUAGUUGUGGGAGUUUUGAGUGAGUGGAAGAUGACCUCAUGUAAGGUCAUGGUGGGCCAAUUUUUGGGGGAUUAAAUAAAGAGAAAAAGAAAAGGAAUGGCCCCCCUUCCUUCUCUCUCUUCCCUCUUUCUCCCCCGUCGGCACCUCCAUCUCUCCAUCUUCUUCUUCUUCUUUGAAACCCAGCAGCUGCAGAAGAUCAGCCGGAGCAGCCGUGCGCCUCUGCUUGUCGCACACCCUUGCCGGACCGCUGUUAGCCGGCCCCCCCUUCUCCUUGCUGCUUCCGUCGACCCUCUCUCCUCCAUUUCUUCUUGUUGCUCGAGGAACCCAGCACGCCGAAGAACCAACAAGCCGAAGACCGUUUGAAGCCAGCAGCUCCGCUUGUCGCCGUCGCCGGCACCACCCGUCCGCGCGUGCCGCUCCCCUUUCGCCUGCACGACCGACCAGCCCGCGUGCAGCUCCACCCUGCUCAUGCGACCCCAAGCCUCCCGCACCUCCGUCCAGCUGCUGCUCCUCGUCGCUAGCCACCAUUGGAGCUCCCUCCGGCCACCGUACGCCUCCGCCUCAGCCCGCCGAGACUCCCUCAACCCCUCUCGGCCCUUGCAUGCCCCAACCGAACUCGAAUCUACCCUUUCUCGGCCUUAAACCGUAGCAGACGGCAGCAAACAAAAAUGGGUAUGGCAGCAGCUUCAUGGCCCGUUUUGGCCGGCUUCCUGACCCCGGAAGCUAGGCCCGCCUUAGAGUGAAUCGAUCCCCUCGGCGUGUCCCCGUCGAUUUGAGCCGCUCGGAUCGCUAAUCGGGUGAGUUUAACUCACUAAUCCAUGCUUAGCAAGUUAAUCACGUUUAAGGGGUGUUUAGAUUAAGCUAAGUGGGUUUAGGUGAUUAAAUUAAUUUAUUUAAAUGUUAAGUGGAUUAAGGGAUGUGAUUAGUUUAGUGGAUAAUUAAUUAAGGCUAAGUAAAUGUUUGGAUUAAAGUAAUCUUGUUUAAGCCUUAAUUAAUUAUUUUAAAUUAAAUAAUUAAUUCGAAUUUAUACUAUUAUUUAUUAUAUUUUAUUAUUAUUAUAUAAUAUUAUUUUAUUUAAUUUUCGGAAUAAAUUUAAUUAUUUAUUAUUUUCCGGAAAUUUUGACCGGGAUAGCCGGUGAUCGAAAUUUUAUGCUAAUGAUCGUGGUGAAGCUGAUGAUCGUGGUGAAGUCCGUUUAUUUAAUUGACCUUCGAUUUGAGCUAAAUUGAAUUUAUUGUAAUUAAUUAUUAAUUUUCGAAAUUAAUUAAUUAAUUAUUAAUUUUCGAAAUUAAUUAAUUAAUUAAUUAAAUUUCGGAAAUUAAGAUUGAGAUGGCCGACGAUCAAAAUUCCAUGUUGAUUAUCAUGGUGCAGUCCGUUUAUUUAUUUGUGCGUUAAUAGUGCUGAAUUGAAUUAAUUGUGAAUUUAGGAUUUAUUCCUAAAUUAUCUGAUUUAGGUUAUUAAUGGAAAAAUAACCGGGCGUUGGUUUACAGCGCUAAAAAUAUGUAAUGGGCUGUUGAAAUUAGUGGGAUAUUUGUAAGUAAAAUUAUUAUAUUUUGGCUAAGGCCAACCAUGUACCCACAUACGGCUAUUUUUAUCGAGAAUGAUAAAAGAUGUAAUUGAUUGUAUGAGAGAGUGGUAUACUAUAUCGGCCUACGGGCGAUAUGUCAGCUUUGGGUGAGCAGUAUACCGGUAUACUAUAUCAGUCUACGGGCAAUAUGUCAGCUUUGGGUGAGCAGUAUACCUUAUUAUCAGCUUUGGGUAAGCACAUACUUAUAGUAUACUAAAUUGGCCUUGGGGCCCAAAUCUAUCAGCUUUGGGCGAGCAUAUACAUAGUAUACUAUAUCUAUCAGCUUUGGCCGAGCUAUGCUAUCUAUUAUCAACUUUGGGUGAGCAGUCCUAGACCAUGGUCGGACUUUAUAGAUAGUAUUGAAUGUACCGACCAGGGAAAGGUCGUGGUGAUAUGUAAUCAAUUAAGUCGAUUGAUCGCUAAGUCGAUCUGAUUGGUGGAAUGUGAUCGAUUGCUGUAGUUAUCAAUAUUAUUAAUUAAACUGAUGUGCAUGAAGGAACUAAUGCCAAGGUAAGCCCUUUGACCUGUUUUGUGCUUAAGCUGUGGGUCCAUCCCGCGCGCUGGCUGGCUUUAAUAGCCAAGAGUCAAUUACUGUGGGACAACAACAAAUUUUAUCUCCAAAGUGAACAAAAAAAGGUGAGAUCUAUAUUGAACAAAUAUAAGAAAAUUCGAUCAACAACUUCCCCCAACCCUGAAAUGCCUAAUCAGCCAAAUUCACUAACAAAUCUCACUUCCCCAAGCUCAAAACCGAUGUACUUAACACUAGAGCUUGUCUGUUCGCACCUUAUCACAAUCAGAAACUCCCAAUUAGAAUUGAGCCAGAGGAUCACAACAUAAACCGAUGCAUGAACACGAAUUGCAAUUGACCUCUCGCCCCACUUGCAGCGAUCAAGCACGUUAGAACCAUCACUCUCCAACCACGACCCGUUCCGCUCCAUAUUCUCCAAGAUAAACAGAUCGAACGGCGACAUCGAGAAAACUACGGCGUGAUCGAGCAGCGAGAUAGAGAGAUCGACCGCAGAUCUUUGUCCGUAUUGCUCCAAUUCUGGUCUCACAAGUUCGUGGAUUUCAUGGCGAUUAAAAGCUACUGUGACUUGGGGCAAAGGAAGGAGAGGAAGAUGAAUUUACAAAUUUUCCUGUUUUGCCUUCGGUGUCUUCUUCUGUCGGCGGUCACAUUCGGUGAUUUCGGUGUUUGCGUGGGGGCACUGAAGUAAGUUCCCCUAGAAUUUCAAAUUUGGGUUCUCUCUCUUGGAGCUCCCCUAUGAUGUCUCCACAUUAGCACUUUGACUCGAGCUUAGUUUUUUUUUCUUUUUUUUUGGUCCGUCUCUCGAGCUUAGUUUAAUUAGCCGGGUCUGAACCAGGAUUCUGAAAUUUGAACAGAAAAAAAAAAAAAACACAACAACAAACCAGGAUUCUCAAAAAGCACCAAAAUUAAAGGUUAAUUAAUAUCCUUUAUCUGUUUAAUUUAUAUUUUUUUAGGUAUAUAAAAAUGCACCCUCCACUAUGGUGGAAAGUUUUUUGAGUCAUAUUUUUGAAUUCAAACUCAAAUCGAUCUAAUAACUUAAGUUAUUCAAACUUCAAAAGAAUGUAACCGAACUUGAGUGACUAAUGAGUUGAGCUUAACUGCAAAUUAUGAAAUCUACUUCUCUCGGGCUAGUAAGAGAGUUUAAAAAGAUGACUUGCUAUUAUGUAUAGAUUCUUGAAUGCUCUCUAAAUACUUAUGUUGAACUGGAUGCAAUAUUUUCUUUUCCUUUUUAGUUAAACGUACUUAUAGUAUUUUGAGUCAAGUCAAUUUGUCUAAAACUUCCGGACUAUUUAUAAUGUGAAUGUGUUUCGAACUUAUAACCUUGUAGAAACUUAUAGCCUUCUUGAAACUUGUGGCAUUAUCUUGUUAGGAAUGCAGUUUGUUGAAGAGAAAAUUAAAAAAAGAAAAAGAAAAAAAAUGACAAGCAAAGUUUUCCUUUGGAAUCAGAAAGAAAGAAAAAUUACAAUGUUGCACUAUAUAAUUCUUACACUAUCAAUAUUAGUUUAACAUGAGAAUUACAUGUACACCAUUAGCAAUAAAAAGCCUCUAUGCUUUAAUGGCACUUUCUUCUGUUACACUCCAUAACUCUAUAAUUAUCUUCCCAUAAUUUCUCUAAUUGAAUACGUUAGCAAUACGAUCGUCAACAUUGAAUCUACAUGUAAAUGAAUGAGGAAUAGAAAAAAAGGUCCGCGAAUGUUGAGAACAAAAAUCAUUGGGCUUUUUCAUUGGCUAUGUGCAAAGUAAAUAGAGUUUAUGAUCUUAGACUACAAAAAUCAUGAUACAUUUUUAAAGAACAAAGAGCAUGAAUGAUUUUUUUGAUAAAUAUAAAAUAAGAACCCAAAUGUAUGGCAGGCGCCAUGUUCGGUGGCUCUCAUGAAUUUAUAUCUAUAGUGGAAUAUUUAAAAAGGUACAAAGAUAGAACAACUUUAUACAAGACUUAAUUUUUCUUACCAAGCUCAUGCACUACUCAUUCACUUUAAAGAAAUGAAAAAAAAAUAUGAACACGAAAGAUUCCAACUCACCCCUAACUGAUUAAAGAAUUACAGUGUUUUUCAUGAAUUGUUAUGUUAUGAGCAUAUUUCUAACCAGUUAGUAUCUUAAGUGCUUAUUGCAUCAUGUGAAAAGAUUUUUUACAUUUUUAGCACGUCCAUGAAGUUACAAUGUCAAAUUUAUAUACUUACGAGUGGAUCGAUUAAUAAUAACUCAAAUCAAAUAUUUUGUGAUGGAUGCCUGCUCUCUUUAUUUAUUGAAACAAAAAUUCACAACCCAUCAUGACUCGGGCGGCGAGGCCAAGACGAUCAACCUCAACUCGAGCCGGGGAUCCAUCUGGCCGUGAGCCAGGCGGUGGCUUCAAUUCCCACGGAGGGGAACGAAAGUACACUUCCUACAUUUCCCCCGCACCGCCUGGCGGGAAAUUUUCGCACCACUGACAUAAAACCAAAAUCGAAAAAAGCAAAAAAGGAAAAUUAAAACCAACACAAAAACGAAAACGGAAAGCGAAAAACAAUUCAAAACAGAAAAUACGCAAAGCGCGACCCCUCCUCCCCUGCUUCCUCCCAGAUCCGGACAUCCGUUCAGAUGAAAACGAAACGGCUACGAUCCUUUCACAAUCCCACUCCCACUUUCUCUCUCUCUCUCUCUCUCUCUCUCUCUCUCUCUCUAGAGCAAGCACCGACGACCUCGAUGGACCGAUCGAUCGGCCGGUCGCCGCCGUAACAGGCUUUCAGCAUCGCCGUGGUGAAACUCUUGGAGCAGCGGGCGUGGCCCGACGGCUCCGAGGAGCGGCGGCAGCAGCUCAAUGAGCCCGGUCGAUGACGAGGAGCUCGAGGCCCAUCGGACCGCCCCGCCCGAAGAGGAUGACGCUGCCGCGGCCUGUGGUGCCGACGAGAAUGUCGGGGCCGAAGAGGACGACGAUGAGGUUCGACGUUCGCCUGCGCCGUUCUUGCUGGAUUAGUAGAAUUCUGCAAUUUCACUGCAAUCCAUGACAAAUCUCUUGGAAUACUCCGUGAGGAAACCCCAAAAGUGUCUGGAUCAUAACAAAUGGCUUCAAAACUUUUCCAUAGGAAGAAGGAUGUCAAUAGCACGAGUAAACCGAUAAAUUGAGAGCUGCAAUGCAGACAAGAUGAUAAUAAUAAAGAACAAGUUGAUUUUAUUCAUAUAAGAGUAUUUUUCGCAUGGUUAACAGUUAAGUGCUUUAAUGGUGUACUACGUGAUGAUAAUAACAUCCUUUUCAGAAUAAACAGCUUGGAAGCAGGAUGAUCGGCAUGAAAACAGUAUUGGCCGUACCGGGUUGCAAUGGCAAGUAGUUCUUUUUCAAGAGCUUCAUGACUUCCUGCACGAGUGUAGCAUCUUCUAUUUAGCAUAAAGCUGCAUUUUGAUACCCCAAGUUAACAGAAGAAAUGUGCAAAUAAACCAAAACGAAAGAAAAUCACUUGAUAUAAUAUCAUAGAUGUUAUGCUUCCACAAUGCCUUCUUACCUACAAUUUUGUCAGCCCUUGGUUUCUAUCGUCAAGGACUAAGUGCGCCGCGGUAAUUUAGAUGCAUAGGCAAAAUAAGGAUAAGAGAUAUAAAUGUUGAUUAUAUUAUGUACUUCCAGCAACAAAUUAAUUGAUGUAAUCUCCUGACCAAAGACACACUAUGAAAAUGCAGUUUGAUUGAGAAUCAGCUCGAAUGAAUAACCAAUGAAGCUAUCGUUUGUAAAAACAUGUUUUGCCCAAAGUAAACGCUCGUUGUUAAGCUUCAGUAAUGAAAUAACUAACUUCAAGUAGAGAUGUCAUUCAAGAAAUCAGAGGCUCGUUGAGCUAGCAAUUCGUCAAAAGAUCAAUUGACAAAGUAUGACACAUAUUAGGUUGAAUCGAGCUUAACAGUGCCCUAGUUAUAAAUGAGAUAACAAGUUUGUACAUGAAAAAUAAAGACAUAACCAAUUUAGACACAUCGAAGCACAUCAAGCAAGUUAAUGUGUUACUCCCACAGGACACGUUCAUACACAUUUAAAAAUAUUAUAUAUACUUUGAAUAAAAUGUGGUUUCAUAAAAUUAUAAAUGAAAAACUCUAUCUUGAGCAUGUUACAUGUGUCACGUUACUACUUCAUCCAUGUUGCAAUUAAAAACUUCCAUGAAUUCAAAGAUUCGACAAUCUCUAUAGUGAAAAAAAGAGAGGUUGAUUAUCAACUGUUAAAAGAUCAGAAUUUUACUUCUCAAAUGGAGCAAGAAGUCAACUGACAAAUCUGCGUAGGUUUUACAAUACAUCAAAAAGAAGCGUAAUAUCCUCCGUUUUUGCAAUUUUCAAUCACGCACCGCGUCCAUGCAUUUGGAGCCAUUGUUCUUUUCGGAUCGAUGGAUUCAAGAAUUUCACAAUACAUCUCCUUUAUGAUUUCUGCAUAAUAUUAUAAGAAUUAAAUAUCAAAUAAUAACACAAUUCGUCAAGAGAGCUCACCACGCAAUUUAUUGAAGAAAGCAAAAAACCGGUGGGUUCCUCCUUUUCAGCACUAGCUCCAGAAACAUGGUAAACUUGACAUUAUUGAAUAAGGGGCUGCAGGCAAUCUAUUGCCAUGAACUGGCCCAGUGAAUUUCAACAUCAUAUUAAAACCUUUUACUGCCAUCGAAAAUGCAACUCCAUUUUGCAUCAACAAGGACAAUAAAUAAUUCAACCCAUAACUGACAUUUAAGAACAUGAAGCAUUCAACUAGAAGAAACAAUUCAACGUGAUUAAUUUCCUACUACAGAAUCAUGUCUCCAGCAUCAAAUUUAUAAGAAGCAAACACAAUGACAACAAUAAAAAGAUACGUCUCUCUAUUCACAAGCACAAUCCCUGAUAGCAUGACCAUUUGUGAUCUAUAUAUGCUCUCCGCUUCAGCUUCCUUGCACCAGCUACACAUCCCUCAAACGAGUUACUCAGACUUCUUCAUCGAUCACCAAAUUCCUUUUGCCCCCGUGUCUAGACAUCAAACUCAACCUAAAAUAGGCCCCUACUAACAAAGAACCAUCACUCUGGCAUCUACAUUCCACGCUGAAAUUCCCUAGCGGCAAAAAAGAAAAUCCUAAUAGACAACAAGCAUGCAUUCUGCGAAAUCGAGGGACUGAGCAGUAGAGCAGAAGGAGCUGUGACUUUGACAUGCUUCGACACAAAUUUGAGCACAUUCUGUGACUUGGUGAUCAUAGGGAGUGAUGGAUCCGGCUGAGCUGAGAUGAAUGGAAGGCUUGAAAAUGCGGUAGAGUCUGCAAGCUCAAAUCAGUCACCUGGUUAAUGAAUGUAGUCAUCCUGUGAUGUAAUUGAAUCAUAACAAUGAAUCUCGUAAAAGAUGCGAUCUUUUUUAACGAAAUGAGGAAAAAAAAAAAGUUUGCACACAAGAGUCGACGGAGAUUCCAGGCAACCCGUGGCUUACACUAGUUCAUCAAUUGAUAGAAAUUUAAGUACAGAUUACUCCCCAACACAGUCCAAAACCGUGUUAGCUAAGUACAUGGAAAAGUACAUGGAAAAGACAAACCCCCUGAAACUGCCCAGUCACCAAACGUGCCUAUUCUGACAUUAACUUAAUUAGAAAAAAAUGACCCAAAUCAUUAAAUCUAAUGAAUAGAAGCGUAGCAGUAUCUCAACAGCAGCACUCAAUAGUCAGAAAAAAUCCUCUUUGUUCGAGAAUGGAUUUUAUAGGACUCCACUUCUAGUCCAUCGACAUUUCCUAGUCUUCAGCAACGUCCAGUAAUCAAACUGAGAGAACCUAAAAAAAAUUGAAAGAGGGGAAAAAUAAAUGGUUAAUACCCUGAAAAACCCAAAACUGAUAUAUCUAUGACAAAUUUAUCCCAAAUUAUAUUUUGACCACAAAAAACCCAAAAUUAGUAUACCUUUGACAAAUUUACCCCAAACUGGUACGUUUGUGACAAAUUUACCCUCUGUUAAUUUUCGUUAAAUUUUACUGUCAAAUUAUUAAAUUAAAUGACACGUGACAAUUGAUUAGUAUACCAAUUUGAGAUUUUACGCUCCGUUUGUCACAGUUUAUAAUUUUUGUGAUUUUUUUUUGUAUUAAUUCAAUUUAACGGAAUGUAAAUUAGUCACAAAUUUAUGAGUUUGGAGUUUUUUGUGGUCGAAUAAAUUAAUUUGGGGUAAAUUUGUCAUAAAUGUACCAAUUUAUGGUUUUUUUAUAGUCAGUCGGGGUAAAUUUGUCACGGAUGUAUCAGUUUGGGGUUUUUCAUGGUCAAAAAAAUAGUUUGGGGUAAAUUUGUCAUAAGUGUACUGGUUUAGGGUUUUUCAAGGUAUUAACCCAAAAAUAAAAGGGAAACUACUCAUAGUGGAGGUCAUCAUGCUUGCUGGUCAUAAUUAUAUGAUGUUGUUGAUUUUCCACCGGCAAAUUGACUCCAAGAUAGAACUACACUCUUGAUUCGUCGAAGAGAAAUUACUCAAGACAGGAGAAAAGCUUACCAACCCCGGCCCACCGCCCCACUCCUUGUUUUUCAAUCGCUACGGAGCAUAUUAAAAUUAGACAUAACUCUACCAAAUCUUAGUUACCCUUGAAUCGGGUCACACGAUUCACCUGUUUAGAUUUGGUAGUGGGAGUUAGUAGCGUGGGAGUUGUAGUCGGGGUGGUGACGCCGUAACGCUCGGAGUGCAACGUCAACGUCAUGAAGCUAGAGUAUUCUCCUUAUUUCAAAGACAAACUAGAAAGAAGUUAUAUGCUACCGCAAAUAAAACAAUGAAGGACAUUCUCAAAAGUUAAACUACAAAAAGGGUGUCUUUAAUUAAAGAAGGUGUAGAACUAGCACCACCGUUUUUGUAAACAAAUUUUCAUAAACAUAGUAAAUUUCCUUUUUAAUUCAUUUUUUCAGCUUAUUACUUACAAGUGGGCCCAGCGCCUUGGUACUAAUACAUAAUAUUUAUAUGCCUUCUCUAGUUAGGAGAAAAACUUAUAUCAACUAUUGAUAUCUAAAACUCUUUAGCUCACUAAAGAUUAAUAUCUAUACUUUUCAGAAUCACUAUGUCACGCCCCGAUCCCCGGACGCGCGCACAUCCUUCUACUUGGUCGAUUUUAUAAUGCGAUAUCCCAGGACUAUGUAUCGCCGACCCUUUCUUUUUAUUAAGCACAUGCGGAAGCAGUUAUAAAUCCCCAGACAAUUAAACAAUGAGAUAGGAAAGGAGGCCAUAUUUUUCAUAUUGAAAUUCACAACCACACUUUCAUUAACAGCACCACUCAUAGUAUAUUUACAAUACUAUUUACAGCAUAAAAGUCUCACACCUAUCUAUACCAAGACAGGGUUCACAAAAGGGAUGGGAUCUCAAUCCACAUCCGGGCUAUAUUUAAGAUCCCUCUCUGGAUCAUCUUCUUCCUCAAAAGUCUUUCUCCCCUUCAGGUUCCUCUUCCUUAGCUUCUCCUCAGGGUCCUGAAAUGGUUAUUCAAUAACCAAUGAGACCACGUCUCAGCGAGUCCUACCCACUAAGACUCGAUUAAUAAACUAAUACGCCAUACGGUUGCCUAAGCACAACACGAGUCAGAGGACUUACCUUGGCCUCAGUUCCAACCUGCAAUUCAAGGUUAAACACAGAUAUUCAAACAAUUCACGACAUACGAUCAAGCACUGGUCAAUCGACUAAGUCGAUUACAUGUCAGCCAGACCCUUUCUAGGUCAUUCCCACUCAUACCACGAUUUCCCAGUGGUGUACUCAUUCACCAAAUCACAUGUGUUUCUCGGGCGUCGUUUUCGCCAAUGACAUACCGAUCACCGACACCGUGCGUUCUUUAAGGCGCCGUUUUCACCAGUGAUAACCUUGAUCACCGAACCACGUGUCCUUUCAAGGGCGCCGUUUUCGCCAAGGUGACAUCGGCUAUAGACAACAUCGUGCGUUCUUUAAGGCGCCGUUUUCACCAGUGAUAUUCCCAUAAUCACCGAACCACGUUUGUCUAUAAGUCAUUCACGUGCGUUCUUUAAGGCGCCGUUUUCGCCAGUGAUACUUCCAAUCACCGAACCACGUAUGUCCAAUAAUAUCGUACCUGAUUGGUCUCACCAUUCUCCCUACUAUAUAGCCCAUCAACGUACUGGCGCUAUAUACCCAUGCUUGGCCAUUACCAAUCAAAUAUUCAAUAACAAACAAUUUAGGACAAUUCCUAAAAUUCCACAAUAAAUUCAAUUCCACACAACGUAGAGCUCAAAUAAAUAAACGGUCUGCACCACGACAGUCAGCACGAAAUUCCGGUCACCGGCCAUCCCGGUUGAAUUUCCGGAAAAAUAAUUAAUUAAAUAAAUAAAUUUCGAAAAUAAAUAAAUAAACAUUAAAAAUCCAAUUUAGGCCCAUAUUGCCUGAUUGGAGCCCAAAACGGGUCGGGAAAAAUCCCGAGAUACAUUCAAUAAAUAACCAAACAUUUCUACUUGCUAAUAACUAGGUCUAACCACCUAACAUGCAUUAUUAAGUCACUAAAUUAAUUGUUCUAACCUAAUCUAACCACCUAAGUGCAUGUAAUUAAAUCUAACCAACCCUAAGACAUAAUUAGCAAACUAAUAAAGCAUUAGUGAGUAAAACUCACUUGACAAAAGCGGAGAUUGAAUCACCACAACGGCAAUGCGACGGCGGCCGAAAUCGAACUUUCGACAACACCGGCGGACUUGAACUGGGCCUUAAGCUUGGCCCAACAAAUCUCAGCCCAAUUGAGAUUUGUUCUUGCACUGGAUUGGGCUUCACUUGAUUGAACGGGCCUUGAAUGGGCUGUCCUCGCAGCCUCUAAUUUUGCUAGGCUUGGGAGCUGAAAUCGCUGGGCCUGACUUAUGGCCCAAAUGGACUGAACCUGAGCGGCCCAAGAUAUUUAAAAUUUGCUGGGCUGAUGAUGCUGAAGAUGGGCUGAGCAAUUAAACUGAAGGUGGACUGAAGACUUUUGGCUUCGCUGGACUGCAGAGUUGGGCCGCAAUCCACGAAGAGAAAUUUGUGUGGGCUGCUUCGGUCUUUGCUGGAGGGUACUGCGACUUCAGCCAAUCAAUUUCUUCGGCGGUUGAAAUGAGCUACAGGAGAUUUGUUUAGUUGACUCAACAAAUUGGAAGGAGCGGACGCGUGCGACUUCGGUCUUCGUGGCUUCAACUCGAUGCUGGCGAUGGGUCAACUAAGGAGAGGAGGAGCUCGGUUGUUGACUGAAGAUGGCGGCUUCGUUGGUUGAGUUGUUUUCGUUGGCUGCACACAUGGAAGACUUGAGGAACCGCUGCACGUUGGCCGCGUGGAGUUGCUGCGCUGGCGUGUGUUGCUUCGGUCGAUCUCAAGCAACAAGAUGGAGAUACCAACAGCGAAGGAACCACUGAAGCGGCAGACAUGAAGACCGCACAAGAAAAAGACACGAAGCUGCUGCAGCUUCGGUGGAUGCUGAGUUCUCGGUGGGUUGUGGGCUCCGGGGAGUCAACAACGUUCUGCCGUGUUGACUGGUGUGCUGGCAGAGUGAAGGACGCUCGGUGGGUCUCGCUGAAUGAAGACCAGUUGAGGUGGCGAGCUGGCUUGUGAGUUGCUUCGUUCAGCGUCGCUUCGCUGGCUUCAACUGGCGUGGCAAGACCGAAGUGGAGCUGCAGCAUCGACGUGGAGAUGGACGAAGGAAGCAGCUCGCUGGCGUUGGACUCGUUGAAGGUGCAAGGGACUUCGGUGGAAUGGCAUGAAGAGAGAGGGAUGCUUCGGUGGUGAGCAGGGAUUAGUGGGGCUGAAGCGUGAGUGGGGAACAACUGGUUUUCGGUGGGGGAUUGAACAAAGAUGGGGCUACAGAGAAAGUGAAUUAAAAAUGGGAGCAGCGAAUGCAAAGAGAAAGAAAACAAGGCUGCAGGAAAAUUGAUGGAGGGGAUGGUCGCUCGAGAGAAAGGAGGGGGAAAAGUCGGCGAGUGAAACUUGCUCGAGAAGGUGGAAAGGAAUGGAUGAGGAAGAGGUGGGCCUUAGCUUGAUAUUUUGCAAGAAUAUCUCCAUGAAUCACUCUUAGCCAAGUAAAAACACUUGGCCUUCAUUAGACCAUCCAAAUGACUUCCAUAACCUCUCAAGUAGUCCAAUAUUGCUAGGGUGAGGGGAUGAUACGAAUUUCACCAUUUGAACUUCAAUUUCUCCAAUAAAUUCCCAAAUUGAGGUCCAAUUUCGACGUAGAAAAAUCCCAAGAAAUUUUCUAUAAAUCUCCGACACACACGGGCUCAACCCGAAAGUCAAAUUUCCCAUUAAUUUAGCCAAUCUGAACUUCGGCCAAAUUUCCACGACGUCCGAACCCAGUUUCCGUAAAAUUUCCUGAAUCUCCGAAAAUCUUCUGAGACUGAGUCGAUGCUCCUAAAAUAGCUUGUGACAUCACUGAACUUUUGAUUUCUGAAAUCUGACUCAAAUCGACGGUUAAUUUCACUCCGACGUGCUUUUAGUGUGACCUAGACUACCGGGUAGUUUUCAGAACUUUUUAGGGCAAUUGACUCGUGGUCGAUUUUCUUCGAGCCACAAUGAACCCACUCGACACAUUGGCGACUCUCAAUUGUCGUGAAAAUCUCGAGGGCUCAACUACCAACACAGGGUACCAAAACGACAGAAAAUCAAAUUAGUGCCGGUCGACGAGAAUUUUCCAAUUUAGUGGAGUCACCCACGAUCGGCCACACAUCUCAGUCGAACCGACCUAUCUCUGAUCUCAAUUCGAUCUUUAACUGUGCAGUAAUGACCUCUAAAGAUGAACACGGUCGAGAAGCCGCUUCCUGGUCGAAUUCUCAAGUCCAUUGCCUUAAUAUUCUUUAAUGGCUUACCCAGCUAGUCUAGUUAUCUCGAGAGUGAUCAGCUCUGAGAACAACCCUAUAGACACGUCAAUGAAAUGCCCGAUUAAUUUAAUAGAAAACAAUAUUGAAAAUUCUGGAUGUCACACACUAUCCUCCCCGCCCCCCCCCCCCCCCCAAAAAAACAUAUAUUCGAUUAAUUAUUUUGUAAUAUUCCUAUCAAUGCACAAAGGCACAAACUGAUAAUUCUACUACUUAUUUAUCAUGCAUUUAGAUCAUAAAGUUUGAAUCUUUUCUAUCUCAUAAGUUAUAAAUAAUCUUAUAAAAAGGGACAUAGUUUUAUCUUUCCACGAAUUCACGGAUACAAUUUCUUCGGGAUAAGUACACUAAUGGUGCCAUAAGUUGUGUACGGCGCUCACUUUGGUGCCAAAAGUUUCUGCCGGAUCACUUAAGUGCCAAAUCGGAGAAAAAACGAUCACUUUGGUGCCACCGGCGAGAAAUUCCGGCCAAAAUGAUUACGUGGCUUUAUAUUUUUAAAAAAAAAUUGAUAAACCCUCUAAACGACGUCAUUUUCUGUCCUACUUAAGAAAACGACGUCAUUUUGCCGUCCUAUGUGGAUGGCUUAGGAAAAACGGCGCCGUAUUGCUCAUUUGUGAUUGAAAUUAGGGUUUUUUUUUGUUCAUCCUCGCCGAUCAAGCUUGCUCAGCCACCAUCGCUUGGCCACCGUGCUCGGCCACCGUCGCUCGGCCACGGUGCUCGGCCACCAUUGCUCGGCCACCGUGCUCGGCCAAGAAGUGAUGGGAAAAUAGGAGGCGAGGGCAGAGGAGGAGGAGGAAGAAGGGGGAUUGAAGGUGUAGAGAGAGAGAGAAGACGAGGAGUGUGAGGGAAACAAGAAGGGCGUAGAUGGAGAUGGUAGAUUGGGCUUUGUUCAAAGAGUGGCUGGUGCUGGUGUUGUUCUUCGAGGAAGAAGACGCCGCCGCCAUGGCUUCUCUCUCUCUGUUGGUGUUGUUCUUCAGGGAAGAAGACGACAUCGCCAUGGCUUCUCUCUCUCUGCUGGUGUUGUUCUUCGGAGAAAAAGAUGAUGCUGCCAUGGCUUCUCUCUCUGCGCUAGUGUUGUUCUUCGGGGAAGAAGACAACGCCGCCGCCAUGGUCUCUCUCUCUCUCUCUCUCUCUCUCUCUCUCUCUCUCUCUCUCUCUCUCUCUCUCUCUCUCAAUUUGGGGAUUAGGGUUUCGACUUGCGGUGCCAAACGACGUCGUUUGGUGGUUUACUUGCUGACUGGACUCUCCGGCGAGCCACGUCGGUAUAAGAAAUUAAUUAAAAAAGGCCACAUCGGAUUUCCGGCCAAUUUCGUCGGCGUUGGCACCAAAGUGAGCGUUUUUCAAAUUUUUUGGCACUUAAGUGAUCCGAUGGAAACUUUUGGCACCAAAGUGAGCGCCGUACACAACUUAUGGCACCAUUAGUGUACUUACCCCCAAUUUCUUCAUAUACGUGAAUAAUAUCUUUCAAUUCAUUAGAAAUUUGAAUAUUUUGUAAUAAGAGAAUUGUGCCAAAUCUUUUAAAUAAUAACUUUUCGCAUACACUCAAUACGGGUACACUUUUGCUAACAAUAUCAGAAAGGAACGAUAUAAUUGAUCAUAAAGAUUAUGUAAUAGUACACACGAAAGUUAUUGGCUGGAAAGGAAAAAUGAGAGGAACAAAAAGAACUACUUUUUAGGAAAAAAAAAAAAAAAGAGGGAGGAUACUGUUAUAAGCUUCGAAGAAUAAUACUUUUGAUCACGCAAUUUGUAAUAUAUGCUUGGUUAUUUUUCUCUAUUUCUGAUAAUAUACACUUAAACAAAAACACAAUUUAUUAGUAUUCAGAAAUAUUGCAUUCAAGACAAAGGUGAAAUAGCAUUCUUCUCGUCAAAAAAAUAAUAAUAACAUUCUUAAUUUUACUCCAAAUUCUAGGACAUAUUUUUAUUUUCUUCGUUUAUUUUCUUACUUCACAUCGCAUAGUCUUUGUUCAUUACCAAGACCAUAACUUAUUAGUGUUUAUACCGCGGCAGCAAUUGCACAUUAAAAUUUUCUUCCUUCCUCAAAAUCUGAAUUUGACACAUCAUAGUCAUGCAUUAUUUUAUGUGUCUUUGGUUUUGAACAAAGUUUUCAAAAAGACUAGAACUUCAGCAUUUUUUUUUUUUUUACGUUUCCUGAUAAUAGUUUCUUUCUAGAAACACUUUUUUAAUUUCUAUUCCUGAAAAUAAUUUAUAAACAAUUUAAGGCGUUUAGUAACUAUAUAAAAUUUAUGUUUCUGAAACAGAAAUACGUUUGGUACGACUCCAAAUAUUUUUGUAACUAAAAAUUUCUUUUAAUUUAUUAAUAAUUUUAUUACUUUUUUUCUUUUUCUUCUCCUUCCUCUAAUUGGUCGUCAGCCUUGACCAUAGCCAGUCGAUGACUGGCCAAACGAGGGCAGAAAAGGUUGUUGGCCUUGGGGGAGCCACACCGGCCACCAACGAGGUCCCCCUAAGCCUCAUCGUGGCUGGGUGAGGACAAGCCUUGCAGUGUGAGGCCGAGCCUCACUUGACCACUGCGAGGCUAGGCAACUCCAUCAUGGACGACACUAACCUCGCGAUGGCCUAGGAAGGCUCGGUCUUGCCAAAUCUGGGCAAGGUCGAGCCUUGCCCAGCCACUACGAGGUUUGGGGGGACCUCGCCAAGGGUUGGCAAGGUUGCCAUGCCUUGUUUGGCCUGUCGCCAACCAUCACCGAGGCUGCGCGACCGGCUGGGGGAAGUAGAAAUGAAGAAAAAAAGAAAGAAAAUAAAGGGAAGAAAGGAAGAUAAAAGAAACACUUAUUUUUUUGAGUUGUUUCCGGGAAUAAGAAACAAUUUUGUUUUUAUUUCUUGUUUAUAUUCCAAAUCUAUUACUCCUGGGGAAAAAAUUACCAAAUGCGUUUCUAUUCUAAAAAACAAAAGAACUAAAAUAUUUAUUCCCGGAAGGGUUAUCAAACACAGCUUGACAAAUCCCUACCCUAAGAAUGGUAACCAGGCCAUGCAGGCCCAAACAUAACACGAAUUGGCUCCCUUGGGCCCGAGAACGUGAGGAGCUGUUCCAGGCUAAGCCUGUUAACAAUAGGGGUGAUUGUAGACUUGUGGUCCGAACGAAAGUGAAGAUGGUAAGAGUAACACAAGAUCUCUCAAUGACGAUUUGUCAUGAAUUUUAGUUAUGAAAAGAAAAUACUUGUAUUAACAAAAAAAAAGGGGCAAAAACGGUAAAGAUCAAUACUGAAUAAAUUUUCCACUGGCUUCUUUUGACAAAAAUGUUGCCGACGACACUGAUAAGAUUGAUAAUAUUAUUUGUAAACCAUUGGAAGAUUAGAUUAGAGUUUAAUUUGUUUACGAUUUGAUUCUGCCAUCGAAAGGUUAGAUUAGAGUAUGAUUUGAUUCUGCAAUCGGAAUAUUAGAUUAGAGUUGUACAUAUAAUUUGAUUCUAAUUAUUUCAAUUGCAAAUAAAUUGAUCCAGACCAGGCUUUCAUCUAACAGACAUAAGGGUAUGCUAAAGCAUUGGCCUAAUCGUCUUUUCCACAUUCGGAUGACUCACCUUCUUUCUCCUUUGCUUUUAUUGCUUUAUUUCUUAUCAUCAUCAGUUUGCUUUUUGUAACAAGAUUUUCCUUGGAUUCUCUCGGGGCCAAUUUCGCCGUGAAUGAUGGCGUGAAGUCCCCAAAAGAUGGUUUUGUAGUGGGAGCAAAAGUGAAGAUAGUGAAGAAGGAAUAUUUGUGUGAUUGUUCUUAAUUAGUUAUGAGAAUAAUAAUUUAUUUUAAAUUAUAAAAUCUAAAUAUAAAAUAAUUGAAAAUUAUUACGAGAUUUAUUUUUUUAAGAAUUCAUGACCCAUAAUAUAUUAUGAGCAUAAUAAGAUAGAGCAGUAAUAAAUAUUUUUUUUGCCACUGAAGUGCACCCUCAUGUUUUUAAUUCUUUGCCUUGCGGGCUUCUGUCGACUGAAGUCCCGCUGACAAUACGAAGGCACACUAAAGCAUCGGUCACCGAGCCAUGCCACCCCAGCACUGUACAGACUCGCCCCUCUUUUUUCAUGAAUGUAACUAUGAAAAGAAAUUCCUCGGGCAACGGGAGAGGAAGGGGGCUAAAACAGGACGGGGCAAUAAUGAACAAUGCCUUGCCACCGAAAUGCAUCCUCCUCGCGUUUCUUUCCUCUUUGCGGUCUUCUUUUAACUAAAGUCUUGCCGACCGAACAAAGAGCGCCAAAGCAUCGAUGGGUUUCUUUUCCACACUGGCAGGACCCGUCUUCUCUUUCUUUGCUUUAUUGCUUUAUUGCGUUUCAUUGUCGCUUCUCGUUGAAUGAACCUCGCUUUAUUACAAGUUCCCAAGAAAUGGUUUUGUACUUGUCAUCAAACCGGUGGGUUAAUUAUUUUGAUAAUUUUUUUCUUUGCCAACAGCAUUUGAUAUAUCAUCCACACCACAAUUUCAAUAUUUUCGAGUGGAUUUUCAAUGAGGACUUGUAUAAUAAUGUACUUCCGCCGUUUCGCGCAACAUAUUUUAUUUAGUGACGACUUUAAUUAUUUUUCGCUGGCAAUAUGUGGAUUUUUUUUUCAAUUUUUUUCCCAAAAUUGUGUGCCUUUACUCAGCACGCACAUGCUCGCCAUCAUUUGAAGUUUGAAAACUAAAAAAAAAAUGGACAGGAAUUCGUUCCAUUGAUCACUCAAAGAACCGCAUCCCAGAUUAUAUCACUUCUAGGACCUUAAAAAUUGUUAAAGACUUAUUGUCAUCAUUGAGGUUUUGUUUUUUAACAAUAUUGACGGAUAAUAUUUUUUGAAUCACAAAAAAAGUUGGGUUUUGAUGUCUCACCAGGCAAAAUUUAGACUUUUCAGUGAAAUUUUCCCAACUCAAGUUAGCUUUGUUUGUCUACUUUUGUCAACUCAAAUGAGUACAUUAAAUCUUUAUGAUCAUCUUAGACGGAACUUUGUUGGAAUGUACUUUUCAAUUGCUGAUAUAAAUUUGAAGUUUUGAUGAUAUAGAAAAAGUUUUGAAUAAUUAGUCUCAUAGCGAAUAUAGUUUUGGAUUUUUCGCAGAAUUGCCACCCGUUUUCGCUCAUCCAUUGCCAUCACAAGCCCUCACUUUCAUGUGUGGAUCCACCCAUGACAUAUAACUCCUCACCCGUUCGACUUGUCUACUAUACCUUGGUCUUGUUUUUUUCUCCGUGCGGAACUUGCGAUCUAUGUCUAAUGGAAGUCGCAACAGGCAAAGGUUGCCAGCCUCGCACAGCCAUGGUUGCAUAUGGCCGCGGUGUCGGAGCUCAACUUAGUCAAUUCGCUCGAUUUUUUGAGCAAAAGAGAAAGGUCCUCAGCCUAUUUAUCUUUAUAAUCAGUACCAAAAAGGAAAAGAAAAUUCCAGUCCAGGAGGGCAUUUGGCACCAGCAAAAGGCAAAUGCAAUUGAUGAUCUACAGAUUCCAAAAAAUGAAAAGGGAGGGAGAAAGGACAGGGAUCGUGGUUACAGAUGAAGAGCGAGCUAUCAAGAUGAAAAGGCCAGGAUUUGUGAAAUGCAAAAGUUGAAGAAGCAGAAGAUUCGGGAAAUAUCGGAUCAGCAAAAUGCUGCUAUGGACACUGAUAUGGUGCCUUUCCAUUCUAAAAAUGACUAUUUCUUGCAUUAUUUCGAGUUCAUGUAUUGAUUAUGCCAGUAACAUUUUCUUGUUUUUGAAAUAAUUUUUCAAGAAUGAUAAGGGAAAAGGGCGGUUGAAGUAUCUUCCGCAGCAAACUUAGAUUUUUGCUCAUUUUGCCAGAGGAAACCAGUCUGCUUCACAGAAAAUCAAAGGAAGGUACCAUUACCAAUGACAAUUCUCUCUGGUUUUUUGUGCAUUGCAGAUAUGAUCUCGUGUACAUAUGUUCCUUUUUUGACAACCUGCUGAACAAUGUCUACAUAGGUCCUAACUUUCCUCAUACUUCAUAGUUGCUUAAUUGGGACCGAAAGCUUUGUUUGAUCCUUGACGGGCCGUUUGCUAUAUAUUAAUAAUUGCCUAAUGCUGGAAUUCUUUAGAGGAAAGGUGCCUAUGGUCCAGUGGUCUAACCCUUGCUGGACUUCCAGUUACAUUUGGUGUUAAGGUUCCAUAUUCAAAGGGAAUUGGGAUUUGGUAACAUUUAUGCAAACCAACAAUGUUCAAUUGUAACCUUAUAUUGAUUGUUCUCUCCCAGUGGACAAAUAAACAUCUGCUCAUGCUUAAAAGUGAAGAAAACAUGUUUGUGAAGUUCAAGUCAUCAUUUCCCAGACCAUUUCUG